rnacentral:lncRNA from 1 species
UGAAAUGCAAAUUACAAAUGCAUUAUACAAGGUUCUAUCCAUAGAGUGAUGGGGAAACACGCUCAUCGACGCUUGGAGUUGCCCUAAGAAUGCAAAGAAAUAGAUGCGGCCUGGUGGAAUUGAAGAUUCACACACAUGGAGAAAUAGGUUCAACUCCAGUCCCGUGCUUCAAGCUGCCAUCAUCAUUCAUUUCAUCUUAUUAAAGCAGCCAUAAUCUUGCCUAACCAUUUCAUUUAGGCCAAUCCCGCCUGUCUCUCCCACCUAAGGUCUUCGGAGAAUUUGGAGAGUGCAGCCCUCGGGUCACCAUCAGAGAUAGACAAGUAGUACUGAGCAGUCCCAUCAUCAACCUGCAUGCUCCUCCUAAGCGAGUCAAGUAUUCUCUUCUUCCCUCGUUCAGAGGUUGUCCUCUUUAGCAAAGAACUUAUCUCUAUGUCCCGGACGCCUUCUGGGUAAAGCACGGCGACUUCCCUCCUUGCAUGGUUAUCUCGCUCUAUGUAGCAUGUGGAAUCGAUAAGAAUGUCAGGGUUGCUUAUGGGGAUUAACAAUCUCUCCCUCGAAUAUAUACCAUGAUCACUCAUCAUGUUGUUCAAGCGCUUUAUGUCCAUGACCUGACACCACAAAAGAAAUUUUUGAAGCAUGUGACAUGCGGUAUAGACAGGCACAAAAAGGAUAUGCUUGACAGAAACAUUGAAGAAGGGAAGAAAAAAAUUUCAGGGAAGCCAUUCUAAAAGUAAGUCUCGGACAACAGUUAUCAAAACAUUGAACCCAGAGAGAUCUAACUACAUGACAUCAUUAUUGACACUUCAGGGAUUAUUAUGACUACAACCAUGGAAAAUUUCCAUAUAAAGACAUAUUCAUUUCCUAGUUGCACAAACAAUUUAAGUUCUGCUCUCAGAAUUUGAGGUUCACGUUCAACCAUUUCGAUGAAUCAAUACCACCACUGCAGAAUCAUCUACUAUUUCUAUGUCAAUGUUAUUAAGUCAGAGGAACUAUCAUGAGGAUCACAAAGUGCAUUGCCCAUCAUUUCACACUGAUUACUUGCAAAAUCUGAGCAUCAUUUAGCCUCAUGUGUUCUGGCAACUAAGAGAUUGUGAUUAUCUAUUAAGAUAAUCAAUAUAUAGUCGUCAAUCAAGCAUAUCUUUUUGCUAUUAGUAACCGGAGAUGCUUCUCGCUUGGCAAACUUAAGACAACUUUACCACAUGAAGAGAUUUCAUAAUGUUUUACAUGAAGAGGACCCUAUGCUCCCUAAAACAUAACAUUUUGGUCCAAGCCCCAACCUUCCUCCAUACCUCCAGAAGAAACCACGACAGUGACUCCAAGUGUAACCGUUUCCUUUUCCUUCUUUAUAUUUUAGGCUUCACUAAAAGAUGAAGUCACUCCAAAAUUACAAAAUUCGUAUGUCAAUUAGUCUGGCCUUCUCCCAAUGGGAAUAAAUCUAUAAGAUUUGCAGUAGUAAAUUCCAUUGAGCAUCUAUCCUACCACCUAUUUGAUACAAUAUAGAGCCACAGCGUAAAAUUAUAACUAACCCCACUCAAUGGGAUAAAUCUGUCAUUAACGUUGAAGUCAUUCAACCGCCAGCCUGCACAAAGAAGCUUUGAACAUCAUCAAAUGAUAUGUACACUGUGUAGCAUCUUGUCAACAUUUUUCUUCUCCUAGUAAAUUCCCCAAUCUAACCCUUAUCAAAGAGGCCAGAACCCAAUCAAAUGGAGGUAUAAAAGAGCCAUGCCCGAAAUUGAACAAAACUAUGUACUUAGACAAUCCUGCACCAAUCAACAGAGCUAUCCAACUUUGGCUGUUGUAAUGGAGGAAUGAAAGAAUGCUUCUUCAAGAAGAAAAGCCUCUGCAAAGACCUGAUAAUUGUUGCUAGCUGUACAGCAUUCCUCAACUAACAAGUCCUCAGCAUUCUUCGGGAUUCGCCAUUUUAACAAUCAAACUCAGGAUCACAAAUUAGUAUAUUAUGAAAAGCACCUAACCCAUCCCCACCCAUCCUCUCGGCGCCAAUGAAUAACCAAAUAGACAAUCUAUGCUGGAGAAGGAAACCAGAUGGAUUCCAAGCCAUCAGCAAAGCAAACCCACCAGAAAUUCCAUGAAAAUUCACAAUAAGGCUCCCAGCUUCCGUCCACUUCACUCAAACGGACCGACCCACAUCUAACCCUGGCUACACAUGACCACAUGCGCAAACAAACCUACAUGACUUCCGAAACAUCAGAAGGACACUACCAAGGAACCUUCUUCGUAAAGUUUCAAAAGCUGUAGCCGUACACACUACUUUAGCUAACUUUUAAAUGAAAUCGCAAUCCAUUUGUUCGCCAGAAUCUGUCAAAAGUGAAUCUCCAUCGAAAAUGCAGCGCCAAAGCAUGUCAUUUGCAAACGUUUAAAGUAUACCAUGCAAGAAUAUCAUUACGCCGCCAACACAAUUCGCAGUAUUGCUCACAAUCAAUACAGCAAAAGGGACAGAAACUCCAUUACUGAACGGAGUACUUCACGGCGAGGCUCGCGACGCUAUCGCCGCGCUUAAUCCGGUGCGAGAUCGCGAACUUCCCUAUGCCGGUAUCCCUCCAGAAGCUACCCGAGCUCGGGACGCCAACCACCUCCUUCAACCUCCAGGGGGCCGCGAAGGCUCGGGUGACCAUGUCGCGAUCGGAGGCGACGGAGCUCCAGAUGCGGCAGACGCAGCUCGCGCGGGCCAGGUCCGGGACGGAGAGCUUCUCGAAGAUGAGCCGGAGGGUGUCGUGGCAGGCGAGGGCGGAGAAGUGGGAGUUCAUCGGCGAGAUGGUGGAAUCGUCGGCAGCGGAGGCGGAGGAGGAGGCGGAGGAGGAGGCGGCGGCGGCGGCGGAGGACGGCAGCGGAGAGAGAUCGGGGGUCCGGGGUGGAUGCUCCCGGUCGUCGUCGUCGUCGUCGCCGCAGCAGCCCAUUUAGAGAGAGAGAGAGAGAGAUGGAAAUGUCUAUGGAGUCGGUUUUGAUGGUUUUGGAUUUUUGGUUUUGAAUGGUGGAUAGUAGGUGCCUGAAAUAUCGUUGAAUUACGGUUUUUCCCCCCGUGUUAUGGAAUUUAUUACAACUUGCCCCUGACUUUUCGAUUUUUUGCGAUGUCUCCCCUAAAAUUUGAAAUCGGUUGCAAUGUCGGACUGGGGUGACUUCCAUUACUUUUCAGUUUGAGCACCGACCGUGUGCUUGUCACGUGACUGAGAUCUUUCAGGGAAGGUAAACCUGUCAGAUGAUAACGGGAAAAGUACACUAUCUGUGCCAUAAGUUAUGUACGGCGUUCACUUUGAUGCCAAAAGUUUCCGUCGAAUUACUUAAGUGCUAAAUCAAAAGAAAAACGAUCACUUUGGUACCACCGCUAAAAGAUUCCAACCAAAAUGAUUAUGUAGCUUUAAAAAAAAAAAAAUCGACAAAGCCUUAAACGACGUUGUUUUCGGUCCUCCUUAAGAUGUCAUUUUGUCGUUCUACAUGGAUGGCCUCACAGAAACGACGUCGUUUAACUCAUUUUGGGAUUUUUUUUUUUUGGAUUGAAAUUAAGGUUUUUUUGUCCGCCAUUGCUCAGCCACCGUCGCUCGACCGCCGUCCCUCGGCCACUGUCGCUUGGCCGCCAUCCCUCAACCUCCAUCAUAGUUGCUUGCCACAGCAAGACAAAAGAAAAAAAAACGAACAGAAAAUCCCAAGGGAGAGGGAGGUGUCAAUGGCGAGGGCGGAGGAGGGAAUGGCGGGGCCAUGGCCACCACCGUCGUUAUAGCUAGCUUCACCGACGACCUCCAUGGCGUUCUAGAUCUUCGUAGCUACCAUUGGCCAGAUCGCUCGUGCUUCUAGAGAUUCUUCGAGCUUGCGCUUCCUUUGCACCCGACGAUAUUAUUUGGGAAAAGGCAGUGGAGGGGCUGAGAUUCGGGGAUUUGAAAGGUCGACAAGGUGAUUGAAAAUGGGGGAAAACUAUUGGGGGAGGGCAGAGGCGAGUGCGUGAUUUCUUUUCUGGAAAACUCCUAGUGUUGUGUUGGUGCGCUGCUGGUGUUGCUGGUGCUGUUCUUUGGCACUACUAGUGUUGUUCUUCGGGGAAGAACCGGUCUUCAAGGAAGAAGACGACACAAAAUACCGUCGUUUGGGGAUUUAGGGUUUUGAAUUUGGGGGAAAGACACAAAACGGCGUCGUUUUGUUGUUUAAAUGAUGAUUAUACUCUCCGGCAAGCCACAUCAGCUUAAAAAAUUAAUAAAAAAGUGCCACGUCGAAAGUUAUGGCACUGAUAGUGUACUUCUCCCGAUGAUAACAUACGAAUUGCAUUUUCAACCACGCCGUAGUCGAAAGUUAUGGCACUGAUAGUGUACUUCUCCUUUUUAUUAGCUAUAGAAAUAAUAAAAUCAUUUCCUUUGGUUUAUAAAUAUAUUGCUCACACAAAAACUUCAUGAAAGGAAGUAGUUAUACCAAUUUGGUAUUUUUUUUAUAAUAUAACUAGACACAUCAUCAUGUUGCAUGAAAAUCUGAUAAUAUAAUGUUCGUNNNNNNNNNNNNNNNNNNNNNNNNNNNNNNNNNNNNNNNNNNNNNNNNNNNNNNNNNNNNNNNNNNNNNNNNNNNNNNNNNNNNNNNNNNNNNNNNNNNNAUGACCUACAUAAGAAUCACAUGGCUAAAGUCACAAUGAUGGCAUGGAAGCAAAGUUGCUUAUGAAUCUAGAGCAUCAUAAAGAAGAAACCAAAUCACAUAAGCAGCGACACCAUCGAGAUAAAGGAAAGAGGAAAACCUUCUUGUCAAAUAAAGAAUAGGGACCUUCAUCAAAACUGACAGCUCCCUCAUUCAUCAUCUCCACACUUGGUGUAGGUGGCCUAAGUAUGAAUGCCUUGAAUUCAAUGCACUCCAGAAUCGAGAGAUUUCUUAGGGAGGGAAAUUCAUAUGCACAACUUCCUGAGCUGAAACUAAUUAAUCUCUUGAGGGAACAAAGCUUCAUUAUACGUAAAUGAGAGAACUUCACUGCCUUCAACUUUUUCUCUUCACCUUCUUCCACCGCAACUAUUUCCUGCAUGUUGUUGCAAUCAGAAACAUCCAGCGUCUCAAGUUUAUCAAGAGUCCUACUUGUGUCAUUUGGGAAGAGAUAUCUCAAACUGUGACAACAAUGCAAGCUAACAUUAGUCAGACUAGGAAGAGCCAACGUUGAUUUGGUGCUACUUGUCACAACUGCAUUCAGCAUAGGUAGGUGCCACAACUUCACUUCUUUUACUAAGAGGACCAGACAUUUUUGCCUUUUCUUAGUAUUAACAGCAACAUGUUCCAUAAAUGCUCCCAAAGAGGCGCACUUGACCACCUCAAUCAUUUUCAGGCUCUGGAACCUCUCUAACAAAGUUGAUGGAAAAAUAAAAGAGAGAUUUUCGCAAUCUUUGAUAGUCAUGGAUGUUAGUCUGCAGAAUGAUUCUUCAGGGAGUUCAUUGUGCCAUAUCCUCCGCAAACCGCACAAUGACAAGAGCGUCAACUCCUCCAAGCUUGGCAAAAGAACCUGUAUGAAAGGACUGUAUGUUAGUUUUCCGACCAUGAACACAUAAAAGUCAUGAUUUGGAUGUCUAAUGCUCUGAUAUGUUAAUGUGUUCUCAAGAAUGAAGUUGAUUACCCAAGAUUAUAACAUUGUAGUAGAAAAAACAGAUGAGUGGAGUAGCAAGAGCCUUUAUAGGACAUGCUGACAGAAAAAGUUUUCAAUUGCUUCAUUGUUGAUAAGACUGCAGGCAACGAUAUAAUUUCUACGAUAAACAUAAACUAGAAAAUUCCAGAAAUAUCUACGCACAUUGUAAUUGAAGAAGACAGGCAAGGAAAAGCCAGUGUCGAUAUGACCAAACACUUGCUGUAAACCUGCAUCAGCUAUUCUCAGGGGUUGUUUUCCUUCCAAUGAAGAGAAUGUGAUCAUUUUAGGGCAUCCAGAUAUCCUUAGUCUUGUUAAGGAUGGAAAGUGAAUGGAAUACUUUCCAUAAGAGAAUGUCUUGAGAUUUGGCAUUUCCUCAAGAGAUAAGGAGGUUAACUGAGAGAACUCUAACGAGUCAAUGGUUACAGCUUCCUUCGAUUCAUCUUCUUUCACAUCCAUAAUUUCCUCCAUUAGUUUACAAUUUGCUAUUUCUAUCUCUUUUAGUUGCCCAAUUGCUUUAGCCGUGGAAGAAGAAAAAACAAACCUCAAGCUCUCACAGUUUUGCACCUUCAGUGCUCUUAGGUUUUGAAAACAUAAUGCUCUUCCUGGGUUCUUGUUCCAUAUGCAUCCCAAACUUGGCAAGUCACUCAAGGUUAAUUUGGUCAAUCGAGACAAAAUCUCAACAUCCCCACCAUUUGUCAAUCCUUCAAGGUCGAAUAAUUCUUGUAUUAACUGACAUCUUUCAACAAUUAUGGCUUCCAAAUUCUGUAGCUUAAUUAGCAAAUUGGAUGGGAUGAUGCUCAAGAGGAACCUGCAAUCCUCAACUUUCAGAAACUUUAGGCUGCUCACAUCGGUGGGAAAUUGAGAGUUCCAUAUCUCGUUCAAUUGGGGAAGUUCAGAUAGUGUCAAGGAAUCCAACCGGGGCAAUAAAACCUUACAAAGACAGGAGAACAACGUUAGGAAGACAUACGCAUCAAUUUUUUUCUUUAGCUGCGUGGGGCGCAUAAGCCCACAAAGUCUCUUAAUGAUGCUUAUAACUAGAAAUUAUGAACAUACGUUGCCUGUACAAAAAUAAUAAAGGAAAUAGUCUGACACAAUAGGUUUAAAGACAAUGAAAAAAAAUAGAGUAGUGAUUUUUGAAUUUUUACAAUAUUCUUCUUUAAGAUUUAUCAACUUUGCACUUAACUUAUCAUUUACCUAUUAUGUAUUUGGACUUUUUAUAUAUAUAAUAGUAAAGAGAAUCCUAAAUUACUGAGGUUACUGACUUUACCCUCACACUUUGUGCUUUCUGCCAAAUUUUACAUAUUCGUGGAAUGAAGUCAUUAAAUCUUUUAGGCAUUGACUGUGGUCUUCCAUAAAAUCACAAACAACAGGUAAAAAAGCAGUCUCAAUAAUUUUCUACCAUUAAUUCAUGCACUAAAUUGACUCCGAUAAAAACUAUAUAAUUUAUUGAUUUGCAGGUGUAAUUUGAGCCGGGCAUUUUUUUCUAAAUUAUUUCAAAAAAAAAAAUCCUAUCGAAAGUUUGAAAGUAAAAAGUUAUUAUAAUAAUAUGAGAGAUAUAUUGAAGUAGCCGGAAGAUUUUGUUGUCAUUGCGCAUGGCAGGCUAAAAUUCUAGGCAGGCUAAAAUUCUAGUAUAGACCUAAUGUCUCGGCCAAUCCUUAAAGGAUCUCUAACUGUUCACAAUAGCACCAUAUGGGCAUUAAAGUCAAUUUCAACAAAGGAAUUAAAACUUUCAAAAAAAAAUUUCUAGCAGAUUUGAUCACCAGAACAGGUGCAUACUUACAUAAAUUAGAACAAAAAAAUUUAAUUAUCCCACUAAUAUCUCAUUAAUGUGCCAAGGGUAAAAAAUAACUUGGCUUAUUGAAUAUAUAUAAUAGAGUACAAAAAAAAUCUAUUUAAUGGAAUUUUGCGUAGAACCACAUUUCCACAGAGGUCCAUUCACCUACCACAAUUUUUUACAUUUAAUCGUGUCAAUUACUUUGACAUUAAUGUAUGUAAGAUCAAGCUGGUAUUAUAGAAUUGUCCCUAUGUCCACUAAUUAUUUUAUGAAGUCACAAAAAGUAUAUAAGUCGUAUAUGCUUUCUUCAUGUUGUGAAUAUAUCCCUAAAUGGAUGUGUGUAUUUUACCAUUAAGCAAUGAUAAAAUUUUAAACUAUUUAAAAAACCUAUACAUGUUAUGGUGCUUCUUUAACUAUGCUGACAACAUAACACAAAAUAAAAUGAGUUGCAAUUAACUAAUACAUAAAUGUUUUUAUGCAUUCACACAUCACAUAGCAAUUCCUUUUUGUAGAGUUAAAUUAUUUUGUCUUAAUUAUUCUGGAAAAGAAAAUCUCAACGAAAAUCAUUUAUCCAAAUUUUCCACGUGCUAUUAUACUCCUGUAUAUAGAAUCCAUCCAUAAAAAUUCAUUUACUUUAAAAUAGAAAAAGUAUCACUUUAGUACUCAUUAUUUAGCUGUAAAUAUAAAAAAAAAUACUUCAAUAUUUUUAUAAAUCAAAUAUUUGUAAAAUUCAAUUUCAAAUAAAAUCAAUAAUUUUUAACACUGUAUACUAAAUGAUCGAAAUUUUUUUUAAAAAAAUAAUUAGUUGUUUAAUUGAUAAAUGCACAUUAAUAUCUAAACUACACAAUUCAUACAUUAUAUCACCGAAGUAAUAGUUCAACGAGUCAAUAUUUUUUAAAGUCCACACAAUGUCUGGGACAUCAAAUCAUCUUGAAAGGUAAGGAGAAAAUUGGGAAAAAAGGCUAUAAAAGGUAGAAACUUUAUUUGUGUUAUAUUGUCUGUCUUUUCUCAGAUUUUACUAUCGAGGGCAUCACUAUUAGAGUAAUGAGCUAAAAAAUGCUUAAACCAAGUAUAUUUCUCUGAUUGACAUAUUCAAUUGAAGGCAAUGUCAUUGUUUGUAACUUAGGAUAACAACACUAGUUGGAGAAGCUUUCCUCUAUAUAAGAUAGUUCUUUUUUGUCAGAAAAAUAAGAUAGUUUGGAUGGAGGAAAACAUGAUCCUCUUAGAAAGCAUAAAUUUUACCUGUUGCUCGUCGAAGAAUACAAUUGAAUAGUCCACGAUUUUACAGAAGCUUCUCAUCUUUGGCAAGUUUUGUAGUGUUAGCCUACGCAAAUUGCAUGAUUUCACUUUAGGAUCAUCAUCUAUCUCAUCUUCGUCUUCAUUUACUUUGGUAUUUGAGACAAUUUGCUGCAUCAAGUAGCAUCUACAUAUUUCAAUCUCUUCAAGUUGCAAGAAUAUUCUCAUCAUGGACAAAGGAAAUAAUUGUUUUAUUUCACCACAGUUAUCCAAUUUCACAAUCUUUAAUUUGCCGAAGGAUUCUGGGGCAAGAUAGCCUCGGCAAAUCUUCUUCAAGGUGUUUAGGUUCUCGAGAAACAACAAUUGCAAUCUCGUAAAUGUAGUGCACUGGACACUCUCUGUGGAGUGAACAACGUAAUUAAGUGAGGGACUGUUUUGUACGUGAAGAUGCUUCAAUUCCUGAAAACCUUCGAUGCACAAAUCAUGAAUGCUAUCAUUACCAUCUUGCAAUCCAACCAAGUGGAAAUCUUGCGUCAUGUGCAAACAUCUCUGCACCCACUCUUCAAGAAGAAGAUUGCCUGAAUCCAGCUUGAGCUUUAAAGUUCUGGAUUCUUUGUAUUCCCCCGACCAAUCCCAAAUGUCCCCAAUUUGGAUUCUAUGCUUGUUUAAUUUCCCGAAUGGUAGAUCUCUUGAGAGAUUCGCAGAAUGAGGAAUGGCAAUGUACAAAGUGCUCAACUUUUUCAUGUUCUUUAACUCAACCAAGCUAGCGUUGCUUCGAGGUGCUUCAUCCUCAGCCUCCCACUGAUCAAAACUAUCUUCCAUAAACAAUUCUUCUAAAUUAACCAAUCUUCCAAGCACGCCAGGUUCAAUAAGUUUGAGCCCGAUGCACUCUCUCAAGUCCAAAAAUCUCAAUUCUGUUAGUUCACCUAUUUCUUUAGGCAGCCGAGCGAUUGCGGAUCUGAAGAAACUUAGGAAAUGCAAUCCUUUCAGCUUUCCAAGAAUAGUCACGUCCUCCAAAUGGCAAUAAUCAAGACAUAGCGACUUGAGGUUUUCAAGGGACUCGAUUGACGAAGGUAGAGAGGCGAAAGAUAAGCCUGUAACAUCCAAGACUUGGAGCUUCUCCAUAGAUUCAAAAAAUGACUCAGGAAUUUUGAAAGACGGGUUGUUUUCAAAUAAUAGAAGCAUCCUCAAGUUUGGGCAGUCCAAUUUUUCAGGAAGCUCAUCUAUGCCAACAUAAGGGAAGGACAUCGCAGUGCAUUUCUGAAGCUCAUCCUUUGACCAUUCUUUAAACCCAUAAUCCUUCCUCCCAAACAAGGCAUUCCAUUCCGUGGAAGCAAUAGAAAUGGCUACGUCAACUAAUAUGUCAUGCAUUCUGAAUGGUUCCAUGUCAUCACUAUCUAGUAACAAAGAAGAGUCUUGCAAGUUAUGUAGGUCUAUAAUCAACCUAUCUCUAGCAUUUUCAAUGGUCUUGCUGAAAUUUUUAAAUAAGCCCAAACCCAUGCCGUAGAUAAGGGAAUACCUCAUGAGAAUUCUCCCCGAGUCUAAAGCACAAAUCAAGAACAAUGAUUUGAUCCUCUCAUCUUUUAAGUCACUAUAAUUUAGUUCCACAAUAGAUUUUACAUCUGAGCCUUCUAUAUUGGUCAAAGCAUUCCUCCAUUCGGCCAAAUGUCCAUGCUUCAACCUUUUCGCCACUGAGAGAAUCAAAAGAGGCAAGCCUCCACAAUUCUUGACCACUUUAUCCACCAAGCUCUUAAGCUCAGGAUCAUUGACUCUAUCCCCCACUAUCCUUUCAAAAAGUCUUCGUGCUUCCCCAUGCUUUAGCUCAUUGAGUCGGAAUUCUUGGUCAGAUCCCAUGUCAUUGCGCAAAACAUCUCGAUAUCUAGAUGUAAGCAAUAGCUUGCAACUUGUUACUUUAUUAUCAUCUCCGCAAGGGAUUCCGACUUCCUUCAACUCUAACUUCUUCCACAAAUUAUCUAAAAUUAUGAGAAUAUUUAUUUUAUGAUCACUCUCUAACCUUUUACGCAAUAAAUCUGCUCUCCCACGAGCAGUUUCCUCAUUCAUUAUUUUUAGACCUAGUGCGUAAGCAAUUUCUCCCUGGAUUCUUUUUAGAUCCGGAUUGCGUGAUACAUUUGCCGUGGCAACCACAUUGAACCACUUCUCUUCCUUAACUUGCCUUUCAAUGUCCUCUAAAAGCUUGGACUUGCCAACCCCACCUGGUCCAUACACUCCAAUCACACCGACCUCGUCAUCAACCAUAGCCUUCAUUACAUCCUCUAUGAUUGAAGCCCGUGACUCCAUAACAUCUUCCUUCUUGAUAAUAGAUCUUGCGGCAGAAGUGGUAGCAGUGAUAAUUCCUAUCGGAGUAUUCUCAUAGUAGACCUUCUGGAAGUUACUAUUUGGGCUUUUCUCAUGGAGUCCCUGAAUGACUUGACUCAUCUUAUUUACCUUCCUGCCAAUUGGAUGGCGCACCAAUGGGUUGGGAAUCCACCCACGGAAGCAAGCAUUUUUCGCACUUUCGCCAUGUUCUAAUAGGCUUUUAGCUUCCUUAGCCAUGUUGUCCACGCUCUCCAGCCAAUUCUUAACAUCAAUGUGGAUAGGUUUCCCAUCAUACAUGGCUUCAUCAAUGGAGCGUUGCACCCUCUCUCGAGCAGUCUCCAGCUCCAUAACUCCAUUUUUAAGAUCUUCAGCGUAACUCUUAUAGCACAACACGUACCCAAAUUGACGUGCAAUGGGAGCAAUCGAGUACUCACAGAAUUUUGACACAAGAUUCGCUGCGACAGAGGUAGCACAUGCCCCAGCCAUAAUUCCUUUAAAGAAGUUCCUUUACCCUCCUUUUACCCCUCCUGGUCUCUCCUUGUUUUUGCUUAUACAAAUGGGUGCAAAGAAACUGAAUAGAGAAUAGAACUAAUCACUGUAUGUAUGAAAGGAAAGGAAAAGCGAAGUGAUAAAACAAUGAGAACAGUGAAACAAAACUAGAGAGGGUGGGGGCUAGAGCAAUGUAAAUAAACAGAGAAGACUCGGGAAUGUCAGCUAGAGUAAUUUAGUCUUUAAGAAUCUCAAGGCCUUCCACAAUCCUGAUACUAUCAGAACAAGGAAGUGAAAAAGAAUCAGAGAAAGGAAGAAAAGACGUGCAAGAGAGAACGUACGGUCAAUCGGAAAAAAACUCGGUUGCUCCUUGGCUCACUGCACUCGGUAGACCCCAAGCACCACGUUUACCGGUCUACAUGGACAACAGGUUACCGAUCUACCGCGUGCAAUAGAAGGUUAAAUUUCCUUCAAUUUUUUUGCUGUUGUCCAUUUUUUUCUAUUAUUUGUUUCUUGGCUAUGGGGAUGACUCUUCGAGGACUUUAAUAAAUUUCUGCAGUCUCCAUCAAAAUUCCACACUUUGAGAGAAGAAACAUUUACAUGCCUGCUAGUUCAACAAUUAUCGAACCUUUCAAACAUUAAUAGUUAGAAUUAUUUAGAACUUUUUGCCAGUAUUUUAAAGACUAAAAAAUUUAGGAUUUCCCACACUGCACCGAGUAAAAAAUCAUAUGCUAUUACUUAAUAUUAAAUUAAAAGAAAUGGGAAAAAUAAUGAAUAGCUAUUUUCAUGUCCUCUUUUGGCUUGGUACACACUUUUUAUUAUUAAAUGACCAAAACAACCUUCUAUGUUCGGAAACAAGGUCAAUCACCAAUUCACCCAACUUUUUUUUUCUCUCUCCUCACUUCUCUUCAUCUUCUAUUUAUAUUGCUAACUAAUUGAAAUAUCCUUUUUGUUUGAAAAUCGCUUUAUCAUAAUUUGAUCAUAUUUUUCUCUCUUUGUUUUUGUUUCCUUUUACCGCCACUGCCUCUCCUGUAAAAUUUUACGUCUGUAAGUUCGCUCCGUAAAAUUAACUUUGCUCAGAUUUUUUAAUUCUUUCAUGUAAAUUUUCUAUUCAUUUUAAUAGCAAUGGGACGGCGCGAGCUCCUAUCGGAAGAACGGGGCAAAUUUUCUUUGUCAGGAAUGCCCUGCUGCGCAUUUGGUAGAGCAAUCGUGGACAAAGAUGAGGCAGGUAUGAUACUAUUAGCGCUAUCCCCACAAAUUCUCCCAUUUGUAUUUUCUAAUAUGUUAUAUUUAGUUAUGCCUAUAUAUAAUAAAAACAAGCAAUAUUUCACAUUGUGGAUUACUAUGGAAUAUAACUCAACUAAAUUUAAACUGUAAAACUAGAAUAAAAUGAUAUAUAUAUAUAUAUAUAUAUAUAUAUAUAUUAGUUGAACAUUACCAAAAAAAAGGGGGGGGUAAGAAACAGAUAUUUUUAAAUAAGUAAAAGUCAAUCUCAAGGGAUUGGAAAGUUUUUGGAAAAUUAUGGAAUUUUCAAAAUUCAUAUAUUCUUGUUACACCAAUCUUAAUUUGUAUUGUGCUAUUUUGCAGUUUUUUUUUUUUUGGUCAAAUGCUAUUUUGCAGUUGAAAUGUGAUGAAUUAUAGUUAUUUGAAAAAGAGUUACUAAGUCUAUGAAGAUUACAAAUUGGAAGAAUUUUAAUUAAUUUAUUUUUUCUAUCAUAAAAAAGUACCUUUAGAAUGAUAAUUUGUAAAUUAUUAACAAAAGGAGUAGUAGGUAACGGGGGACAAAACAUGAGAGAUUAAGUAAGAAGUCGUGAUAAGGGACAUCCUUACUGAAGAUUUUUGUUCCGUGACUCGAGAUCAAAUUUGCUCUUUGUAUAAAAUCAUUUUUAUGAUCUUAGAGUUAAUUUAGUUAACGACUUAUUGAUUUCUUUUACUUAGUUGACAAUGAAUAGAAAGGAAGAGACGAGAAGAAAAUUAUGAUAAAUUGGUGCUUCACUUGUUUCUAAAUAUAGAAGGUUGCUUUCGUUAAUUAAUUAUAGAAGGUGUGUAUCCAAUCAAAGAGAAGGUGGAAACAACCCCCACCGAAAAACAUUGAGGAGACUUCGUCUAUAAAUAAAAGGGUUAAUACCCUGAAAAACCCCAAACUGAUACACAUAUGACAAAUUUAUCCCAAAUUAUUUUUUUGAUCAUGGAAAAUCCCAAGCUGCCACACAUGUGAUAAAUUUACCCUGACAAACCAUAAAAAAUCAUAAACCGGUACAUUUAUGACAAAUUUACCCUAAACUAAUUUAUUCGAUCGCAAAAAACCCUAAAUUGAUAAAUUUGGGACAAAUAUACCAACCGCUAAAUUGGAUUAAUACCAUAAAAAAUAAAAAAUAAAAUUGCAAAAUAUGAUAAAUGGAGCGUAAAAUCCCAAAUUAUUAUACCGAUCAAUUGUCAUGUGUCAUUUAACUUAAUAAUUUAACAGUAAAGUUUAACGAAAACUAACAAAGGGUAAAUUUGUUACAAGUGUACCAGUUUGGGAUAAAUUUGUCAAAUGUAUACCAAUUUGGAAUUUUUUGUGGUCUAAAAAAAUUUUUUUUGAGUAAAUUUGUCACAUGUGUAAUUCGGAUUUUUCACGAUAUUAAUCCUAAAUAAAAAGGAAAGAGGUCACAAUUUCAAACAGCAUAUACAUUGUAUCACGAUGUUUCAUCUUACAAAAUAUCUAUCUUGGGAUUUCCCUCAACUCAUUUUGCUUUGCCACAUCGGAUGGCCAACUUCAUAUUAGUGAUUUCUUAUCAAAAUUCGUCAGAAUGACUACCUUAACAAAUUGUCAAAAAGUGUAAGGCCAAAAUUGAUUGAGAGGUCUAAAACUAAAUUGGCAUAUGUAUAAUAAAUUUAAAACUUUUUUGGAAACUUUUCAAUUAAUGUUCAUGAUCAUUAUCUUUGUACCAUAAACUAAGAUUUUUUUUUUUUUGUCAAAUUGAUCAAAUCAAAUCUUUCCACAUAUUACAUUUUUGUGACAAACUUUAGGACUUGAUUGUACUUAUUGAAAAAUUUAGAACUUGAUUGUAUUUUCAUGACAAGUUCCAGAAAGAAAUUUUAGAACUCAAUUGCACUUUCGUGAUAAGUUUAGGACUUUCGAUGCACUUAUCCCUAUUUUAUUAUCAAAUCAAGGAAGUUUGGUUAGAAUGCAUAUGAAUCCGCAUGUUUUUGCAUAGGAAAAUCUCUCUCUCUCUCCUCCCUUGUGGAACGUCUAUAUUUUGUGACAAGUUUAAACGAUGUCCAAUUUCCCUAAUCUACAUAUACGCUUGCACUUUACUUUGAAUAAGGCAAAUGGAAAUUUAAUAAAGAAAUUUUUAUGAAUAGAUACAUGAAUCCGGCCCUUUAUUAAAGAUUUUCAUAUACCUACUUUACAAGAAACAAAGGAUGACUUUCAGUCAACCAUUCUGGUGUCUGAUUAUAGGCAAUGUUUCUAAAAUAGUAUUGGAGGUUGAAUUGGAGUGAGGCCCGAUAUUUUCCACCAGUUCAACUGGUCCAACCAUUUACACCGACCAGUUUCUACAUAAAGAAUGAAGUUAAAAAAAAAAAAGUAAUAUAUGUAAUGAUAAUUUUAAAAGGUUAUGUGUGAAUUCACGUGUAAUAUCUGCAUGCUUCAAAGGAUUUUAGGUGCUCUAAUAAGUGAAAAUCAAUUUUUUCCUUAUUAUUUGUAAUAAGUUGAUUUGUCUUAAUGUCUGUGAGCAGAGACUUGCUAAUUUUCCGAGUUCCUCCUAUUAUUUUCAAGUAGGAAAUUAAGCUCCCACCAAAAAGGUGGUUAAACAUGAUGUCAUACGAUUACCAUUUCGGAGACAUACAAAAGCUUAAAGAAACAAAUAUUUAUGCUUCUGAAAUGAGUUUAUGUUGCAAUUAUUUCAUCAAUUUUUGUCUCUUAACCCCCUUUUCUUUUUCUUUUUCUUUUUUUUGCUUUUAUUCGUUUUAGCGUUUAAUCAAUAGGACCAGAAUUACCAAACGAAGAAAUUGAACGUGAAACAUGUGCUGAUAGAACACAAAAAUAGAUAUAUAAUGACACACAUACCGGGAGUGGCUUUACUGUAAGGAUGCAAGAGGCACUGAGAUUUCUUGGCUGCUGACUUGUCUACAAGAUGAAGGAAGAUGAAGAUCAAGCCAAAAUCAGUCCUGAUAACACCGGAGUAUAAGUGGACAUAUCAGCACUGACGCAAAACCGAGUGGACACUGUGGGGGGAGAAAACAGCAGGGAAAUGAAAAUCCACUGGAGAGAAAAUGUAAUCGAGCAACAUGUUUUAAUACCUUCAGCUUCGACUUGGAACGAGAAGAGGACGAAGGGUUUCUUUGCUGAGUUCAGGCAAACUCACAGUCUAAAGGGCAAGUAGUUGGUUGGCCAUUUUUAUAAUAAGCACUGACAGACUUGACUUGAGCAACGUUGCCAAAAGACAAGCUGGCGUUAGGUUGUCAAAACUGUUCCUAGAUCAUAUACCAGGCCCGAUUUAUGGACUGGUGGUGGCAGCUAUCCAUAAUUUCACAAGCCAAGUGCCGCUAAACAAAUCAAGAAACGCAACUAGCCGCCAACAGGUCAAUGUGUCGUUCUCAAGAAACUUUCCUUGGCACUGUCCAAACUCUCUCUCUCUCUCUCUCUCUCUCUCUCUCUCUCUCUCUCUCUCACAACACAAGUAAGUCAACAAGCAACUUGCAAUUAAGAAAUUGAUUAGUUGGGAGAUAUAUAAUUUUAGAGGGAAAUGACAUGAGAAGAAACCAUCACUGUGGGUCUGUCCAAAUUGCCUGACGAAUACUUGCAAAUGGCCCACGAAUAAAGACAAACAAGGCAGCAGAAAAAUCCACCACUUUGUCGACCCACUACUUGCGACUAAGAAAUCGGUUUCAUGAAAGAUAGAGUAUAAUAUCAGAGGGAAAUGACGAAGAACGCACAUAUCAACAGGUGUCCCAAUCUCCCUCUGAAGUCAUUUUCAACCCAAACCCACACGGAAAGGGUUGCUUCCGACUUGUCGAUGACUGUGACCUCAACAUUACUCUCUCUUUCUUUAUUCUUGAUGGCAUGUAAAGACACAGCAUUUCGUUUGAUGAUUUGCCAAUUUAGUCAUAUAUCUUUUAAUGAUUUUUUUAUUUAGUUAUUUUGGUCAAUUUUAGUUAGACAUCACUAAUGUGGUGGUCUAUUUAACACUAGCAGUAAUUGUCUCAUGUGGUAUAGCCGAUGCUAACAUGAGCAAUUUCUACAAUUUUUUUGAAAAAAUUUAUGAAUUUUUUUCUUUUAUUUUUUUUAUUAUUUUUUUUUUGUCGACCAUAGGUGAGGCCCACCCUUGCUCUCCCUCAAUCUAGCAAGGGCUACCCUUGGCUGCCCAAACGAGGGUAACUCUCGCCCCGGCAGGAGCUACCCUCACUAAGGCCAAUGAAGGGAAAAAGGGAAAAAUUAAAUAAAAAAAAAUGCAAAACUUGCCCAUGUUACUACUGGCCAUGCACAUAGAACGGCUAAUGCUAACUAGAUCACCAUGUUAGAUUUCUAGGUAAAAUUGGCUAAAAUGACUAAAUUGGCAAAUUAUCAAAAUGUUUAAGAUUAAAUUGACAUAAUUGAAAGGUUUAGCAACUAAUAUAGCAAUGGUACAAUAGAUUUAGAGCUUUUUGAAUAAUUUUCCCCACUUAACCCACAAGCCCAUUAAUUCAUCGAUCAUGAGUUUCUAAGAGACAUAAUUCAAGUCACUAUAUUAACACGUUGUGAUGAUCAAUUAUGUAACGACCUAAACGUGAGAGGGAAUGGAGUGCGGCUCGGUCUUGAGAAUAAUGAAAGAGGCAAGAAUGAACCAAAUCCCACAUCACUUUGGGACAGUGAGGUAAUGUACUAUAUAUGGUGUAGUACCAGUCUUAACUACCAACAAAAAAAAUUUUGGGCAAAGCCCAGAGGAUCAAAAACGUGAGAGCAUGGGCAAGUAAGUCCUACGGCCCAAAAUGGACAAUAUUGUUGGCAAGUGGGGCUAAAAGUAAGCCCUCGUAAUGGUAUCAAAGUCAAGCCUAGCCUAGCCGAAGUGUGUGGUUCAAGGAUGAACUAUGUGGAAGUUGGUGGGCCUGUAACGACGCGAUCUUUUAAGGGAUGAGCGUACAGCUUGAAGAUAGCAAAGGAGCUAGGAAUGAAUCGAACUCCAAAUCCCAUGUUACCUGGAGACAAUGAGGUAAUAUACUAUAUAAGGUAUAACACCAAUCUUAAUUAUCAACGAGGCCUUUUUCUGAGCAAAGCCCAGAGGAACAAAAGUGUGGGGGCAUGGGAGAAAUGAUUUUUAUAACCUAAAGCAGACAAUAUCGUUGACAAGUAGGGUCAGAGGUCAGCCCUUACAAAUUAACUAAGCAUGUAAAAAUAACUAGAUUGACUCAAUGAGGAUCAUCAACCGGUCAAUAACCGUAGCUAAGGAAGUGGGUGCAGUUGCAAUCAUCCCUGAAGCAGUACACAAGCUAAGAUGUUAAGAGAUUCUCGCGGAAGACGAUCAGACUGCAUAACGGAAUAGUCCAUGUAGAGACACGAGUAGAAUCGACAAGGGGCAUCACAAAAUCACUAGCACAUCAGAAUAACUCCAAUAAUACGAUGAUGACUAGGUCAUUGACAGCCAAUUGAAUUAGAUUAUAGUUUUCCUGAAUGUGAAUUUUAAUUUUGAAUUAGACUAAGUUUUCUAAUUCUAAUAUUCAUAUUUGUUUAUGAAAGCAUUCCGGUCGGAUUUUGAAAGUUUUUUUUUUCUUUCAUUACGCAUUUCUAACAUCUCCAUUAGCGGUUCCUGUUCAGUUUUAGUCAUCGAGCAAGUGUGACCUCUAAGAAUUCAAGGCAUAUUAGACGAUUUACUUUUAAUUCGAGAUCAAAUUUAACAAUUCAAUUGGCCAUCAAUCACCCUCGAUUACACUUUAAUUAUUAAUUAAAAAUAUUAUUGAGUUUUUGGCAACCACAACUUUGCAAAAAUUCACGUGAAGCAUCUUUGGGACCAAAGUGGGAGAAAUAAAUGUUUGGCCGAAUUACUGGAAGCAUGACUGGGCCAUACGAUUAUGAAACCGACACCAACAAAAGGAAUUGAGUUCCAACCCAGCAAAUGCCUCUAAGGCUGCGAAUGGUCAGGGGGAUGAAAGACCACCGUCUCAGUCUGCCGUUAAAAGCCUGCAAGAAGAUCCCUUUGAUCGACUCGUUCGGAUCAUUUUGGAAAUGCAAGUUAGAGAGCCUUUAAUGUAUUGGACGAAUGAUAUCAGGUCUUGAAUGCUAGUGUCAGGACUAGAAGUGCUAAGCAAGUUGAACACAGUGGCUCAAUGAAUCUGCGCUAAGGCGAUUGGGUAAAAGAAACAAAAGGCCACAUCAUUAAGUAUUACAUCAACCAAGCUGAGAGGGUACUAACGAGGGGUCAUCGAGUCGUUAAAGGGAUAACUAACGUUAUGACUAAAAGCUAGCUGAACAAGUCAUUCAAACCUUAAAGCUAACCUUUGAAAGGCUGAGAAUCGUUGAUAACAAUCACAGAACUGAUGAUAUUAGUUAAUUUGAUGAUGCUAAAUGGAACCUAGAAGUUUUACAUGCUCUACCAGAAGUUUUAUGUGUUGGGAAAGCUUCCUUAUGUAAUUUUGAUGAUUGUAAAACUAUCCUUAAUAGUAAUUUCUUUGUGAUAGUGUAGGUGGUUGGGGUAACCUUAAAAAGACCAUGAUGAUAUCAACAAUCUUCAAGAGUUCACUGAAGACCGAUGAAGAUAUCAAUAAGAGAAGAACAAGUCUAAUAUGGUGAGAAUUUCAUGAAGAUUCGGAGGUAUCAUGGUCAAUCUUUCAUCAACUUGAAGUCUCUGGAAUCUGACAUAUUCAACUUGAAUAACUGCUCACAAGUCAUUUCUCAUGGUUCAAUCAUGGACUGAAUUAACAGACUGAUAAUUAUGUGCACACAGUGAUAUUAAUUAAUGAAGAAUUGAUUGCCAUGCUAAUAUUAUGUCUUGGGAGACGUCGGUGAACAUGUUGUCUGAAGAUGACCAUUUGUGAAAAGGACUAUAGCCGUGGACAGGCUAAGGAAGCGACAAUAGGAGAAUUGGGAACAUCUCAGAGAACAAUUGACAGCUUUUCAGAGGAACAAUGGAUGUGACUAACGUUAACAGACUCCACUUUAAAUUAACAUUGUUGCUGCUGCUGGAACGGGUUGUAUGAACAAUUCUAACCUUGGCAACAAUUCCGGUCAAUCCCCAACUGCUCCUUGCUUCUCCAGAUCAAGGAGGCUAAAACGGUUGGACGAAAAAUAAAUAGAAACCAGUACUGUUCCUCUCCCUCUCUCUCUCUCUCUCUCUCUCUCUCUCUCUCUCUCUCUCUCUGAUAAUAUUGUACAUGCAUUUGUCGGAAAAAUCCCUGUGUAGCAUUUGUACUACUUUGUAAUCAUAUUAAAAGUGAUUGUAAAAGGGUAAUAAUCCAUAUGUAUCCAAAUAAUGUGAUCUAUCAUCUUAUAGGAAUAGUAUGUGCAGAUUAUAAGUUGAAUUGAAGAUUUUUAGUAGAAUCUAGCCAAUAUUUAGCUUGUUACCUUGGAAAGAGGAGGUAGGGGUAAGCCGAAUCUCUAUAAAUCUUUAUGCAAUCUUCUUUGUCUUAUCAUUAUUAUUUUUAUUAGUGCAUUAUUAAUAGUAGCUAGCUGCCAGUAAAAAUCAUUGAUUUGUUAUCAAUCAUUGUCAAAUUUGUUUAUUGUCUUCCGCAAGAGAAUUUAUUUGAAGUUUGAAAAUAACCUAUUCAUUCUCUUAAAAAAUAUUAUUGGCGCCAACAUUGUGUAUUAUGAAUUACACAAAGCUAGAGCACAAUCAUUUCAGCUAUAGUAGGGUGGAAGAAGAAAUUUAUUCCUACACGCCAAAUCACUAAGAGAAGGUAACUAUUGCAGUAUCUAUGAAGAGAUUUCCUUUCCCCCUCUUUUUUGGAGACUUGAUCAUUGAUUAGAGAGUCGCGACCAAUCCUUGAAUUCUGUUAAUGUGUGCUACAUUUACAUAUGCCUAUGAUACAACGAAGUUACUAAAGUUCUAAUCUGUAGUGCGGAGCUAGCAUUUGAUGCAUUAAACAUAUUAGGAGUGGAGAAAGUAGAAAGAACAAAAGAUUCAAAUAUUUGAAGUGCAUGCUUAGGAUAAUUUCUAAGGGUUAAUACCCCGAAAAAUCAAAAACUGGUACACAUAUAACAAAUUUACCAAAAACUAUUUUUUUUACUAUGAAAAACCCUAAACUGAUAUACUCGUGACAAGUUUAUCCCGGCUGACCAUAAAAAACCCUAAAUUUGUAUAUUUAUGACAAAUUUAUCCCAAACUAAUUUAAUUGACCGUCAAAAAUCCCAAAUUGAUACAUUUGUAACAAAUAUACCACAUGUUAAAUUGGAUUAACAUCACAAUAAAAUCACACAAAUUGUAAACUAUGCAAAUGGAAAAUAAAAUCCCAAGUUGGUAUACCAGUUAGCUAUCACGUGGUAUUUAAUUUAAUAAUUUGAUAGUAAAAUUUAACGGAAACUAACAAAGAGUAAAUUUGUCACGAGUGUACCAGUCUGAGGUAAAUUUAUAAAAUGUGUACUAGUUUAGGAUUUUUGGUAGUCAAAAAAUUAGUUUAGGGUAAAUUUGUCACAGAUAUACUAGUUUUAGAUUUUUCAGGAUAUUAACCGAAUUUCUAAAUUGGGGUACAAUAGUCCCCCUCCUGAUGGCCUUCAAAAUCCACAAUAGAGGAUGGUAGAAUUAAGUUUGGCCAAUUGCACGGGAACAAUACGCGAUGAAAGUACCAAUAUGUGUCAAUAAAACACCAAAUAUCAACAACUGAGAUUGUCUACUUUUUUGUUCACUAAAGGUGCGAAUAGUAACAUUUCUAUCCCGGGGAAUAAUUUCUCUUAAGAAAUAGCUACUUUUUAUUUAUAUUCUCUGAAACAAUUUUUGAGUAAAAUAUUGUGUUUGGUAACUAUACAAAAUUUAUAUUCUUAGAAUAUAAAAAGAAUAGGAUUGUGUUUGCUACGAUCCAUAAAUUUUUGUAUUUUUUUUUUCGUUUUUUCUUCUUGCUCACCGACCACCGAUCAUCGUGGGCCACCUACUACUGCUUGACCAUAGCCCACCAGCCGUUGAUUGCCACCAGUCAGCGACCAACGGGCUACGGUCAAGUGGCAGCAGGCGGCCCGCAACAGGCAACAGGAGGCAAGCAAUAGUCGGUCGGCGGCUGGUGGUCAGCGACAAUCUAGUGUCGGCAGUCGACGAGUAGCGAGCAACAGUGGUCGGUCGGCUCUAACGGAUGGUAGCAAGAGGCAAGUGGUGUCCGACGGUCUAAUGGCAAUCGGCGGUGUCCGCAGCUGACGACAAAUCCAAGGGUGACGACCGCAGCAAGGAAGAAGAAAAAUAGAAAAGAAAAAAAGAAAAAAAAGAUUAUUUCUAGAAAUUGUUUAUAGGAACAAAAAGUUACUUUUUUUCUACUUCUUGCUUCUCUUCCAAAUAUAUUCCCUAACUAUUUUUCUAUUCUUGGGAAUAGAAAAAUUAGUUGACUUUACUAAACGGAUUUAUUUUUUUAUUUUUUUUUGUUUCAGGAAACAAAAGAACAAAAAUUGUGAGAAAUAAAAACGUUAUCGUGCAGACCCUAAAUGAGAUUUCACUUUGCCUCUUUUCUUGCCCCAUGGUGAGGCAUUUGGAACAGAUUUAUCACAUGUCCUGCAUUUGUCCAAUAUUUAUUGGUUUAUUGAUCCGUAAUCCCCUUCUUCUUCUUUUUUUUGUGACCGAGAAACCAUCGGAGAUCACCCUUUGAGGAUGUAAUCCCUAAACUUCAUCUCUUAUUAUUUUAAAUUUCCCAAAAAAAAAAGAAAUAGAUAUAAUAUCUUAAAUAUAUUUUUAUAUGAUAAUUAUUUUAAUAGAAAUGGUGUAGUUUAUUUAACUCAAAUAAUAUAUAUAUAUAUAUAUAUAUAUAUAUAUAUAUAUAUAUAACUAAGAAUGAAGUAAAUUGUAUAGUUUAUUUAAUUCAGCAAAACUUCGCGUGUGUGUAUUUCAUUUAGUUUUAUAUCCACGUGAAACAAACAAGUUUUGAUUUCAAUCUUACAUGUCAAAUAAAGAUAAAACAAGGGAUACGAAGAGGAUAGCCACGAGUUCUAACUUAGCCAUUAUGAUUGAUUAAAAUGUCAUUCAGAAAAUAUGGUACUAAAUAAAGAAAUCCACGUGCUAUAAGCUGAAAAUAGAAUCUUUUUUGUGAAGAAUCUAACAAUACUUAAUUUUCUUUUCUCAUUUUCUGUGAUACGUUUAUUUAGUUAAGUUUAAGUUUGAACUUUCGAAACGCAUUCCGUAAGUGAUUUGGCAAUUGCUUUUACUUGGUAAUUUCUACGCAUCAUGGGUGACAACACAAAGUACUGUACAUGUUUAAAAAAUAGUUGACAUUACUAUGACAGUGAUCAUAUUUUAAGUACUUUGCACGGGUGAAGAAACUAGUUAAAAAUUUCCCACCCAAGUGCCACGCAAGUACCCAAUUACUUUUGAGAUAAUAUUGUGAAUUAUUCUUUUUCGAAUUCACUUUGGUGUAUCGUUUUAAGGAUAAGAUGAUGACCGUUUUACUUGGAGCGAAUAAAUUAAAAACCUAUAUAAUGGCAUAAAGUAAAAAGAAAAUACCAAAAGAGUCCUAAAUCUAUUACAAUUUUUUCAAUUGGGACCUAAACUUUUUUUUUAAAAUUAAUUCAAUUCUAAAUCUUUUGCAAUUAUAUCAAUUUAGUCUAUCCAGUCAAUUUUAGCUAACCAGCAUUGAUGUGAAUGCCGACCGAUAACAUGGAUGAUUCUUUAAUAAUAUUUUAUUUUUUCAAAUAUUUAUUAAUUGUUUCUUUUUUUUCCUUUUCCUUUUUUUUUUCCUCCUUCUUCCUCCUUCCUUUAACCAAUGGCAAGCGCCAACUCAUCCUCACCGACCACUAGCAAGGGCAAGCUUUGGCCAACGGCAAUGAGGCCCUAUCAGAUUUAGCGAGGCCACAACCUACCCAUGGUCAACGAGGGCAAGCCUCGCCUAACCACUAGUGGCCAUUGCCAAGGGCUGCAUCAGGUUACCACCAACCUAGUAAGUGGCCUAGGCAAGGUUGCCCAGCUAUGGCCAAGCUUCCCUGAGGCUAGUUUUUUUUUUUUUUGAACCGCCCUGAGGCUAGUUGGCAUUGUAGGAAAGAGGAGGAAGUGAAAAAAAGAGAAAAUAAGAAAAUAAUAAUUAAAAAUUAAAAAAAAUCGAAAAAAUUAAAUAAAAUAUUAUUAAAAAAUUGUCAACAUUAGCAUCAGCUAGAUGGCUGACCAAAAUUGUCAAGAUGGACUAAAUCGAUACUGUUACAAAAGUUUGGGAUUGAAUUGGUAAAAAAAAAAAAAAGGUCAUGACUAAAUUGGAAAAAUUGCCAUAGUUUAGGAUUUUUUCAAUAAUGUUCUCGAAAAGUAAAAGAGUGGUUCAACGUAUAAAAAAGAGAAUGGUGUUCUCAAAAACCAAAAUUGGUGUUGUCAAUUUGAAAUGUAAGAUGUGAGACAACUAACAUUUUCCAAAAUAUUCGUAUAUCUCUUACCCUAUCUCGGGUCUCGUGGAUCUAUUAUAUCAUCGGUUGGCCCCCAUGGGGUUCAAUAUGGAAACCCAUAACCAUUUUGAAUAGAGUGAUUCAAUAAGGACUGAAAGCAUUUGGCUAAUCACUGGAGAAGAUAAAAGGAGAACCGAAUGGAUCAGCUAUGCUUAGUGUUUGGUAGAAGUGGAUGGAAAGAAAAAGAAAACCGAAAUAAAUCGACUAUUGAUUUAAAUUACCCAAUUUAAUGAAGAAUAAUAACACUUUCCUUCACAAACUGCUUGAAAUUCAUUGCAGCAUGCAUUCCACCAAUCCAGUUAUACGUUGGGAGAUAACAGAGAGAUGGACAAAGGAGCCGAAGCCAACGAUCACAAAAAAUGUGCAUUCCCUCCAUUUCAUUACAAGGAUUCAGUAUGAAAUUUUAAUUUUCACCCGACGAUCACAAGCCCCAAUCUGCCCAACUUUGGUCCAAUAAUUCUGUAUUUUUCUUCCCCGAACUUAAAACUAUGAGACGAAGAGGAAGAUCGAAUCACUUCAGUGUUCCCGCCAUGCCCUCAGGGAUAAUACCUCAGAUGAUCAGACCAUUGGAAGCCCCUUUUCCAGUAACGCAAUGCUGCUCAAUGGGGGGAGUCUCAUCCAAACCAGCUUCCAUGGCAUCCGUGCGUGAAUUCGCCAACUAUCCAUCAUAAGUCACAAACUGAGAUCACCGCUCAAUGACACGCCUUCGGUUUCUGAAGUCAUCAGAAUCGCCGCUCCCGUCAUCCUUGUAUUUGUCAAACCUUCCACUCUGGUUGUUCUCGAAUUUCCCUGCUCUGGGACUCUUGUAAUUCCUCGAGCCAUCCAAUCUUUGAUCAUUCCUCUGCCCCCUAAACUCAUCAGCUCGAGGUCCUCUACUUUUGAUACCACCAUGUGCCCCUCUUGACGGCCUAUCAAAGUCAUCAUCCGAGAAGUUGUUCCUAUUACUACGCAGGCCACGCCCAUCAAAUUUGCCCCCUCUUCUAUUUGGUUCUGUGCCUUUUCUUCCGAACUUGGUUCUAUGAGAACUGGUAUAAUCAUCUGAUUUGAAGCCAGAAAGGUGAGAAUUCCUCUGACGUCCUACUUUAUCAGAAAAUUUACCCGCUUUACCUCUCCACAUCCGAAAGUCCUCAUCCGAAUCAUCAGCUGAAUCUGAAUAUAGCCCGGCUUCUUCAUCUGAGCCAUAGCUCAAUCCCCUGUAUUUACCUGGAGGACUUCUACCUUUGCCUCUAUUUCUAGUAUCCGCAACAUGACUAGAUCUCCAGUUAGGACGGACCGAAGUCUCGUCCUCAGAAUCAAAAUCAACUUCAUCAUCAUAUGAACCUGGAACAGAGCGCCCGCGACGUAAAGGUUUCCAUGGCCUAUUGGGAGAGAGCGACCUUGCUUUUUCUUAAGCAAGUGAUUUACGGCGCGUUUGAUAAUGAUUCUGUUCUCGGGAACAAAUUCUGAUCAGAAAUGAUUAUUUUUUAUUCUGUUAUCGGGAACUGAUUCUAAGUAAAAGAACGCGUUUAGUAAUUAUACAAAAUUUUUUAUUCUGAAAUAGAAUUGUGUUUAGUACCGUGUUCAUUGAUUCUAUUCCAAAUCAAUUUCUUUUAAUUUUUAAAUAAUUUUUAUAAUUUUUUUCUUUUUUCCCUUAUUUUUCUUUUUUCUCCUAUUCUUCCGAUCGCCUGACCAACGACUGGUCAGAUGAGGGCCGACGACCUCACCAGAGUGUCGCCGGCCGAGCCUCACCGACAGCUGGGCGAGGCUCGCCCAUCCUCGCCGAGGCUGGGCAAGGCCCGCUUGGCCACCGGCAAGGCUGGGCGAGCCUCACCGAGGCUAGGCGGGCCUCGCCCAACCCCGAUGAGGCCGGCCUAGCCACCGGCGACUAGUGGCAGUGGAUGGCGGUGACCAACGGUGGCGAGCGGCAGCAAGCGGUGGUCGUGGGAUGGCAGUCGAUAAAGAAGAAGAAAAGAGAAGAAGAGUAGUUUUGAUUCUCAAUUCUGAUUCUAGAACAAGAAUCACAUUUUUUUUUUAUUCUUGAUUUUACUAUCAAUUUGUUCCCAGGAACAAAAAAUUUGUCGAACGCGAUUCUAGGCCCAAACUGAUUCUGGAAACAAAAAAUCAGAAUUUGGCCCUGUUUAGAUAAAUACCAAACAGAGCCUUCUUGUCCAAGUUUCCAUCUUCAGACCCAAAGUCCCCUUCAAACUCAGAAAAAUCUAUCGAUAACCCAUUCCUAACCGAUUGAUCAUUCCGUGCGUCUAGCUCGUAACUGUCCACGUCAUCUUCCUCAUCAUCAAAAUCAUCAAAACCGGUACCGUGAUCGGAAUCAGAAUAUUCUCUGUUACCAACUCUCGGGAAUUUAUUAUUCCGGUGAAAAUGUCUUCAAACCCUCGAUGAUUCCUUCCCUCCUCCUGGCUAUGUAAAGGAGAAUCUUCUCCCUCCGUUGACGAGUCUGCAUACUUAAAAGCAGCUACAUCUGCUCCAUCAGAUUCAUCAUCAUCAAAGUCAAAGUUCCAUGCAUUAGAGACCUCUGGGCGGCUGGCAGUCCUUUCCAACCUAGUCCUUGGAUUCUGAUGUCCUUCCUGCAAUUUGUCUUCCAUGAACUGGUCAGGUGAGCGCUUGCAAUCGCAAUGGAAGCAGGCCGUAUUUCUCCGGUAGUUUAAGAAGUUGCACCUACCAGAAAACAUGGACCAGGAUCAGUAUGAGCUAUGUAACAUGCACAAUUAGUAUGGGCCUUUCAUUUGUAAAAUUAGAAGUACAGAGGCACAUCUGCCUGCCUCUUUGUACACAAUGAAGAUUCUUCAACACUUCACUCAUUAAAUUUACAACAAUAUAAUGAAUAAAAGUUACUGAAGUAAUGAAGAAUUAUUGCAACAUUAAAAGGGCGGGCAAUUUCCACAACUACUAAAGAACUAGCAUGUAAACAACUUAAAAUUGCAUGCUCGAUGAUGCGACAAUAAGGCUCCAACAACGUUGGCAUCAUCAACGGGGAAAAAAUAGAAAAAAGUCCAAGCUCGGGAAGAGACGGGGUCUGGGACCACGACAUAAAACAUAUAAUGAGUGAAUUAUCACUGCAAUAUUAAAAGGGUGGCGCAAUUUGCACUAGUAAAGAACUGGCAUGUAAAUAUGAGGACUUAAAAUUGCAUAACAGAUGAGGUAACUGUCCUAGAAUGCUGGUACCAUCAAUGCAGAAUACACGAGCUAAAAAUUUGAGGAUAAUCUCAGAGUUUUGAAGACUUACUCUGGGCAUUCCCAUUCUCCUGGAAGCAGCUGUCUCUUUGGAUGCUUUGCAUCACACUGUAGGCGCACUGUAGGCACACUGUAUUCUUUGCUAAAUUCAUGAAGUCACACCUGCAACCAUAUUACAGUUUUUUAUGCAUAUAAGAAACAUAAUCAGACAGAAAGGUAAGAAAGAUUUAAUUUUUUUCUAAAUUGUAAUUAUCCAGCAUCGUUCAGCUCUUCAGACACUGUAAGCUCUGUGUAGAUUAGUCCAUAGGAAUCUCACGGGAUCGAAAAUUAAAAUGUGAAUAAAAAGUGCUAGAAAUGGCUUUAAUUUAAAUUUAGUGGAAAUCACACCAGGUGUCCGAGUAUUUUAUAUUAUGCAUAUGAGCGUCAUAAAGAAGUUCUCUGCAAAGUCUAUUGAAAUUGUGUCUAAUUAAGAAGAAAUCCUAAAUGGUAAUGCGAGUGUAAGAAACAAGCAAAGAAUCAUACUUAGGACAUAACCAGUCUCCUUUCUUCAUUUCUAUAUCAUCCCGUCCAACCCGUCUCUUUGGAGUUGGUGGAGGUUGUUUGACCUUCGGUGGAGGCCUUUUAAUGACUGGAGGGGGAAGGCUUGGAUCAAUAGGAACUGUACUCAACUUAACAAUCUCAUGAAGCAACUUGCCGACAACAAUUUUCAGAGAUUUUUGCUUCAGAAGAGGUUUAUUUGUCACUACGCCAUGGGCAUGAUCAAGACCGAAUGUAGAUAGAACUCGCAUUACAUCAAUCGUACGUGCCUUGUCCUCUUUGUUGGUCAAAAGAUAAGCCUUUUCACAGGAGCUCCUCAGUUUGCAGGAACUACAAACCUGCAAACCAAUCAGUUAUAUCCAGAGGACAUAGAAAUUAAAGAAAGAAAAACUCGCUUGCAAGCAAUUGAACAUGGAGGAGAAGUAAUUUGGCUGAAAAAUAAUAAGAAAAUAGAUACUCAAAAGUAGAAAGAGAGGACAGAUAUGCAUUCUUGCAUAGCUAUUCUCAUAUACAGGCAGCAAAAGCAGCAUGGUGAACAUUUAGAUUUGAAGGGUCAACCUAGAAGAAGAAGAUAUGAUAAAGCCUGUUCAUUAAAAGCAAAGAUAUAUUGCCCAAAAUAAAUAUUUGUCAAAUAGGAAAAAAAACAGUCAUACCCAAAUUUAGAAGAAUUAACAAGUAAAAGAUGCAACUCUUACAUCUCCUUCAUCGAGGUGCACAUGCUUUCUCAAUAGUUUGGCAGCCAUAACCACCUUCUUGUCAGCAGUAGGGCAUCCAUAACCAACAAGAAUUUGAAUGUCCUGUCUCGACAAUGACCUGACAUCAAUUUUACCUCAGCCAAUUUUAAACAAGGUGCCAUCAUAUGCGAAACUUCAGUGCAAAGGCAGUCAAUCAUCUCAACCCUACUCGCUAAUACAAGUCAAGAUCAUGAAAGAUCCAACUUCAAUUGGCUUGAGUGUCAACUUCGUCUGUGCUCAUCUUAUUCUUCUUAUGAAAGGGAAACUAAACAUAAAACCAUUUAAAAGGAUCAUCCCUGAACGAAGAAAAUGAUUAUUCAUCUAUUGUACUUCUAUUAGAAUGAAAAUCAAGCCAGAGACCUGAUGUAAGCCUUUUCUCUAGAUAUUCACACUCAUGUCCACAUCGAAAUGAUUUUUUUAAAUGGACUCAGGAAGCGCAGUAUGAAUACAUCAAGUGAAAUGUGCUUCAAUUUCUAAUGGGAAAACUCAACCAUGCAGCAGUCUAGCUAACCAGCAUCCACCAGCUCUUCCUUAUUUACAAAUUAGAAAUCUCAAACUUCAUUAGCUAGAAAGGAUACUGAUAUAUUUCCUAGAUCUUAUCUUAACCAUUCCUCAUGUAAAAAGAAAAGUGGACUGCCUUACCGACUCUACUUGGCCAUUAAACCCUCAAGUCAAGAAACCUCUAGAUAUACUCACCAGCAACAAACUUAAAUUGCACACUUUCAAAGUUCUCAUUUAACCUCUAUUUUAACCAAACAUUCUGGUUACUACUACACAAACAAAACCAUUCUAAUGCAGACAAAUCGUAGUAGCUGCAUAUUCAUUGACAGCAGCAGAUAAAACCAGAUGUUCGAACAAACUCAAAUUCUGCCCUCAAGCUAAAUAGUCUACACAGGACACAUUUCACUACAAAACCACAGCAAUAUGAUGUGUCCCAACAAUGUCAAUCAACAAGCAAAGCAUGAGAAGAAAAAAUCAAAACUAACCAGCAUAAACAUUAUGUUAUAAUUACUUUCAGUCAUUUUACUUCUAUUCAAAAUGACCCACAGUUGGGUCGAGUUGUCAUCUCACUGAGCUUUCACUGAAAACUACGAAAACCUACAUGCCAUGCCACCGUAUACAUAAAAGAAAACUUCAUUAGUCUUCCUUAUUUACACAAACCGAAAUUGGCAAAGUUAUCACAAUUACCCAAUUGUUAUGGGUAAAAAUGUCAAAAAAAAAAAUUAUUUGCAUGACUUGUUUUACGAAUAAAUUGUGGGUAACUUACCAACAAGUUUACAAAAUUACCCAAUUUUUAUGACAAACUUGAAAAAUGACAACAUCAGUGCUACAACUUUGUAUUACACAUGCCUUGAUGCUAAAACUUUUGAAAAAGAUCAUUUAUAUGCCACAUUGCUUGAAAAGAUUGCUUUUAAGUGAUUAAAUUGACUUAGAUGCCUUGCUGGAAUCGCUUAAAUGAACAUUGUUUAUAAAUUUUGGCAAUAAAUUGAUCAUGUAUAAAAGCUUUAAUAUUAUAAAUUAGACAAAAAGGUGAAGUGAGCCAAAAGCGAAAUUCCCAAAGCAAAUAUUAUUUUUCUUUUUAUUGUUUAGACUCAAAAGCAACAUCAUUAAGUAAACACUCUCUCCGAAUAAUUUCAUUUUAAAUCGUAAAGAUAUAUUAGUUAUCAUCAAAAAGAAAGAAAGGGAAGUAAAAUUUUCCUCACCCCUCGUAUCUUUGCAUCUGUUUCUACUCUGACCUUGCUCUCUUUCGAGAUUGAACCAAAAGAGCUUGGAGCCUUGUGGAAAUGAACUGCUUCUGUUUGAUGAAUUGCUAUGGAGCCAAUUUAACCCCAAAUUCUCACUUUAUGAAAGAUCGAUGCAUUUAAUGACGUUAUUCGGUACAUAUAUUACACACCGGCAUAAUUUUAAGAUAUUUUUCGUGAAAAUCUUAAGAAUCACACAGUAGUCCAGAGUAAUCAAUGAAGAUUCAAGACCAAGUGCUCAACCUCAAAAUUAAAAACUACAUGGGCAAGUUUCUGAACUUAAGGCCAGGUAACAAAGAAGGUCCCCGGAUCGAGCACUCUCCCUUCUUUCGUGCUUAACCAGGAAGAAAAUAACUCCUUUUGAUUCACUAGAAGUGCGAUGCAUGAGAGUUCCGCAUAAUUUAUCAUAAGCAAAGAAAAACAGUCAUAAAUCCAACAUUGGCCAUUAUCCCGUGGACUUCUCAUGGCGCUCUUCCAGGAUUGAGCGAGGACCAAUGGAAAAAUCACAUCUAAUAAAUUCAAAGCGUAAAAGCCGUCGCAAACAGUUUGCGAAUGCCAUCGAAGCGGGAGAGAUCCCGGUCGAUAAAAGACCCGAAGAUUACGGAAGAAUAAAUCCGAACCCUCUCCAGAGUUCGUACCGCUCUUCGAUUAUUAGCAGCCUUGUACUUUUCAGCCUGCACCAGUACGAAAAUGAAUAAUUUACCUACUCAAACAAGAGAGACCAGACUUCGACCAAAAAAAAAAAAAAAUUAGAGAGACCAGACAAAACAGAACCCAGAAAUUUACAUGCACUAAGCACAACGAACGACCACAAUUAAUCAUGGAAUUCUCAUAGGUCAUCAGCAGAUUGCAUAUUUUCGUUCCACAAGACGCCGAAAAGUAUGCAGGCAAUUUCGCAGUACGAAGCUCACUCAGCUCCUUCAAAUUGAUCGAUUCGCGCAACGUACCAAUCCACAGUGGAACCAGCAUUUCUCGGCAACUAAAACGGACUACAUAGGCACAACUGAAAUAUCUUCCAAUUUUUCCGCUCUCAAAUUUAAAAUAUCCAAGAAACGACGAGAUCAUGGGUCCGUUUGAUUCGGCUUUGAGGAAAUGCCCUUGGGAGAAUGCAAAUACCUUUGAAGUAAAUGGGUUUUCCGAAAUACUAGACUGUUUGGUAAAUUAUAACUGAAAAGUGUUUUAGGGAAAUGCAAAACUAUUUGGUAAACAUAUAUUUGAAAAACUGUUUAGUGUAACCAAAUUAAGUUUUUUAGUUUUAGUAUUUUUAAAAUUGCAAAAAAGAAAUAAUAACUAUAUAACCUUUUACAUUUUCAUGCUGAGAGUAAUGUAAAAGAUAUAUAUUAAUAAAUUUAUUUAAAAAUUAUAUUAAAAUAAUUUGAUUAUAAAUUAGAUGCAAAGUUCAACUUUUGACAUAGGGUUCUUUUAAGUUUGUUUUCAACUUUGAAUAUUUUUUUAAUUAUUGUAGUAUUAAUCAUAUUCGUUAAUUAAUUAUCAUUCUAGUGUAUUGAUAAAAGUUGGGCUAUUGAUUGUAAAAAUAUUAAAAUGACAAAAAAAAAAAAAGGCGAACUCGACAUUUGUAAAGAGUUUUUAUUUUUUUUUUAAAUAUAAAAAUAAAAUCCGAUGAAACUCCGUCGCCGAUCAAUGACGAUUGGGGUGUGGGAAAGAUGAUUGGUUUAAAGAAAAAAAAAAAGAAAAAAAAGGCACAGAUGAAUAGUAAAGGUAGACUUGCAUUUCAAAGGCCAGACCAAUGACACUUCUAAAUGCUGAACCAAAUACCUAAAUUUUUUUCGAAUAAGCUUUCGAGACUGAAAGCCCUCUUUGAAAUACUGAACCAAAUAAGGCCCAUGAGGAGUGAAUACCCACCCAAUUUGCUUGCUCUUUGGUAGGAGCUGGCGUAGUUAUGCCACGUGCACACGCACGACAAAAUUAAGCAAAAUCAGUUCACUUAAUUGGGUCCGGCCUCGACAUAAAGAUCGUCUGGUAUGCAAAGAAGACCUAAGUUUUCGUAUUCCACGACCACCUGGUCAGCUACGGUUAUGAAAUACGAAUAUCUAUUUUAUUUGUUCUUCUCGGCCGUAAUUUAACCUAUUAUAUAUAGUUCAAAGCUGAGCUGAAAAAAUAUUCGCCCCCGCAUUAGCUCCGCGUCAUGUGUUGCCAUAUGACAUGACACUUGGCAUCGGUUCCUCAUGCGGCCCCACGUAUUGACAUCGGGAAAAAACGUGGAACCCCAUUCAUUUUAUUACGAGGAUUUAGUAUAACAUUUAAUUUUCAGAAAGGCAAUAAAUAAAAAAAAAUUAAUCAUACAUGCGACGAUCUCGAGCCUCGUCGUGCCCGAUCUUGGUACAAAAAACUCUAAUUCUUUUCUCCUCAAAUUAAAUCACGAGCCCAAGAGGAGGCAAGAUGGAAUCACUUUUACUGUUUCCCCCCCGUGCUCUCAAGAGAUGAUGCCUUAGAUCAGCAGACGAUUACAAAGGCCCUGUUCCGGUAAGCGUACGUGAAUUUGCUCGAAUUUUGUCAUAAGCAGCGAACUGAGAUCAUCGCUCGAUUACACGCCUUCGGUUUUUGAAGUCAUCAGAACCGCCGCCGCCCCCGUCAUCCUGUAUUUGUUAAACCUUCCGCGCUGGUUGCUCUCGAAUUUCCCUGCUCCGGGACCUUUGUAACUCCUCGAACCAUCCGACCUUCGAUCAUUCCUCCGCCCGCCGAACUCAUCCGACCUUCGAUCAUUCCUCCGCCCACCGAACUCAUCCGCUCGAGCUCCUCUACUUUUGAUACCUCCGCGCGCCCCUCUCGACGGCCUAUCGAAGUCGUCAUCCGAAAAGUUGUUCCUACUACUACGCGAGCCACGCCCAUCAAAUUUGCCCCCUCUUCUAUUUGGUACUGUUUCUUUUCUUCCGAACUUGGUUCCACGAGAACUGGCAUAAUCAUCUGAUUCGAAGUCAUCAUCCGAAAAGUUGUUCCCACUACUACGCGAGCCACGCCCAUCCAAUUUGCCCCCUCUUCUAUUUGGUUCUGUUCCUCUUCUUCCGAACUUGGUUCCGCGAGAACUGGCAUAAUCAUCUGAUUCGGAGCCUGAAUGGUGGAAAUUACUCCGACGGCCUGCUUUAUCAGAAAAUUUACCCGCUUUACUUCUCCGAGUCCGCAAGUCCUCAUCCGAAUCACCCGCUGAAUCUGAAUACAGCCCGGCUUCUUCAUCUGAGCCAUAGCUCAAUCCCCUGGAUUUACCUGGAGGACUUCUACCUCUGCCUCCAUUUCUAGAAUCCGCUACAUGACUAGAUCUCCAGUUAGGACGGACCGAAGUCUCGUCCUCCGAAUCAAAAUCAACUUCAUCAUCAUAUGAACCUGGAACAGAGCGCCCGCGGCGUAAAGGUUUCGACGGCCUUUUGCGACAGAGCGACUUUGCUUCCUCUCGAGCAAAUGAUUUAAUGUCUAAGAUUCCGUCUUCAGACCCAGAGUCCCCUUCAACCUCAGAAAAAUCUAUCGAUGGCCCAUUCCUAACCGAUGAAUUAUUCCGUGUAUCUAGCUCGUAACUGUCCACGUUAUCUUCCUCAUCAUCAAAAUCAUCAAAANNNNNNNNNNNNNNNNNNNNNNNNNNNNNNNNNNNNNNNNNNNNNNNNNNNNNNNNNNNNNNNNNNNNNNNNNNNNNNNNNNNNNNNNNNNNNNNNNNNNNNNNNNNNNNNNNNNNNNNNNNNNNNNNNNNNNNNNNNNNNNNNNNNNNNNNNNNNNNNNNNNNNNNNNNNNNNNNNNNNNNNNNNNNNNNNNNNNNNNNNNNNNNNNNNNNNNNNNNNNNNNNNNNNNNNNNNNNNNNNNNNNNNNNNNNNNNNNNNNNNNNNNNNNNNNNNNNNNNNNNNNNNNNNNNNNNNNNNNNNNNNNNNNNNNNNNNNNNNNNNNNNNNNNNNNNNNNNNNNNNNNNNNNNNNNNNNNNNNNNNNNNNNNNNNNNNNNNNNNNNNNNNNNNNNNNNNNNNNNNNNNNNNNNNNNNNNNNNNNNNNNNNNNNNNNNNNNNNNNNNNNNNNNNNNNNNNNNNNNNNNNNNNNNNNNNNNNNNNNNNNNNNNNNNNNNNNNNNNNNNNNNNNNNNNNNNNNNNNNNNNNNNNNNNNNNNNNNNNNNNNNNNNNNNNNNNNNNNNNNNNNNNNNNNNNNNNNNNNNNNNNNNNNNNNNNNNNNNNNNNNNNNNNNNNNNNNNNNNNNNNNNNNNNNNNNNNNNNNNNNNNNNNNNNNNNNNNNNNNNNNNNNNNNNNNNNNNNNNNNNNNNNNNNNNNNNNNNNNNNNNNNNNNNNNNNNNNNNNNNNNNNNNNNNNNNNNNNNNNNNNNNNNNNNNNNNNNNNNNNNNNNNNNNNNNNNNNNNNNNNNNNNNNNNNNNNNNNNNNNNNNNNNNNNNNNNNNNNNNNNNNNNNNNNNNNNNNNNNNNNNNNNNNNNNNNNNNNNNNNNNNNNNNNNNNNNNNNNNNNNNNNNNNNNNNNNNNNNNNNNNNNNNNNNNNNNNNNNNNNNNNNNNNNNNNNNNNNNNNNNNNNNNNNNNNNNNNNNNNNNNNNNNNNNNNNNNNNNNNNNNNNNNNNNNNNNNNNNNNNNNNNNNNNNNNNNNNNNNNNNNNNNNNNNNNNNNNNNNNNNNNNNNNNNNNNNNNNNNNNNNNNNNNNNNNNNNNNNNNNAGCUGUAGCCGUACACACUACUUUAGCUAACUUUUAAAUGAAAUCGCAAUCCAUUUGUUCGCCAGAAUCUGCCAAAAGUGAAUCUCCAUCGAAAAUGCAGCGCCAAAGCAUGUCAUUUGCAAACUUUUAAAGUAUACCAUGCAAGAAUAUCAUUACGCCGCCAACACAAUUCGCAGUAUUGCUCACAAUCAACACAGCAAAAGGGACAGAAACUCCAUUACCUGAACGGAGUACUUCACGGCGAGGCUCGCGACGCUAUCGCCGCGCUUAAUCCGGUGCGAGAUCGCGAACUUCCCUAUGCCGGUAUCCCUCCAGAAGCUACCCGAGCUCGGGACGCCGACCACCUCCUUCAACCUCCAGGGGGCCGCGAAGGCUCGGGUGACCAUGUCGCGAUCGGAGGCGACGGAGCUCCAGAUGCGGCAGACGCAGCUCGCGCGGGCCAGGUCCGGGACGGGGAGCUUCUCGAAGAUGAGCCGGAGGGUGUCGUGGCAGGCGAGGGCGGAGAAGUGGGAGUUCAUCGGCGAGAUGGUGGAAUCGUCGGCAGCGGAGGCGGAGGAGGAGGCGGAGGAGGCGGCGGCGGCGGCGGCGGCGGUGGAGGACGGCAGCGGAGAGAGAUCGGGGGUCCGGGGUGGAUGCUCCCGGUCGUCGUCGUCGUCGUCGCCGCAGCAGACCAUUUAGAGAGAGAGAGAGAGAUGGAAAUGUCUAUGGAGUCGGUUUUGAUGGUUUUGGAUUUUUGGUUUUGAAUGGUGGAUAGUAGGUGCCUGAAAUAUCGUUGAAUUAAGGUUUUUCCCCCCGUGUUAUGGAAUUUAUUACAACUUGCCCCUGACUUUUCGAUUUUUUGCGAUGUCUCCCCUAAAAUUUGAAAUCGGUUGCAAUGUCGGACUGGGGUGACUUCCAUUACUUUUCAGUUUGAGCACCGACCGUGUGCUUGUCACGUGACUGAGAUCUUUCAGGGAAGGUAAACCCGUCAGAUGAUAACGGAAGAAGUAUACUAUAUGUGCCAUAAGUUAUGUAUGGCAUUCACUUUGAUGCCAAAAGUUUCCGUCGAAUUACUUAAGUGCCAAAUCGGAGGAAAAACGAUCACUUUGGUGUCACCGCUGAAAGAUUCCAGCCAAAAUGAUUAUGUGGCUUUUUAAAAUAAAAUAAAAAAAUCGACAAAGCCUUAAACGACGUCGUUUUCGGUCCUCCUUAAGAAAACGACGUCAUUUUGUCGUCCUACAUGGAUGGCCUCACAGAAACGACGUCAUUUAACUCAUUUUGGGAUUUUUUUUUUUCGGAUUGAAAUUAGGGUUUUUUGUCCGCCAUUGCUCAGCCACCGUCGCUCGACCGCCGUCCCUCGGCCACUGUCGCUUGGCCGCCAUCCCUCGACCUCCAUCAUAGUUGCUUGCCACAGCAAGACAAAAGAAAAAAAAAACGAACAGAAAAUCCCAAGGGAGAGGGAGGUGUCAACGGUGAGGGUGGAGGAGGGAAUGGCGGGGCCAUGGCCGCCACCGUCAUUGCAGCUAGCUUCGCCGACGACUUCCAUGGCGUUCCAGAUCUUCGUAGCUACCAUUAGCCAGAUUGCUCGUGCUUCUAGAGAUUCUUCAAGCUUGCGCUUCCUUUGCACCCGACGGUAUUAUUUGGGAAAAGGCAGUGGAGGGGCUGAGAUUCGGGGAUUUGAAAGGUCGACAAGGUGAUUGAAAAUGGGGGAAAACUAUUGGGGGAGGGCAAAGGCGAGUGUGUGAUUUCUUUUCUGGAAAACUCCUAGUGUUGUGUUGGUGCGCUGCUGGUGUUGCUGGUGCUAUUCUUUGGUGCUAGUAGUGUUGUUCUUCGGGGAAGAACCAGUCUUCAAGGAAGAAGACAACACAAAACGGCGUCGUUUUGUUGUUUAAAUGCUGAUUAUACUCUCCGACAAGCCACAUCAGCUUAAAAAAUUAAUAAAAAAGUGCCACGUCGAAUUUCCGGCCAAUCGGAUUGGAGUUUUUGAAACCCUUCACCUCUGGGCUGAAAAUCAGCAGGGCCUUAUCCAGCAGAGCCAUCGCGACUGGUGGUUCUCUUCCACUUUUUAUUAGCUAUAGAAAUAAUAAAAUCAUUUCCUUUGGUUUAUAAAUAUAUUGCUCACACAAAAACUUCAUGAAAGGAAGUAGUUAUACCAAUUUGGUAUUUUUUUUAUAAUAUAACUAGACACAUCAUCAUGUUGCAUGAAAAUCUGAUAAUAUAAUGUUCGUAUCAUGUUCCUAUAGAUUGAUGUUAGUGCUAAACUAUCGUGUCUUUUAUUUAACAAUUAAAAUGAUUGACCUACUGAGUAAUCACUUUAAUAUGUGCUAACAAACAAGUUCUACAAGUUCUAUUGUCUCUUGCAAUGUUUAGGACUUCUAUUUGCAUUUCUUAAUUUGCUUUUGACUUACCCUCAAUAAUAAAUUUCGCAUUUGUAGAAAUGAUACACAAAUCUUUUAGUUGAUUACAUAUGCCUUUGAAAGUUUGGACGAAGUUUGGAGGCUGUAAUCAAAAUCAAAUGCGAAAUUUAUUAUUGAUUAAUUAUUUUAAAAGUAUGGGUUAAAUUUGUAAAAAUGUAGAAAACAUAGGCCCCUUGUGAAAAUUGGCCCGAGCCAACACUAGGGGGAGGCUUUGCAACCAAUUUCAAGACUUGAGGGAGCAUUGCGAAAAUUGAGAAGUCAUGGGGCGAUUUGCAACAAGUGCCAAGAUCUAGAGGGACGGGGUGUAAUCCAUUCCUCAAAUUCCGAUGCCGCGAAACACUUUUUCUUUGCAAUUUUUUUUUCUCAUUUCUAGUUUGUGGAGUUCUUCUUCUGCACAUAAUGAGAAAAAUACGCACGCGAAAUAGUUUUCGAUGAUGAUGACCAUAUUUUGAAUCACUUGUCGCCGGAUUUUAACCGUUUUGCCUAUACAAAAAGGCAAAAAUAUGAUUCGUUCACAUGUCUAUUGAUUUUGAUUUUAAAGAAGAUACACUAUGACAACUAAACAAAAUAUAAUGUUGGCCUAUGUUUGAUAACGUCGACUCAUCUUUGCUUAAAGUAUCAUGAAACUGGCAAGCUCUCUUUUUGAGUUUAAGUGUAACGUAACUUCAUGGAAGGAAAUCAUACUACUGGCUAGCUUUUUAAUCUUGGGAUCAAUAAAUGUUUAGAUGCUAGGUUCUUUUCACUUCAUUCUGGAGAGUAACUUCAUGUUUUAUUACUAAAAACCAGAAAAAAGAAAAAAGAAAAAAAGGAAUAGUAGGCUCUAGACAUUAAUAUUUUGUAUCUGGCUUUACCCUUACUUUCAUACAAAAAAUAAAUAAAUAAGAUUUAAUUAGCACGGGUGCUAUGAAAGUUAUUACCAUGUGGGCAAAAUCGGCACUACUACUAAGGCUGCGUUUGGCAGUCGGGAUAAAAUUCAGGAUAGGAUAUAAUUUAUCAUAUCCUACGUUUGGUGCUCACUCGGGAUAAGAUAAAGUCGGAUAUAAGGGGGAUAUAGACAGGAUAAAAUUAUCCCAUGGGGGAGGUGGGAUAAAGGUGGAUAGGAUUUCUAACGUCUAUAAUAGGAAAGUUAUUUUUCUUGAAUAACAAAUUUAUUAAAUUAACAAAAUUGAAAUUAUAUUUCAAUAUAAAUAAUAUUUGAAUUCUAAUUUAAGAAAAUAAAAAAAAAUAAAAAAUUAUUUUUAAUUAAUCUUAUUUUAAUUCUAUUUUAUAAUAAACAUUCAAUCUAUAAAAUUAAAUAUUUAUAUUUAUUAUAUAUUUUAGGUAUUUUUUUAUUUUAAAUAUGUUAGUACAGUUUACUAUUUGAUAAUUUUUUAUUAAAGAAUGAUGAAAGGGAAAAAAGAAAUAAUAAUGAAAAUAAUAUAAAAAAAGAGGAAAAAUAAAAUAAAUAAUAAAUAAAUUAAGGAAUAGUGUUACAAGAUAUUUUCACCAUAUUCAUUUAUAAACAUUUAGGUUCAUUUAUAAUGAUAUGCCGUUUAUAUAUAAUAAAAAAAAAAUAUACAUGAUAUGAACAUAUCCGACUUUAAUACUGUGAUUCACCAAACACUGGACGGGAUAUAAAAAAAUCCAGGAUUUCAUAUCCUAUCCUAUCCAAUCCUAUCCCGAUUAGAAAUCCGGACGACCAAACGUAGCCUAAAGGUCUGUUUGGCUGCACAUGUUCUGUUCCCAGGAACAGAAAUUUCUGUUUUUUUGUUCUUUUGUUCCCAGGAACAAAAAGAAACNNNNNNNNNNNNNNNNNNNNNNNNNNNNNNNNNNNNNNNNNNNNNNNNNNNNNNNNNNNNNNNNNNNNNNNNNNNNNNNNNNNNNNNNNNNNNNNNNNNNNNNNNNNNNNNNNNNNNNNNNNNNNNNNNNNNNNNNNNNNNNNNNNNNNNNNNNNNNNNNNNNNNNNNNNNNNNNNNNNNNNNNNNNNNNNNNNNNNNNNNNNNNNNNNNNNNNNNNNNNNNNNNNNNNNNNNNNNNNNNNNNNNNNNNNNNNNNNNNNNNNNNNNNNNNNNNNNNNNNNNNNNNNNNNNAAAAAAUAAAGAAUAAAAAAAUUAUCCAAAUUUACUAAACAUGUUUCUGUUUAUUUUUUAUUCCCGGAACAAGUUUACCAAACGCGUAUUUUUGUUCAAAAAUUGUUCCCCGGGAACAGAAAUACUUUUUUCUAUUUCUGUUCCCUGGAACAAUUUUUAAACAGAAACACAACCAAACGCGCCAUAAGCUUCUUUGUUUGGUGUCUUCCGCAGGAACCAAAUUUUCUUCUGUGUUGGCAAAAACUAAACUAUUCUUUAACAAUAACGAUCGUAUCGAUCACAGUAUAUGCAGAGGUUGAUUGAAUUAAACGGAUUGAAAUCUUAAUAGAAAUCGAUUGAAACUUUUACUCUAUAUAGAUUAGAGUGAAAAUAGAAGUUGCAGCUCCCUACACUUAGAUCUCCACCUAUCGUUAGAUCAAAUUUGAACUAGGAUGGAAUGAACAACUUAUGAGCAUUAGUGUGGUUUCACGUACAGUUCCAUGAAAGAAAAUGCAAAAUCUGUAAAUGUAUCUCUCAUGGAUAAUUUACUUGGAAUUAGAUCCUAAAAACUGGUGAGGCUUUGAUAAAUCACGUCUUACACUAUAUAGGAGUAAAUAUACUUGUUGAUAAUAAUUGGGGCUAGGUAGAGAGAGAUUUGCGAGAAUGACAAAAGAUAGAUUCGUGUAGCCUUUAAUAGAACUUCAUGAGCAUUGACGGAUUGAUUGAGUGAUUAAACGUUUGAUUUGGAUGCAAUAGAUUUCAUAUUCAAAUGGUAACCUCAGAGGCCAUACCUGUAAUCUAAUACACAUAGAAGUGGUGGUUUGCAUUCAUAUGUGGGAUCAAUUGAGCCAAAAGGGUUGGAUAUCACGUUUUUAUAAAAAAAAAUCAUAAGAAAAUUUUAGACCACUGUCCAACUAUCUUUAAUUCUUAAUUGAUAUGGUAUGGUAAGCACUUGGUUAAGAAGAAUUCCAGGGCAGACGACUCCUACAUUUUGCGCUUUAGAUCUGGAUUGUGCAAGCAAGAACUCAUGCAAACUAACUCGCCUUAAGUUAGCGAUGGUUUACUUGAUACUACGCCAAUGAAAUGGAGUCUACUUAUCAAAGGCCCAUGAGUCAAUUGAUUUUCAUGAGUAAGAACACAGAUGAAUGAGAAAGGGCAGAUCCAGAGCAAUCCAAGCAACGGGAUGCAUCGCAUGAAGAAGAGAGAGGGCCAACUGUGACAACGCCCGAAACUAAAAUAGCCGACGGAGCAUCCGCGCCCUCAUUCAAGAGAUUUUUCUGGACAUUGCUUACUUUUUCAUUGGAAAAAUAUUACUUUUUAACUUAUAGGGAGCAAAAAAGAUUCAGGCCAUUUGGCUUGACAAAGGCUCAGAAGAAACAGAUGACAAAGAGGACCGGACAUACACAAAUGAACAAUUCAGGAAGUUAUUGAGGUUAAGGUUCCUCCAAGCGAGGGAUGAAAAUUUUAGCGGAGAUUUUGAGAAGCUAUUUCUUGAAUUAAGAUGGCUUCAGUGGACAGGAUGUCCUUCAUCUUUCGAGGCGACCAACUUGCAUAUGGAGAAACUAUUCAUGCUGGGAUUGACACAAAGUGCAAUUACAGAACAUUGGAAUGGAUGGAGCUCAAUCAGGAUAAGCCGGAACGACACAUCCUGAUGUCAUGUUUCUAAUACUGAUUACUCCUUGACGACUAAUUCCCACUAUACUCUUUGUUCUUAUAGACGGCGAAGUGGCUCAAAGUUUGGAACCUUAGGUGUGGUCAUUUACCAUGUACUCCCGGCUAUCCAAAAUAUAGAAAUUCUCAUCCUUAAAGAAUGUGAACACCUGGAGCAAAUUCACCCUUCUAUUAAUGAAUUAGGAGAAUUGAAGGAACUUGUUUUGGAUUCGAUUGCUACAAAAGAGAAUCCUGCUAUUGUUUCUCUGAGGAAGCUAGAGAAGCUCAGUGCCAAGCGUUGUUUUGCUCUGGUUCGACUUUCGGACUCCAUAAGCCAUCUGGCGAAUCUGUUGACCCUCGAAUUUAUGCAAUUGUCAGGGAAUGGCCAAACUUCCAAGCAACAUUGGGUACCUCAAGAAGCUGCAGAGCUUGCCAUUUGGCGCAACUUCCACACUCUGUUGCCUAUCAACAUAGAUCCCAAACUCCAUUGGGAAGAUGGAAUCCCUGACUAAACUCGACCUGUCCAGCACAAGCAUAACAUAACUACCAUCUUCCAUAGAAGAUUUGCAUAACUUGGAAAUCCUGAAGAUUUCUACUAGAUUGAAAAGUUGCGAGGUGCAAUUGGAAGGUUGGGGAAACUCUUGCAAUUGGAUGCUUCAAGUUGCACUAGAAUAGAAGGGGAAAUUCCAAGUGAUUUUAACAACUUGUCUUCACUCGUGAAGCUUCUAACAUAUACAUCCAUUUCUGGCUUGCCAGAAAGCACUCAGAAUCUUUAUUCUCUGCAACAUCUUGACUUAGGGGGCUGCCAAAAGCUUCAAUCAAUGCCUGAACUUCCUUCUGGGUUAGAUUUUCUGCAAGUCACUAAGAGUUUUUGCCUCCACUUUUUUACCAAAUUCAUCUAAGAGAACUCACUGUUUAUGAUUGCAUAUCGUUGGAAAAUCUCCUAGAGCUUCCUCCAAGACUAUUGAAGCUUCACGUCACAAGAUGUGGCAAGUUGAAAUGCUUGCCAAGAUUUGAGCCUCGUGAAUGCCCCAAAAUGAUGCAAAGCGAACGCCGACACGUUGCAAUAUCCCCAACGACGUUGGCCAUAGCAGGUCGCAUGAAGUUGACUAAGCUGGAUGGCCUUGGACAAUGUGCAAAGUCCCUAAGAUGCAUGCCAAUGAGUGAGAACUAUGGAUCAAGCACUCCAUUAGAUAUGGAAGACAAUCUAGUCGAAGUUCAAGGUCUUGACAAGUUGAAGCACUUGGAAGAAUUGGAUGUAGAUUUUUGCCGUUUUAUUGGAAGACUGGACCUUCCAAAACCAAAUCAUCUGAACGAUUGAUUGCUAGAUAUUGCAAAAAUCUAGUUGAAAUUCGAGGCCUUUAUCAUUCAGAGUUCUUGGAAGCACUGCAUAUCACUGAUUGCACGUCCAUUUUGAGAUUAAACCUUGCAAAAUCAGAGCAUCUAAAGGAAUUGAAGGCCACAAAUUGCAAAAGUCUAAUUGAGAUUUAAAGGCCUUGAUAGGUUGAAGUUCUUGGAAAAGUUGGAACUCUGGUCAUGCAAGUCCCUGGAAAGAUUACCAAAACUGUCGUGCUUGGAGACCCUGAAAGAGUUCAACAUCAACUGGUCCAUUGUCUGACCAAAAACAACGGAUGCAUUGAGCUUCGUGAUAUUGAGUCUGGAGAAUUUUUUGUCCUGCCAAAGCAUAUAUAUGGACGAAUGUCCAUCCUUAAAGAUAUUGCCAAACCUGUCAAAUUUCGAGAAUUUAGAGAAGCUCACCAUCAGGAUUCGCUUGAUAUUUUGGAGAUACUCGGAAUUGAGGAUUUGAUAUCUCUGACACAUCUAGAUAUCACAUGAUGCAAGUCAAUCAAGACUUUACCAGAUUUGUCGACAUGUAAGAUGUUACAAUUUCUGGUGGCCCAAGACUGCGACAAACUUGCCGAACUUCGAGGACUUGAAUUUUUGGGUUUGAUGUAUUUGGAUUUUUCUGGAUGCGACUCACUGGGAGCAAUACCGAACUUUUCUAGAACACACGUCAUACAGGACUAUGAAGAAUGCCCAUAUGAUUAUGGCUUACCAAUGAUUGAAUUCCGAAGGUAAUGAUGUGAUAAAUCAUGUAUUACAAUUGUGAGACGAUUGAUGCUUCCCUAAACUAAGGAAAAAGAGCAAGUAAAUUGUCGUUCUUUUGAUUCUUACUAACUUUUUGCCAAGAACAUUUUCCUAAACAAUCAGCUCUCAGAUUUUUCAUUAUGAUCUCGAAGCAUUGGAAUUUUAUGCUACGCAAGGCAGAUUUGUUCCCUUGAUGCUUGUCCUGGACAUUCCAACUUGGCAAAGUUAAUCUCAUCCAUACCAUAUGUGCUCGUGGUUUUGAUGUGAGCGAGUUAAAUCAAUCAAGAAAACUAAUAUUCCAAUUUUGCUGCAAACUUAGUCUUAUGAGUUAGCUGCCGCAAGUCCAAACAACUCCAAGAAGUCAGGAAUGACCAACGUACUAGCCACAAAGAACGAUGCUCAAAGCUUGUGGAGUUAGUAAUGCUAUCUUCCAUUUGCCUGAACUGAGUUGACCACAAAAUGCACUGAAAAUCUCAAAAAAGAAAAAAAAAAAAAGAGGAAGGUAAUGUCUUUGAAGAUAGAAGAUAACAAACGAAAUCGUGAGGAUUGCAGCUACCGCUGCUUCCAGAGACUUUUCAUGUAAACUCCGGUGCUGCCUCCUCUGUGGUAUGAUGACUAGUUCCUAAAAAAUUUGAUAUAAUGCCAAAGUUUUUGUAAAAACAGCGAGCUGUCAAUAUUGCCAAUUUUCUGAGACCACACGAUUUAUUCGAAAGUAUAAGCUAGCACAGGUUCAUUUUUCCUACUCUCAUAUCAGCAGCAUACCGAUGUCUGGUUUUCCAAUUCCCCAGGAAAUGAAGAUUUCUUCUCUUUGCAGGGGUUUAUACCAAUAAAUUAUCGAUACUCUUUUACAUUGCCAAAAUUUCACAGUUGGCAUCAAAACUGAAUUGCAUAUUAAGCUUAUUAUCGAUAAGAAAAUUAACGUUAGAUUCACUUAUAACGUGUCAGCUAGAGAUGUCCAUCACUUUUCUGACUCAGUUUAUUGAGAGGGAUGACAGUUUUCAUUGCUCAAGCUUUUCCUAGGUGUUUAUUGUUGCACUGAAAUUUAAGUGUGGCUGGAUAUGAUUUUUACUUUGCCAGAGCUGUCACUGUGUAUCAGCAACAUCUGGAACUCCAUAGAUUCCUUGCCGGUAGGAAUGUACACCUGCACCAUCAAUAUGGAGUAGUUUAAUAGCACUUCGCAGCAUGAUCAAGUGCCAUUCAAUGGCUGUCCACUAAUUUGCGUAAUUAUCGUACCGGUAUUUACAUGUAAGUAUGUAAGGUACUUCCGUGCUUUUACUCGUGAAAAGUGAGGGAAAAUUAAUUGCUUGCUUUAGUAUAGUUUGGCAGUUAGGAUUGCUGGAGACUCUUGAAUUACUCAUCUAGUUCCUGAUUUGCUGAAUCAUUAUCACAAUUUUCUUACUGAAGAUUGGACAUCCUAGCGAUUUGUCAGCCAGCAAUUUCUGCAUAAGCGAGAUUUUUGCUAUUUUAGCAAAAAUAACUUCAAAUGGCACUAAUGCUUGAAGAAAUCUUGUUGAAGUUGGAAAUGUUAAAUUCAUUUUUCUAGGACAUGAUAAUUGGCACCGCAUGUAGAAAUCCACCCGCACUCCAUCCAAAUCCGGGACUGAUACAAAUUCUGUCUCAGCAUUGUAAGAAACAGGGGAAGCAGAGUAGAAAGGUACUAUGAAAUACUGAAUGAGAGAAACAUCACGUGCAAUUCCAGAUAAAUGUCAUUUGACCAGAAUGCAAUUCUAAAUAUCAGUCGAAACCGGCAUUUCAUACGUGCGAGUUGCCCCUAAAGUCAUUGCCUAAUCAAUCCAAAGGCCAUUUGCACUUGCAUCCCGCAUCCUCUUUCUGUCAAAUUACUUAGCAUAAGGUGACAUCAAGCCUGGAUCUGCACUCUGCAGCCUGUUUCUGUUGAUAUUGUUAGAAAUCUGACAGCCCAUCAAAUUACUUAUCGGGUUAUAGUUUUGCCUAAUUAGACGAAUGAUUCCAAUGGACCAAUGAUUAAAAAAAAUCUUUGGAUUUACCCUUGAGAGAACAUCGACAUCAACAUGUUGUUAGCAUGUGACUAAGGUCUUUUGCGAACCUUUUUUCCCUCCAAAAGAACGUAUUUCGCAAUAGUAAUCUUCAACAUGAUAUGCAUUUUCUUUGUGGCGUCAUAGUGGGCGUACAGCUUCGUAUGGUCUCUUCAAAGUUUUUCCCUGAUAAUUCAGUAGAAAUUGUUACCAGAAGUUGUCUCUGGUGCUGUGUUUUGUGUCCGAACUUCUUUUGUUCGUCUACUACUCUACCUUAUUCUCCAUUAAAAUAAAAUAAAAACAAUAAGUAGAUACAAUAGAAGUUAGUCUAUUAUCUAACAAGUUAAAAGUUAGCAUACCUAGAUUGCUGAAAAACGAUUGCUUGUAUCUCAAUCGCUCUGAAGAUAUUUUCCAAAAAAUAAAUGAUUUGGAAAAUACAUCUUUUCUCAUAUGGGCAUAAGAUAAUUCGAGCAAAAACAUUAUGCCCAAAAGAUUGAAGGUAUACCAUGGAAUCAAGCUACUUAUGGGCUUCAUAUCAUCACAGAAGGAACCUUUAAACCAUGUAGAGGUCCUCAUUGUCCCAAAAAGUGGCAUGUGAUUUUAUGCCGGAAAUGGAGUACUUGUGUGUGUUUUCGUUGGUAGCCAUCACAACAUCGAGGCACCAAAUUGCAUUGGUAAAUUGAAGCAUCUACUUUAUCUCAAUUUUUCUUAUACUAAUAUCGAAAGGCUUCCUAAAUCAAUUGUUCGACUGCACAACCUAGAAGCUUUAAUGUUGCGUGGUAAUGAAAAUCUUACCGAAUUGCCUGAAUAUAUUGAAAAACCGAUCGAUUUAUGAUUUCUCGAUGUUAGAGAAACUCUAAGCCUAGCAACUAUGCCACUGUUUAUAGGUAACCCUGUGGGUCUUGAGAUGUUGCUAUCACUUUUUAUAGGUAAUCUUGGGGGUCUUGAGAUGUUGUCCAAAUUUGUUGUGGGAACCAAAAAUGGCUAAAGGAGUUGUAGAUAAUGCCGAAUGCACCUUGUAGGGAAAUUAUUCACCUCCAAGUUGCUUAAGGUUGGAGAGCAGGUCAAUUUACCCACGAGGGACAGAAUAUGCUAGUGGACCAUGUAGUGAGUGAAGAUUAUGAAAAUUUCCUGAAUUUGUUUGCAAUUUUAACACGAUGAUUAACUUGAAAGAAGAAGAAGAAUAUACAUUAAGAAUCAUAUUGGAAAAAAAGAGAGUACAAGAACGACAUUGAACAAAUUGUAAAAGUACAGCGAUUGGCGGUUUAUUAUCUCUAAAGUUUUUGCACAAAUUUUGUGAAGAGAGUCUCCUAAAGAUUUUGUUAAAAGUGAAAUAUAUUGCUUUCUAUUCUUUUUCCACAAAAUCAAGGCAAUGACACUUUCAAGAAAAUGACCUACACGUCUCAAUGUCUUUUCCCGUUUCCACAUGCAUUAUUUUCUCUAACAUGGCUCUUAGAGAGUAUCAUCAUAUAAAAUUAGUCUUCACUAUGAAUACAUUGACUCUUACACUAAUAUUGAUUCUUCAUUGUUGGCCAAAGGCCUAAGUGUAGAUUAAAUGCCUCUCAGCAAAAGACCAAUUUUCCACUAGUAUUAUUCUAGUGCAUUUUGCCACACGUCACAUUUGAAUUGUUUUAACUCAUAGAUACUUUAACAGUAUGCAAAGAAAGGCUGAGAUUUAUUCUUUAGCGAUUCAACAAUCAAAUGAUCUUUUAGGUGAGGGCAGGUCAGGUUCCCUUAAUACAUAGUAAAAAAAUGAGUAAGGAAUGAGCGACGUGGUUGUCGUACCACAUAAGUUGCGUUCGUCGGGCUGGGUUGUACUACACCCAAGUGGGGAGGCCCACUAAGAAGGAGCCAUAUAAAAAGCGAAUAAAAAUAUCAUCAUUAUUUUCUUUUUCUUUUUUUUAUUAACAUGAACUACACGUGAAUGUGGGGCAAACUCAUUAAAGUUUAUAUUGAAUCAAAUCUUGUUACUUUAAAUUCACAACAAUCUUUUCUUUGAAUUUUAACUAACCCAUGCUAUUUGGCUAAUUAAAUGUGACUUAGACCACGUCAAUGCUUCUAGCACCGUAAGACUUAUAUUUUAAUAAAUAAGGAAAGUAAAGGUUGUCCAUUUUCACUUUGAUUUGCACGACCAUGUAAUCCUAUUACAAAGAGAACUAAUAAAAAGCGAGGGCUAGUGGGGUAAAGAAGUAAAUUGCCUCAUCAAAGACGGUAAGAUUAUGUGUGUCCCGGGCACUUUGCCUCAUCUUUUAAAGCAAAGAGAAGAAGUAAUUUCCGACAUGAACACUUUCGCAAAAGUUACCGAGCAAGGGAGAUGAUUGUGUGGCUCUUUAGUAGUACCAUGCGAAAACUAAUUUUUCAAUGUGAACACGUUGACUCCAAUUUAAAGUAUCGAGUUUUUUGGUUAAUGGGGUCGAGAAAAGCUAAAGGUUACCUGUCUUGAUUUGAUUGGUCACACGGUAUAAUUGCAAAGAGAAAGUAACAAAAUAUCCUCAAAAGUCUAAAGUGAGGUAGUCUUGCUUGAAGGAGACGAUUAACUUUCUACGCCUUUUACACAAACAUUAUAUAUAAAAUUAGAUUUGGACCAUUGAGAAUGACAAGAUUUAUGUAAGUUUUAUAUGAGUCUUGCUAAAUUUUAUAGUCUAAGUGCAUUUGAUAAUAUUUUUAUUCUCGAAAAUAAUUUUUGUUUAUAAAUAAUUUUUUCAUUUUUAUUUUCAAAAACAAAGAAAUAUAUUUUUAUUUUUUCUAUUUCAAAUUUAUUUACUGAUCAAUUUUCUAUUUCAGAUAAUAGAAAGAUUAGUUGAUUUUGUCAAACAAAAUUUUAUUAUUUUUUUGUUUUGACGAAAAAUAAAAAGAGCAGACAAAUAUGAAAACAGGAUGGGUGCGCCAGGAUAAUUACUAGAAAAAUGAGUACGGAAUGAGUGACAUGUCACAUGGACAUUGGUCAAAGGAACAGGCAAAGGAGAGAAAAUGCUCACGCGGUUCUCGUACGACAUGUUGGGGUGUGCCACGCUAGAGCACGAGGGACCAUUAAGAGGAGCCAUGAAAAAGCAAAUGGAAAAAUCAUUACUAUUUUUUUUUAUUAACAUGAAUUACAGUUGAACGUAGUUUAGACUCAUUAAAUUUCUAUGUAGUUAAAAAAUUUUACUUUAAAUUCAUAACAGCCCAUUCUUUAAAUUUUAGCUAACUCAUAUACAAUCUAACUCAGUAAAUAUGAGUUAAUUUGUAGAUUAUUUUUUAACCCAUUUUAAUGCCAGUAAAAGACUUUCAUUUCCACGGUAUGGAAAGCAAAAGGUUGCUCAUCCACUUUGAUUUGCACGGCUAGGUUAUCCAAUUACAAGGAGAUCCGACAAAAGGUGAGGGUUAAAGAAGCAAAUUGCCUCAUCAAAGACAUCCACGGCAAAGAUUGUGUGUAUCCCAAGCACAUCCGGCUCAUUUUUCCAAAGGCAAGAGAAGAAGUAAUUUCCAAUGUGAAUACUUUUGCAAAGGUGGCCGAGUAAAGUGGACGAUUGCGUGGCUCAUUUAGGAGUAGCAUCGUGUGAAAACUAAUUUUUCAGUGUGAAUGCCUUGACUCCAACAUAAAGUAUCAAUUCUUUCGAUUAAUGGGGUCAAGGAAAGCUAAAGAUCGCCCGUCUUCAUUUUGAUAUGAUUGAUCACGCGAUCCAAUUACAAAGAGAAAGUGACAAAAUAUUCUAAAAAGUCUAAGGUGAGGCAGUCUUGCCUAAAGGUGACUGUUAGCUUUCUAUGCCUUUUACCCAUAUGUGAUAUAUAUAUAUAUAUAUAUAUAUAUAUAUAUAUAGACCAUUGAAAAUGACAAGAUUUAUGUAAGUUUUAUAUGAGUCUUGUUAAAUCUAACGAUUUGAAUCCAAAUGAAGAUGAGUGUAUGUUGGAUUCACCGAGUGCAUUUGUAAUAUUUCUACUCUUGGGAAUAAUUUUUAUUUAGAAAUAUAUUUUUUAUUUUUGAAAAUAAAGAAAUAGACUUAUUUUACUUUUUGUAUAUGUUCUAAAUUUAUUUAGUGACCACUUUCUUAUUCUUAUGAAUAGAAAAGUUAAUUGAUGUUAUUAAAUGGAUUUUUUUUUAUAUUUGAAAAAAUAAAAGAAUAGAAAAAUGAAAAAAAAAUGAUAUACCUUGAAUAAUCACUAGAAAAGUGAGUAGUGAAUGACGUGUCAAAUGGACAUAACCGUGCCAAAGGCAUGUCCAGAACCUGUAGGAUUUUCACCAACCUUACGUCCAACCUAAGCAUCGGGUGGGAUUGGUUACCCAAGCGAAGUUGGGAUCCGUCCUUCAAUCGGGGAAGCUACUGGACCAGUGGUCGAGAGACUGUGCCAAAGGCAUAUCCAGAACCUGUAGGAUUUUCACCUACCUUACGUCCAACCUAAGCAUCGGUUGAGAUUGGUUACCCAAGCGAAGUUAGGAUUCGAGCCAAGAAGUAAGCUUCUUGACAUAGUGGCACUUCACUGCUCAUAAGCCCCCAAAUUCUCGGUCUAUGUUUUACCAACCGACCAAGAGGAUGGGGAGGCAAGAAUGAACAAGCAAAGGAGAGAAAAAGCCCACGCAGUUGUCGUAUUAUGUGAGUUGGCCUUCACAAGAUGGCGUGUACCAUACUCGAGCAUGAGGCCUGAUAUUGCUAGUAUGAGUACCUAGAGGGGGGUGAAUAGGUAUAUAAAAGAUUUUUCUUCAACAAUUGCACAAUACUAGACAGUUGAAGGAAACGAUAAUCAAAGUAAGACUGAGAGGAGAGAAAAUUGAACACGCGGUUUAUAGUGGUUCGGCUUAUAUCAAGCCUACGUCCACUCUUCUUCACUGACAGCCUAUUGGCUGGAUUCCACUAUGAACAAAAGAGAAGUUACAGCACAGCUUUGCCUUGAUUCCAUAGUGUAGAUGUUCUACCACACCUCCUCAAGAUUUCUCACAAAUAUAGACUCUCUUUUGUAUACAAGUAUUCGCUAAAAGGAAUUGUCUAAACAAAAAGGAGCUUCAGACUUUGGAAUUCUUCUAUCGCGCACACCUUGAACAACUAAGACAGUCUUCCUUAUAUACUCCUUUAUGCCAUCAUACCCGUUGGCACUUACCAAAUGAAUUCCUCAAAUCUACCCGUUGGACGGAAUCAAUUAGGAAGAUUGUUCAAGCUAUUAAAUGAACGUGUUGAUAGCCCAUCAAUCAUGUUCGCCCAUACAAUCAGAAUCUCGGUUUCCAUAAGCAGAACCUUCCAAUAAUAUUUAGGCAAUCACCGGAUCUUCAAUUAUCGAGUCAAUCUUCGAUCAAUCAAAGGACUCCGUUAUGUCUUCUCCAGCCACGAGAUUUUCUCCAGUUGAUAAGGUUAAAUCCUUAACGAAAUAUCAAGUUCUGGAUAACCUUUCUUCAACGGAUUAGAGACUGUCAAUGAUGAUAGACUUUGAGUCUUGAGUCUGGCUGUCCGGAGGUCUUUAGACUUUAAAUAGCAGAGUCUGCAAGCCUUCAGACUAGACUGAUAGAAAUGUUUUGUCAACUUCAAAACACUUCAAGAAGAUUUCUCUAACAAUGCCCACUAAGAAUGAGCCAUGUAAAAGCAAAUGGGAAAAUCAUUACUACUUUCUUUUUUUGAUUAACAUGAAUUAUUUGUGAAUGUAGUUUAGACUCAUUAUAUGUAGUUAAAUUUUUUAUUUUUUAUUUUACUUUAAAUUCAUAACAACCCAUUCUUUAAAUUUUUGCUAGCAUAUAUACAAUCUAACUCUCUGAACAUGAGUUAAAUUGUAGAUUUUUUUUUGGGCCCAUUUUAACGCCAGCAAAAGACUCCCAUUUUCACGAGCAAGGAAAGCAAAAGGUUGCUCAUCCCCCCUUUGAUUUGCACGGCUAGGUGGUCCAGUUACAAGGAGAUCCGACAAAAGGUGAGGGCUAAAGAAGCAAAUUGCCUCAUCAAAGACAUCCGCGGUAAGAUUGCGUGAAUCCUAAGGCAAGCACAUCCCGCUCAUUUUUCAAGGCAAGAGAAGAAGUAAUUUCCUAACGUGAAUACUUUUGCAAAAGUUGCCAAGGGGACAAUUGCGUGGCUUUUUAAAAAGUGGCAAAUUUUCCAGUGUGAACACGGUGACUCCUACGCAAAAUAUCUCGAUUCUUUCGGCUAAUGGGGUCAGGGAAAGCCAAAGUUGCCUGUCUUCAUUUGAUUUGACUAGUCACGGGGUCCAAUUACAAAGAGAAAAUAACAAAGUAUCCUUAAAAGUCUACAAUAAGCUCCAAGGUGACGAUUAGCUUUCUACACUUUUUACACAAACAUGAUAUAUAUAUAUAUAUAUAUGUGUGUGUGUGUUAAAGAUUUGGACAAUUAAAAAUGAGUUAGAAAGUAGAUUUUUGAUUAAUUUUAAUGCCUCUAGCGAAGAGAGACUUUCGUUUCAAUGGACAAGAAAAGUGAAAAGUUAACCCAUGUUUACUUUGAUUUUUGCAGCCACGUGGUCCAAUUGCAAGGUGAAUUGAUGAAAGUGGACUAAUUAUGUAAAUUGCUAGGAGUGUUAAUGAUUUGGUUCAUUUCGGAUUACCAAUAAAUGAGAGUUAAAUUGAAUAGAAUCGCAACCUGAGUCAAAAAUUCGAUUCGGUUAGUUUAAAUUUUCAGUUUUUCUUUUUAUGUUUUACUUACUAGAACCAAACUGAAUGAAAUGAUAACGGAGAGAGUAUUUAAGUUGAUCCUUUAAUUUUUAUUGAGAAUUUCGAUUUGAUCUAACUAAUCCAAUUAGAAUAAUCCAAACAAAAAAAAGUAGUUUUUUUUAAUCAUCAGAACUGAAUCAAAUAAAAAAUAUACGGAAUUUCGAUCCGUUUCGGUUCCGUUCAAAUUACCACAGAAAAGACGCGCAAUCCGCUGCCAGAUUGCGUGGAUCCCGAGCAGGUCUGGCUCAUCUUUUGAGGCGAGAGAAGAAGCAAUUUCCAGUUUGAACACCUUGCGGAAGUUUGCCAAGCAAAAGUGAUGAUCGCGUUACGACAAAUAAGGAAAAAGGGCGAGGAUUGUGUGGCUCUUGCAGAGGAGCAACGAAAAUAUCUAUGGAGUCUACAGCGAGGUCGUCUUACCAAUUUCGAGGAAGGAAGGUUUGUUUCGGUGUCUUGGUCAAAAAGGUGAGGGUGAAAAAAGCAGUACGAUUGCCUCGCGACAGAAACGCAAUCCUCUCCCCAAGAUUGCGCGUCUCCUUCGGGGCGAGAGUCAGAAGUAAAGCUUUGUUUAAAGUCCGAGUGCUCGUAACUCAGGAGGAGAAACGCCAAUCGCCGUGAGUCACUUGAGACGCUCGUCUUUCGCUCUGAGAUAUCUGGCUUUGAUAGCUCUAGAUUGAGGCGUGGAGGUGGUCUCAGAAUUGUGCUGCUUUUGAGACUCGGACACGACUUGGAUGUGCUUUUAAGGUAACUCCUUUUUAAACAUUGAAGCCCAUCCGAGUAAUUCCGUCUCUGCAUCACUCCUCCAGAUGAGCCGGAUAGUCUAUUACAUUUUGAUAGAACAAAAUAAAAACAUUUGAUUAUUACUUAUUGCAUGACAUCUAACAUCGUUAAAAGCAUGCACAAUAUAACAUGUCAAAUUCCAUCGACUUUUUCAAAAUCACGAUCGUCACAUUUAUUGUAGAUUUUUCUUACUACGUUCCCCUUACUCAAACUAAUCAGUAUGAGCGGUUGGACUGGUUAAACCUGGCGGAAUUUGAUAGUUCUUACCACAAUCUCUCUCUCUCUCUCUCUCAUAAAUGUCACUUUCUGAACCUUUUACAUCGGUCCUCUCUCUUGCAGAACAGUUCAACGCUAUCAUCUACAGUCCUCGCUCGCUCUCGUUGUUCAUUUCCCUCUUGAAAGUUCUCGCUGAGGCUUGUUUAGGGUCUUCUCUCUCCGACCUUGCACCUCCCUUCGCAUCUCAGCUCGCGGAAGGUAAUCGCUUUUUUCAUCUCUUAUUAGCGUGUCAUUUUUGUUGAUUUGUUGCAGCCGAACUAGUGUGUAACGUGUGUUGGGCUUUUAUUGUCUAAUGUGGGAGGCUGCUAACAUGGUGUGUCACCAGCUCCAGCUCAUAAUCGACUUCUGUAGAAAAGGGAAGCCUUUGCUUUCGACUGUAGAUGUGACUAAUCAUGUGGCCUCUCUGCUCAUUGUUCGUUUACAUCGCAAUUCAUUGUCCAUCCUUUAUUAAGCUAGAAUGAGUUGGAAUGCCAGCACGCUAGAUUCUAUUGCGCGCAAAAUUGCCAGUAUUCACCUCAAACCAGGGACCGUCUUUUGAUGGGUCGUGAGGUUUCUUUGUCUAUGAAGGUCUAAGAUAAAUUAAAUAAAAAACGAAACAGAAAAGAAAAAGUAGUACGCCAGUUUGCGGCCAAUUCUGGGAUCAAGGGGUUUGAUUUUCAAUUUCGAAAAUUGGAAACAGGCUUUGAUAGGGUUGGUUUCAGGUCUUGUUUCGGAAUCUACACACUCUAUAACCAAUCACCCAUAAAAGUAAUUAUUCUCUUAAUUGGAUUUUAUUCGACAAUUUUGCCUCCCAAUAGAACAUUCUAGACAAAUAAUAUGAUGUCUUCCUCGAAUUAUUGGUCAAGAUAAUCCUAAAAGGUACAUUGCCUUCACCUCUAACUCAUUCUUCUUUCAGAGUUUUGAAAAUUGACGGAGUCAGUUAACUGAAAAAAGGGUUAAAAAAAAAAAGUUGAAUGAGUUAAUAUGCCAAGGUUUGAGUAUUUUUAACUCUAUUACUGCUUUUUUUUUUUAACAAAACAUGAAAACUAUAUUGCUACUUUCGACUUGCUCUCCACUCAUGAUAGUUUCAAUCAUCACAAUACAAAACAUACCAAAAUCCAUAUUAUGAUGACUUCUUUCACUUUUGCGUCUCUCUAAAAUUGCAGUCAUGGUAAAAUCUUGGUUUACUUGGGACUCCCAAAUACACAAAUUCUCUAAAAAUAGAAUAGAAGUAGAUAAUUGAGGGCUUGUUAUUCAACAGUAUAAUAUGACUUAUAUACCUGUAUCAAUCAAUAUCCAUAUUCACAGAUAUCUAUCUAUGGUCUUAUCUUUAACUUAAUAUCUUUUACAUGAUAUUCAAUAGGAAGAAAAAUAUCUUAUGACACAUGUGAAAAUGAUCACAUAAAUUGAGCCGAUUCACCUAACUUUAUAACACUCAUAUCUUACACUUCUUAUUACAAAUAAUAAAUUCGUUCUUCAAAAUGUGAUUAAUCAAUUUAACCGGGUUUAUCAUGAAUUUAGUCAAUAAUCCUAUUCUUCUUCCAUUUAGUUGAAGAAAAAAAAGCUUUGCGGUGAUAUUUUCAAGGUGGGCCCUCCAAUAAAAAUGGGGACAAGCACUCAACGUCAUUGUUUCAAACCUUGGUCGUCUCUUAAUUUUCUUCAGCAGCUUCCUUUUACUUCCUUUCUUCUCUCCUUCUCCUGCUUCCACCGAAUCCGUACAAUUUUGUGUCAUUUCUAAUCGGUCAGACUAACGUGGAGAAGGGGCAAAGUCAGAGCAAGGCAAACAAAGGGCUGCACCGUUUCGUUUCAGAUCGGUUCCUUUGCGGCGCUUCUUGCGUCUCUAUGCUUGUAUUCAAACAUCUCGCUAAGAAGAAAAAGAGUGCACUGAGGGAAUCUGCUCCUCCGUUUGAUGCUAUCCAACAAAUUAUAGCUUUAGUUCUACAGAUAAGAUAUCAAUCAAUGUUUAAGAUUUGGAGAUUUAAAAUAAAAGGCUCGGUGAUGAUAUACCAGUUCAAAAUAAAGUAUUUAUACAUGGAAUUAUAGCAUGUGGUAUUGGUGUGUAAUGAGUAAAAGAUAAAUAACCAUGAGCAUUUGUUUAUCCCUACCUCACAUUUCCAACUUCAUUAAAUAUAUGACAAUUUUAAACCUAAUUUAAAUAUAAAAUCAUAUCCAUAAUUACUAGCUCAAUCCUUUCUUGACCUCUUUCACGCAUAUCUAAUUCUGUUUCAAAUCAAUUAUUAACAUUAAAUGAUCUAUCAAAUUCUGAUUUUCUAUAACCCAAUAAAAACCAAACGUAUGCUUAUGUCUUUAGUCGAAUGCAAUAUACUUGUACACAGAUUCCAGUUCUCUAUAGCCUAAUUGAAAAAUUAAUGUACACGUUGUUCGUGAUUGGAUCAAGCCAACGAGGUUGACUUGACUAGAGGAUGAGGUCCAAAAGAGGAUAUUUAAAAGCAUAGAUAUUUAAAAAUAUUUCUUUUAUCACACUAAAGUCCCUAAAAUUAACGUACAGGUUAAUUGAAAAAAUUUUGGACCCGCAUUUUCAGGGAAAUACUCUUAGAAAAGCCCUACUCAAUAUCUUCUUUGGGGGCUACCCAGGCCUCUUCAUUUCCCUGAACCCAGUCUAGUAUGCUAGGAGAAGGGCUUCACGGGGAUCUGAGGUGGGUCCCUAACCCUUUCGGGCUUGGCCGGGAUACCCAAUGGGACCGUUACCCCAUACUACUCACCCCUCAUUUCCCUGUAAAAGGGUUGUGAGGAGGAGUCCCCCCGGGGUGGUCAUUUCAGGGGGAGCAGUUUAAGGACCUGCUCAGGUCCGAAUUUCUAUGCACUUUUAGAAAGAAAUAAAAUGUCGGCCCAAAAGGAAAUAUUUCCCCUCAAUUUAAAAUCAUUUUCAUCAACUUCCUUCAAAAUUUAAACAGCCAAACAAAUGAAGUUUUUUCCUCAAUAUUUUAUUUUUAGUUAAUUUUACAUAUGAGCAAUUUGAAUCCUGCCAAUUAAAUCAUGAUUGAUGGAAAUUUUCUCAAAUUAGGAAAGUGCAUGCAUCUGGAGAAUGAUGUCCACUGGGCAACAAUUACAUUACACCACAUUAGUUUGGCCAACCGAAAUGGGGUUAGUAGAAAGGGUUGGGAAAAUGAGGUGGUGAAGAUAAUGAGGUUUGUUUGGAUAUUAGGCUAAAAAUAAUAAGAGUAAGGUUGAAGGCUAUUAUAAGAAUAAGAUGUCGUGGGAGUUUAUAUUUGGUGGAAGAUGGUUCCAUGGUCCAUGGUAUUUCCUACAUAAUUUCAAUGUUUUAGGUGUGAACUAAAAGAAUCUGUCUUGAAUUAUCAUAGACAAAGUUAUGUCGUUAUACCAUGUGUUUUGAGGAAGUCGAUUAGGCGUGGUAGCUAGGAGCACUGGCAUUCGACUUUUUUGUUUAAUUACUUCUUUCAAUGUGAAUUGGCUUUCUGAACAAGUAAAUGAAGGGGCUCUUUGGGGGCCCUUUUUAGGGGCCACCACCUAAUCUUCUGCAGUCAAGCCACGUUGGUCACCCAAACUGAAGGCCGUGUCCUCCCUCUCUCUCUCUCUCUCUCUCAGGAGCACGAACUUCUUUCAGCAUUUCCCUCUCAGAUCGCCAUGGACAAAGGGCAAAGUCAGACAAAGAGAAAGACAGCACAGAAAGAGAGCACCGAGGGAGCAUGCAGUUCUUCGUUCAUCUCUCCAAAACUCACAGGACAAGGUGACGAUGCAUACGACGUAUUCUUGAGCUUUAGAGGCUCAGAUACUCGUAAGGAAUUCACCGACCACCUCUACAAUAGACUGGUCAAUACUGGGAUUUUUGUGUUCAAGGAUGAUAAGAGCAUCCCAAUUGGUGAGGAUUUUAGUUCACAAAUUCUUGGUGCCAUCUCACGAUCGAAGAUUUCGAUCCCCAUCAUCUCCAAAAAUUAUGCUACUAGCAAAUGGUGCCUUCGUGAGCUCAUCCAUAUGAUGGACUGCAAGAAUAGUGGGUCACACAUAGUGUUGCCAAUUUUUUACAAAGUUAAACCAUCAGAUGUGCGGCAUCUAAAAGGAAAUUUUGGGGAUGCCUUCCGUUUGAGUCAGAAGGAUUUUGAUGAGAAGGUUAUCCAGGAAGGGCCGCCAGCACUUGAAGAAGUGAGUGACUUACAGUUGUGGGAGUCCGAGAAAUUUGCUAACGGGUACGUCACAGAACUUUUCUUCCUUUUUUUUUUUUUGGUUGGGAAACUUUUCCUUUUUCUUUGAUAAGUUCUCUUCACGCAAAACCAAUGAAAUGCAGAUGUAUUACUUGCAUUGCAAGCUCAGAAAAGAUCCCCAAAAUGUCCCAGUAAACAACCCUAAUGGGUCGAAGACUAGCAAACACUAGUACUUCCCAGGAUCUCGUGAAAACUAAACGAACGACAACUUAAACCAAAGAUCCCGCAGUGCCCAAGCAUUUUACAUUUAUCUCCAACACAAAGCCAAAAAACGAAAGAAACAACCCCUUCAGCCAAUAGUAUGCCUAUAACGGACCCCAAUGCUGGGUCUUGAUCGCUACCAGAAAAAUUAGACCUCAUUAUGCCAACGGGUUGGCUCGGCUGAGAAGGGUUGGAAAAUUCCCAUUUACCAUGUUUAGGCUUGAUUUCCAAAGCCAGUAACCCUCAUUGGUAGGCAAUCUUGGGAUAGCCUCCUCUCCUCCUAGAAUUUUUUAACCAAAAAAAAAAAUGGACCUAUCUUUGAACGGGCAACAACCUCAAUCGUUAUAACGAACAUUGUAGUUUGAAAGACUCUUCUUGGGCCAGGUACACCACCUUAUUUUAUUUCAACAAGAUCCAUCUAUUGGCAUAAGAGGAUAGGGUAAAAAAAAAUUGGAAUGACCGCUACUCCAUCUUCCCCCAUUGUUAUGCGUAAAUCCAAAACAGCUUGCAUGUUAAUUGGCCCCAUGCAUCCUUAAAUAUAUGCUGGUCUUUGGAUGAGAUUAAGUAUAAUCAGGUAGUUAUCAAUGAAUUUUGUUGUUUGAUAGGCAUGAAGGAGAAUUAGUGGAAGAAGUGGUCAAAAAGGUUCUGAGCAAAUUGCAACAAGACUUUCAGCUUGAUGUUACUAAGCACUUAGUUGGAUUUGGGGAUCAUGUGAGCAAAAUCAGGUAUUGGGUAGACACUCCUGCCAGUGCUGCUCGAAUGAUUGGAAUCUAUGGCAUGGGUGGGAUCGGAAAAACGACUCUGGCCAAAUUAAUCUACAACCAGUUGUUGGAUGAAUUUGUACAUCAUAGCUUCCUUGCUAACAUUCGAGAAACGGCUCAAUGCAACGGUAUUCCUUAUCUACAAAAUCAACUAAUUGAGGAAGUACUUCAAAUCGAAUGUCAAAUUCGGAAUGUUGACCAUGGAAUUAGUUUGAUUAGAUCUAAAUUCAAAGGAAAAAAGGUUAUCAUUCUUCUGGAUGAUAUAGAUAACAAAAAGCAACUAGAUGCUUUGGCCAGAGAGCGUAAUUGGUUUAUGAGUGGAAGUAUUAUCAUUGUUACAACAAGAAAUAAAGCUAUUCUUGAUCAAUCUGAAUUUGAGGUAGACUACCCAUAUGAAUUGAAUGAAUUGGAUGAGGAGCAUUCUUUGCUUUUAUUUAAGAGACAUGCAUUUCGUAUGGAUCGUUGUCCAACGGAGUUUGAGAUAUCUCUGUGAAAUCAUAUCACCAUGGGUGGGCUACCCUUAGCUAUGAGGUCGUUGGUUCAUACUUGUUUAAAAAAACAAAGCNNNNNNNNNNNNNNNNNNNNNNNNNNNNNNNNNNNNNNNNNNNNNNNNNNNNNNNNNNNNNNNNNNNNNNNNNNNNNNNNNNNNNNNNNNNNNNNNNNNNNNNNNNNNNNNNNNNNNNNNNNNNNNNNNNNNNNNNNNNNNNNNNNNNNNNNNNNNNNNNNNNNNNNNNNNNNNNNNNNNNNNNNNNNNNNNNNNNNNNNNNNNNNNNNNNNNNNNNNNNNNNNNNNNNNNNNNNNNNNNNNNNNNNNNNNNNNNNNNNNNNNNNNNNNNNNNNNNNNNNNNNNNNNNNNNNNNNNNNNNNNNNNNNNNNNNNNNNNNNNNNNNNNNNNNNNNNNNNNNNNNNNNNNNNNNNNNNNNNNNNNNNNNNNNNNNNNNNNNNNNNNNNNNNNNNNNNNNNNNNNNNNNNNNNNNNNNNNNNNNNNNNNNNNNNNNNNNNNNNNNNNNNNNNNNNNNNNNNNNNNNNNNNNNNNNNNNNNNNNNNNNNNNNNNNNNNNNNNNNNNNNNNNNNNNNNNNNNNNNNNNNNNNNNNNNNNNNNNNNNNNNNNNNNNNNNNNNNNNNNNNNNNNNNNNNNNNNNNNNNNNNNNNNNNNNNNNNNNNNNNNNNNNNNNNNNNNNNNNNNNNNNNNNNNNNNNNNNNNNNNNNNNNNNNNNNNNNNNNNNNNNNNNNNNNNNNNNNNNNNNNNNNNNNNNNNNNNNNNNNNNNNNNNNNNNNNNNNNNNNNNNNGGCAAAGAAGCCUUCGGAGAACAAAUACUAGGAAAGGUACAUCUGCCUCCUCUCUCUCUUUCUCUCAUAUUACACAUAUAUUUUUUUUAAUAUGAAUAUUCUAUCUUUAUUUAGUAUGAGGAAAUGCUCCUACUUUAGGAAAAAGUAUGUUCAAACAUCCAUUCAUGUCCAUUGUAGAUGAAUUGUGACGGCUAAUUGGGAUUAUAAGUGUCCCAAGGAUGAAAAAGUUACCUUAUUUGAUUCAAAUUCAUUGAUAUAAAUUACAUAUGUCGAAAACUUAAUUUACAAUCAAUUUAAGAUUCUUUAACUAAGAUUCUGCACUAAAAAUCUGGUUCACUAAAAGUGCGGAACUUUAUAUCUAGUUGAAAAUAUUAAUAAUCUGAAAAAUUACAGUAAUUAAUACAGAUGAAGCGUAUACAUCAUAAAAAAAAAUAUGUGCCAAUCAUAAUAAAUAAUAAUUAAGCAAAUCAGUAACAGUAAAGAAAAAUCAAUGUUUGAUAAACUUUUUCCCCCAUUUUGAUCAUGAAAGUACCCGUCCCUCUACUGGUUUCAUCUAUCUCUUUUCCUUCUUCUUUCCUCUUAAUAGAUAUGAUGGUAAAAAAUCUCCUUAAGAAUUAUAUUGGGAAAACUUUACUAUGCUUUUAGGGUUACGUCACGUUGACCUUGUUCAUCUCAUGGACUAGGUUAGGUGUUUGACUAUCAGUGGAUCUUCUUAUUAUUUCUUUAAUUGCUUCUUUCAUUUCCAUUGUCCGUUCCUGCGCUUUUCCUAAUAAAACACUUCUUUCCUCUCCAAGUUGUUUUUAUAUUAUUUAUAUAUUUGGGACAACGCUCUUCUGUGCCAACAACCACUGGACAAACUUGACUAUUUAGAGGAAAUGUCAUGCUUAUUAUUAUAUCGAUACUUUUUUUAUUUACUAUAAACAAUUUUCAGCAUGAAGUCAAAUUUGAAAGUAAGUUUAGUUUUUACAUAGAUUGUCAAUGUUCAUGUCAUUUAAUUAUUUUAUAUUGUCCAUUUGGGGAAGCCUAGUAGGUUCAUGACUGAUCAAUGGCGGGGAAUUAACCUUUGCAAUUAACCAAGAGAUGUUGGGAAAGGAAAAAGCUUUAUUUUCUCAAUUUAGUUUGAAUUAGUUCGCUCAUACCAUUAUAAAGAGCACAUUCUUUUGUUGAUUAAAUAAUUAUUCUUAAGAGAAAUAAUAUUGACCGUGAGUUUUUCACUAGUUAAUAUAUAAAGUACGGAUAAUGACAAAUGAGUCGAACCAUAAAAUUAAACCCAACCAAAAAAAAAGGGAAAAAAGAAUUCUAUCUUUGGUUUGAUAGUGUUAAUCUCAAUCAAGCCGUUUGGGAUUUUGUCACCAUCUUCUUCCAAUGAAAUGAUCUCCUUUAGCAACAAAGUUUAAGCGGUAUAAGAUGCGAAAAGAAAUGGUGCCAGUCUUGGGAAAUGGACUUACGUAUCUUCACUUUUCUGUUUAGGUAACAUAAGUAGAUUUCUCCAGAAACUUUCGUGUGGUAGAGUUUGCCGAAAGUUGUUGCCCAGCAUCGACAAACCUAUUGUUCCAUAUGUUAAGACCUUAAUCUAACUAUAACACCAUGUAAGGAAGUUAAUUAGUUCAUUUUUAGUUGGUCUAAAGCCAGCUCUCUUCCAAUUUCCGUCUAAAUCUAAAAUAUUAUUCAAAUGCUAAAGGUGUAUUGCUAAAGAAUGAUUAAACACUUAAUAACAAUAGUUAACAAAUUGAAAAUCAGGUGCUUACUUAGCUACUUAACAAGUGACCCAUGGAUACUCUUUAACAUCCGUAAGUUUUAAAAGGUUUCAUGUAUUUCCACUUUAAUAAAAAUCAAAGUACAUGCACUACAAAAUUCCAAAAAAGCAAGAGGUAAGAAUUGAGGUGUUUCGUCUUGAAUCUUUUAAAGCAAGAAAAAGUGUUCUUUUUAUUUAAAAUAUUGUUUGAAUUUUUUAAAAAAAUAUCAAAAUACUAUGUGUGUUUACCUGUCAACAUUUAUGUUCGGCGAGGGGUAAAAAGAUGACAAAUUGUGAAAAAUAUGGGGUUUAGAAAAGCAAAAGUAAAAAAUAAGAAGUCGAUCCAGACACUCAAUUGAUUGAUUUUGAUAUGCAGAGUUUCCAGAGUAGCCUCUAUUGGCCCCAUGGCUGUUCCUCUACAUGCACAAGUGAACUGUUUAAAAACUUACCGAGCUCAAGGUUCCUUUCAUUAUGCUGGAUGACCAUAAGUGGAGACUUUAAUGAAUUGUGUCCUGAAUUGAGAUGGCUUCAAUGGCUAUACAUUGAACCCGAUAUAUUUUCUUCAGCAAUCAAUUUGCAUCUAUCUAAAUUAGUGGUGCUGGAAUUGUCACAAAACAAUCUUACAGAUGAUUGGGGAGGAUGGAGUUCGAUCAUGGUAAGAUGGAAAAAAGACAUCUUCUACGAUCUUUGCUUUGUUUUGUUUUAUCGAUUAAACUCCUUUUUGAUAGCUUUUUCUCUUUUGUACAGGUGGCAAAGCAGCUAAAAGUUCUCAACCUUUCAUAUAGCCGGAAGUUAAGAUAUACUCCUAAUCUCUCGGCUUUCACAAAGUUGGAGAUUCUCAUCUUGUCUAGUUGUGACAAACUCAAGCAAGUCAACCCUUCUAUUGGCAAACUCAAGAGCCUCAUUUCCUUGGACUUGUGUGGAUGUAGUAAUCUGAAAGAGCUACCAGAGGAAGUGGGGCAAUUGCAAAAUCUAAAAAACCUCCUUUUAAAUUCUACUAGCAUUACAAAAAUUCCUAUGUCAGUCUAUUCUUUGAGGAAGCUAGAGAAACUGAAUUUCAGCUGGUGUCAUUCAUUGGUUGAAAUCCCUCUCGCAAUUAGGAAUCUUUCAUCUCUCCAAUACCUUAACCUCUAUUUGUGUUCAUCAUUGAGGAAAAUCCCUCAUUCGAUUGGGAAUCUUUCAUCUCUCAAACGACUUAAUUGUAAUUGGACAUCAUUGGCAAAAAUCCCUAACUCAAUUGGGAAUCUUUCUUCUCUCAAACAACUUAAGCUAAUUUGUGACAAAUUAUUGAAAAUCCCUAGCUCAAUUGGGGAUCUUUCUUCUCUCGAACAACUUGAUCUAAGGUGUUGCAAGUUAUUGAUAGAAAUCCCUAGCUCAAUUGGGGAUCUUUCUUCUCUCAAACAGCUUUAGCUAGAUUCUUGCUCGUCAUUGACAGAAAUCCCUAGCUCAAUUGGGGAUCUUUCUUCUCUCGAACAACUUCAGCUAGGGUCUUGCUCAUCAUUGACAAAACUGCCCAACUCAAUUGGAAAUCUUUCUUCUCUCAAACAACUCCACCUAAAGGUUUGCUCAUCAUUGACAGAAAUCCCUAACUCAAUUGGAAAUCUUUCUUCUCUCAAACAACUUCAUUUAUGGAAUUGCAAGUCAUCGACAGAAAUCCCUAGCUCAAUUGGGAGUCUUUCUUCUCUCAAUGAACUUAAUCUAAAAAGUUGUGAGUCAUUGACAAAAAUCCCUAACUCAAUUGGGAAUCUUUCUUCUCUCAAACAUUUUGAUUUAUUAGGUUGCAAGUCAUUGACAGAAAUCCCUAACUCAAUUGUGAAUCUUUCUUCUCUCGAACAUUUCAAUUUAGUGAGCUGCAGAUCAAUGACAGAGAUCCCUAACUCAAUUGGGGAUCUUUCUUCUCUCAAACACCUUAGGCUAGGGUGUUGCUCGUCAUUGAGAGAAAUUCCUAACUCAAUUGGGAAUCUUUCUUCCCUCGAACAACUUGGUCUAGGGGUUUGCGAGUCAUUGACAAAAAUCCCUAUCUCAAUUGGGAAUCUUUUUUCCCUCAAACAACUUAAGCUAGGGUUUUGCUCGUCAUUGACAGAAAUUCCUAGCUCAAUUGGGAAACUUUCUUCCCUCGAACAACUUGAUCUACAGGGUUGCGAGUCAUUGAGAGAAAUCCCUAGCUCAAUUGGGAAUCUUUCUUCUCUCAAAGAACUUGAUCUACAAAAUUGCGAGUCAUUGACAGAAAUUCCUAGCUCAAUUGAGAAUCUAUCUUCUCUCAAAAAACUUGAUCUGCAGGGUUGCAAGUCAUUGACAAAAAUCUCUAGCUCAAUUGGGGAUCUUUCUUCUCUCGAACAACUUCAGUUAGGGUUUUGCUCCUCAUUAAUAGAAAUCCCUAGCUCAAUUGGGAAUCUUUCUUCUCUCAAACAAUUUGAUCUACGGGGUUGCAAGUUAUUGACAAAAAUUCCUAACUCGAUUGGGAAUCUUUCUUCUCUCAAAAUACUUGAUCUGGAGAGUUGCGAGUUAUUGACAGAAAUCCCUAGCUCAAUUGGCAAUCUUUCUUCUCUCAAUCAACUUAAGCUAAAGGGUUGUGUGUCAUUGAGAGAAAUACCUAACUCAAUUGGGAAUCUUUCUUCUCUCAAAGUACUUGGACUAGAGGCUUGCAAGUCAUUGAAAGAAAUCCCUAGCUCAAUUGGGAAUUUACUGAAUUUGCAAAGAAUUAGGGAUUUUUGACCUUGAAUAGUUACCCAUUGCUAUUGGAUGGUUGAACAAACCGCCAACGGGCUAUUUCUUGAAUCUUGUGAUAGUCUAAAAGGGAGAAUUUCAAGAGAAAUCGAUGACUUGUCUUCGCUCGUGAUUCUCCAUAUCACUGGCACAUUGAUAUUUGACCCGCCAGAAAGCAUCUGAAGUCUUUCUUCUCUCUAAUGCCUUGACCAAGAGGGCUGUCGAGAGCUCGAUCAUUGCUAGAGCUUUCUUCCGGCUUAACAUAUCUUCAGGUCAAUUCCCCAAUUCCCAGGUUGCCAAAGCUUUCUUACCUGUUCCACCUAGAAGAACUUCAUUUUUAUGGAUACGAUCAACUUAAGUACUUCCCAGAGCUUACCUCAAGACUCUUGAAACUUUGUGUUGACUCCCGUCCUAAGUUGAUAUUGCUUGAGCUUGACAGAUUCAAGUACUUGGAAGAGUUGUCAAUAAAACACUAUAAUUCCAUUGAAAGAAUGGACCUCUCACAAUCGAAUCUUUUGAAAGGAUUGGACAUUGAGGAUUGCAAUAAUCUAGUUGAAAUUUACGGCCAACAUAAAUUGGAGUUCUUGGAGACAAAUCGUACAUAUAGCUGCAAAUCCAUUAGAAGGCCAAUCCAUUCGAAAUUACGAGGGCUUGAAGCGAUUAAAUACUUGCUAUUGCGACAAUCUAGUUGAAAUACAAGGUCUUGAUAAGGUGGAGUUGUUAGAGAUGUUCAAUGUCUGUAAUUGUGGUUCCAUCAAAAGAUUACCUGACCUAUGAUGCUUUUGGAACUUGAAAGAAUUGAAUAUCAAUGGUUGUCAUAAUCUAUGUGGUGUAGAGACUCAAUUCCCAGUCUUACAUAAUUGCAAGAGUGGGGAAGUCGGCCCUAGAACCUAACAUGAUGCUUCAGCCAAGAUCAAAAUUUAGAUCCGAUUGUGGUUCUUCAUACGUUAGAAGGCGUUGGUCAUCUGGUAAGAUUCUUCAUCCUUUAACAACUAGCAUGAGCGAAAAGUGUAAUACUUUUCUAACAGAUAUGUCUUUUAAGAAUUAUUUGCUUGAUGCUCGGUAUCUAUUUGAUCUGGAUUUGCCUAAAUAUAUUUGUUGUUGAUUGCAUCACGGCAAUGUUUUUUCAGCUAAUCUUCAAUCGGCAACUUUUGCAGAUAGAUUGGCGGCUUGUGAGGCAACAAAUGAAAAUUAACGACAUAGGUAAACAAGAAUUCUUUAGUGAUUUACAGUUUCCCUCUUGGUAAACCCAAGAUGAGAAUUUUUCAUCAAGAGGUUGAUCUUCUGCAACUCAAUUUAUAAACUGCGCGCCAGAUCCCUUUUUUCUCUAUAUCUCAAACAAGUAUUCUCCUGUAAAAAAUCAUUCGCCAUUUUGAACUCCUUUUGUGAGCAAUUUUAUGUGUCAAAUUUGACUAUUGAUAGAUAUCCUGUUUAGGACAAACAGCUCUCGAUUUUUCGUGAUGAUGGGAAAGCUUUUCCAUUGUUCAUUGGAGCAUGAAUUCCUAGUAAGGAAGAGAAACUGAGCUAAAAUAAAAAUCAAGGUUCAAUUUUUUUUUGGAGCGUGAUUUAAAAAAGUAAAAAUUAGUUUUGGCUAGCCUUUUUCAUCUAUGAUUGUAGGCAGGCUUUCCAUAAACAAUUGUGAGACUGUUGAAAGAUUAUCAAGCGAGAUAAAUUGGUGCUACUUUUGUGACAGGUCCGGUUGGUCUAUGUAAGGAUCAACGCUUACUUUUGGACUUCAAUUCAAAGAGCUGUAUAGAUGACCUUUUGCAUAAUUGGGACAAUUUUUUGUCUGUUCUGUAAAACAAGCUAGGCGAGGAACUUAAGAUUUUGCUUAUUAUUUUGCAUCCCAUUUGAUCCUGAUGUUGUCGUGGAAUCGUUUUAUCAAAUGAUUGAUCUGGGUCUGGCUAACUUGGCUGAGGCAAUUCAUAGUCCGUACCAAAGAACGAUCAAAUGAAGAAGAGGGAUUUUGCUUAGGUGUCAUCAGCAACAGCUGAAGGCUAGCUUUUGUGCUACCUUGAACAGGCUCACGGGCCGACUGGAGUUUCCUAAGGAAGCUUUUUAUGCCUGUGAAGAUCAAAGCACUUGAUAUGGUUUCAUCAGCACAAAACCGAAUGAUUGUGAAUGUAUUAUUUUUCAGUUGAAUCUACUUUUUGUAUGCUCAUUAGGUUCUACCUCUAUUAAGAAAAUACAUACAUGCUGAUUUUUCUACAUGUUAACCAGAUGCACGCUCUAAUGGUAUCAUUCCCAAAUUCGGUCAGGCUCUGCAGUUAGAGGUAUGCACUGCCAGUCCUACCAUAACUGUGAAAGAGUGACUUGUGUACUUAUAUUUAAUUGAAUGUGUUGUGUGCUUGUUAGGUUCUACCUCUCUGUUAAUCGAAUAUGUACGUGCUGAUUUUUCUGCAUGUUACCCUGAUGCGGUGUUGUUUGAUGCAGUCUCGUUCUAAUGAUAUCACUUUCAAACCCAAUGAGGCUUUGCAAAUGGAGGUAUGUACUAACAGUUGUACCAUAAUAGAGCAGCUUGUGUGCUUAUACAAUGUGAGCUGUGGAAUUUCACCAGAAAUCCGUGAAUUAGGAUUUAUGAUGACAAUCUCCUCUUUUUCUAUCAGUUCAUAAUAUCUUUUGAGUGUUGUGAUAAAGGUCUCUGAUAUGACGAGCUUAAAUCUCAUGUAUGCAGCAUUAAAUUUGUAAACUUACAUAUAGCCUCCUAGCAAACAAUUCCGUAUUGCUGAGUUCGCUAAUUGGAUAUUGCAAAAUAACCAAGUAACAAGUACGCCUUUCUGUUCUGUAGUUUGGGCACUUUGCCUUUUAAGCAUCCAUUCUGUUCAUAAACACAAACAAGGAUGAUGGUGCUAAUUGCUGACUUCUCUUCUCUUAAGUCCGUUGUUUUCUAUUUCUUUGGUUGAUAAUGAAUUAUGUUGAUUGCGAUCCAAGUGUGAAUUAAUGAGAGACCCCUGGAAUGUGUGGCAAAACUAAUGUCCCCAGAUUUUGGUGUUGAUAGAUGAGAUUCAUUGAAGAGGUCACUCGUAGAUUGCCAGAACCUGGACCAGGUCAAAAUAACAUUGUUUAUAUUGAUGGAAUCUCAAGUCUAUGCUUACCACUUUCAGCUAAUUUUAGGUUCUUCAUUCCAAAUACAUCUAAAAAUAGACAGAACUAAGGAUCCCAUGCAGCCGCGCCUUUAUCUCUCUUCGAGAUGAUUGGAAAGUGUGAAACAUUUUUACUCUCAACCAUCUUGUGUAACACAUGCAUCGCCCUCAUUUUCUGACCAUCUUUAGCAAGUGCCCGAGUGGAGACUAGUUAUAAGUCUUCUAAGGUUGAAUUUGUUAGUGUUCGUAACUUUUGAUGAAAUACCAUAAACAACCUGAAUUUAUCAUUCAUUCUUUUCCUGAAUCUAUCACGAAGUACAUACGUAGCUAGUAGAAUUAUAAUUAUAUUCAAAAUCUCAUGUGACAACUGCUAAUUGGAAAAGCCAAUGAGUGUGAGACCCAAAUACAGGGUUUACAUUUGAUGAUGCGGUUCAAACUAUAAGAGACACACCUUGGGGUCGUCCAAAACUUCUUAACGACUUGCCUCGAAGGACAACCAAGAGAAGGGAACAUAAUCUCGCCGAGGAAUGAAGAAGGAGAAGGGGAAGCAGAAGAAGAAAAUUGCCUCAACUGAGUUGACAACAAAAUUGCAGCUAACACUGCUACCGGGACCCUCUCAUGUGGACUCCGAUGCCACCACAUCUGUGAUUUAACUGGUAUGAUAUCUAAUUCAUGAAAUAUUUGAUAUAAUGCCGAAGUGCUAAUUUCCAAGUCCCCUUCAUUUAUUGAGUAGUAUAAGCUUGCACAAGUUCAAUUUCCUUGCUCUCGUAUCAGCAGCAGCAUCACAAAGUCCCGUCUUCCAAUUCCCAAGGAAAUGUUCAUUUUUAUUCUUUGCAGGGGUUUAUACCGAUAAAUGGUUGAUACUCCCUGCAAUAACCGCCGAUGAUCGUGGUGUACAUGGUCACAUCUAGCUCUCAGCCUGUGUCUUCCAAAUUCUUCAGCAAUCGAACGGCUUUUCCAGUAUUGCCGGUUCUGCUCAAUCCCUCAUCAUGGCUUGGCACGUGGUUAUAUCUACCUCGAUUGUCUGGCCAACAUUUCAUCCGCCAAGCUCAUGGCUUUGACGAUUCUACCCUCUCCAACGAGCCCAUUGAUCAAAGUGUUAUAAGCUCGUAGUUGUGGGUUCAAGUCCAUGUUUGACCAUUUUACACAAAACUGAGGACCCGAGAUCGGAUCUUUUCAAUUGGCAGAGGUAAUUCAUCAAAAUGUUGCGAGUAGAACCGUUGGGAGUGGUUCCUUUCGAACCCAUCCACUCGAUCAUGUCAAUGGUGACGGGUAAUGCUUCAUCUUGGCCCCAACCGCGAAGAGUUGGGCGAAACAGGGAGGUAAAGUCAAGAGGGUUCACUCGAAUCGUCCUCUCCAAGAAGAAUAAAGCAUUGUCAGCUUCCACCAAUCCGCCAUUUCUGCAUUUGUUCACCACAAAGGUCACAAGUUCAGAUUGACCCAUUGAAUCACUCACUCCAGCAGUGGAUGGGCAACCGUGGGAGCAACGUGAAAGAAAAUGGUUCGAUGCAAAGAUGGGAUGAGAAGUGAGAGGUUUAGCGAGAUCGCCAGAUUCUCGAACAAGACGGUGAAGAGCAGAAGUGAAAAUGGAUCGAUUCAUUCUCAUUAGUUUUGCCAAAUUUUCUCCUUCCGAGUUCAAGAAUCCACAAAUUGACACGAUGGUGUAUGGAGAGGAUGAUUAUUAGGCAAUUCAAUCACUGAAACUUUAGUUGUAUGAUAACAUAGUUUUCGGUUCAAUCAUUGAAAACUACUUGAUUGGCAAACUGAACAUUUCUAGAAAUACUCUGAUCGAUUCAUUCCUGUACUCAGCAAUUGAAGAGAGGUUGGGAUGCAUAAUCAUGCUCUUAUACUGUUGUGAAAACAACUAUGAAAUCCACAUGUGAGACCAAAUCCGAUUGGAUUGAAAUCUCACAUGACAAGAACGGUGAACACUAGGGGAGUCGAAGUAUCGCCUGUCGACAUGAACGUUUCUAUUCUUACGACUAUCGGCACAAAAAAUGAGAAAACAAUACUAACGUUUUCUACUAUUGUCAUUAUGUGUAUAGAACAUACUUUUGGCGUUAUACCAGUUUAACAAUUUGUUUUGGUCUAUUCGAUGCUUUCUUACUCGUCGAAUGAGGCAGGCAUCCCAGCUCACAUUUUGCAAAACGAAAUUUUCUUAUAUGAAUUUUUGGGCUGGAUGGUUUACAUAUGAAGUGCAUAUUUCUGUGUUUUGCAUAUGAAGUACGUACUUCAUGAAGGAAAAUAAUAAUAAUUUUUUUGGCCCUGAUGACAUAGGAUUACUUAGCUAGUGGAUAAAACUCUAAACAUGUGAAAUGGAUGACGAAGCUAAAUCAAUAAUUUCUCUUUGAAAUUGAAAGUGUUUAUUUUUGUGACUAGCCUUUUCAUGCUUAGCUUAUCAUCUUGUCGUUCAAUUGAACAAAACAUGCAACUGAUUAGAAGUGCCACUCUACGAGGACAUAGAAAGACAAUAAUUUACGAUUUAAGUAGACAGGAACCCGAACGUUAUAAGGAAAUAAUUGAUAAAAGGAGAAAAUGAGAAAGUCGUCCAUAUGACAUUCAUAACAGGUAAUUACCACUAGAUAGGCAAUAUUUAGGAGGACAGUUUUCUGUUUUACAUUUCUAUUUCAAUGUGCCAUCAGAUUCGGUAAUUCUAGACUUAAUUCAUAUUGUGAUUCCUCUCAUUCUUCAUCCUGAUCUCUUUUACGUCAUUUCAGUUGCUUCGUUCUUGUACACCAAACGUGCCCUUACGGUUUCCUAGUGUAGGCAUGGGUAGUUUGUUUUCUCCUAAGAUAGUUUUGCUUCUUGGAAUUAAUGUUGACAGAGUAGAGUUUUCUCCAUCUGGCGAUUUGGGUGUAUUGAGGUGCUUGUGUGGUGGUGUUAUGGGAAGGAAGUUUCACAUCGGAGACAUGAUGUAAUGCAAUGUUGUCGACGUGAAUUUUGAUGAAAAUGCAUCUAGACCAAAGUAGUGGUAUAGGAACUAAGAAAACUCUCCGUGGCAGCACAAUAUAGGAUUUCUUUGAUAGAUUUUCCUGCGGAAACUUGUCGAAUAAAGGUAUCUGACUUUGCGUUCUGAAUAUGUAUGUCGACAGCUAUUUCGCCUGACGUAGUUGUUUUUCUUCGGAGAGUGUGUGCAUCUUCCGCCCUUUUCUUUUUCUUUGUUUUUCGUUUUUUUUGUUGUUGUUGUGCAUCCAUGUGGUAGAAAUUCUGCAUUGGCAAAUAAUAGAAGUGCUAUGCCAUAAUUUCAAAUUAUUGGGGGAAGUUAUGAGUUGGGCGUCCAGUAGUCCUUCCUCGAGCAUGGCUACUAAUCAAGAUCCUUUUGUUCCCAUGCACGUCAAGACGCAAAAACAAUUUCGAACUAUUUUCUAUGGGAUUGCGCAGCCACCUGAUCCCGUUGCAAAGAGAACUAGCAAAAGGUGAGGAGGGUCCAUUGAUUAAAGAAGUAAAUUUUCUGGUCAAAGAUGAGCAGUAACGGCAGGAUCGCGUGUAUCCCAGGCACAUCCUGCUCAUCUUCUAAGGCAAUAAUAGAGGAAGUAAUUUCCAAUAUCAACACCUUACAAAUGGAAAAGUUUCCAAGUACAAGGAGAUAAUACCGUACCUCUUAAAGAUGGUAUCCUGUAAAAAAGUUAAUCUCCACCGGGAUUGGUGUGGCGAUGGGCUCCAAUUACAAAGAGAACAAACAAAAAUAUCACAGCGGGUAGUCUUGCCAAUUUUGGGGGAGGAAGGUUUGUUAUGGUGGUCUUGGUCAGAGGGUUAAAAAGAAGUAGAAGCGUUAUCCUCUGCAAGAUUGUGCGUCUCCUUUGGGCAAGAGACUAAAGUAAAGCUUUACUUAUGACAUGUGUGGCAAAGCUCCCGAUUCUCAAAAUUUCUAUAUUUUCAUUCUCGAAAAUAGAAAAAGAAUGGAAAUUUAUUAAGUGAAGCCAGUUAAUUUUUCAAUUUCUUGAAAUAAAGAAUAGAUUUGGAACAAAAAUAAAAAGUGAAAAAAGUUAUUUAUUUAUUCUCGAGAACAAUUUUUGAAACAAAUCAUUUUUUCUUCUUUUCUUCUUCUUUCUCCUCUAGUCAGUUGUUGAGCCUCGUUGAUGGCUGGCGAUCAACCAGAGACGAGGUCUGGUAACCUCGCCAGUGAUUGGGCGAGGUCAAGCCUCGCCGGUGACUAGGACUAGAAAUAGUCUUGUCCUUUUUUUUAAUCGAUUAAUUAUUUUCCUUUUUUAUGUUCUUUACAUAGUGCCCAUGAGUUUGGGGCCACGACCAACUCCCAAGUUAAUGAAAAGAAGACUAAGGUUCACUCGUAAGCACACCGGAUUAUAAAGUUGGGCUUGAGGUUGAGCUAAAGCUAAGCUUUUUAACUAGUCUAGUUUUAGUGUAAGAACCUUUUUUUUUUGUGGGUAGAUAUUACAUCAAAGUACAUUGAAAAUCACUUAUUAGGUUAUAGUUAUGUUUAAUUAAUUGAGUAAUUCUAGUGAAUAAAUGAAAAAAAACGACGUCAGCUUUACUCCUGAAGGGAGAUAGAAAUUAACAUGCUGUUAGCACUUAAUUAAGGUCAUUUAUAAACGUUUUUUUUCCUCCACUUCUCCCCAGUACGUAUUUGGUAAUUAUAAUCCUAAAUAGAAUACGCAUUUUCUAUGUGGCCUUAUAGUGGGCAUAGAGCUUCGUAUGGUCUCUUCAAAGGUCUUCCCCAGUAAUUCAGUAGAAAUUGUUAUCAAAAGUUGCCUCUGGUGCUGUGUUUUGUCUCUGUGUCCAAACUUCUUUUGUUCGUAUCCUACGGUGGCUUUUUGUUCAUGAAAAUAUGCUUUAUUUAACAAACUGUAAGCUAACAUGCUUAGAGAAAAAUGUUUUAGGAACCUACAGUGUUUUGGACUUAGCAUUCAAACCAAAAAUGAUACUGAUCCAGAAGCAAUUAUCGUACCAAAAGGAAAAAGAGAAGAGAAACGGAGAAUAUAGAUUUUGUCUUGGUCGGGUUGUUUGUGGGGUUGAGAGGCAUCAUUCCUUCAGUCGACAUAAGAUGCUGGAGAUCUUGAUUUUGUCUACCACUUUAAAGCGUGUUUGGUAACAAUUCUGCUUCUGAGAACAAAUUCUGAUCAGAAAUGAAUUUUUUUUUUAUUUUGUUCCCAGGAAUAGAUUUUGAGCAAAAAAAAUACGUUUGGUAACUGUACAAAAUUUCUAAUUCUGGAAUAGAAAAAGAACAGAAAUGCGUUUGGUAACUACAUAAAAUUUAUAUUUCAAUUCUUUUUUAAUUACCUUUUUAGAUAAGUAUAAUUUUGAUAUUGAAUUCUCAUGAACCACUCACUAAUAUAAUCUUCUUUUAUGAGUGAAGAAAUCAUAUUAUAUUUUAUUAUAUUUUCAAUUUCAAAAUAAUUCGAAUUUAGAAUUCUAUUAUAUUUUAAAAUUCUAUCAAAUCAUAGAAAUUCUAUUGAUUAAUUAUAUUUAUACUAAGUAAUAAAAAUAUUAACUAAUCAAUUUUUUAUUAAAUAGUAAAUAAUAAACCAUAGUAUAAACUAUACUAAUUAUAAACUAUCCGGACUUGGCACUUGUGAGUGGGAUUGAAGCAGCACCACCACAGAAUCGUUUUGCAACCAAUCCACACAAGAUCCACGCGAGAACGAUCUUCGCUUCCACCGUAUGUCGAGAGAAUCCCGACUCGAGAACUCUUUCGCAGGUUAAGACAGCCAUCGCGCAAAGGAAUCUUUAACGAGUAGAAAGGGGCAAGCUUCUUCCUUUCGAGCAACCAGUCGAGCAUAUAGGCACACGGGCAAAGGGAGAAAAUGCGUCAGCUGUUUUCAUAUAUAUAUAUAUAUAUGUAUAUAUAGAUCUCUGCUCUUGAGACAAUUUAGGACAUGCAGCAAAGGAGCUAUCAAGAAAAGGUACUUACUUGCUUUGGUCAGGAUGAAGAUAACGAGUUCUGCAGCUCCAUGUGUCUAGCAGCAACGUCCUUAAACCCCUCUUUCAACUUAACUUCAUGGUGCUUUUCUUCCUCAAGCGAACUCACCAAUCUGUCCAGAAAUCUACAAUUCGGAGAAACAAAGGAGUUAUUAAAGUAUGUUCUCCUUUGUAUAUAGGAAAUAGAAAGUAGACUGGCAACUCUCCAACUUCCUAUAGUGAAAGUGACGAAUUUCAUACACUUUGAAAAACUGAAUAGAAAUUGCAAUGAACAGACCAUCAAUCUGAAAGAAUAUCUGAAAGCACCUUUUGGAGUUCGAUAUCAUGAUAAAGUCUCGAGUUUUCCUGUUUGUCAGCAGAGAAAUGGCCAGUGAAACGUCUGAAACCAUUGUCUCGAUGGCAUCAGCCGCAAACUGCUGUAGAACAAAGGGAGCAACUGACUGGACUUGAUGCUGCAGAGAUAAUGUAUCUUGAUUCCUCAACUCUGCUAAUCGCUGAUGGAGAAAGGCUUUGAUCUGAUGAAAGUACCAAAUCAGGCAAGAACAAGAGAUGUUGUCCAAAACAAUGUCAGUACAAUCUUUGCAAAAUACAAUACAUGUGGGAGGUGACCAUGAGAUGAACCAUAAAUUGGGAAAGAACAAUUAAACGGCGCAACAAACUAAACACUAUCUCAUAAAGAUCAUCGAGAAUCUUAUUUCUAUACUCUGUAUCUAGAAGCUGGCUUCGACCUUCCUUUGUUUCUGUAGCUUGUGCAAUAGUUGGUGAAUUAACUGCACCUACAUUGGGCAAGCUAACAUCAUCACUGACAUCAACUUGAGGUGUUUCAACAUUAACAUCCCAAGAUAUCUCUGACACUGAUGUGUCCUGUCCAGCAUUGCUCGGUUGAAUUUGAUUAUGCUUGACAGCUUCAUUGACCUCACUUGCUGUGACGAUUUCAUAAGUACCAAAGCCAUUACUGCCGUCAUCAGUUUCUUCCACAGUCCCAAUAUCCCAAUCAAUUGCAGCAUUGUCUACCGAGACAUCCCAGUCAAUAUUAUCUGCAGCAGCAUCCACAUCACCUCCUAUCUCAUUGAAGCCUGAUUGAGUAUUUGCAGAGUCUGUGAUAUCAGAGAGCAGAAACAUUCAAAGAUGGUGGAUUUUCACGAAUGUCUAUCAAGUUUGGUACAACACUCUUAGGACAUAUCAGCAAACAUGUCUCAAUAAAUUAAUCUUUACAAUCAGACCGAAAACCAAUAAAUGGAUCUUAAGUAAUUUCUAAUUUACUGCCUUACAUCCUUCUCUGUGUGAGCAUCUUUCACAAAAUUUGAGUAAUACUCAAUAGCUCGAGACACUGAGUCGCUGUUGAUCACUUCCAGAAUUCUGCUAAAUGUGCUCGGAAGUGAUUUUGCAGUUUCCAAAAGUUCAAACCUCACAUUUGUUCCCUGAAAAGCAGACAUGGAUGCCCUUUAACCCUAUCUAAAGGAAAGGUUGCUAUUCUUUAGCUUGGUAGAAGCACACACCCAAUAUCUUAAUAGACUAGAUUCAAAAGUUUAACCUGCAAACCAAGCUCUUGACAAGCCUCCACAUAUUUAGCUGCUGACAGAGCUGCAUUUCUUUUGAUAUCAACUUCUCUACGCUCUAGCUCUGCUAGUUGCUGCUGAAUCUUCAGAACUUGUUUCCUCUGAUAGGGGCUUCACAUCAUAUUAAUUAUCAAUGAUAUGAUUAUGCCUAUCACAGAAAAACAUAUUGCAAUGUACUCUACACAUCCUAUCCUCUCGGAAAAACAUAUCAUAAUUGACAUUUUGGAUCAUUAUCUGAGCAGCUUCGCCUAAAAAUAUAUGAUCUUUCUCGAAAGAACAAACAAUUGUCUCCAAGCACCCUGCCAAAAUUAUAAAUUAUAAAUCCAAUGCGAGAAUUAUCCUUUAGAUCACAGAAGAGUGUGUGUGUGUGAGAGAGAGAGAGAGAGAGAGAGAGAGAGGUCUUACAGCGGCACCUGUUAGCCAGCCAGAUCGGCGCGGGCGCCCGCCGACUCGAGCCCGGUGGCGCUCCCGCCGGCCGUCGCAGACGACGAACGACGGCGAUGGUGAGCGAGCCGUCACCCAGAUCAGCCGACAACCACCCAUAGCUGCGAGUGAAGGGAACUCACCUUGAACGAGCAGCUUCAACGAUGAAGAAGCAGCAGUCGCCGUCGGUCGCAGUUCUUGAGGAGAGAAUGACUUUUGUGACGUAAGAAGAAAAAGAAAGGGUUUGAGCAGAGGAGAGGAGAGGAGGGAACGUAUGGAGAGAACGUCGAGCAAACGAGAGGAGAGUUCCACUUUUUUUUUUUUUUUUUUUUUAUAUUUAUUUUUUAUUUAUUUUCGGAAUAAGAAUCAAUUUUUUUUUUUAUUCUUGAUUUUACUCAAAAUUUAUUUCCAGGAGAAAAAACUUUAUCAAGCGCGAUUCUGUUCCCAAACUAAUCCUAGGAACAAAAAAUCAAAAUCAGGUACUGUUUAGAUGAUUAUCAAAUAGUGCCUUGAUAGUUAAUACUCGCAAGGUUGAUUCACUAGCUGUCUACAUGGACUUUGAUUCAAUUUCUCCGGAGCUCAAGAUAAGUCCAAGUUUUGAGCCAAGCUCGAAUCUACAAGUAUUAAGUCGAUGUAUUGACAUUCAAUUUAUUUCCUUUGUUGCUUAACUAGUGCCUAAGUAUUUGUUUGAAAUUGACAAAGUAGUACUUUUUUUUUCUUAAUUUACCUCUCUACUUUUAUAUUCGUUUUCAUCUGACGAUCUCCAAAAAAAUUGAAAAAAUAGCAUUUCCAACACUACGUUACCGUCUGGCCAGAAAAAGAAAAUGGAUAAUUAUGUACACCAAAGGAAAAUUAGGAUCCGUAAGGUAAUUUACUAACAAACUGAAAAUAGACAAACCAUACGACCCAUGGCAAAGUCACCGUCAUUAGACAGGAUUCGGUCCCAUCUUCCCUUCUCAUCUGGUCACUGUCGAUCAUUCGACUAAUUCUUGCCAUUCUUUAGGUGGCUUUGGGUUGUCCCCAAGCAUUUUGCUAGCGAGCCGAACUCGAGUCAAGAAAACAAUACUCGAUCAAGUAAGUUUCGAUUUUUGAGUGCCACGAUCCGAGCCGAAGACACGCAUUUGUGCACAUUUUCUGUGGCAAGUUUCGCCAUUACGAGCGAGACAGAUAAUGACAUUCGGGGACGAGUCCCACAUAAGAAAGUAAAUGGUCGCGGCGAAAGGAAAAGAUACCGAAGUCAGAAAAGCAUAUUGUACACGUUGCACGGGCUAGUUAGCUUCAAACUUCAGACUUGCGAACACUGCAGGGCCAUCCUACCUAGCUUUGCAGCAUAGGACCCAAAACCUAGAUAUGUAAGAAAUAUUGAUACUAAAUAUAUAUAUAUUAUAUGCAAAAUAUAUAUUAUGGAGUAGAAAGAAAUUCAAUAUAUAUUGUUAUUUUAAAAUUUUCAUUUUAUAUUAGAAUACGAAUAUUAUUUAUAUUUAUUUUUCAUUAAUUUAAGAAGUUUGCUAUUUGAGAAAAAUAGCUUUUAUACCAUAAUAAUAAGAAAUUCUAUCCACCUUUCUUGUACUUUCUAUAGGAAAAUUUCAUCUAGACUAUGUUUCUAUAUAUCCAGCUUUAUUCUAUCUUGACAUACUAAAUAUGAUACAUUACACUAUCCUAUCUUGAUUUUUUAAUUAGGCUCAUUCAAUUAUUGGUCAAUUGUAAGAUCGAGUAUUCAGAACUAACUUUUCUACCAAGUGCAAUGGCCAUCUGAUUCUCGGGGUAGCUUCUACUGUAUAUAGCCCAGACUCAAGUCUCUCUUCGCUUGGAGCGAAAAAGGUGUACGUCCUCUGGCUUGGCCACAGCGGAUGAUGGAUACCUUGGCCACAGGAUCAUAUUCAUUAUUCAGGCAUCAGUGCACCUACUAAAGCAUGCUCAGCCACUUCCAAAAUUCUCAUCCUACGGUCAACAGCCAUAGCUACAUUACACCGGACGUAUAUACCAUGCAUGAUAAGCAACCAACUUCUUCUUUUCAGAUGAGACAACGGCAUUUUUCUUCUCUGGUCGGCCAUGAUUCUCUCCAGAACAUUGGAUAUCUCACGUUUAGCCACGUCUCCAGUUCACAUGUGCUCUGACGUUUAGCCACGUCUCCAGACGAAGCAUCUAAGCUACCCAGAGGCUGCCACCUCCAACUUCCUGGGAUCGUAGAUGAUAUCCAAACAGGAGUCUCCAGGUGGGCAUCCCUACCCGAGUCAACCUGAUGAGGAACUUCCAAGUAUCAUUGACUAUCCACAAACAUACGUACCUGUAUAUUAUGAAAACCAUAUACAAUAUGAAGCAUAAAAAGAAAGACGGUCUUGUAUGGCAUCUGCCAUAUAAGAGAAGAUAAAUAUGACUUAAAAGCAGCAAACAUGCAAUAUGACUUUGCCAUCACCUGUCUUCCUUGAUCAUUAUCACUACAUAUCUUUGGAGCAAAAAUAUCUGGUAUUGGAUGUCGAAACCUUAUUCUCAUUAGAUGAAGAAGACCCAUCCCAAAUAAGUUAUAGUCAACCUGCCAUUAAUUAACCUCAAGUGCAUCAAGAAACACACAUAUGAAAGAUAGCAAGUCUGGGCAUGAGGGCAUUAAUGACCCAUCCUUGCAAACUCACCCACUAUAGAACCAGAGAAAGGCAAAUUUGGCUAAGAUAGAAAGAUAAACUGAUGUCGCAAGAUAAUACCAGAAACUGAAGCAGAUAGGGAAUAUGCGAUUCAUGCCACAGCAAACUUCUGUCAAAUACUGCCCCUCCCUGGAAAAUGAUGUUGGACCAUGAAUAAAAAGAAAUAGACAAACAAGAUGACUAUAGGCACAUGUAUUGCAUGACACCUUUUUUUUUUUGUCAAAACUAAUAUAUUGAUUACAAGCUUUUCUUACAAGAAAACCUUCCUCAUAGAAGAUAACCUUUUGGAACAAAUCCAAAUACCAUCCCAACUUUCAUGCACAUACCAAUUUUCAUCCCCUACUUUUAAAACCACCAAUUCAAGAGUGUUGUUAAUAUUGAGAUGGGGGAGGGGGAGGGGAGGGGAGAGAGAGAGAGAGAGAGAGACUGGUAAUAGAGGUUUAAGACAGCUAGAGCGCAGCCAAAGAUGGCAACUGGUGGCUGUGAAGCCUUUGAGUGGUGUGAUUGGUGGAGAUGAUUAGGUUUGGGUUUAGAAUUUGGAAAUAAUUUUGGGAUAAUAUUUUCUAAAGUUUGUUAAAGGAAGGGCAAUUUGGUCUUUGGACUAUGCAGUUUGGGCCUAAGAUGCAAUUUGCAAAUUUCAAAAUUCGAGCAUGUAAAGCGAUUUUUGCAUGAAAUCUUAGCGUGGUAUUCAGAGGUUUGCCUUUUUUUACCAAAACUAAUAUCUCCAUUUACAAGGUUUUCUUUUGAGAAAACUUCCCUGCAUCUCAGAAAAUGUUCAACAGAACAUACUCCAAUGGCCACAUUUAAUGACUAGUGGACUUCCACUGAUACAUUUAUAUUACUCUGUCGAAGAACAAAAUAUAUGCUAAUUUUCUCAGGCCUCUCAAUAAAUCAAAACUUAAUUGCCAAAUUUUGGCCCAUAUAUUUCUGGGAUGCCCCAAAUAAAAUAUGAAUAGCAAAUGCUUUCUUUUUACGAUAAAACAAAAAUUUAGUUAUCAGGCAUGCGCACUCCAGAUCAAAACAAUGAAUACACUUGAAGGCAUGCAAUUGAAGAAGCCAAAGAUGACAAGUACCAAAUCUAGAGCAGAAUGGUGAAAACUCUUUAGUAUUCCAAAGCAAUACCAAUUCCAAUAAGGCACUAUUGAUAGAGAAAGAAGAAUACCAAAAGAAGCUUGGCAGCACGUGAGACAUCAUGUGGAUGAUAGCUAAAGCAUCAGUCAAGGUGCCACAAAGAUGUUGCUAUGGAAUAUUCAGGCAGAAAAAUAUAGAUACACAAGCUGUCAUUUAUGGAUACAGGUAUAUCUUGACAAACAGCUCUUCAGAUGCAUGAUAACCAUAAAAUCUCCUUGCUCGUACAAGGCUGCAACCAUGCACGUGUUGCCAUUUUACGCCAGCAUUGCCUUUGAGCUGCAGUAACUCACAAAACAAUCCUUUCAGAUACAAACUAGCAAGUGAAUCGCACAAUAAGUUAAAGCCAGGACUUAAUAUUUUCGAAGAAUGACAAAUUAUACCUUCAAGGCUUUCUCCAUGGCUAGAGAGAGCAUUUGUAAAUGCAUCCCCUGUGCAAUUCAACAGUGACCAAUUAAUUCCACGCUAGUAGCAGAACAGUAAGAGACUAGUUUAAAAAGGGACAUGAAUUCGAAAUAUAUGAAAGCACGAAUAUAUCAAACAAAUUGAGAUAAAGUCUACAGCAACAUUAUAAUACGAGGACAUUGACAAAAACUGGUCAAGUAAAACCACAGCCACGUUGCCAAAAGAACAUAUCACCCUGAAAACACACAAGCUACAUGCUAGAGGUAUUGUGAACUGAGAGAAACGUUGAUUAAUUUCUUCAAACCAGGAUAUGCUCAAAGCAGCCUAUGCAUCUGUAACACGCACAAGUACCUUCAGACGUUGGAUGGAUAGGAAUAUCUGUACAUGGUACAUACAAAUAGGGUAAAGCCUACAAGAAAAAAAAAACAUAAUUUAGAACCAGUACGAAAAAAAUGUAAAAGAUAUUGCUGUCUCAUAAACUAUGCCAUGGACAAGCAUCAUGUACUUUUCACAAUAGAUUGCUUGGCGCCACGUAAGCAGAAAGGGGAAGAAACUUUCUGCAUUCUGAAAUUGCCUUUUAUCUUGUAGCAUAUACCUCAACUCAAUUCUGUCAACCCAUGCUGGUUUAAAUUCUUCAUCGGCAGAAAGGAAGUUACUUUCAUUGCUCCACAGCUCAAGGGAGGUAAAGCAAGUACUUGGAACAAUUAAAAAACUACAAAUAAACAAGGACUACACUCACCUUAUGCACAUGUAAGCAAGUUUUUUGAUCAGCAGGAGUUGAACCAUAUGCUCUUAUUACAGGAACCUCAUUCACUUUUUCACCUUCAUCAAUCAAUCAUGAACAAGAUUAUGAACAUACAAAAGUAAAUACUUGUAGCUAAAUUUCUAGCUACUGUAUAGUAAAUGUAACUGUUAUUUUUGCAGGUUAAAGGUCAAAUCCUCACACAGAAUUUUAAAGAUUGACAUGGGACCACGCCACAUGAAAACUGUAAGCGCACCUUCUUCUCUUUGCAUCAGCAACAAAAAAGCGAAUUUCAAAUAUGUCAUCAUCAAGACAACUACACUCUCCAAACGAAAAGUAAUCAUCAGUCUACGGAAGAAGACGAUGAGAUGAACAAUGCCCACCAAAUAUUAAGAAAAAUAUUCAAUACUCUCUGGAUUUUCUAAGCAACCAAACCAAUCAUGUAAUAAAUUAUCAAGACACCAAUGUGCUGAUUCCAUGACUGUGCUACAAUUUUAAUCAAUCCUUGCAUAUAUCCAUGCCAGGCAAUUACUUAACAUCAAUCCAGCAGCCCCAACAAGAAGUCCGAAUAAGAAAUCCACGGACAAACUGAUAAGUUCUUCAUAACAGAACACUAAGCCAAGCAUAUUCCUUGCACUCAUAAGAAAGCAAACAAACUUUUGUCUGCAAUGCAGUAACUGAUCAAGUCCUACUCUAGCAAACAAAAUUAACAGCUUCCAGAUUCAAAACACAGGCUUCUCUGGCAUUUCCUACUUACCACUAGAUUCCAUAACCAAAGAAGCGAAUACAAAAAAUUAUGCUUCAAAAGAUGAGAGCAGACUCUCAUUCUUUUUUUACCAAAGACACUUUACGUACAUUUUAUUACGAUAAAAACAUAGAAUAACUUCAAAAGCAUCGCUGUUCCUAGGAGAAGACAACAUCAAGACCCGUUCUAAGACCCCAAUUCAGCCACAGCUCCAGGAAGCAGCAAGACCCAACAACAUUACUGCGUGGCAACUACCUAUUACCAUCACGGGCACAGUAAAACGAGUCUUUCCAUCUGUUUUCGUGCUUCCCCUAAUGCCCAAAUUCCCACAGUCUCAUUCUUUUUUACUAAAGACACGUUAGAUACAAAUUAUUACUAUGAAAACAUAGAAUAACUUCAAAAGCACCGCUGUUCCUAGGAGAAGACAACGUCAAGACCCAUUCUAAGACUCCAAUUCAGCCACAGCUCCAUGAAACGGCGAGACCCAACAACGUUCCCACGCCGCGGCUACCUAUAACCGUCGCGGGCACAGUAAAAAAACGAGUCUUUUCCAUCUGUUUUCCUUCUUCCCCUCUAGGAGAAGACAAUAUCAAGACCAAUUCUAAGAGACCAAUUUAGCCGCAGCUCCAUGAAACAGCGAGACCCAACAACGUUCCAGCGCCGCAACUAUCCAUAACCGUUACGGCCACAGUUAAAAAAACGAGUCUUUUCCAUUCGUUUUCAUGUUUCCCCUACUGCCCAUAUUCCCCACCGUCCGAACCGCUCGUACCUUGAAAGCUGCUGUAACAAACAUCGACGCCCGGGAUCGGGCGCGCCAUGUGGUAGUCGAUGGACACGAUCCGGACGCUGAAAAUCGCGGGGUCCUUCUCCGGGCCCAACGCCGCUGUACUGGGCUGCGAACCUUCUUCUCCCGUCGGGACCGGCGGCUCCUCCAUCUGCGGAAACCUUCCCACGACCCUCGCUGGGGAAAAGCGCCGGAACCCAGUGCGCGCUUAGCCCGAAAGUCGAUAGCCUGCGAGAGCUCGGAGGCGCUGGCCGAUGGUAACCGACCGCGCGAAAGUCAAGAGCGUCUUCUCCAAGCUCUUUCCAUUUUCCCCCCUCUCGCUUGUUCUCGUGCAGUGCGGUAACGGAACCCCGGAACAGGAAAAUGGACCGAGAAAACUCUUUUUUGGGCCGAUGAAUUAUUAUAAGUUACCUCGGAACGGUUAUUUUACUACUGUCAAAUAUAAUGAUAGAUUCCGACCAAAAAAAAAAAUUAAUGAUGGAUUCGGCCAAAAAAUAAUUUAAUAAUAGAUUAAAAAUCGGCUUUAAUCUAUCUUAUUAAUUGGUUUUAUAUACUAAGUAAAUGCUAACAACAAUGUUAAAUUAGAGAUAUUAGCUAUUAAUAACUCGGCAAUCAAAUUAUAAUUUUAUAACUUUCAAAUAGAUUAAAGAAAUAAGAGUAUUGAAAAUAUUAAAACUUUCAAAAAAUGCAAUCAAAUUAGAAAAUUUAUUAUAAAUAUACAAUUGAGUUUUAAAAUUUUUAAAAAAUACAAUUAAGUUUUAGAAUGGAUUAAUUUUAAUAUGAAUUAAGAUUUGUGUAUCAGUCGAAUCAAAACUAGUUUGUAACUUAAUUAAAGAAAUAUUUGUGUAUCGCUUGAAUUAGGAUAUGUAACUUCAUAAAAGAAUUAAUGACUUUAACAUGUUGACAACUUGUACAACUAAAUAUUUAUAAAUUAUUAAAAUGAACAAUAAUUUUGGAACAAUCAAGCAAACCCCAGUAUUUUUUUAUGAAGGUUUGGGUACAAACAUGUCACAAGCCAAAUACGUCACUGAUCCUCUUUUUUUAACAAACUGUUACUAAACAAUAUUUUUGAACUUACUGAUACGGAACAAUAGAACAAUCCUGGUCAGUGGUAUGCUCCCGAAUUACAGACCUUCAAGAGGUUUGUUCAACAACAAUAGUCAUCGAAUUCAAAUGAUCUGUCCACCCAUAGCUACAUCUACAAGCCCAGCUGAAAGUUUAUCAACACCUCAAACAAUUCGCUAAAACAUUAGCCGAUCCACACACAAAUUACUCCGUAAAUAUAUUAGUCAGUUCACGCAUAAAUAAAUCAUAUGCUCCAUUCCUUUCCAAAAGGCUAAAAAUAUAUGUACGUUGAUCACUAAUCAUACAAUAGCCACCACCCUUUUUCCUUUUGGACACUAUAUUUACAAUGAAAUGCAUAUUACAAAUGCAUUAUACAAGGUUCUAUCCACAAAGUGAUGGGAAAACAAGCUUAAUCGAUGCUUGGAGUUGCCCCAAGAAUGCAAAGAAAUAGAUGCGGCUUGGCGGAAUUGAAGAUUCACACACAUGGAGAAAUAGGUUCAAUUCCAGUCCCGUGCUUCAAGCUGCCAUCACCAUUCAUUUCAUCUUAUUAAAGCAGCCAUAACGUUGCCUAACUAUUUCAUUUAGGCCAAUCCCGCCUGUCUCUCCCACCUAAGGUCUUCGGAGAAUUUGGAGAGUGCAGCCCUCGGGUCACCAUCAGAGAUAGACAAGUAGUACUGAGCAGUCCCAUCAUCAACCUGCAUGCUCCUCCUAAGCGAGUCAAGUAUUCUCUUCUUCCCUCGUUCAGAGGUUGUCCUCUUUAGCAAAGAACUUAUCUCUAUGUCCCGGACGCCUUCUGGGUAAAGCACGGCGACUUCCCUCCUUGCAUGGUUAUCUCGCUCUAUGUAGCAUGUGGAAUCGAUAAGAAUGUCAGGGUUGCUUAUGGGGAUUAACAAUCCCUCCAAUAUAUACCAUGAUCACUCAUCAUGUUGUUCAAGCGCUUUAUGUCCAUGACCUGACAGCACAAAAGAAAUUCUUGAAGCAUGUGACAUGCGGUGUAGACAGGCACAAAAAGGAUAUGCUUGACAGAAACAUUGAAGCAGGGAAGAAAAAAUUUUCAGGGAAGCCAUUCUAAAAGUAAGACUCUGCCAACUGUUAUCAAAACAUUGAACCCAGAGAGAUCUAACUACAUGACAUCAUUAUUGACACUUCAGGGUUAUUAUGACUACAACCAUGGAAAAUUUCCAUAUAAAGACAUAUUCAUUUCCUAGUUGCACAAACAAUUUAAGUUCUGCUCUCAGAAUUUGAGGUUCACGUUCAACCAUUUCGAUGAAUCAAUACCACCACUGCAGAAUCAUCUACUAUUUCUACGUCAAUGUUAUUAAGUCAGAGAAACUAUCAUGAGGAUCACAAAGUGCAUUGCCCAUCAUUUCACACUGAUUACUUGCAAAAUCUGAGCAUCAUUUAGCCUCAUGUGUUCUGGCAACUAAGAGAUUGUGAUUAUCUAUUAAGAUAAUCAAUAUAUAGUCGUCAAUCAAGCAUAUCUUUUUGCUAUUAGUAACCGGAGAUGCUUCUCGCUUGGCAAACUUAAGACAACUUUACCACAUGAAGAGAUUUCAUAAUGUUUUACAUGAAGAGGACCCUAUGCUCCCUAAAACAUAACAUUUUGGUCCAAGCCCCAACCUUCCUCCAUACCUCCAGAAGAAACCACGACAGUGACUUCCAAGUGUAACCGUUUCCUUUUCCUUCUUUAUAUUUUAGGCUUCACUAAAAGAUGAAGUCACUCCAAAAUUACAAAAUUCGUAUGUCAAUUAGUCUGGCCUUCUCCAAUGGGAAUAAAUCUAUAAGAUUUGCAGUAGUAAAUUCCAUUGAGCAUCUAUCCUACCACCUAUUUGAUACAAUAUAGAGCCACAGCGUAAAAUUAUAACUAACCCCACUCAAUGGGGAUAAAUCUGUCAUUAACAUUGAAGUCAUUCAACCGCCAGCCUGCACAAAGAAGCUAUGAACAUCAUCAAAUGACAUGUACACUGUGUAGCAUCUUGUCAACAUUUUUCUUCUCCUAGUAAAUUCCCCAAGCUAACCUUUAUCAAAGAGGCCAGAACCCAAUUGAAUGGAGGUAUAAAAGAGCCAUGCCUGAAAUUGAACAAAACUAUGUACUUAGACAAUCCUGCACCAAUCAACAAAGCUAUCCAACUUUGGCUGUUAUAAUGGAGGAAUGACAGAAUGCUUCUUCAAGGAGAAAAGCCUCUGCAAAGACCUGAUAAUUGUCGCUAGCUGUACAGCAUUUCUCAAUCAACAAGUCCUCAGCAUUCUUCGGGAUUCACCAUUUUAGCAAUCAAACUCAGGAUCACAAAUUCGUACAUUAUGAAAAGCACCUAACCCAUCCCCACCCAUCCUCUCAGCGCCAAUGAAUAACCAAAUAGACAAUCUAUGCUGGAGAAGAAAACCAACCAGAAAUUCCAUGAAAAUUCACAAUAAGGCUCCCAGCUUCCGUCCACUUCACUCAAACGGACCCACCCACGUCUAACCCUGGCUACACAUGACCACAUGCAGAACAAACGUACACGACUUCCAAAACAUCAGAAGGAUACUACCAAGAAACCUUCUUCGUAAAGUUUCAAAAGCUAUAGCCGUACACACCACUUUAGCUAACUUUUAAAUGAAAUCGCAAUCCAUUUGUUCUUCAGAAUCAGCUGAAAGUGAAUCUCCAUCGAAAAUGCAGCGCCAAAGCAUGUCAUUUGCAAACGUUUAAAGUAUACUGCGGGAGGAAAUAAUUUCGCCACCGACAUAAUUCACAGUUUUGCUCACAAUCAAUACAGCAAAAGGGACAGAAACUCCAUUACCUGAACGGAGUACUUCACGGCGCGGCUCGCGACGCUAUCGCCGCGCUUAAUCUGGUGCGAGAUUGCGAACUUCCCCACGCCGUUAUCCCUCCAGAAGCUGCCCGAGCUCGGGACGCCGACCACCUCCUUCAACCUCCAGGGGACCGCGAAGGCUCAGGUGACCAUAUCGCGAUCGGAGGCGACGGAGCUCCAGAUGCGGCAGACGCAGCUCGCGCGGGCCAGGUUCGGGACAGGGAGCUUCUCGAAGAUGAGCCGGAGGGUGUCGGGGCAGGCGAGGGCGGAGAAGUGGGAGUUCAUCGGCGAGAUGGUGGAAUCGUCGGCAGCGGAGGCGGAGGAGGAAGCGGCGGCGGCGGCGGCGGCGGCGGCGGUGGAGGACGGCGGCGGAAAGAGAUCGGGGGUCCGGGGUGGAGGCUCCCGGUCGUCGUCGUCGCCGCAGCAGCCCAUUCAGAAAGAGAGAGAUGGGAAUGUCAAUGCAAUCGGUUUUGGAUGGUUUUGGAUUUUGGUUUUGAACGGUGGAUGGUAGGUGCCUGAAAUAUGGUUUAAUUACGGUUUUUUGCCCCGCAUUUUGUCAUUUAUUACAAAUUGCCCCUGACUUUUCGAUUUUUUGCGAUGUCAGACUGGUGUGACUUCCAUCAUUUUUCAGUUGGAGCACCGACCAUGUGCUUGUCACGUGACUGAGUUGAUCUUUCAUGGAAGGGAGAAAGGGCCCGUUUCGUUCAAUUUUGCGAACAUGAUUUUGAGAAAAUAAAGGGUUUUCCGAAAUGCUACCCCUUCUAAGCUACCCCUUCUAGUGAAUUGCAAUUUCAAAUAAUAACUUCAACAUAAACACUAGGCCAAUUUCAUAAAAAAACACAAACUUUAGAUAUUAUCUCAUAUCUGACCCGCGUUAACCAUCCUUUCAUAGUCACCGUUAGUGACAUUUUUAUGUUAGCAAUAAUGUCCAACACAUCAAGCUGACGUGGAUAUAAAGAUAAAACUAAACCUAGGCUUUCUCCUCUUCGUCUUUAAAGCACGAGAAAAUCUGCUCAUCAUGUCUCUCUAUUUGUUCAAAAAAAAAAAGUCUCUAUCUCUUUGACAUCUCCUGGCUAGAGUCACUGCCAAGUUUGACAUCCACACGUCCACCGCCGAUGCCCGUCCAGGCCAACACUGCACGUCCAAACCAGACAACCCCUCCGUCGUCCUUGUUGUUAGCUUCGUCUUUGCCGGAAGGAGUCUUCCAUCUCUAUCGUCUUUGUGGUCAUCUUACCUGUUUUUUGCUUGAGCAAAUGGCCAAAAAUCUGGAAAAAAAUAGAAGUCUCCAGAAAAAAAAAAUCUGGAGAAAAAUUUUGAGACAAGGAAGGGGCAAUGAGUGUCUUGGCUUGUCUUUUUAGCCAAAAAAAUCUGACAUUUAGAGGAGUUUACAGGGCAACGUGGGUCAAAAAUCAAAGACAAGCCAAAAGAUCUGACAUUUAGAGGAGUUUACAGAGCAACGUGGGUAAAAAAUUGGUGGGUCUCUUGGCUUGUCUUUUUGGCCAAACAUAGAAGACAUAGCUGCAAACAACUCGAGUUAUGCGGAAUUUGUGGAAGCUGGGUUAUGGGAAAUCCUGGGGGAAAAAGAAAAGGAAACCCAGAAACUUGAGUGCUAAAGGUUUUUUUAUGACAAAACUCACACCGGCAAUUGGGUUUUGCUAUUUUUAUUUUUUAUAAUCAAAUCCGGCAGCCGGCCGGUCGCCCUAUGACAAAUAAAAUAAGAAGGUGGUAAGAAGGUGACACAUAUCCUCGUGGGAUCCACGGACUGAUUGAGGAGAAAAUGAGGCUUUUGCUAUUUUUAUUUUUUAUAAUUAAAUCCGGCAGCCGGCCGGCCGCCCGGUGACAAAUAAAAUAAGAAGGGGGAUGGGGGAGGCGACACGUAUCCUGGGAAGAAUGGGACGGACUGAUUGAGGAGAAAAUGAGGCAUCAUUGCGCGUCUCCUUCGGGCCAAGAGGGGCAAGAGGUUCAAAGUAAAGCUUUAUUUAAGUCCCGAGUGCUCGUGACCCAGGAGUAGAAACGCCAAUCACCAUAAUCAAUUGAGACGCUGGUCUUUCGCUCUGAGAUAUCUGGCUUUGAUAGCUCUAGAUUGAGGCGUGGAGGUGGUCUCAGAAUUGUGCUGCUUUUGAGGCUCGGACACGACUUGAUGUGCUUUAAGGUAACUCCUUUUUAGACAUUAAAGCCCAUCCGAGUAAUUCUGUCUCUGCAUUACUUUUUCAGAUGAGCCGGAUAGUCUAUUACAUUUUGAUAGAAGAAAAUAAAAACAUUUGAUUAUUACUCAUUGCAUGACAUCUAACAUCCUUAAAAGCAUGCAUAAUAUAACAUGUGAAAUUCCAUUGACUUUUUCAAAAUCACGGUCGUCACAGUUUGCAGAUUUUUCUUACUACGUUCCCUUUAUUCAAAUUGAUUAGUAUGAGUGGUUGGACUAUGAGCGGUUGGACUGGUUAAACCUGGUGGAAUUUGAUAGUUCUUAGGACCCCUUUGGUUCAACUUUGGGGAAAUGCAAAGCCAUUUCCCCAAUUUUAUUUAGAAGAAUGGGCAUUUGGUGAAUGCUGAAGUGUUUGGGUACUAUUUCGGUAUUUGCAUUUUGCAAAGUAGCUUUAAGGUGAAAAAGAAAAAGGAAAAACAUAAAAGGAAAAAUGAGGAGGAGAUGUUGAAGCAGAGGGGAACAGUUGGGAGGCAGUCAGAGUUGCUGGGGGAGGCGGUUGGUGGCAGUGGUCGCGACCUAUGCACCGCCAACGCUUGGGUCGCUCGACCCCAGGCGGGCUCGAACCACGCGAUAGUAGUGCGUGGUGACGGCGAUGCAUGGGUGGCCAGAUUUGGCCGACUGAGCACCGCUCAGCCCAUCACGUGGGUCGCGCGACCCAGGCGGCGUCGCCUGAGGUCACGACCCACGCAAUAGUGAUGCAUGGCAACGGCAGUGCAUGGGCGACCAAAUUUGGCCGGCUGAGCUCCGCUAGCUGAGCUUCACUCUUGAAGCUUCAAGACCAACGAGGAAGACGAUGAACAAGACCAACAAGGAAGACGAUGAAUAGUAGUUUUUGAGGGUAAAACAGGAAAACGCAAUUAUCAGUGAAGGCAAUAUUGGAAGAAAAAAAUUCAUUAAACCCCCUCUUCAGCAUUUCGAAAAUGUUGAAUGCCUAAAGCAGAUCUUCACUUGUUUUGGGCUUUCAGCAUUCCACAUUAUUCCAAAUGCUAACAUUUGGCCAAUGACACUAAAAAAUGCUGAACCAAACGCUUAAAAAUUUUCCCAAGGGGCUUUCGGGGCUGAAAGCCUCUUGGAAAUGCUUAACCAAAUGAGGCCUUACUACAAUCUCUCUCUCAUAUUUGUCACUUUCUGAACCUUUUACAUCCGUCCUCUCUUGCAAAACAGUUCAACGCUAUCAUCUACGGUCCUCGCUCGCUCUCGUUGUUCAUUUCCCUCUUGAAAGUUACUCGCCGAGGCUUGUUUAGGGUCUUCUCUCUCCGACCUUGCACCUCCCUUCGCAUCUCAGCUCGCGGAAGGUAAUCAAUUUUUUUUUUUUUCAUGACCCAUGGAAACCCGUAAGCCAACAGCCGGCGGACAAACCCUGGGGCUGACGCAAGCUAACCACCACACUCACGCCAGCGGUUAAGUCACCCUGCGACGCGCUGGGGAUUCGAACCCCUCCCCUUCAUGAGGGGGAGGAGGCCCAAAGCCAGCUACGCCACCCAGAUGGGUGGUGAAGGUAAUCACUUUUUCAUCUCUUAUUAGCGUGUCAUUUUUGUUGAUUUUCUUGCGGCCGAACUAGUGUGUAACGUGUAUUGGGCUUUUUUUUGUCUAAUGUGGGUGGCUGCUAACGUGGUGUGUCACCAGCUCCAGCUCAUAAUCGACUUUUGUAGAAAAGGGAAGCCUUUGCUUUCGACUUUAGAUGUGACUAAUCAUGUGGCCUCUCUGUCUCAUUGUUCGUUUACAUCACAAUUCAUUGUCCAUCCUUUAUUAAGCUAGAAUGAGUUGGAAUGCCAGCACGAUAGAUUCUAUUGCGCGCAAAAUUGCCAGUAUUCACCUCAAACCAGGGACCGUCUUUUGAUGGGUUGUGAGGUUUAUUUGUCUAUGAAGGUCUAAGAUAAAUUAAAUAAAAAACGAAACAGAAAAGAAAAAGUAGUAGGCCGGUUUGCGGCCAAUUCUGGGAUCAAGGGGUUUGAAUUUCAAUUUCAAAAAUUGGAAACAGGCUUUGAUAGGGUAGGUUUCAAGUCUUGUUUCGGAAUCUACACACUCUAUAACCGAUCACCCAUAAAAGUAAUUAUUCUCUUAAUUGGAUUUUAUUCGACAAUUUUGCCUCCCAAUAGAACAUUCUAGACAAAUAAUAUGAUGUCUUCCUUGAAUUAUUGGACAAGAUAAUCCUAAAAGGUACCUUGCCUUCACCUCUAACUCAUUCUUCCUUCAGAGUUUUGAAAAUUGACGGAGUCAAUUAACUGAAAAAAGGGUAUAAAAAAAAAGUUGAGUGAGUUAAUAUGCCAAGGUUUGAGUAUUUUUAACUCUAUUGCUGCUUUUUUUGAACAAAACAUGAAAACUAUAUUGCUACUUUCUACCUGCUCUCAACUCAUGAUAGUUUCAAUCAUCACAAUACAAACAUACCAAAUCCAUAUAUGAUGACUUCUUUCACUUUGCAUCUCUCUAAAAUUGCAGUCAUGGUGAUUUACUUAAUCAUAGGGACUCCCAAAUACAUGAAUUCUUUUAAAAUAGAAUAGAAGUAGAUAAUUGAGGGCUUGUUAUUCAACAGCAUAAUACGACUUAUAUACCCAUGUCAAUCAAUAUCCAUAUUCACAUAUAUCUAUCUAUGAUAUUUUCUUUAACUUCAUACCUUUUACAUGGUAUUCAAUACGAAGAAAAAUAUCUUAUGACACACACGUGAAAAUGAUCACAUAAAUUGAGCCAUACGCGCAUAUUAAGAGAUUCACCUAAUUUUAUAACACAUUUCUUACACUUCUUAUUACAAACAAUAAAUUCGUUCUUCAAAAUGUGAUUAAUCAAUUUAACCUGGUUUAUCAGGAAUUUAGUCAAUAAUCCUAUUCUUCUUCCAUUUAGUUGAAGAAAAAAAGCUUUGCGGUGAUAUUUUCAAGGUGGGCCCUCCAACAAAAAUGGGGACAAGCACUCAACGUCAUUGUUUCAAACCUUGGUCGUCUCUUAAUUUUCUUCAGCAGCUUCCUUUUACUUGCUUUCUUCUCUUCUUCUCCUGCUUCCACCGAAUCCGUACAAUUUUGUGUCAUUUCUAAUCUGUCAGACUCACGUGGAGAAGGGGCAAAGUCAGAGCAAGGCAAACAAAGGGCUGCACCGUUUCGUUUCAGAUCGGUUCCUUUGCGGUGCUUCUUGCGUCUCUAUGCUUGUAUUCAAACAUCUCACUAAGAAGAGAAAGACUGCAUAAAAAAGAGUGCACUGAGGGAAUCUGCUCCUCCGUUUGAUGCUAUCUAACAAAUUUAUAGCUUUAGUUCUACAGAUAAGAUAUCAUUCAAUGUUUAAGAUUUGAAGAUUUAAAAUGAAAGGCUCAGUGAUGAUAUACCGGUUCAAAAUAAAGUAUUUAUACAUGGAAUUAUAGCAUGUGGUAUUGGCGUGUAAUGAGUAAAAGAUAAAUAACCAUGAGCAUUUGUUUAUCCCUACCUCACAUUUCCAACUUCAUUAAAUAUAUGACAAUUUUAAACAUAAUUUAAAUAUAAAAUCACAUCCAUAAUUACUAGCUCGGUCCUUUCUUGACCUCUUUCACGCAUAUCUAAUUCUGUUUCACAUUAAUUAUUAACAUUUAAAUGAUUUAUCAAAUUCUGAUUUUCUAUAACCCAAUAAAAACCAAACGUAUGAUUAUGUCUUUAGUCGAAUGCAAUAUACUUGUACACAGAUUCCAGUUAUUUAUAGCCUAAUUAAAAAAUUAAUGUACACGUUGUUCGUGAUUGGAUCAAGCCAACGAGGUUGACUUGACUAGAGGAUGAGGUCCAAAAGAGGAUAUUUAAAAGCAUAGAUAUUUUUAAAAAAAAUUAUCACACUAAAGGCCCUAAAAUUAACAUACAAGUUAAUUGAAAAAAAUUUGGACCCGCGUUUUCAGGGAAAUACUAUUAGAAAAGCCCUACUCAAUAUCUUCUUUAAUUUCUAUGCACUUUUAGAAAGAAAUAAAAUGUCGGCCCAAAAGGAAAUAUUUCCCCUCAAUUUAAAAUCAUUUUCAUCAACUUCCUUCAUAAUUUAAACAGCCAAACAGAUGAAAUUUUUUCCUCAAUUAAUAUUUUAGUUUUAGUUAAUUUUACAUAUGAGCAAUGCCUAAAACUUGAAUCCAGCUAAUUAAAUCAUCAUUGAUGGAAAUUUUCUCAAAUUAGGAAAGUGCACGCAUCUGGAGAAUGAUGUCCACUGGGCAACAAUUACAUGACACCACAUUAGUUUGGCCAACCGAUAUGGGGUUAGUAGAAAGGGUUGGGAAAAUGAGGUGGUGAAGAUAAUGAGGUUUGUUUGUAUAUUAGGCUAAAAAUAAUAAGAGUAAGAUCAAAGGCUAUUAUAAGGAUAAGAUGUCGUGGGAGUUUAUAUUUGGUGGAAGAUGGUUCCAGGGUAUCUCCUACAUAAUUUCAAUGUUUUAGGUGUGAACUAAAAGAAUCUGUCUUGAAAUAUCGUAGACAAAGUUAUGUCGUUAUACCAUGUGUUUUGAGGAAGUCGAUUAGGCGUGGUAGCUAGGAGCACUGGCAUUCGACUUUUUUGUUUAAUUACUUCUUUCAAUGUGAAUUGGCUUUCUGAACAAGUAAAUGAAGGGGCUCUUUGGGGGCCCUUUUUAGGGGCCAUCACCUAAUCUUCUGCAGUCAAGCCACGUUGGUCACCCAAACUGAAGGCCGUGUCCUCUCUCUCUCUCUCUCUCUCUCUCUCUCUCUCAGGAGCACGAACUUCUUUCAGCAUUUCCCUCUCAGAUCGCCAUGGACAAAGGGCAAAGUCAGAAGAGAGCACCGAGGGAGCAUCCAGUUCUUCGUUCAUCUCUCCAAAGCUCACAGGACAAGGUGACGAUGCAUACGAUGUAUUCUUGAGCUUUAGAGGCUCAGAUACACGUAAGGAAUUCACCGACCACCUCUACAAUAGACUGGUCAAUACAGGGACUGCAUAUUUUUGUGUUCAAGGAUGAUAAGAGCAUCCCAAUUGGUGAGAAUUUUAGUUCACAAAUUCUUGGUGCCAUCUCACGAUCUAAGAUUUCAAUCCCCAUCAUCUCCGAAAAUUAUGCUACUAGCAAAUGGUGCCUUCGUGAGCUCAUCCAUAUGAUGGACUGCAAGAAUAGUGGGUCACACAUAGUGUUGCCAAUUUUUUACAAAGUUAAACCAUCAGAUGUGCGGCAUCUAAAAGGAAAUUUUGGGGAUGUCUUCCGUUCGAGUCAAAAGGAUUUUGAUGAGAAGAUUAUCCAUGAAGGGCCGCGAGCACUUAAAGAAGUGAGUGACUUACAGGUGUGGGAGUCCGAGAAAUUUGCUAACGGGUACGUCAUAGAACUUUUCUUCCUCUUUUUUUUUUUGGUUGGGAAACUUUUCCUUUUUCUUUGAUAAGUCCUCUUCACGCAAAACCAAUGAAAUGCAGAUGUAUUACUUGCAUUGCAAGCUCAGAAAAGAUCCCCAAAAUGUCCCCGUAAACAACCCUAAUGGGUCGAAGACUAGCAAACACUAGUACUUCCCAGGAUCUCGUGAAAACUAAACGAACGACAACUUAAACCAAAGAUCCCGUAGUGCCCAAGAAUUUUACAUUUGUCUCCAACACAAAGCCAAAAAACGAAAGAAACAACCCCUUCAGCCAAUAGUAUGCCCAUAAUGGACCCCAAUGCUGGGUCUUGAUCGCUACCAGAUAAAUUAGACCUCAUUAUGCCAACGGGUUGGCUCGGCUGAGAAGGGUUGGAAAAUUCCCAUUUACCAUGUUUAGGCUUGAUUUCCAAUGCCAGUAACCCUCAUUGGUAGGCAAUCUUGGGAUAGCCUCCUCUCCUCCUAGAAUUUUUUAACCAAAAAAUAAAAUAAAAAAUGGACCUAUCUUUGAACGGGCAACAACCUCAAUCGUUAUAAUGAACAUUAUAGUUUGAAAGACUCUUCUUGAGCCAUGUACACCACCUUAUUUUAUUUCAGCAAGAUCCAUCUAUUGGCAUAAAAGGAUAGGGUAAAAAAAAUUGGAAUGACCGCUACUCCAUCUUCCCCCGUUGUUAUGCGUAAAUCCAAAACAGCUUGCAUGUUAAUUGGCCCCAUGCAUCCUCAAAUAUAUGCUGGUCUUUGGAUGAGAUUAAGUAAAAUCAGGUAGUUAUCAAUGAAUUUUGUUGGUUGACAGGCAUGAAGGAGAAUUAGUGGAAGAAGUGGUCAAAAAGGUUAUGAGCAAAUUGCAACAAGACUUUCAGCUUGAUGUUACUAAGCACUUAGUUGGAUUUGAGGAUCAUGUGAGCAAAAUCAGGAAUUGGGUAGACACUCCUGCCAGUGCUACUCGAAUGAUUGGAAUCUAUGGCAUGGGUGGGAUCGGAAAAACAACUCUGGCCAAAUCAAUCUACAACCAGUUGUUGGAUGAAUUUGUACAUCAUAGCUUCCUUGCUAACAUUCGAGAAACGGCUCAAUGCAACGGUAUUCCUUAUCUACAAAAUCAACUAAUUGAGGAAGUACUUCAAAUCGAAUGUCAAAUUCGGAAUGUUGACCAUGGAAUUAGUUUGAUUAGAUCUAAAUUCAAAGGAAAAAAGGUUAUCAUUCUUCUGGAUGAUAUAGAUAACAAAAAGCAACUAGAUGCUUUGGCCAGAGAGCGUAAUUGGUUUAUGAGUGGAAGUAUUAUCAUUGUUACAACUAGAAAUAAAGCUAUUCUUGAUCAAUCCGAAUUUGAGGUAGACUACCCAUAUGAAUUGAAUGAAUUGGAUGAGGAGCAUUCUUUGCUUUUAUUUAAGAGACAUGCAUUUCGUAUGGAUCGUUGUCCAACGGAGUUUGAGGAUAUCUCUUGUGAAAUCAUAAUCACCAUGGGUGGGCUACCCUUAGCUAUUGAGGUCGUUGGUUCAUACUUGUUUAAAAAAACAAAGCUAAAUGUAUGGAUAGAUGUGUUGAAGCAAUUGAAAGAACAACCACAUGAAGAUGUCCAAGCCAUAUUGCGGAUAAGUUAUGAUGCAUUAAAAGGAGGACAUAAGCAGAUUUUUCUCGAUAUUGCUUGUUUCGUUAUCAGGGAAGAGAUCAAAUUCGCAAUGUACAUGUGGGAGGACUGUGGGUUUCAUCCAAGUCAAGGAAUAGAAGAAUUGGUACUGAGGUGCUUAAUAAAAAUUGAAAAUGAUGACAAGUUAUGGAUGCAUGAUCAAUUGAGAGAUCUUGGAAGGAGCAUUUUUUGCCAAGGACAAUCACCUCAAAGAUGUAUCGAACCAUGGAUCAGCAAAGAAGCCUUCGGAGAACAAAUACUAGGAAAGGUAACAUCUGGCCCUCCUUUCUCUCUUUCUCUCAUAAUUAUACAUAUAUAUUUUUAAUAUGAAUUAUUCUAUUCUUUAUUUAGUAUGAGGAAAUGCUCCUACUUUUUAGGAAAAAGUAUGUUUAAACAUCCAUUCAUGUCCAUUGUAGAUGAAUUGUGACAGCUAAUUGGGAUUAUAAGUGUCCCAAGGAUGAAAAAGUUACCUUAUUUGAUUCAAAUUCAUUGAUAUAAAUUAAAUCUGUCAAAAACUUAAUUUACAAUCAAUUUAAGAUUCUUUAACUAUGAUUCUGCACUAAAAAUCUGGUUCACUAAAAGCACGGAACUUUAUAUCUAGUUGAAAAUAUUAAUAAUCUGAAAAAUUACAGUAAUUAAUACGGAUGAAGCAUAUACAUCGUAAAAAAAAAAAAAAAUGUGCCAAUCAUAAUAAAUAAUAAUUAAGCAAAUCAGUAACAGCAAAGAAAAAUCAAUGUUUGAUAAACUUUUUUCCCCCAUUUUGAUCAUGAAAGUACCCGUCCCUCUACUAGUUUCAUCUAUCUCUUUUCCUCCUUCUUUCCUCUUAAUAGAUAUGAUGGUAAAAAAUCUCCUUAAGAAUUCUAUUGGGAAAACCUUACUAUGCUUUUAGGGUUACGUCACGUUGACCUUGUUCAUCUCAUGGACAAUCAGUGGAUCUUCUUAUUAUUUCUUUAAUUGCUUCUUUCAUUUCCAUUGUCCGUUCCUUCGCUUUUCCUAAUAAACACUUCUUUCCUCUCCAAGUUGUUUUUUUAUAUUAUUUAUAUAUUUGGGACAACGCUCUUCUGUGCUAAAAACCACUGGACAAACUUGACUAUUUAGAGGAAAUGUCAUGCUUAUUAUUAUAUCGAUACUUUUUUAUUUACUAUAAACAAUUUUCAGCAUGAAGUCAAAUUUGAAAGUAAGUUUAGUUUUUACAUAGAUUGUCAAUGUUCAUGUCAUUUGAAUAUUUUAAAUUGUCCAUUUGGGGAAGCCUAGUAGGUUCAUGACUGAUCAAUGGCGGGGAAUUAACCUUUGCAAUUAACCAAGAGAUGUUGGGAAAGGAAAAAGCUUUAUUCUCGAUUGAAUUUGAAUUAGUUCGCUCAUACCAUUAUAAAGAGCACAUUCUUUUGUUGAUUCAAUAAUUAUUCUUAAGAGAAAUAAUAUUGACCGUGUGUUUUUCACUAGUUAAUAUAUAAAGUACGGAUAAUGACAAAUGAGUUGAACCAUAAAAUUAAACCCAACCAAAAAAAGAGAAAAAAAGAAUUCUAUCUUUGGUUUGAUAGCGUUCGUGGAAGUUCAUAUUUCACAAAACAAUUUGUCUUUUGGCAGUUUAGUUUAUUCAUAAUAUUUCCAAGAAACUAACGAAAAAGAUGCACUUUCAAGUUAUGUUGAUCAGUCGAUAAUUUUCUUUUUUUUAAUGUUUACUUAUAUCUCCUGCCCUAUUGUAUCUUUGCACUCGGCCUAUACAUAGCAUUCCAGAAAAAAAAAAAAAAAACACACACACACACACACACGAGAUAAUACUUUCAAUAUGUCAUAGAAGUUCAUGUGAAGAAAAAAGGUGUCGAGUGUUGUGAAAUAUGGAUCAAGUAGUCGUGAGCCCAUACCAUAUGCACCAAACUGACAUGAAUAAAUUUAUCAUGAAGAUAUAACUGUACUAUCCUUAUCUCUAAUGGAAAAGCACAUAUAGAUGGACAAAUCAUGUUCUUUGGAAAGACAGUUAUAAUUUAUAAGUUGACAGUUCUUAAUCUUUCAUUAUGGUAAUUCAACUAGGAAAAAAAAAACAUCUCUCAUUAUAGUAAAAAUUCAGGCGGGAAACCGCAUUCGAAAGACAUUCCUUUUUUUUUCCCAAUAACAAUGGACAUACUUCUUUUGGAUGGAGUGCACAAGAAAAAGUUAAAUGCGUUAAAAAUUGAAUUAUAAGGAAUUUAAAAGGAUAUUAAAUGAAAUUGCAUGAAACGGUAGUGCGAUCAAAGGAAAAUUACAAGGAAAGUAAAAGAUGAACUUUGUUGUGCCAUGCGUGUCUGAUCUUACCUCUGAAUACCCCUUUUAUACUAAUGCAUCGUGUCGACCAUUCUGUUUCUAGGCCAUUCACAUGUAACUUCCACAUGCAUCAUAUGUCACAUUCAUCAAUUGUCUCCUGCGUUACUUGCCACAUACAUCCUAUGACACCUAGUCCUAUACUAUUCUUUUCAAGGGAGAGAUUUUUCUAUUAUUCUCUCAACCUAUAUUUUCUCAAAGUUAAGUUCAUUAUGAAUCUUAUUAUUUAAAUGAAUCCAUGGGCUAUUUACAUCAUUUAGCUCUUAAAAGGUGAGAGCCCACUGUGCGUGUGCGUGUGUGUGUGUGUGUGUGUGUAUAUGUAUAUAUAUAUAUAUAUAUAUAUAUAUAUAUAUAUAUAUAUAUAUAGACACACACACACACACACUCACACACGCGCGCGCGUGUUUUGCUUCUCUUUUAAGAGGGAAUUGCUCAUCAUUUGAAACAUCAAUUGGUGUCAACUGCUCAAUCCAAUAUAAAUGGUGUGCAUAGCGAGGGUCAUGUCUAGUCUAUAUCUAAUAUAAUAUGAUACUAUAAUUAUAGAAAUGAGAUUGGUGUCACUUUAGGUCCCUUCCAAUUUUACUAUUAUUUAAGGAUUCUCCUACUAUAAAGAGUAUGGCGGAGGAGUGAAGUCUCACUUUGGUAGAGUACUCCUUGUCUAACCAACACAUCCCCCACCUUUAACGGUUAUAUAAUAUUCUCUUCAUCAACAUGUUGUACCAUCCCCAAUUUUUAUCACCAUUCUCUUCUUAUUUUUAAGAGUUUAAGUUACAAAGUUCACAUAAAAAUAAGCAUAAUGUUAAUAUAACAUGCGCGUAGCAUGUGUAUAGAGUAUUGUGGACAUUAAGCAAAGUACAUUUACAAAAAUAAUACCAUUUUUAGGUCGAAUUUUACUUUUUACAUGUCACAAAUGCAUUUUCUUGAACAGGUCGAGUGAGGGGCAUUGCUGGCUUGAAAUUACUCUGCUCUAGAAGUGCAUGUUAACAGAUUACUAAUUUCUAAUUCACCUCUUGAGAAGCAUGCCCAUGCUAAAAACGAAAAUAAAUAAAUUUUUCUUUUUUUUUUUUGGGUGAAAACGAACGUCAAUAAUUUACAUCAACGUACCUCUAGAAAACCUAUCUGACAAAAGUGGAUACUAAGGGCUACCUAAGUUCCAUAAUGGUGAAAUACUCCAUUAACUCUCAUUGCCAAGUGGGACACCGGCUUAAUUAAGUCCGACUGGACGGUUCGAACAGGAAAUUAUUUGCACUUAAUAGUGCAAGGAAUCAAACCCAUAUCAUGAUACACAAAAGCGCAUUCCUUAACCACUAAAUGAGCAGUGUAGGGUUGCCUCUCAAACAUUUCAGCCAAAUCUUUCAGAAAACUAUCGACUGUACCUCGUAUUGCUUUUGGUAAAUCCUAAAGAACCUGGCCAUAGAAUAAAUUGCAAAGAAAAAAUAACUCACUAGACAUUUCUCCUGAGUGCCUAACUGACCGUGGCCAGGUGCCCGCUGUGAUCCAGAAUCGCACACCCAACCGUGCGUGACUAGGUGCCCGCUUUGAUCCAGAAUUGGACCGCUAUGCUGUUCAAGCGACCAAGUCUUGCUGGAGGCCCAGCCACUGACCAGUAGCUUUGGCUACUUGCGAUCUCUGUUAUGGGCAUCUCAGUCUGUUCCUCUGAAUGUUGACGCCAUGUCAAUGUGCAGAUUGAGUCACGACUUGAUUUAUUUGUGGUCAAUCUCGAGAUGCUAAUCCAAUAGAAAGUUUUAGAUUUAAAAUUUCGAUACUUGAACGUUAUCCAAUACUGUCACUGAUCAGCUAAGCUUUCGGGGGGAAAGUAAUAAAGUUUUGCUGUUAAUGUCAAUCAAGCCGUCUAGGAUUUUGUCACCAUCUUCUUCCAAUUAAAUGAUCUCCUUUAGCAACAAAGUUUAAGCGGUACUUUUGACUUAUAAAAUGCGAAAAGAAAUGGUGCUAGUCUUGAGAAAUGGACAUACGUAUCUUCACUUUUCUGUUUAGUUACUGUUCCAUAUGUUAAGACCUUAAUCUAACUAUAACACCAUGUAAGGAAGUUAACUAGUUCAUUUUUAGUUGGUCUAAAGCCAUUUCUCUUCCAAUUUCCGUCAAAAUCUAAAAUAUUAUUCAAAUGCUAAAGGUGUAUUGCUAAGGAAUGAUUAAACACUUAAUAACAAUAGUUAACAAAUUGAAAAUCAGGUGCUUACUUAGCUACUUAACGAGUGACCGAUGGGUACUCUUUAACAUUCGUAUGUUUUAAAAGGUUUCAUGUAAUUCCACUUUAAUAAAAAUCAAAGUACAUGCACUACAAAAUUCCAAAAAAGUGAAGAUGUAAGAAUUGAGGUGUUUCGUCUUGAAUUUUUUAAAGCAAGAAAAAAUGUUCUUUUUAUUUAAAAUACCAUUUGAUUUUUUAAAAAAAAAAUUAUCAAAAUACUAUAUGUGUGUGUGUAUCUAUCAACAUUUAUGUUCAGUGAGGGGUAAAAAGAUGACAAAUUGUGAAAGUAUGGGGUUUAGAAAAGCAAAAGUAAAAAAUUAGAAGUUGAUUCAGACACUCAAUUGAUUGAUUUGAUAUGCAGCGUUUCAAGAGUGGGUUCGGUUAUUGGCCUUGUGGCCGUUCCUCUACAUGCACAAGUGAACUGUUUAAAAACUUACCGAGCUCAAGGUUUCGUUCAUUAUGCCAGACAACCAUAAGUGGAGACUUUAAUGAAUUGUUUCCUGAAUUAAGAUGGCUUCAAUGGUUACACUCUGAACCUGAUAUAUUUUCUUCAGCAAUCAAUUUGCAUCUAUAUAAAUUAGUGGUGUUGGAAUUGUCACGAAACAAGCUUACAGAUGAUUGGGGAGGAUGGAGUUCGAUCAUGGUAAGAUGGAAAAACAAGACAUCUUCUAUGAUCUUUGCUUUGUUUUGUUUUGUCAAUUAAACUCCUUUUUGACACCUUUUUCUCUUUUGUACAGGCGGCAAAGCAGCUAAAAGUUCUCAACCUUUCAUAUAGCCGGGAGUUAAGAUAUACUCCUAAUCUCUCGGCUUUCACGAAGUUGGAGAUUCUCAUCUUGUCUAGUUGUUACAAACUGAAGCAAGUCGACCCUUCUAUUGGCAAACUCAAGAGCCUCAUUUCCUUGGACUUGUGUUGUUGUGAGUCAUUGAGAAAAAUCCCUAGCUCAAUUGGGAAUCUUUCUUCUCUCGAAAAACUUCAUCUAGGUAGUUGCAAGUCAUUGAGAAAAAUCCCUAGCUCAAUUGGGAAUCUUUCUUCUCUCGAACAACUACAUCUAAGGAGUUGCGAGUCAUUGACAAAAAUCCCUAGCUCAAUUGGGAAUCUUUCUUCUCUCGAACAACUUGAUCUAGGGCGUUGCGGGUCAUUGGCAGAAAUCCCUAGCUCAAUUGGGAAUCUUUCUUCUCUCAAACAACUUGAUCUAAAGAGUUGCACGUCAUUGACAGAAAUCCCUAGCUCAAUUGGGAAUCUUUCUUCUCUCAAACGACUUGAUCUACAGAAUUGCAAUUCCUUGACAGAAAUCUCUAGCUCAAUUGGGAAUCUUUCUUCUCUCGAACUACUUGAUCUAGGGAUUUGCCAGACUCAACAGAAAUCCCUAGCUCAAUUGGGAAUCUUUUUUCUCUCGAAGAACUUGAUCUAGGGGGUUGCGUGUCAUUGAUAGAAAUCCCUAGCCUCAUGGGAAUCUUUCUUCUUCUCGAACGACUUGAUCUACAGAGUUGCGAGUCCUUGAGAGAAAUCCCUAGCUCAAUUGGGAAUCUUUCUUCUCUUGAACGACUUGAUCUAUAGAGUUGCGAGUCCUUGACAGAAAUCCCAAGCUCAAUUGGGAAUCUUUCUUCUCUCGAACGACUUGAUCUACAGAGUUGCGAGUCCUUGAGAGAAAUCCCAAGCUCAAUUGGGAAUCUUUGUUCUCUCGAACGACUUGAUCUACAGAGUUGCGAGUCCUUGACAGGAAUUCCUAACUCAAUUGGGAAUCUUUCUUCUCUCGAACGACUUGAUCUACAAAGUUGCGAGUCCUUGACAGAAAUCCCUAGCUCAAUUGGGAAUCUUUCUUCUUUGGAAAAACUUGUUCUAAGGGGUUGUGUGUCAUUAACAGAAAUCCCUAGCUCAAUUGGGAAUCUUUUUUCUCUUGAACAACCUUAUCUAGGGGGUUGCGUGUCAUUCACAGAAAUCCCUAGCUCAAUUGGAAAUCUUUCUUCUCUCAAACAACUUGAUCUAGGGGGUUGCAAGUUAUUGAUAGAAAUCCCUAACUCAAUUGGGAAUCUUUCUUCUCUCAAAGAACUUGUUCUAAGGGAUUGCAUGUCAUUGACAGAAAUCCCUAGCUCAAUUGGGAAUCUUUCUUCUCUCAAACAACUUGAUCUAUAGAAUUGUGAGUCAUUGACAGAUUUCCCUAACUUAUUGGGAAUCUUUCUUCUCUCAAAGUACUUGGACUAGAGGCUUCAAGUCAUUGAGAGAAAUCCCUAUCUCAAUUGGGAAUCUUUAUUCUCUCAAAUUCCUUAACCUUUACGGGUGUUGUUCACUAAAAGAAAUUCCUACCUCAAUUGGGAAUUUACCGAAUUUGCAAAGCAUUAGGGAUUUUUGACCUUGAAUAGUUACCCAUUGCUAUUGGAUAGUUGAACAAACUGCCAAAGGCUAUUUCUUGAAUCUUGUGAUAGUCUAAAAAGGGGAAUUCCAAGAGAAGACGAUGACUUGUCUUUGCUCGUGAUUCUCCAUAUCAUUGGCACAUUGAUAUUUGACCCGCCAGAAAGCAUUUGGAAUCUUUCUUCUCUCUAAUGCCUUGACCAAGAGGGUUGUAAGGAGUUCGAUCGUUGCUAGAGCUUUCUUCCGGCUUAACAUAUCUUCAGGUCGAUUCCCUAAUUCUCAGGUUGCCAGAGCUUUCUUACCUAUUCCACCCGGAAGAACUUCAUUUUUAUGGAUACGAUCAACUUGAGUACUUCCCAGUGCUUACCUCAAGACUCUUGAAACUUUGUGUUGAUUCCUAUCCCAAGUUGAUAUUGCCUGAGCUUGACAGAUUCAAGUACUUGGAAGAGUUGUCAAUAAAACACUACAAUUCCAUUGAAAGAAUGGACCUCUCACAAUUGAAUCUUCUGAAAGGAUUGGACAUUGAGGAUUGCAAUAAUCUAGUUGAAAUUUAGGGCCAAGGUAAAUUGGAGUUCUUGGAGACAAUACGUACAUAUAGCUACAGGUCCAUUAGAAGGCCAUCCAUCUGAAAUUACAAGGGCUUGAAGCAAUUAAAUACUUGCUAUUGCGACAAUCUAGUCAAAAUACAAGGUCUUGAUAAGGUGGUUCCAUCGGAAGAUUACCUGACCUAUGAUGCUUUUGGAACUUGAAAGAGUUUAAUAUCAAUGGUUGUCAUAAUCUACGUGGUGUUGAGACACAAUUCCCAGUCUUACAUAAUUGCAAGCGUGGGAAAGUCGGUCCUAGAACCUAACAUGAUGCUUCAGCAAGAUCAAAAUUUAGAUCUGAUUGUGGUUCUUCAUACGUUAGAAGGCGCUAGUCAUGUGGUAAGAUUCUUCGUCCUUUAACAACUAGCAUGAGCGAAAAGUGUAAUACUUUUCUAACAGAUAUAUCUUUUAAGAAUUAUUUUCUCGAUGCUUGGUAGCUAUUUGAUAUGGAUUUGCCUAAAUUUAUUGGCUGUUGAUUGCAUCACGGCAAUGUUUUUUCAGCUAAUCUUCAAUCGGCAACUUUUGCAGAUAAAUUGGCGGCUUGUGAGGCAACAAAUGAAAAUUAACGACAUAGGUAAACAAGAAUUACUUAGUGAUUUACAGUUUCCCUCUUAGUGAACCCAAGAUGAAAAUUUUUCAUAAAGAGGUUCAUCUUUUGUGCGCCAGAUCUCUUUUUUCUCUAUGUCUCAAACUAGUAAUUUCCUUUUAAAAAAUCCUUCACCAUUUUGAACUCCUUUUGUGAGCAAUUUUAUGUGUCAGAUUUGACUAUUGGUAGGUAUCCCGUUUAGGACAAACAGUUCUCGAUUUUUCGUGAUGAUGGGAAAGCAUGUCCAUUGUUCAUUCGAGCAUAAAUUCCCAGUAAGGAAGAGAAACUAAGCAAAAAUAAAAAUCAAGGUUCAAUUUUUUUCUCGUGCGUGAUUUAAAAAAGUAAAAAUUAGUUUUGGCUAGCUUUUUUCAUCUAUGAUUAUAGGCAGGCUUUCCAUAACAAUUGUGAAACUGUUGAAAGAUUAUCAAGGGAGAUAAAUUGGUGCUACUUUUGUGACAGGUCCGAUUGGUCUAUGUAGUGAUCAAGGCUUACUUUUGGACUUCAAUUCAAAGAGCUUUAUAGAUGACCUUUUGCAUAAUUGGGACAAUUUUUUGCCUGCUCUGUAAAACAAGCUAGGUGAGGAGCUUAAGAUUUUUCUUAUUAUUUGCAUCCCGUUUGAUUCUGAUGUUGUGGUGGAAUCAUUUGAUCAAAUGAUUGAUCUGGGUCUGGCUAACUUGGCUGAGGCAAUUCAUAGUCCAUACUAGAGAACGAUCAAGUGAAGAAGAUGGAUUUUGCUGAGGUGUCAUCAGCAAGCUAAAGGCUAGCUUUUGUGGGACCUUGAACAGGCUCACGGGCCAAUUGAAGUGUCCUAAGGAAGUUUUUUAUGCUUGUGAAGAUCAAAGCACUUGAUAUGGUUUCAUUAGCACAAAACUGAAUGAUCGUGAAUGUAUUAUUUUUCAGUUGAAUCUACUUUUUGUAUGCUCAUUAGGUUCUACCUCUAUUAAGCAAAUACAUAUGUGCUGAUUUUUCUACAUGUUAACCAGAUGCAGAGUUCUUUGAUGCAAUGCGCUCUAAUGGUAUCAUUCCCAAACUCAGUCAGGCUCUACAGAUAGAGGUAUCCACUGCCAAUCCUACCAUAACUGUGAAAGAGUGACUUGUGUACUUAUAUUUAAUUGAAUGUGCUGAGUGAUUGUUAGGUUCUACCUCUCUGUUAACCAAAUAUGUAUGUGCUGAUUUUUCUGCAUGUUACCCUGAUGCGGGGUUGUUUGAUGCAGUCUCAUUCUAAUGAUAUCACUUUCAAACCCAAUGAGGCUUUGUAGGUGGAGGCAUGUACUACUAGUUGUACCGUAAUAGAGCAACUUGUGUGCUUAUACUAUGUGAGCUGUGGAAUUUCACCAGAAAUCCGUGAACUAGGAUGCAUGAUGAAAAUCUCCUCUUUUUCUGUCAGUUCAUAAUAUCUUUUGAAUGUUGUGAUAAAGGUAUUUGAUGCGAUGGCUUAAAUCUCACGUAUGUAGCAUUAAAUUUGUAAAGUUAAAUAUAGCCUCCUAGCAAACAAUUCCGUAUUGCUGAUUUCGCUAAUCGGAUAUUGCAAAAUAACCAAGUAACAAGUACGCCUUUCUGUUCUAUAGUUUGGGCACUUUGCCUUUUUAGCAUAUGUUCUAUUCAUAAACACAAGCAAGGAUGAUGGUGCUAAUUGCUAACUUCUCUUCUCUUAAGUCCGUUGUUUUCUAUAUCUUUGGCUGAUAAUGAAUUCUAUCGCUUGCGAUCCAACUAUUAAUGAGAGACUCUUGGAAUGUGUGGCAAAACUAAUGUCCCCAGAUUUUGGUGUUGAUAGAUGAGAUUCAUUGAAGAGGUCACUCAUAGAUCGCUAGAAUCUGGACCAGAUCAAAAUAACCUUGUUUAUAUUGAUGGACUCUCAAGUCUAUGCUUACUACUUUAAGCUAAUUUUAGGUUCUUCAUUCCAAAUACAUCUAAAAAUAGACAGAACUAAGGAUCCAUGUAGCCACGCCUUUAUCUCUCUUCGAGAUGAUUGGAAAGUGUGACACAUUUUUACUCUUAGCCAUCUCGUGUAACACAUGCAUCGCCCUCAUUUUCUGACCAUCUUUAGCAAGUGCCUAGGUGGAGACUAGUUAUAAGUCUUCGAAUUUGUUAGUGUUCGUAACUUUUGAUGAAUGUCGAGACCUAAUUUUUCGGGUGCAUCAUCUAAAAUUAAGCUAAUAGAUUACUAAAUCUAAACUUAGCUCGGACUCUCUCAAACCUAUACAAAUUCACGACUUAAGUUUAAAUUUCUUAACAUGCAAAUAGAUUUUAUCUAGAAGUCGCCAGUAAUCUAUUUUUUGGUGGAUCGAUUAGAAACCCAAGUAAAGUAGCGGGAGUUUUACUUUACUCCUACGAACCAGAAAUUAUGAGUUACGAACCAGAAAUUAUGAGUUCGGGGACUUGGUUACACUAGAUUUCUCUAAUGCCUUUACGGUACAAUUCUUUUAUUUUCAAAAAUGUUUUUGGCAAACAGCUCAAAUUUAUUUUAAAUCUAUUUCCAAAUAUAUUUUAAAUCUAUUUCCUUAACAUGUGAAGUGAUCAUGUGGGUGCGUAAACCAUCAAUUUAACACCCAAAUAAAACAACUAAAUAAAUUGCAAAAACCUACCCUAAAGCAAUGAAAGUGUCUGCAAUGUUAAAUUAUAAUCCACAUCAACAACUCUAGAAAUGAUUUCUAAUUAACAUGCAAUUUUUUUUUCACUUCAUUAAUAAAAAUCAUGUAAUAUGCAAUGCAAUAUUAACUAAAUGACCUAAUUCUAAUGAUGGGAAAUUUCUAAUUAAAUAAACCUAAUAACAAUCACUAAAUGACGUGCAUUUCAUGAACCUAAUUCUACAUGACGUGCACAUAAUUUUUUAUUUUCUUAACAAGCAUGCAAUCUAUCUAGGAAAAAUUAUUUAAACCUAUAAUUAAUAAAAAUGCAAUCCUAACAUGUAAUGACGUGCAAAAGAUGCCAUAAUUCUACAUGACUUAUGCAUGAUGAUUUUUGUUUUUCUUUUCAAUUAAUUUCGAAAUAAAAAAAAUGUCAAAUAAUUAAACAUGCAAUUUAAGCUAACAAAAAACUAAUAUCCUAAUUUGUUUUUCCGAUAAUCCAUGAUAAAUAAAAUGCUUAAUCUGAAUAUGCAAAUAACCCUAGUGCAUGCAAUAUUUUAACUUUUCCAGAUAAAAAAAAGUAAUUAAGACAAGAUAGACCAUUCAAAAUCACCAAAAGUAUGAAUAUAAAUUGAUCUUAAGCCUUAAAGAUCAAUAUAUUAAUUUUAUUCUCACUUGAUUAAUUAUUUCAUCUAAAACUUUAUAGAUGAAAUAAAAAACCCAGACGCGAUUGCGAAUCAGAUGGUAUGUUAAAAUUUCCAAUUAUAUAUAGAGAAAUAUUCCGAAUAAGUAAACAAGAAAUAAAAAACAUAAUAAGGUAAAAUAAAUUGCCUAAUAAAACAAAGUAAAUAAUCUGAUUUUUUUUCUUUUUUUCUUUUUAAAAAAAGGAAUCUUGGCCGGUUCGGAGCUCUGGCGAAGGGGGGGUCGUCGCCGGCGAAGGCACAGCAGGUCGCCGGAUCUAGCGUCGGGAAGGGGAGCGGCGUCGCGGGUCAGCACGGGCUGUAGCAACGGCAGCACUCGGGCAGCGUCGGUGCUCGGGCGGCAGGAGCAGCUGGUCACAGGUCAGGCUGGACAGGGGCGUCGCUCGGUGUCCGGUGGGACGAGGCGGUGGCAGGGACAGAGCAGAUCUGGGUCGUCGAAGCAGAAGACUCCGGGUGCAGGCGUCGAUCGAAGGCGGAGGCGAGCAGCGGCGGUGCAGGCUCCGGUGGCGUCGGAUCGCGGCAGGGACAGCGGCGCGACGUCGGACGGAGGCAAGCAGGGGCGCCGAGACUUCUGGUGUUGCAGAUCGGUGACGGCGGAGGCGGAGCAGGGCCGCUCGGGUCGCGGCUGCGGCAGGAGAUGUCAGAUCUGCUAGCGUCGGGGCUGGGUCGCGACGGCAGGGGGCAGAUCCGCGAGGUGGUGGUCCGGCGGUGGUGCGGCGAGAGCGGCAAGGGCAGCAGAGGCAGUGUCGGCGCUCGGGUGGAGGGGCAGGCGCGGGCCGGCGCACGGGUUGCUGGAGAUCGCUGCGACGGUGGCUGUCGGAGGGAGACGCCGGUGUUCGGAGGCGCGGCGGUGCAGGGGGCGGAGCAGGGGCUGUGGCGGAAGAGCUCGAGUACGCGUGGGGGUCGGACAACAAAGGGGACGCCGACAGAGGACCCAACGAAGGAGAAGAACAGUAGCUUCUCUUUUUUUUUUCUUUUUUCUUUUUUCCUCUCUCCUGCUGCUGGCCGCACGUCCCUUCUUCCUCUUAUUGUUGCUGCUUUUUCUUUCUUCCCUUUUUUUUUGAACGGAGAGAAACCCCCUCUUUUCUCAUGAACUGUGGCCGUGUAUUAUAUGUAAUGUCGCCGCCCAAAACCCUACGUGAAUUAAUCUAUUUAUAAGCGACAGAUUAGGGUUUUUUUAAUCUUCCAAAACCAUAUCCACGAAUAUUUACUUUUCCAAACACAAUAUUUUCUUUUGAAUUAAAAACCUCACAAAGAUAAAUUUGUAAAAUCUCUUCGAAAAUAAGGGUUUUGGCCAAUUUAUUCGUUUCGUGGGUUUGGGCCGACCUACCAAGUUAAAGCUUAGAACUGCUAAUUUAAACCUUAGAACUGCUAAUUUAAACCUAUCCGUCACCGAUUCAAUAAAUAAAUGCAAAAAAUGCAAUUUAAAAAUAAAUGUAUCUAAAUUUAUAUGCUAUGCGAUUAAUAUUUUUUUUCAGGAAUAAAAUUAACCCAGAGUUUUAUAUGCAAUAAAUAAAUUGAUCGUCAAAAUUUAGGUGUCAACAAUGAAAUAUCAUAAACAACCUGAAUUAUCAUUCAUUCUUUUCCUGAAUCUAUCACGAAGUACAUAUGUAGCUAGUAGAAUUAUAAUUAUUUUCAAAAUCUCAUGUGACUAGCUGAUUGGAUAAGCCAAUGAGUGUGAGACCCAAAUACAGGGUUUACAUUUGAUGAUGCGGUUCAAACUAUAAGAGACACAGCCUCGAGUCAUGAAAAACUUCUUAACGACUUGCCUCGAAGGACAACCAAGAGAAGGGAACAAAAUCUAACCAAGGAAUGGAGAAGGAGAAGGAGAAGGGGAAGGGGAAGGAGAAGAAGAAGAUUGCUUCAACUGAGUUGACAACAAAUUGCUGUUACCACUGCUACCGGGACCUUCUCAUGUGGACUCCGGUGCCACCUCCUCUGUGGUUUAACUAGUAUGAUGACUAAUUCAUGAUAUAUAUAUAUAUAUAUAUAUAUAUAUAUAUAUAUAUAUAUAUAUAUUUUGAUGACCUAGGGAAACCCGUAAGCCGACAGCCGGCGGACAAACCCUGGGGCUGACACAAGCUAGCCACCACACUCACGCCAGCGGUUAAGUCACCCUGCGACGCGCUGGGGAUUCGAACCCCUCCCCUUCGUGAGGGGGAGGAGGCCCAAAGCUAGCUACGCCACCCAAGUGGGUGGUAAUUCAUGAAAUAUUUGAUAUAAUGCCAAAGUGCUAAUUUCUAGUAUUGCCGAUUCUGCACAAUCCCUCAUCAUGGCUUGGCAUGUGGUUAUAUCUACCACCUCGAUUGUCUGGCCAACAUUUCAUCCGCCAAGCUCAUGGCUUUGGCGAUUCUACCCUCUCCAACGAGCCCAUCAAUCAAAGUGUUAAAAGCUCGCAGUUGUGGGUUCAAGUCCAAGUUUGACCAUUUUACACAAAACUGAGGACCCGAGAUCGGAUCUUUUCAAUUGGAAAAGGUAAUUCAUCAAAAUGUUGUGAGUAGAACUAUUGGGAGUCGUUCCUGUGACAUCCCGAUUUUCCAAUUCUAUUUUCAAUAAAUUGAGACGGGCAUUUCGUUGGCACGCAUAUAGUUCUUUUCCUUGAGUUGGCCACUCAUGUGAAAACUAGUUUAUCGGGUAAAACCGUUAAGAGUUUCUAAUGCAUCUGACUCGAGAAUUUGACCAGGAAGCGACCUUUCGAUCGAGCUAAUCUACAAGGGUCAUUACGGCACAAUUAAAAAUCGAUUAGAGAUCGGAGAUAGGUCGACUCGACAGAGGCAUGUGAUCAGGUAUGGGUGAUUCCACCAGAUCGCACAAUUCUUAUCGAUCGGCACUAGACCGACUUUUCUAUCGAUUGGGUACCCUGUGUUUGUAUUUGAAACCUUGAGAUUACCUCGACAACCGAAAGUCACCAAUGUUUCAAAGAUGUACAUUGUGGCUUGAGAUGAUCAACCACAGGUCAAAUGCAUGAAAAUUUCUAAAGGCUACCCGGUAGGUUGCGCCGCGCUAGUAUCGUGCCAAAGUGAAAUUAACCGUGGAAUUGAGAUCGAAUUCAGAAAUUUGAGGUCUGGGUGUGUCACAAAUCACUUAGGAUUAUUGACUUAUCUUUGGAAGAUUUUUCAUGCAAUCAGAGUUUUUCAGCAAUUAAAUCAGAAAAUGGUUAAUUUGACCGGGAAAUUAGAAGGCCCGCCUUAGGUCUUGCUUUUAGGACUUAAGUUGGUUCUAUGGACAAGUGAAGAUGUGAAUUGGACUGUGGUGACAUCGGAUUAAUUUUAUGGACUUCAAUUGGACUCAAUUGGAAGAGAAUUGAAUGGAAUUAAAGAAAUUAAUGUACAAAGCUUCAUGCCCCGGCGGAAAAAUAAAAUGGACCCAUUGAAGAUAGUUGUGGAGGAUUUGAAUUUCAGUGGAAGAUGACAUCAUCCUAUGUCAUGGUGGUUGGGCCAAAGAGAACGAGAUUUAGACAAGUGGAGGGUGGAUAUUGGCUCUUGGAAAGGCGCCCAUCAACAUCAUCUUCAAGCUUAGGAAGAGAGAGAGAGAGAGAAGGAAAAAGCUGAAGAAACCAGCCGUUCGCAACCGCCGCCGCCGUUCCGCCCGACCGGUCGCCCUCCGCCUGCUCGCUCGUCCCCGCCGGAGCCAUCGCCGCUGCCGUUCGAACGCACGCAUCGCCCGUGCUCGCCUUGCCAGCUAGCCCGCCGUUCGGUUGUCCACAGCCCGAGUUCCCAGCCCUCCGUCCGCCGCUUGUCGCCGCCAGCCGGAGCUCCUCGCCGUCGCAGCUCGCCGCCGUUCGACCGCUCGCCAGCUCGCGCUGCUGCUGGCCGCGUGUCUUGGCGGUCUUCUCGCCCAGCUCGUCGUCCCGAGCUGCUGUUCAGUUCGCGUAAGAGCUGCCGGAGCUUGUCCCCGCCGCCGAAGGGUCGCCGGAGCUGCUGCCUUGCCCGCCCGAGCUGCCGCCCCUCUUCUCCGCCGUUCCUCCGCCCAUUCUGGCGCCGGAUCUGCUCCCUCUCGGCCCCGAUCAGCAGCCAAGAAAAUGGGUAUCUCAGCCCGUGUUUAGCCCGUUUUGGCCGUCCUCCCGAGCUCGGAUGCUCGGCCCGCCUUGAGGAAAGUCGAUCCUCGCGUCGUCCCCGUCGUUUUGGUCCCCUCGGUUCGUUAAUCCGGUGAGUUUAACUCACUAAAUCUUGAUUAGAGGGUUAAUGAUGCCCUAAGUGUGCUUAGCUUAAGUUAAGUUUAGGUGGUUAUAUUAGUUUAUUUGGUUGAUGAUUAUAUUAGGGUGUUUAAUUAAGUUAAAGUGUGUUUAGUUUAAAGUUAAGUAUGUUUAUUUUUAAUAUAAAGCCUUGAUGUGACAUAAUAGGGUUUUAUUUUUUAAUUAUUUAAUGAUUUCGAAUUCUGGAAUUUAUAAUAUUAUAUUAUAUUCCGAAAUUAUUAAAAUAUUAUUAUAAAAAAAACGGAAAAAUUAUUUUUUACCCCGAUUGUUCAGAAUUUCGUGCCGAUCGCUGCUGUGUAGUCGGAUUUUGAAAUUGAUGAUUGGAUAUUAUAAAUUGAGUGUGGAUCGUGAAAAAUAUGAAUAUUAUUAUUUAAUUAAUUUUUGGAAUAAAUUUAAUUAUUUAAUAAAUUCCGAAAAAUUAUUUUGGGACCCUAAAUUCUCAGAAUUUCGUGCUGAUCGCUGCUGUGCGUUUAGAAUUUGAAUUUGAUGAAUGGAUUUGGCAAAUUGAGUGUUGAUUGUGGUAAAUAGGGAUUUUAUUCAUAAAAACCCAAGUGUCGGGUUUUGAUGCAAAAAUUGAAUUUUAAUGAUUAUAUUAAAUAGUGGGGUUUGAAAAAGUGAGAUAUUGGUUUUUUGAUUCGAAAUUAGCGUGUCCCCACACACGUGAGUAAUUUCUGGAAUAUUUUUAAUAUGAAGAAAAAUGGGCGGGAUCACUAUUUUAAGUGGAAGUAUUGAGUGAAAUAUAAAGUGUCAUGGGGCCGAGUAUGCUUUGGCUGUGUGAUAACUAAGAGGAAUCGUCCUGGGCUGUUGAGCCGGACUUGCCCCUAUAUGGGAUGCCCACGCGGUGGAUGCCGAUCGCAGUAGAGGCUGGGCCGACUGGAUCGAUGCUCUUUCGGGAAUGCUGUCGACGUAAUGACGAAGCCGCGCUCCAUGGGGGGAGGCGAUGCCUGGCAUUAGUGUCAGUAGAUAGCCGAACUGCGAGUAGGCUAUGCCAUAGUGUGGCAGUGAAUAAUAAUUGGGAAUGUGUGCUAAGUGCGAUUGUGAUUUAUAUGAAAGUGAUGGCCUUCCAAUUGUUGAAUUAUUAUUAUUACCUGAGAUUGUGUGAUAAAAAUUAUGCUAACAUGCAGGAAGGAAUUGAGGUGAGGUAAGUUCUCUGUAUGAUGUGGCUAGACCACCCGGGGCGUAUUUUCUUUCUAAUAGGGGUUUAGGGGGUUGAACUUGCUGAGACAUUGUCUCAUCCCGGUUUGGGGAUUAAAAUUUCAGGUCCUUAGAUGGCGGUCGUGGAGGACCCGAAGCCCUAAGUCUGGAAAGGUGGAGACUGAAGUAUCGGUGAACGUGUCCUGCUAGUUGGUUUUAGGAUAGUUCCCCUUUUGUCGAGCUGGUCUAUUUUGUAGACAAUCCAGAGUUGUAUCUAAACCUAUGUGUUUGUAAAUGAGUGUUUGGUAUUGUGAUUGAUUGCCCGCUUUUCUAUCCCAAGUUAAAAGUUGUCAGCGGAUUUGUUUCGCUUCCGCAUGCGUAAUAAAAUGAAUGGGUCGGCGACAUAUCUUGGGAUGUCGCAUAUUUGAUCGACCGCAGUGGGAUGUGCGCGCGCUCGAGGUUCGGGGCGUGACAGUUCUUUUCGAACCCAUCCGCUCGAUCAUGUCAAUGGUGACAGAGUUAUGCUUCAUCUUGGCCCCAACCCCCAAGAGUUGGGCGAAACAAGGAGGUUGUCACGCCCUAAACCUUGAGCGCGCGCCCAUCCCCUCUGUAUCGAUAAAAUUUUGCGACUUCCCAGGUCUAGUCGCCAGCCCUUUUUGUUUUAUUGCACAUGCGGAAGCAGAUUAUAAAUCCCCUGACAAUAAUCUCGGGAUAGAAAAGCAGGAUACGAAUUCACAAACAAACAUGCUUUUAUAUUCACACUGAGUCAUGUACAAAAGUCUAUGACCAAAAGAUUACAAAAAACUAACCUUCCAAAAAGAAGCGGUCCUAACUGACCUACGCUUCCAAUCACCUUCUCUCAGCUCCAGGUCCUCCACUCAACAAUCCUGAAAAUGUUGUCCCACAAUGGGGUGAGAUAUAAUCUCAGUGAGUCUAAGCUCUAAACUCCAAUUAGGAGGGAAAUAUGCCCAGAAGUGUCCUAAUUGCAUAAUCACACAAUUAAGGAGACUUACCUCAUUUUAGAUCCACCCUGCAGGCCAGUACAAUUUAUAACUCAGAUAGCAUGAAAACAUGAGCAACAAAUAAGCUCCAACAAUUGGAACACCACACUCAAUUAAUCAUGCGUUACUAGUUUUGAUCUCGGCAUAUAACACGACAUACUCUCUGUUCGGCGGUCUUCUGACAUUGCUAGGCAUCGUCUCACCCCAUUGAGCAUGGCACGUCUCUUUAUCAGACGGCUUUCCCAAAGGAGUAUAGGGUCCAGAAUCUACUGCGACCAGCUUCCCGUUGUCCAAGGGGUAUUCCAAAUAGGGAUAACGUCUAGCUUAACAGCCCGGGACGAUUUCUCUUAACCAACACACGAUCACUCAAAUAUGGUCUAGGGCACCAUGCAUUGCACUCAAAUGCUUCAAUUAAAAUGGUGAGCUUGGCCUUUUUCUUCGUAUUAGAAAUUCACAUGAAAUUACUCGUGUGUGGGUACACAGUCAGAUUGGACCCAGAAAAUUCAUAACAUUCUUUUCAAAAUCCCACUGGUUUAUAUAGUAUAUAAAACCAUUUUUGGUGUUUAAAACCCGACACUUGAGAUUUUCUGAAUAAAUAUCGAAAUUCAUAAUUUUUAGAAUUGAAUACUCAAAUUUCCAAUCAGCACUCAAUUUGCACAAAUUAACAUCCAAUUACAGAAAUUGAACAUACCAUCGCAAUCAACACGCAAUUCCGGUCACCGGCUAUCCCGAACUAAUUUUUGGAAAAUAAUUAAUAAUUAAAUAAUUUCUAAAAUUAAUUAAAUAAAUCAAUUUAAAUUCUAAAAAUACUAACCUAGGCCAGAAUCAUUAAAUUAAUAACCAAUACGGACUCGGAGAAAUUCCCGAACCCUUCUAGAUAAAUAGUACAAUUUAUUUAGGCCUUAACUAAACCAUGCUAACCACCUAACAUGCUCAAUUAAAUAAUUACAUUUCUAAUUUAAUCUAACUAACCACCUAAUUCCUAAUAAAAUAAAUCUAAACACCCCUUAAACGUCAUUAACCUACUGAGCAGAGUUUAGAGUAUAAACUCACCUGUUAAUUGCGGAAACCGGUUCAUCACAACGACGACUCGACGGCGGCCGAAAUCAAAAUUUUCGGCGGUGUCAACAAACUUGGGCCAGGCCUAAACUUGGCCCAACAAAUCUCAGCCCAACUGAGAUUUGUUGCUGAAACGGGCCGGGCUUCGUUGGACUGAACAGGCCUUGAAUAGGCUGAACAGGCUUGAUUGCGCGGGCCUCAAGAUGGGCUGAAAUGGGCUGCUGAUGGACUUCAAAUGGUCUGGCUUUGCGUGAAGAUGGGCUGCAGAAAAAUGGCAACUUGCUAGGCCGUUGAUGUGGGCUGAGCUACGGUGAUGUUGGGCCUGACUCGGUGAAGAUCAACGGCGAAGGAGCAGCUGCUUCGUGAGGCUUCGGUUCGGUGGAAGAUUGCUCGGUCUUCUUUGGCAAGGAACUUCGGACGUGGCAGCUGAAAGAAAUCGCCGGUGGAGGACGUGCGGACGUGAACGAUGGAGGGGAAGCACCGUUAACCGGAACGUGGGGUUUCGGUGAGCCGCAGGGGCGUGCGGAUGUGUGGAUUCGGUUGCUGGACAAAUGGAAAUCGUGGAGGCGUUGGUUCGGUGGCAGCGUAGGAACGAAAAUGAAGAUGUUGGAUGGGCCGCUCGGUGAAGAAUUCGGUGGGCGGCAGACUCGUGGAGGUAGCUCGGUUGAAUUUUGGGGAAAGCUUCGGGCGUGAGGGGGAAAAACAAAGGGCCAGGGAAAUGAAAGCAAGAGCUGAAAUCGUGAGGGUGCUUUGGCUGAAGAAAAGAUCAAUGAAAGCAGAAGCAGAUGCACGAAAGGAGAAGAGAGCAGCUAAGCGUGCUCGUGAAGCUAAGGAGGGGGCCCCAAAGUCAGAAAUUUUAUCCCCUCCAUUGAUGGCCUUGUCUCCUAUUACUUGCCAACAUCAAUUACCACUAAUUAAACACAUUUUGGUGCCUAAAAUGCUGCCCCAUGCCUUAUUCCGAAUUUUUCAAUCUUAGGAUCAAUUUCAUUACUCAAUUUCCUAAAUUGAGGUCCAAUUUCGAUGAAAAAAAAUCCUAUAUAAUUUUCUGCAAGUCCCCAUCACUCAAAAGCUCGGAUUGGAAGUCCAAAUUUCCAUCAAUUUAGCCCAUCUGAAUUUCUACUGAUUUUCCGCAACAUCCGAACCGAUUUUUCAUAAAAACCUCGGAAUCUUUGAAAAUUCUUCGGAGGAUGAGUCGACGUUCCCCAAAUAUCUUGUGACACCACAAAACUUAAAUCUGGUUCAAAUUCGCGGUUAAUUUCAAUCCGGCACGCUUUUAGCGUGACCUAGUCUAUCAGAUAGCUUUUAGGAAUUUUUAGUGCAAUUGACCCGUGAUCGAUUUAUCUCAAAUCACAAUCUAUAUCUUUGACACAUUGACGACUCCCAGUUGUCGUGAAAAUCUCAAGAUUUUAAAUACGGACACAUGGUACCCAAAACGAUAGAAAAUCAAUUUAGUGCUGAUCGAUGAAAAUUUUGCAAUCAGGUGGAAUCACCCACAUUUUGAUUACUUAUCUCAGUCGAAUCGACUUAUGUCUGAUCUUUGAUCCAUUUUUAACUGUGCCGUAAUGACCCUUGCAAAUUAGCAUGGUUGAGCAGUCGAUUUCUGGUCGAAUUCUCAAGUCUUUUGCGUUAAAAUCCCUUAAUGACUUUUCUAGAUAGUCUAGUUAUCUCAUGAGUGAUCGGCUCAGAGAAUAGCACUAUAGACGCAUCGAUGAAAGACCCGAUUUAUUCAAUUGAAAUCAGAUUUGAAAAAUCAGGAUGUCACAGAGGUAAAGUCAAGAGGGUUCACUCGAAUCGUCCUCUCCAAGAAGAGAAUAAAGCAUUGUCGGCUUCCACUAAUCCGCCAUUUCUGCAUUUGUUCACCACAAAGGUCAUAAGUUCAUAUUGAUCCAUUGACUCACUCACUCCAGCAGUGGAUGGGCAACUGUGGGAGCGACGUGAAAGAAAAUGGUUCGAUGUAAAGAUGGGAUUAGAAGUGAGAGGUUUAGCGAGAUGGCAAGAUUCUCGAACAAGACGGUGAAGAGCAAAAUUGCAGAUGGAUUGAUUCAUUUUCUCGUCAGUUUUGCCAAAUUUUCUCCUUCUGAGUUCCGACAAUCCACAAAUUGACGCGAUGUCUUGAUAACAACAUAGUUUUCGGUUCGAUCAUUGAAAACUAAUUGUUUGCCAAACUGAACAUUUUGAGAAAUACUCUGAUCGAUUCAUUCCCAUACUCAGGAGUUGAAGAGAGAUCAGUAUGCAAAAUCAUGUUCUUAUACUGUUGUGAAAACGACUAUGAAAUCCACAUCUGAAACCAAAUCCGAAUGGAUAGAUAUCUCACACAACGAUGGCGAACACCAGUGGGUUUGAAGUGUUGCCUAUCGAAAUGAACGUUUCUUGUCUUACUACUGUUAGCUGAAAAAAAUGAGAACUUAAUACGAAUGUUUCUACUAUUGUCACUGUGUGCACGGAACAAACUACAUUAUACCAAUUUAAUUUUUUUUUGUUCUAUUCGACGCUUUCUUACGCAUCGAAUGAGACAGUCAUCCCAGCUCAUAUGUCGCAAAAUGACGUCAAAGGGAAAUUUUGAUGGUUUACAUUUGAAGCACGUAACUUCGCAAAAGAACAUAAUAUUUCGGCCCUCUUCUCUCCGAUGGCGUAGGAUUGCUUAUUUAGUGAAUAAACUCUAAACAUGUAAAGAUCGUGUUAAUUCACCUAGUUGAAGUCAGUAGAGGUGAGUGAGAGAUGGUUUGGACACCAACUGAUUGCUAAAUUAAAAAAAAAAAAAAAGAUAAUGGAUUAAGAAAAAAUUUAAGCUGUAAGUCUGUACAACGAAAUCCAUUAUCUGUCUUUGAUAAUGUGGUUAUGCGAAGAUCAAUUGCUUAAUCCACGUGCGCAAGUUCGUCGUAAAUCACAAAACCAAUCGCAUGAGUAGUGUCGAGAAAAAGAAUUAUUAAUUAUGACAUUCGAAUGAAGAAAAUGAAAAGAUUCUUUUUCCCAACUUCAAAUUGUCCCCAUUUUCACAAGGAGUAUAGUUUACAAUUCGGUUCUCAUGUUGAGGAUACCAAUUGUGCAUAUAGCGCAAAACAGAUGUAGAGGUUUGAUCAGUAACUUCUUCUUUUAUGCUUAUCUUAUCAUUGUGUCAUUCAAUUGGAGUAAAACACGCGCCUAAUUAACAAUUCCACUCUAUGAGAACACAUAAAGACAAUAAUUUACAAUUUAACUAGACAUGAACACCAACGUCACGCUGAAAUAAAUUACUAAUAGAGGGAACAAAUAAUUAUCAAAAAGGGAAUAAGUAUUGUAAAAGAUUCUUUUAUUCAUUUGCUCUAUAACAUAAAGGAGCAAUUCAUGAAAAAAAUAUGAGUACUCAAAUGUUAUUAAUGACAAUGAAAGGCAAGCCUUUGAGGUGAAGAGACCAAAAGCAAUUGUCCAACGAAAUGUAAAUAUAUGCUUAGGUGGAGCAUUUUUGGUGGAGAAUACAGUAAAUCCAAGUUUUGCAAUAUGAAUAAGACUUCUCUAGUUAUCUUAAGUCUUAUGCGUCAUCAAGGAAGUGAUGCUUUAGCAAUACUUUGUUAUUACGUAUUUGUAUAAAUGAGACCAUAUAGAAUUUGUAAUACCUGGUAGCUUAAUGAUUACGCAUGAACAUUUUCCUAGUACAUCAAUUUUUUUCUUCUAGGUUUUGCCGGAACGGGGAGUGCAGGUAAAGACUAGUUGUGCCAUGUAAGUCUUAUUUAGAUCAUAAAACAAUCCUCAAUUGAUGCAAAAACAACCCUUCCCAUCAUUAAGUGGAAAGUAUACAACGAUAGGUGCAUAAUAGACCAAGCUAUCUAAUUGCCGAUAGAUCUCAUAAUAAAUUAGCAGAUAUUCUGAUGGAAAAUGCAUCUAGACUAUAGACCAGUAGUGUAGGAACUCAGAGAAAAUCUCACGGAUUGAUGCGGUAGAAUAAUAGUUGAAUUUUUUUAUAGAUUUACUUGCCGAAACUUAUUCACAUCUGGAAGAUGUAUAUUGACAACUUUUUCGCUCAACUUAUUAUUUUUUUUUUCAAAGGGUGCAUGCAUCUUCCAAUUUUUUUGGGUAAAUCCUUGUACUAGAGAUUCUGCAUGGGCAGAUAGAAGAAGUGCUAUGCAGUGGGUGAAGUUAUGAAUCCAACCGUCCAUCGCCGAGGAUGGAAUAGAAUGGGCCUUGAAUGAAGGUACUAAUCAAAACCUUUUUGUUCCUAUCCACGUCAGACGCAAUAACAAUUUAGACGUAUUUUAUAUUGGUCACUUUCUUAAAAAGUCAAUAAAACGCGUAUAGCUUCUACUACAUUGAGCAUUUCCAGAUACGUAGAGAUUAGUGAAAAUAGUGUAUGGAGAUUAUUGGGUCUUGUUUGGUUUAAUUAAUAAGAAAUUAAUGAGUGAACUCUCGUUCCUUGAAGUUACAUUUCAUUAUUUUUCUUUCUUUAACUAUUGGUUUAACUUUAAUGUGGAAUUUCAUUUUAAUUGUUUGAAGAUUAAUCGUUGCCGUGAACUAAGUUAAGCUGCUACCACAAACGCACCACCACCACCCGCCCACCUAUUCACCGCGUCCUCGCCACCUCAAAUGCACACCGUCACCGCGAGGAUGCCAUUAGCUCAACUACCACACCAACCGCCCACCGCCACUGGCCACCACCAAAUCACCCAUUGCGCCCAUGCUCCUCCGCCACGAGCCACGCUGCAGCCACCAUCGAAGCACCACGACCACCACCAUCAAUAUUCCAGUACCGCCAAGUUGCCCAAGCGAGAACCCCCUAAUCACUUCCCCGCCUUCACUCCCGAUUCCACCCCCCUUCUACUCGCACACCGAGUCAGCACUCUCCUCCCACCUCCCCGAUCUCCUCCACCUCGCCACGACCAUUGCUGUCCACUGCUCCCACCCGGCAUGACUGGAGAGUGUUGAUGGACUUUCAAGUCUAUGCUUACAACUUACAACUAAUCUUAGACUCUUCGUAACAAAUACAUCUGAAAAAAGGACAGAACUAACUAAGGAUCAAUGCAGCCACGCCCAUAUCUUUUGUUGAGAUCACUGGAGAGUGUAAAGCAGUUUAGUCUCGACCAUCUCAUGUAAUACAUCCAUCGCCCCUCAUAUUCUGACCAUCUUUAACAAGUGCUCGGGUGGAGAUUAGUUUUUUUGCCAGAAGGAGGAGAUUAGUUAUAAGUCUCCCAAGGUUGAAUUUGCUAGUGUUCAUAACUUUUGAUGAAAUACCAGAAGACAAUCUUUUCCUGCAUCUAUCACAACGUACAUAUGUAGCUAACAGAAUUAUUAAUUGAAUUCAAUAUCCCAGGUGACAACAGUUAAUUGGAAAAGCCAAUGAGUAUGAGACCCAUGUACGAGAAUUAUAUGUGAUGAUGCGGUUCAAAACUAUUAAGAGCGCGCACACACCUCCAGCUCGUCCAGAACUUCUGCAUGACUUGCCUUGAAGGACACAACAAAGAGAAGGCAACAAAAUCUCACCAAGCAAUGAUAAAAGCUGAAAGAGGAAGAAGAAGAAGAAGAAACAUUCUGCGCCAUCAUUUUGUCGCAAGUUGUCACAACUUUCUGGCCGUGUUUAAUAAAGUCGUUCAAAAGUCUUUGCUCAUGUAAUUUUACAGUCCAUUCUCACUUUCUGGCCGAACAGCACCUUUUACUAUAGGUCUUUAAUUAUCUUUAUAGACUCAUAUUGGUGAUGACCAUGGAAAAAGGAAAUAAAGUGGAAGAUGAAGAAGGUGGUAUUCACGCCAUUUUCCUAAUUUCCUGGUCUGUAAUGCAAUCUGCCAUUUGCCUGAAAUGAGUUGACAAUAAGAUGUAAUGAAAAUCUCGGAAAAUGAAAGAGCAUGUCUUCAAAGUUUGAACACAACAAACGGAAUGGUGAGGAUUGUAGCUAAUGCUGCUACCAGGGACAUCUCAUGUGAACUCCAGUGUCGCCUCCUCCGUGGUAUGAUGACUUGUACCUCAAAUAUUCGACCAAUGCAAAAGUUUCUGUAGGCACAGGGAGCUGUCAAAAUUGCUAAUUUCCAAGUCCACUCUAUUUAGUCAAUGCACAAAGUUCAUAUUUCUCACUCUCAUAUCAGCAGCGUCACAAAGUCUUCUCUUCCAAUUCCCAAGGAAAUGAAUUUUUUUUUUUUUUUAAAAAACUUUGCAGGGUUUAUACCAAUAAAUUAUCAAAUCUCUUUUUGCUUUGUCAAAAUGUCACAGUUGGCAUUAAAACUGAAUUGCAUAUUUAACUUUUUAUCGAUAAGAAAAUUUGACAGUAGAUUCACUUAUACGUCUCAGCUAGAAUUGUCCAUCAGUUUUCCGUUUGAGCUGAUUGAGAGGGAUGACAGUCCUUAUUGCUCAAGUUCUACCUAGAUGUCUAUUAUGGCACUGAAAUUGAAGCGUCGCUGGAGAUUAUCUGUCCUUUGCCAGAGCUGUCAUUGUGUGUCAGCAAUAUAUCCAGCUCUCUAGAUUCCAUGCUGAUUGGAUGAUACAACUGAGUCGCCAACGUGGAGUAGUUAGGUGGCACUUCACAGCAUGAUCAAGGGCUAUUCAACUCGAUGCUAUUCAAUAAAUGUCCACUAAUUUGCAUAAUUCUUGAAUGUAUAUUUCCAUGGAAGGUUCUUCCGUGCUUUUCCUCAUAAAUGCUGAGGAAAAACAAUGCCAUACCUUGCAAAUUUAUUGCCUCAGUCCCUUUUUUAUAUGAGCUAUUUAAUUGCCUGUUGUAGUUACGGUUGAUUAGUUUUUGAAGCAGCUAUUCACAUUGAAGCCGUUCAUGGAGGUUGUUAUCGUUGUUUUCACACAGUUAGGACUGCAGUAGACUCUCACUGCCCAUCUGGUCCCUGAUUUGCUGAAUCAUUAUUACACUCAUCCAGCUGAUAAUUGGGCAUCCUAGCGAAUCGUCAGCUGAUCAAUUAAGCACAUGUUGGGAUUUUUGCAAGUUUGGAAAAAUAAUUUCAGGCAGCACUAAUGCUUAAGAAAUCCUGUUGACAUUGGAGAGUUUCUCAGACCUCUUGUUGGAGAUGUUAAAUUCAGUUCUCUAUGACAUGCUUGGCAUCAACAUGUAGAAAUUCAUCUGCACUACAUUCAAUCUGGGAGUGGCACAAAUUCUGUUUCUUGGAGUAUUAUUAGAAAUGGGCGGAGGUAGAGUAGAAUGGGACCAAAUCAAAUUUUGAUUGAAAGAAAAAUCUCGCGCAAUUCCAGGUAAAUGUCAUUUGUCUAGAAUGCAGUUCCAAAAUAUCAGCCAAAACCAGCAUUUCAUAUGUGCAAGUUGCCCCUAAAAAUGUCGCCUCCAAGUCAUUGCCUAAUCAAUCCAAUGGUCUUUUACAGCUGGCGGCCUCUCUGUAAAAUUACUUUGCGUUUGGGGACAGCAAGCCUGUGAACCGCCUCUGGAGCCUCCUUCUGUCAUUGCAUUUGAUCAGAUGAAGCCUGCAGCCUCUUUCUGUUAAAUUUGUUACAAAUCUGACAGCCUUUGCAGUGUUGCACGGGCCCCCAGCCAUGAUUCCACUAUAUAUCCUUUGGGAAGCAUUUCAUCGACUGAACUUAUGACAUGGCUUGUGCAAUUUAACCUUUUCCUUAAAGUCCACUGAUCAAAGGGGCAAGCUCACAACAUCUGGUUUGAGUCCAAGCUUGAAGACUAUAUUCAAAACAGAGAAGCCAAGAUGAAAUCUUUUCAAGUGGCAAGAGGCAAUUUAUCAGAGUCCUGAGAAUAUAAAUGUCUCAAGAUUAAGGGGGUGUGGGUCAUUGCAGCAUCCUCUGCAAGUUAAAACAUAAUAAAAUCUACAGCAAGCCUAUGAUGAAAAGACAGUUAAAGGAAAGAAUCGUGGUCAAUCUAUUACUAGAAUAAAUAGCCAAAAAUUUUAAAUGGCAAAACAGACGUUAGAAAAGCUCUCAUUGUAGCUUGGCAGAUUCAUUUUUCAUACUCUCAUACCAUCAGCAUCAUAAGGAUAUCAUAAAAUGAAUUCCGACCUUUCUUUUCUGGUCUUCCGAUUCCAACGGAAUUUAAAAGAAAUUAGGCAUGAGUGCUUUCUACUUUCUGUUAAAUUAGUGCCUUAAUUUUCUCAUCACAUGUACCUUUUUAUCUUCCGCGAGUAGAGAAAUGCUAAAUCUAUAGCAACCUUACUGGAGAAACACAGUUAAAGAUAUGAACCAUGAUCAAUCCACAAUGAAGAUUUAUAGCGUAAAGGUUCAACGAGAAAACAGAUGUAAAGAAAAACUUUUGUUGUAGCUUGGUAGAGUUUUGAAGAUGGUGAUGAAGAACCAACAAGAGUUCCAUUGGGAGGAGACUCACAGAUCAACACAAUCUGGACCAUGUUUGUAUUGGUGUUCUCUGAAGUCCAUGCAUACAACUUUCAGCUAGUUUUAGGUCUUCUUGCCAAAUAUAGUCAAAACAGACAGAACUGAGGAUCAAUGCAGCCGCUCCAAUCAUCUCUCAUUGAGAUAAGAAAACUCUACCAUAUCCAGUCACUCUCAACCAUAUUGUGCAACCCAUGCAUCGCCCUCAUUUUCUGACCAUUUUUAACCAGUGCUCAGGUGGAGAAUGCAGCUUCUCUUUCAUUUCUUGAAGCAGCUCAUAGGCAUCACUCAUUUGGUUGGUUUACAUAGCCCUGCAAUUAUAGCACCAAAUAACAAAGCAUCAUGUUGCAAACCUUUCUUAGGCAAAGCAUUGGAGAGUUCUUUAGCAUCUUCAAGUUCCCCUGCUGCAUAAGCCGCUAAUAAGGGUGUUAUAGCUGAUGAUAUGGACAUUUCCAUCUUUCACUUGUCUAUACAAAGCAAUUGCCUCAUGAACCUGGUGACAUUUACAAAGAUCAUCUAAGUUGUUGAUUAUUGUUGAUUUAAAUGUUCGCUACUAGCUAGAAUUUUGUAAAACAAUUGGUGUGCAACCUGAGGCAGUUCAAUGAGGAAAAAGCCACCCCCUGAGAUAGUUAUAGGUGGCAACAUCAGGGACUGAUCCAUUCUGUAACAUUCAUGAAUCAAUGAUAGAUUGGUUGUGAGUGAAAGCGAGCAGUUUUGUGCAAUCAUCAAAUGAAAUGUAGUGGGUGCAUCAUCCAUUUGAUUUUAAUAAUGGUAACCACCAAGCGAUGAAUUAUAAGCAACUGGGUCGGGUGUAAAUCCUCCUCAGAUCAUCAGAUCAGAGAUGCACUUUGCCUCGGUAGUCCUGCCCAUCCCACUCUGCAAAGUGCAUCCACAAUGAUACUGAUGGUUCGAACAUCCGCCAUCGUUCCUCUUUGCAGCAUCUCAGCUAACGCAACUGAAGGCUCUUCCCAGUGGCCACCACAGCAUAGGCCUUGGAUUAAGGAGUUACGAGUGAAAACAUGUGGCCAGAUUCCAUUGCUCAUCAGCUUGUCCAACAAAACCUUUGCUUCUUUCCAUUAACCUAUGCAAGUUGAGCAAGGGAUGACAUUUGGGCAUCAGCCAUAGUAUUAUAGAACUUCAAAGCCUCUGUCCCGGUGCCUCCUAUGAUCGUGGUGUACAUGAUCUCAUCUAGCUCCCAGCCUGUCUUCCAAAUUCUUCAGCAAUCGAACGGUUUUCCUAGCUUUGCCGGUUAUGCACAAUCUGUCACUAUGGCUCCACACGUGGUCAUAUCUACCUUGAUUCAUCUGACCGACAUUUCAUCCGCCAAGCUCAUGGCUCCGGCAAUUUUACCAUCUCCAACAAGCCCAUUGAUCAAAGUGUUAAAGCUCACACUUGGGGGUUCUAGUGCAAGUUCGUCCAUUUAAAUUGGUGGAGGCAACUCACCAAAAUGCUGCCGGUAAAAACGACGGGAGCCGUUCCCUUGGAAUCCGUAAUGCUCCGUCUUGGCCACAGCCCCUUAGAGUUGGGUGGAAACAUGGAGGUGAAGGCAAAGUGUUCAUCCGAACCAUCCUCUCCAAGUAGAAUAAGGGUGCGUUUGAUAACUACACAAAAUUUAUGUUUUUGGAAUAAAAAAAGAACAUAAACACAUUUGGUAAACUUCUAUAAUUUUUUUUUUGUUUCUUUUAAUUUUUUAAUAUUUUUAUUUUAUUUUUCCUUUUUUCUUUUUUCAUCCUUUUGGCCGGUCGCUGGACUUAGCCAUGGCCGGCGAUCGGCCGACAAGGGCUGGCGGCCUCGCCUUGCCAUGGCGAGGCUCGCUAGGGGCCGGCGACGCUCUGGCGAGGUCAUCGGCCCUCGACGGCCGGUCGCCUAGUCAAAGAAAAAAGAAAAAGAAAAGAAGAAGAAAAGAAAAAAAAAAUAGGAGAGAGAAAAAUUGUUUCUCCAAAGUGUUUCCAGGAACAAGAAACAAGUUUUUCUUGUUUUUUUUUUUUCUGUUCCAAAUUUGUUUUCAGGAACAAAAAAUAUAUAUUUAGAACAAAAGUAUAAACAAACGCGUUUCUAUUCGUCUUUUGUUCCUCGGAACAAAAGAACAGAAAUUGUAUUCCGGGGAACAAAAAAAGAACACAAACAAACAGGCCCUAAAGCAUCGUCGGCUUCCUCCGAUCCCGCCAUUUCAGCAAUUUUUUUUUUCGUCACAAAGGCCCCGCAUUCAGGUCGAUCCAUUGAAUACCUUACUCCAGCAGUGGUCGCGCAAGCGCGAGAGCAACGUGAAGGCAAAUGGAUCGAGGGAGGGACGAAGGUGUGGACGGUGUCCAUCACCCUUCCACCUUCGCGGAACGCGUACGGGAGGUGGGCCUUCAAACUGGCAUUAUAUUCUUUUUCGUUUUUUGCAUUAUAUUCUAGAUUUUUAUUUUUUAUCUUUUGAAUUUAUCGGCUGAGAUAUUGAAAAAGAUAAUUAAAAAAUCACAAAAAAAUCCAAACUGGCACAUUUUCUUUAAUCAAAUCAUAUCCACUACUUAUUAACUGAUUAUGCCAAUUAAUAAUCUUUUCUGAAAACUUAAUAUGUAGAAAGUCAACUUAACUGAUUAUGCCAUAAUAAUCUUUUUCGAAAACUUAAUCUAUAGAAAGUCAACUUUUUUAUAUGCGAAAUUACUAGGUACGUGCAAAAGUAGGUUAACUGUAAAGUCGCCUUUAACAUAGUGUCACAAUUACUAAAACUGAGAGGGCACAAAAAUCAUGUGACAUAGCGUAUAAACUUAUCGAAAUGUCAAAAAUCUAGAGAAAUUCACAAUAGUAGAUGCUCAUAGAGUUCUGGAAAUUCCUGGGCUCGAGGAAUUCACAAAAAUCUCUAACGUUUGUGUAUAUCAUUGGGAUGAAAAACAAUGGAAAAUUUAUUAGAUUUAUCGGCACGUAGGAAGUUACAAUUUCUAUUUGCACGUGACUGCACGGGACUUACCCACUAUACUCAGUUUCAGGGGCUUGGAGAGUUGUAUCUAGUUUAUCUGGAUAUAUGUAGACGCAAUUCAUUAUAAACAAUAUCAAAAUCAAGUGGAACUGAUAACUCUAUAAAAAUAGAGUUAUUUUACCUAUUUUAAGCAACAAUUAAUGCAUUAUCUAUGAGAAAAUAUUUGGAUUUCCUUCUUAUUAUUUAAAUUUUCCUUGUUUAUCCAGAAUAAUGAGAUAUUGAGAAGAUAAGGAAAAGAAUGGCAACUAUCAGGAAUUCAAAUAAAAGCAGCAGUGGAAGAUGGAUAUCAAAUCAGGAAAUUCUUGAUUUUGUUCCCUAAUGUUAUCUGCAAGUGUUGGGAGAUAGAUAUUUUAGAUUUCUUAUAAAUAGGAAAGAGAGAGAGAAGCUAGGGUUUUGGGGGGGGGGGUUAGAUCGUUUUUCAUUCUUUUGAGAGUUUUUCAAUUAUUUUGAAGAGAAGACAAAAGUGGUGACAGAAUUCUUGUUUUUUGAUUCAAGAUGCUGGGUUUAAUUUAUAUUUUUAUUUUUUCUUCUACUAUGUUCUAAUUUUCUUUUGUUAGGGUUACGAUGUAGUCUAACCAUGAUGAUAUGGAUUUCAUGAUUUUUAUGUUUUACAAUUGAUUUCAUUCAUGUGAGUUAUAUAUUAUUGCGUUUAAUGCACACCACUUGAAUGAUCUGAUGUGCAUGUUUGAGACUAAGAGGUGAUAAUAUGCAAUUGCUCGUUAUAAUAUAUAACCAUGAAUUAAACGUGGAUAGAAAUAUACCGCGUUAUUUGUGUAGUUUUCGGUGAUAAGGUGAUCCAAAAAACUCAUUGUAAACCAGGAAUAUUAAUAAUUUUUAAUGCACUCAUGUUUAUUUUAAUUCACAUAGAGAUAUAGUGAAUUAAUAAGCGGAGUAGGUUUGCUAUACCUAGAGAUAGGAUAGUAAAUAGAUUAGGAAAUUCCGCUAUCACAUGUUUGAUAUCGUUCUUGUAUUCACAACAAUCUGAAAUUCAUAUCUAGUGGUUAUGGUGAAAUCGGAUGCUCUAACAUAUUUAUCUGAUUGAUUUUACUGCAUUUAGUCUUCAAGUUUUGUUUUUAAUUUAUUCUAAAUUAUAUUUUGAUUUGUUAGAUAAAUUUUAGAAUAAAUCUAUUUUAUAUUUAAUUAGUUUAUUAAUCAUUGAUCUCCAUAGAACGAUACUUUUUCUCAUCAUUAUAUUACUUGUUCGAUACGUAUACUUGCGUUUAGAAUUUCACGAGCAAGUUUUUGGCGCCGUUGCCGGGGAUCGUUUGUUUAAUACUAAUUAAUAUUGAUACCAGAUAAUUCUAAGUUUAAUCUAGCUUUCGUUUUGUUUUAUUUUUCAGGGUGUACAUCGGUUUAUGACACGUAGCCAACAAGGGGAACUUGUUGAACUUGAUCCACAAAUCGAGCGUACAUUCAAAAGGCGAUUGAGAGAACAGAGAAAUCACACUAAGAUGGCAGACGUUGAGAAUGAAAAUCCACGUAGACUCUUAAGAGAUUAUGUUGCGUCAAUAGUUCAAGGCACCACAUCAAGUAUCAGAAGACCUGCAAUUCAAGCAAACAACUUUGAGAUCAAACCGUCACUCAUUCAGAUGCUUUAACAAUCAGUGCAAUUCAGUGGGCUACCAAGCGAUGAUCCAAACGCUCACAUCGAUGCUUUUUUUGAAAUUCGUGACACCAUUAAAUAUAAUGGAGUUAUAGAUGAUGCUAUUAGAUUGAGAUUAUUUAUAUUCUCUCUUAGAGAUAAAGCUAAGAGUUGGCUUUCUUCUCUUCCUACAGGAUCAAUUACUACAUGGAAUGAUAUGGCUUAGAAAUUUCUUGGUAAGUUAUUUCCACCUGCAAAGUUUGCGAAGAUGCGUAACAAUAUUACUAAUUUUAUGCAGAUGGAUAAUGAAUCAUUAUAUGAAGCAUGGGAAAGAUUCAAAGAAUUUCUUAGGAGAUGCCCACAUCACGGACUACCCGUAUGGAUGCAGGUACAAACUUUUUAUAAUGGCUUUAGUACAAAUCUUUGUUCUAUGAUUGAUGCAGCUGCAGGGGGGACUUUAAAUAAUAAAACACCAGAAGAAGCCUACAAUCUAUUAGAGGAGAUGGCAUCCUGGCAUCCAAUAGUUAUCAGUGGCCUACUGAGAGAUUACCAAUGCGAAAAGUUAGCGGAGUUCAUGAAGGGGAUGCUUUUGUUGCAAUUGCUGCACAAUUUGAAACAUUCAACAAAAAGCUUGAUAAUAUGAGUAUUUCAGUCAUGAAAAUUCACAAUUUGACAUGUGAUUUUUGUGGUGGAGGACAUGUUAGCACAGAGUGUUAGAUAAGUAAUACUUUUAAACCAUCUCAUGAAAAUUCUAACUUUGUUGGGAAUUUUAACAGGUUGCAGAAUAAUCCCUACUCCAACACAUACAAUCCGGGAUGGUGCAAUCAUCCAAAUUUUUCAUGGAACAAUCAGAAUGUGAUGAGACCACAAGGAUUCAAACAAUCAGAAGAGACAAAGUCAAAUUUGGAAGACAUAGUCACCAAACUUGCUAACACAACUCAUGACUUCAUCAAAAGCACGGAUGUGAGAUUUCAAAACCAAGAGGCUUCAAUCAGAAAUCUGGAGAUGCAAGUGGAUCAGUUAGCAAGCAUGAUGUCAGGAAGGCAACAGGGUUCUUUGCCGAGCAACACAGAGAAAAAUCCAAUUGAAAACAUAAAGGCUAUUACCCUGAGAAGUGGUAAACAAGUAGGAGAAGAAGAGAUUGUCAGAGACAAAGAAGAGGUGAUCAAUAAACAAUCGAAUGAGACAAGCAAGAGUAAACUUUUUCCAGAUAAUCUCAAGCCAUAUGUGCAGCCAAUUCCAUUCCCUUAGCGACUCCAGCAGCACAAAAUAGAUAAGCAAUUUUCUAAAUUUCUUGAUGUAUUUAAAAAAUUGCACAUUAACAUUCCUUUUGCAAAUGCUUUAGCGCAAAUGCCUAGUUAUGCAAAAUUUUUGAAGGAGAUUUUGACAAAUAAAAGGAAACUGGAGGAUUAUGAAACUGUGAAGUUAAACGAGGAGUGUUCAGCCAUCCUACAAAACAAAUUGCCUACGAAAUUAAAAGAUCCAAGGAAUUUUACUAUUCCUUGCACUAUUGGGGAUUCUUACUUUGAAAAAGCAUUAUGUGAUUUAGGUGCAAGUACUAAUCUGAUGCCUUAUUCAAUUUUCAAGAAAUUAGGAUUGGGUGAGGUAAAAGCAACCACAGUGUCACUUCAACUGGCUGAUCGAUCAAUUAAAUAUCCGAGAGGUAUUGUGGAAGAUGUUUUGGUAAAAGUUGACAAAUUUAUCUUUCUUAUAGAUUUCAUAAUUCUUGACAUGGAGGAAGAUUUUGAGGUACCACUUAUCUUAGGUCGACCUUUUCUAGCAACAGAAAGAGCUCUUAUUGAUGUACAACAGGGGAAGUUGAUCCUUAGAGUUCAAGAUGAUCUUGUUUCAUUUAAUGUUUUUAAAGCAAUGAAAUAUCCAUCUGAUGAUAAUUCUUGUUUUAGAAUUGAGAUAGUUGACAAGUUGGUGAAUAAGGUUUUUCAGGAAAAUAUUUUUGAAGAUCCACUUGAAGCAUGUUUGAUUCAACUAAGGAACAAAGAUAUUCAGAAUGGGAAGAUAAAUGAGUACGCAAAUUUCAUGGAGGCAAUUCCACCAUAUUCAAGGCAAAAGACAAUUAAAUUUGAGGAGUUUGGACAACACAUUACAAAGCCUAAACCAUCAAUUGAAGAGCUUCCAAUUCUUGAACUCAAACCCUUACCUUCUCAUUUGAAAUAUGCUUAUUUAGAUGGAGUUUCUUCUUUACCGGUAAUUAUAUCUUCUUCUUUGACAGAUUUGAUGGAGGAUAAAUUGCUCAGAGUAUUAAGAGAGCAUAAAGGUGCAAUUGGAUGGAAAAUAGCUGAUAUCAGGGGAAUUAGUCUUUCAAUUUGCAUGCACAAAAUUUUGAUAGAGGAGCAAUAUAAACCCACUGUCCAACCUCAGAGGCGUUUGAACUCGAAGAUGCAAGAAGUAGUGAAAGCUGAGGUAAUUAAACUACUUGAUGCAGGUAUCAUCUAUCUUAUCUCUGAUAGUUCUUAGGUAAGUCCUGUACAAGUUGUACCAAAGAAAGGUGGUAUGAUUGUUCAGAAAAACGACAACAAUGAAUUGAUUCCAACUAGAACAGUUACUGGGUGGUGUGUGUGUAUGGAUUACAGAAAAUUGAAUGAUGUCACUAGAAAAGAUCACUUUCCUUUACCAUUUAUUGAUAAGAUGUUAGAAAGACUUGCAGGGCAUGAAUUUUAUUGCUUUCUAGAUGGAUAUUCAGGGUAUAAUCAGAUUCCUAUUGCACUAGAAGAUCAAGAGAAAACUACUUUUACUUGUCCCUAUGGUACUUUUGCUUUUAGAAUAAUGCCCUUUGGUCUUUAUAAUGCACCAGCUACUUUUCGAAGAUGCAUGAUGGCUAUUUUCUCUGAUAUGGUUGAAAAAUAUAUUGAGAUUUUUAUGGAUGAUUUUUCCGUUUUUGGCCUAUCAUUUGAUUCUUGUUUAAAUAAUUUGGCUUUGGUCUUCAAAGAUGUGAGGAGACUAACCUUGUUUUGAAUUGGGAGAAGUGUCACUUUAUGGUGCAGGAAGGAAUAGUGCUUGGGCAUAAAAUUUCUCGAAACGGAAUAGAAGUCGAUCGAGCCAAAGUGGAGGUCAUUGCAAAAUUACCUCCGCCAACAUCUGUGAAACUUGUCAGAGGAUUUUUGGGGCAUGCAGGAUUUUACAGGCGAUUUAUAAAAGAUUUUUCAAAAAUUGCUAAACCUCUUUCUAAUCUUUUGGAAAAAGAUGCUCCUUUUAAUUUUUCCGUUGAAUGCAUGCAGGCUUUUAACACUUUAAAGGAGAAGUUAAUAUCAGCACCAAUUAUGGCAUCACCAAAUUGGGAUUUACCUUUUGAGCUGAUGUGUGAUGCUAGCGAUUCUGCAGUAAGAGCUGUUUUGGGACAAAGGAAGAAUAAAAUUUUUCAAACCAUAUACUAUGUUAGUCGAACCUUGUCAGGUGCACAAUUGAAUUAUUCAACAACAGAAAAUAAACUUCUGGCAAUAGUAUUUGCUUUUGAUAAAUUUCGUUCUUAUUUAAUUGGCUCAAAAGUUAUAGUUUAUUUUGACCACUCUGCUCUUAAGUAUCUGCUUGAAAAGAAAGAAUUAAAAUCCAGGUUGAUCAGGUGGAUUCUAUUUCUGCAAUAAUUUGAUUUGGAAAUCAAAGAUAAGAAGGGGACUGAAAAUCUAAUUACAAAUCACUUAUCAAGAAUUCCAAAUUCAAAAGAAGAGGUAAGACCAAUUUUGGAAGAGUUCCCUGAUGAGAAAAUUUUUUUCCAUCAAGUCAAUUCCUUGGUAUACUGACUUUGUAAAUUAUUUGGUAAGUAAUGUUCUUCCUCCUGAAUUAUCAUAUCAACAGAAGAAAAAAUUCUUUUCUGAUGUUAAAAAUUAUUUUUGGAAGAACCUUUUUUGUUUAAAGUAUGUGCAGAUCAGGUCAUAAGGAGAUGUGUUCUAGAUGAAGAGAAGACAAACAUUCUACAUCAUUGUCAUGAUGAAGAGACAGGUGGCCAUUUUGGUGCCAUAAAAACUGCAGCUAAGAUUUUACAAUCUGGAUUUUAUUGGCCUACACUUUUUAAAAUGCAUACUCCUAUGUAGCUUCAUGUGAUAGGUGUCAAAGAACUGGAAAUAUUUCAAGAAAAAAUUAAAUGCCUUUAAACAACAAUAUUGUGUGUGAAUUAUUGGGUAUUGAUAUCAUGGGACCCUUUACACCUUCUUAUGGAAAUUUAUACAUUUUAGUGGCUGUGGAGUAUGUGUCUAAAUGGGUAGAAGUUGUAGCAUUACCAACAAAUAAUGCUAAAGUUGUGGUCAAAUUCUUGAAAAAAAAUAUUUUUACCCAAUUCGGCACUCCUAAGGCAAUCAUAAGUGAUAGGGGGACACUUUUUUACAACAAACAGUUUGAAGCACUUUUGAGUAAGUACGGAGUCACACAUAAGGUUGCAACCCCUUAUCAUCCUCAGACUAGUGGUCAAGUAGAGAUUUCAAAUAGGGAAAUCGAGAGAAUUUUAGAAAAAACAGUGAAUGCCUCUAGGAAAGAUUGGUCAAUAAAACUUGAUGAUGCACUUUGGGCCUAUAGGACGGCGUUCAAAACUCCAAUUGGGAUGUCUCCAUUUAGGCUAGUAUUUGGAAAGGCUUGUCACUUACCAGUGGAAUUAGAGCAUAAAGCAUAUUGGGCAUUGAAAUUUCUAAAUUUUGAUAUGCAGUCUGCAGGUGAAGAAAGAUUAUUGCAAUUGAAUGAAUUGGAGGAAUUUCGCAAUGAGGCCUAUGAAAAUUCUAAGUUGUACAAGGAGCGUACAAAAAGAUGGCAUGACAAGCACAUAUUGAGAAGAUAGUUUAAAAUUGAUCAAAAAGUUUUACUCUAUAACUCUCGUCUUAAACUUUUUUCAGGAAAGUUGCGAUCUAGAUGGUCUGGUCCUUUUACAGUUACACAGGUAUUCCCAUAUGGAACAUUUGAAGUUGUGCAUGACACUGAGGGCACAUUUAAAGUGAACGGUCAACGUUUGAAACCCUACUUUGAAGGUGGUUACAAUAAGCAGAAGAUCACAAUUGAACUUCAUCCUCCAUAAUAGCGACAUCUGAGAUAGUUUGGCUGAAAACUAUAAAGCAAGCGCUUCUUGGGAGGUAACCCAAGCAUUUUAAUUAUGUUUUUAUUUAUUUUUAAGUUUAUGUUUUGCCAAAAAAAAAACGAUUAACUUUUCUCUGUUUUAUCCAGAUUAAUUUUUAGGGAGCACAUUUCAAGAGUUUAAUCAUCAAGAUCAUCUAUGGACUUAUCUUACAACCAAGGAAGUUUUCUUCUUCUUAUUCUAUUUUUCGCAUUGAGGACACUGCUUCAUUCAAGUUUGGGGGGAAGACAAAUUUUUGGAUAAUUUUUUAUCAUUAUUGCUUUCCUGGUUGUAAAUUUUUAUGAUUCUUAGGAAAAUUUAAAGUUUAUUUAAACUUGCAAUUGAUGUGUGAGUUAAUCUUAAUUCUAAUUAUGUUGAUCAACUUACUGAGCACUAAAAGUCCUUACUUUUUGAAUUGUGUGUAAAUCUAGAGAACAUUCAUGUGAAAUAUGUGAUUUUCUUAGAUUUCACCCAAAUCUUAGAAUUUGUUUGAUUUUCUCUUGAGGCGAAAUCCUAAGCUAAAUCUAACUGAGAAAAUGAUAUAGGCAGUUUUUGGAUCGAUUGAGCCUUUCAAGCCAACCUUGUUUAUUUAUCCCUAGUCACCCCGUUGAGCCUUAAUUAUUACCCAAUUUUUCAUUGGCACCCAUAUACGUUUAGCCUAGCCAUUAUCAAAUUAUAUCCUUAUCCCAUGCCCUAUGAACACGUUGAUUUUCUUUUGGGAUAAAAAAUUAUUUGAGUUUGAUAGAAAUUUGGGAGGAAUGAUGAAGUAAAAAAGAAGAAGAAAAAAAGUGAUUGCUAUGGUUGUUUGGGGUGUAUUGUCAAAAAAAAAAAUUGCUUUUAUGGUUCCCUAUCCAACUUUCAAUUGAGUGAGCCUUUUGGAUACUCAAUGGGUUGGAAAUUUUCAUGUUAUAUUAGGAAGGACUUUGGGAGAAACUCCACCAUAAAGCAAUUCAAAAAAAAAAAAAAGGAAAAAAAAGGGAAUAAUGAUAUAUUGUGGCAGAAAAAUUAUCUUGAAGGAGUGAAAUUGGACAGUGACAUUGGCUCUAAUUAGAUCCUAGAAAUCAACGUAUUGAUGGGUGAUUUGAGGUUAAAAUUCCCAUUAUCUCACCUUUAGCCCAGCCUUACAUUACAACCUGAGAAAAAUCCUAUUGAUUUUUGGUUGGAUGAUUAGCUUACAUUAGUGGAGAGGGGAAUGAAAAGCAAACCUAUGAGAUUUGGUCAUAAUUAUUGAGAAUGUUUUAGAGGUUACAUGUCAAUGUGAAUUUAUCCGGAUUGCAUAUAAUUUGAAAAAGAUGAGGACUCUCACAUACACACUUGGAUCAUAUAGUUAAAAUUGGUCUUAACUUAUAAAUUGAUUUUAAUGUUUGGAUGAAAUUUGUGUUUUUCUUUGAAUUGUGAAUUUAAGCAAUUAUGGAAAGAUGUCAUGGAGAAAGUUGUUAGGUUGAGUAUGUGUUAUGUCUUACUUUUGCUCGAGGACUAGCAAAAUGUUAAGUUUGGGGGUUUGAUAACUCUAUAAAAAUAGAGUUAUUUUCCCUAUUUUAGGCAACAAUGAAUACAUUAUUUAUGAGAAAAUAUUUGGAUUUCCUUCUGAUUAUUUAAAUUUUCCUUGUUUAUGCCGAAUAAUGAGAUAUUGAGAAGAUAAGGAAAAGAAUGGCAACUAUCAGGAAUUCAAAUAAAAGUAGCAAUGGAAGAUGGAUAUCAAAUCAGGAAAUUCUUGAUUUUGUUCCUUAAUGUUAUCUGCAAGUGUUGAGAGAUAGAUAUUUUAGAUUUCCUAUAAAUAUGAAAGAGAGAGAGAAGCUAGGGUUUGGGGGGGGGGGGGGGUUAGAUCGUUUUUCAUUCUUCUGAGAGUUUUUCAAGUAUUUUGAAGAGAAGACAAAAGUGGUGACAGAAUUCUUGUUCUUUGAUUCAAAAUGUUGGGUUUAAUUUAUAUUUUUAUUUUUUCUUCUACUAUGUUCUAAUUUUCUUUUAUUAGAGCUACAAUGUAGCCUAACCAUGAUGAUAUGAAUUUCAUGAUUUUUAUGUUUUACAAUUGAUUUCAUUCAUGUGAGUUAUAUAUUAUUACGUUUAAUGCUUUUGAGUGACUAGCCACCACUUGAAUGAUCUGAUAUGCAUGUUUGAGACUAAGAGGUGAUAAUAUGCAAUUGCUCGUUAUAAUAUAUAACCAUGAAUUAAACGUGGAUAGAAAUAUACCGCGUUAUUUGUGUAGCUUUCGGUGAUAAGGUGAUCCAAAAAACUCAUUGUAAAUCGGGAAUAUUUAUAGCUUUUAAUGCACUCAUGUUUAUUUUAAUUCACAUAGAGAUAUAGUGAAUUAAUAAGCUAAGUAGGUUUGCUCUACCUAGAGAUAGGAUAGUAAAUAGAUUAGGAAAUUCCGCUAUCACAUGUUUGAUAUCGUUCUUGUUUUCACAAUAAUCUGAAAUUCAUAUCUAGUGGUUAUGGUGAAAUCGGAUGCUCUAACAUAUUUAUCUGAUUGAUUUUACUACAUUUAGUCUUCAAGUUUUGUUUUUAAUUUAUUCUAAAUUAUAUUUUGAUUUGUUAGAUAAAUUUUAGAAUUAAUCUAUUUUAGUAUUUAAUUAGUUUAUUAAUCAUCGAUCUCCGUGGGAAGAUACUUUUUCUCAUAAUUAUAUUACUUGUUCGAUACAUGCACUUGCGUUUAGAAUUUCAAGAGCAGGAACACGUCUCAAAGAGAAUUUUGAAGAAUUCGAACAUCAUUUGGAUGAUAAAAAAAGUCCAUUUCUGGAGAUAAAGGAUGUGAUAAGCCAUGUUCUUAUGUUGAUAUAUAUUGACAAUGAGAAUUUCCUUGACGGCGUCUCCUGUUUAAUGAUCGAUUACCAUAUUCUUAAAGAUAAUAAAAAAAUUCCAUGAUUCCCUCCUUUACGUGGUUUGUAAGCAAUAAACACUUUCAACAGGAAGAAAGACAGCAAAUAGGCAAAACCUCCCAUUUAAAUUUUUUCCAACUUGGGAAGGAAUCUUCAAUUAUAAGAAUUUGACAAAUACUCCUCCCUCGGGCUUUCAAAAUCCACUCCUGAGGGAUGUAGUCGAGCCUCAAGCUUUCCACUUUAAGAAAUGAUUGGAUGACCUUCUUUAAUCUACUAUGAUAAUAAGAGUCAAGUUUUUUUUUUCUUCGAUUCUACUCUAAUUCUACUCUAAUUCUACUCUAACACUCAUUAUCAGACUUUUGUCAUGCCUCCUUGCAAGGUGUGGGAGUCGAAACCCAUUCCUGAAAUGAAAUCGUCCCCACUCCAAUCCCUCCUAAGAAGAUGGGGAUUUGAACCCUCCACCUCCCCCUACCAAGUUGGAAGGGUGGCCACUGGGACGAAUCCCCAGUGGUUUAAGAGUCUAGUUUGGAUCACCAAAAAAAAUCAAACAACAAAUAAUUUCAAAUUGUUGUGGGGUCAACUCAUUUAGGGAUGUAUGGCUCACAACAAGCCGUUAUUCUCACAGUAACUCAAAAGCUAUUAUGUUGGUAAAGUCCUUUCACUUUCUCUCUCUUCACUUGAUAGAUUAGUUCAAAAGGCUUGUCAUUUAUUGUUAUCUUUCUUUGGCCACCAAAAUUUUAUGUUUUUCUCUUUUUAAUCUAGUCAUUUACUAUACUUACCUUCCAAUCCCCUUUUUCCUAUAACAUGAGGUAGCCAAGCCUUUCAACUGAAAUAAUCUGUAUGGAUGCAUAUAAUUCUUCUCAUCCGUGUAUAUUAGAUAAGGCUCUAGAAGGUGCAAGCACGUUUCCCCUAAUUAAUACAAGUGUGAGACUAUAAUUUGGACAUGUAAUCUACUAGAUCCACAGCCAAGCAUUUAACUAACUCAGCUUAACCAUUAGGGGCCCCUUCUAAUCUCUUCACUCUACUCUAUAAUUCUAACAAGAGAUCUACAUUAAAAUGAUGUUGUGCUAUUGUCUACUGACUUAACUUUUGUUUUCUAAAUCUUCCACGAAAUGAAGAUACUUAGGAGCUUCAUAUCAUUUAAAAAGGAACCUCGGUACAAUGAUAGAUUCUUGUGCUCCCAAAAAGUGCCAUGUGACUUGUUGGUAGAAAUGAAGUACCUAAGAGUGUUUUCUUUAGUUACUAUCGCAACCCAACAUACCAUAUUGCAUUAGUCAAUUGAGGCUUCUACACUAUCUCAAUUUUUCAUAAAUCAAAAGGCUUCCCGAAUCAAUUGUUGGAUUGCACAGCCUAGAGGCUUUGAUGCUGUGAGGUUUGAAAAUCUCAUCGAAAUACAAGAAGGCAUGGAGGAAAUAGAUCAAUCUACAGUUUGUCCAUGUUGGAGACACUUGGAGCCUAAGAGCAAUGACAUUGUAUUAGGUUAUCUUGUGGUCAUCAGAUCUUGUUGAAGUUUGUUGUGGAAACCGAAAACAGAUCGAAGCUAGAGGAGUUUAAAAAAACUGAAGCAUCUUGGAGGGGAGUUGUUCAUCUCCGAGUUGUAUAAGGUUGGAGAAGUAGAUGAUGCCAAAGAGGCCAUUUUACAAGAAAGGAGGGAAUAAGCUGGUUGAGCAUGCAAUGGAGCGGAUGUUUCGAAAAUUCCUGGAAGGAGGUGCUUGAAGAGGAAGGACCUACCAAAUCUCACAUUAUCCUACUAUUAUGGCUUAGAAUUUCCAUCAUGGUGGUCAACUUUGACGUGGCACAUAUGGUUGCCACAUCAACAUCUCCAUUUUCAAUUUUAACAUAAUGAAUAACUUGAGCAAAAAUUUAAUAUAUAAUUUAGGGACUAUUUUGGCAAAAAAAAAAAAUAGUACAAGAAUGAUAUCGAACAAAUUGAAAAAGUAUGCGACACUAGCAAUUUCAUUAUCACUAAACUUUUCACACAAGUUUUAUCAAGAGAAUUUUUUCAAGGUUUAUUAUUUGCUGUUCUUCUGCUACCAUAUUAAGGACAAUUAACAUCUUUAAAGAGUGGUAUACACACUUUAGAGUCUAUUUUCAUUUCCGCCAACGUUGUGUUAUCUGAUAUCGCAUAGUCCUUAAAAGGCGGCAUCAUUUAAAAUUCAAUUUCCAAUGUAAACACCUUGACUUUAGCGUAAGUACGGAGUCGCAAAAGGUUGACCAUCCACUUUGGUUUGAACGGCCACGUGGUCCAAUUACAAAGAGAACUAGGAAAAAUAUCCUGGAAGUCUACAGUGGGGUUAGUCUUGCCAAUUUCCAGGAAGGGGGUUGUUCGGGGGCCUUGGUCAAAAGAUAAGGGCUAAAGAAGUAAAUUGCCUCGUCAAAGAAACGCUAUCCACCACACACAAUUGCUUGUGUACGAUGGCCGAAGCCCGUCUGGCUUCAUCCUUCGGUGCAAGGGAAAAAGCAAAGCUUGUUCAAGGGCAGGGGGGGCCUUGUGCUUGAAGAGGAUAAACACAUUGGAUCUUCUUUGCUUGUUCAGAGGUAAGAACACCAUGCCAAACACCAGAAAUCAUUGAGAUGCUCGUUUUCGUUCUGAGAUAUAUUUGGUUUAAUAACUCUAGAUUGAGGCGUGAAGUUGAUCCUUCCAGUUGUACUGUCUUUCGGGACUCCGGACAUAACUUGAUCUUCUCCAAACUGACUCAUUCUCAAACACAAGACUCACUGCAAUAAGUUCGUCUCUGCAUCGCUUCUUCAGGUAAGCCCAACCAUGAUUAUUUAGUCUGAUCAAGGGGCUGAUGUCCAUGCUUUAUCUAGACUUCAGGCUUGCACUUUAUUAUGCUCCGCACAUUGUUUUUAUGGAAUUGCUUGCACCUGACUGCAUUAUAACCUGUUGAGACUUCAUCUACCCCAACCUCACCUGUUAACUGAUAUUAGAACAAAUGUUGAAAAUUUAUGUGUAGUCCAACUUUCGACUUGAUUAUUCUGUUUAAUAUGUUUUGUCAUCCUUUUCUAGGUCAAGACAUCAUCCUCUACAUUAUGUGAAUAGAUCAAUACGUAUUUGGUUACAUUAAAAAUGUUAUUUAAAAUGUUUUAGACACGAUGAAGGAAGGGCUUUCAUAAACAAGAUGUGACAGUAUGAGAGGAGAUCGUAUAUGUCUAUAGCACCGAGAUAAGGCAUAAUAGCAAGUGACCUUCUCUCGCGUGCAAAUUUGAAUGAAGUCGUAUCAAGAACACUUGUAGAAAUGGGGGAAUGGAAUAAAGAAAAUAAAAUGCUUAUCUUCUCCAUGGAUGAGAGAUUUUAGGGAGUGACAUCGUUGAGCUCUAAGGAAACUCUUCCUAAUCCUAGCAAAUCAUUGAUAACUUCAAAUUAUUUUGAUUGAUAAGUAUUGGUCACGCCUAUCGUGUCCAUUAUGGAAUAAUGAAUGUGCAUGAUCACACACACAUCUUCUAGCUCUUUUGUGAAAAACCAAUUUCUUAGCGUACGUUCAAAAUCACGGAGAAAAUAAUUGAUAUGUUUAUUGAUCAACAUUUUAAACAAAAUUAAAGAGGACAAUCUGCUUUGGCAAAAGGAAAAUUAAUAUUGUGAUCUCAAAUUUAUUAAAUCAAUCAUACCAAAUGUCAAAGAAAAAUAAUUGUGCCUAGAGCAACCAAGAUCGCUCCACCAAUUCAUACCUUGCGCACAAAGUGCACGAAGUGGGAAUUCAACAGAGUGCAAAUUUAAGUGAAAACUAUUGGAAAAUAAUCCAAAGAAAACACAAACUGUUUGUUGCAAUCAGAACAUGAAAUUGGAUGUGAGGUACGGAUAUCUGAAUCUCCUUAAAGCAAUUAGUUCCUACCAAUAGUGCUCCACAGAUUUACGAAUUAUGCCUCCCAAGAUACAACACCUCGAAUUUGUUUGGAUUAGUAUUAUACAAACAUGACUCAGUCAAACCGUUCAAUUGAAUCAACACACUUAGAAAAAUCAGAAGAGUAGAUAAAAGUGUAUCAGAGCAUUUUUAGAAUCGAGUCGGAAAAACCAAAAACUAUAAUGAAGCUCGAUACUCCCAUCUAUUUAUAGAGAUUUUUAGUUCAUGUACAGAAGAGAUACAUGAAUUAAAUAGACGCAUGUAUCCAUGAAAUUCAUGAAUCAAGAGAUACAUGAAUUCAAGAGAUUCACGAAUCCAGAGAUACGCGAAUUCAAGAGAUUCGUGAACUCAAUAAAUACAUGAACUAAAAGAUACAUGAAUCUAGGAAAAUCAUGAAUUCAAUAGAUACAUGAACGGAAAAGUUUAAGAAAUUCAUGAAUCCAAAAGAGAUACGUGAAUAGAAAAGACGUAUCUUAAUUUAUUGCCAUUCGUUGAUCCAUUAACCAUAAUUAUAACCAUAAUUAUAACAAUCCCACACAUUAAUGGAUCAACAAAACAUUUUUGACUCGAAGGAAUCUGAGCAUACCUGUUGAAAUACACUGCAUCAAGAUAGGUAGCUUUCGCCUUGAACCUUCUUUAGUGAAAGCCUAUCGGACUUACUUAACUAGUCCAUGGACGAAGUCUUGAAUUGCCAGUUAUUUGUAUAAGCCUAGACAAUAAAUCUCACACAGAGUAUUUCCAAUUCAAGAUUGGUUCUCGGUUGUGUUCGUUCUUUCGGCCCUGAACCUCUCGAGAUUCAUUCGUGCUUUAGAAAAUCUAGCCUUUAAAGAUUUUCAUAGAGUCGGCCAGCUCCACGCAUAUAGGUGCAUUCCUAUUAAAGAUAUCCUACCAUAUCUUACUUGGAUGUUACAUUCCAAGUUAUAGGAAUCAUUAAACGCAUAGUGUACCCUUAAUAACGUUGUAGGAAAGCACUGUUGCAUUAUAAGAAUGGGAGACAAUGCUUACACUAGAGUUUCCAAAAUUUGAGUUGUCCUAUUGAACCUAGACCAUGGGAUCUCCAAUCGCAUAGGUUAGGUUUCCACGUUGGAAUCUCUUUAUUAGGUUAAGGCUCUUAAACCUACUCCCCUCGAUGCGCAGUUUAUCUGCUCUUUUGACAAACCUUUUGUUAGUGGAUCCGCAAUAUUUUCCUUUGACUUUACAAAGUCUAAAGAAAUGAUUCCAUUUGAGAGCAACUGCCUUACGGUAUUGUGUCUACGACGAAUGUGUCGAGAUUUACUGUUAUAAAUCACAUUAUGCACCCCCACCCUUUUAGAAAAUUGUAGGAUGGCAACUCUCCAUUCCAUAACUCGUAUUGAGUUUUAUCUGUCUUUUUGUGGGGGUAUUUAUUAAGAAUAAAAUUUGCAGUUAAAACUGCCUCCCCCUCACAAGUCUGAGGUAAACUUGAACUCAAAAGCAUGGCGUUAGCCAUCUUCUUUAGUGUCUUGUUCAAUCGUUCAGCAACUCCAUUUUGUUGUGGAGUAUAAGGUAUAGUCGUUUGGAAAAUUAUUCCAAAACUAGCACAAAAUUCUUUAAAAUUGAUUGAACUAUAUUCUCCUCCUCUAUCAAACCUAAGCACUUUGAUUUGUUUAUCAAGUUGAUUUUCAACUUCGUUUUUAUAGUUGACAAACAUGCUCAUAGUCUCAUCUUUGCUAAUUAGUAAAUAAACAUAGCAAAAUCUAGUACAGUUUUCCACAAAUGUGAUGAAGUAUUUUCCACCUCUACUUCCUACAAACUUUAAAUCACAUAGAUCACUAUGGAUUAAUUGUAGAGGUUCACUUGUUCUUUCAAUGGAUUUGAAAGGUUUCUUGGUAAACUUGGCCUCAACACAAGUUUCACACUUAUAACGGGCAUCCAACUCAAAUCUUGGAAUUAACCCCAAGUUUGCUCUUCAUUUUACCAUAGUUUACAUGUCCUAAUCUACCAUGCCAUAAAUAAGGAGACACAAUAGUGUAAACUGAAGACUUUUAUUUAUUAAUAGUCUUUGGGUACACAUAAUUCGAAUUUACAUCAAUGACAACCACAUUGGCUUUAAACAGGUCAUUACACAAGUACCAUUUCCGCCGCAUACAUCCCUCAUUUCGAAAGUACAAACUUGUCAGAUUCAAAUACGAAUUUGAAACCCUUCUUGACAAGUAUAGGGCUAGAAAUUAGGUUUUUCCGAAUCUCUGAUACAUGCAGCACAUUCAGCAGGGCGACCUUCUUGCUAGAUAUAAACUUCAAGAUCACAUUUCCUCUUUCGGCAAUCUUUGCUGAUGCAGAGUUAGCCAUAUAAAGCUUCUAAUAUUCUUCAGCCUUCCCAUAAAAUGAGAACAUGUGUUUAUCUGCACAUAUGUGAUUUGUGGCACCUAUAUCUAGCCACUAGCCAUUAGUGUUCGACACUAGAGAUGCUUCGGACAUUACCACAGCAAAUAGUCUCUCAAUAUUGUCAUGUUCUGUCAAAUUCAGUUGCUGGGUUGUAUCAUUGUUCUUGCCUUUUUUCGAGCACUUCUUGCAAUUCUUAGCACGAUGGCCAGGCCUGUUGCAUAUAAAACACGUCCCUUAGAUUUUCUGGAACUACUCCUUCUGCUUGCCUUUUCCUUGAAAAGACAUCUUCCUUUUUCUACCUUGCUUGGAUUUGGAAGAUUCCACAACGUUGGCCUUUGGCUCAGAAGAAGGAUUCGCACUCCUUCUAUUGUUCUCCUCAAUUCUGAGGCGCAAAAUGAGAUAUUCAAGGCUCAUCUCCUUCCGUUUGUGCUUCAAAUAAUUUUUGAAGUCUGACCAGUCCGGAGGUAGUUUCUCAAUCAUAGCCGCCACUUGGAAUGAUUCACUAGGUAUCAUUCCCUCAGCAGAGAUGUCACUCGCAAUUAAUUAUAAUUCUUGAACCUGACUCAUGACAAAUUUAGAAUCCAUCAUCUUGUAGUCCAAGAAUUUGGCAACCACAAAUUUCUUGGUGCCAGCGUCCUCAGUCUUGUAUUUCUUUUCUAAGGACUCCCAUAACUGUUUAGCAGAUUCAAUAUUACAAUAAACAUUAUAAAGAGAAUUCACUAAACAGUUAAGGAUAUAAUUUCGACAUAAGAAGUCCCCAUGCUUCCAAGCCUCCAAUGCACCAAGCGUCGUGACAUCUUGCUCGUUUGGACUAAUUAUUGGGUACACCUUCGAUAAAUAUUUUGUCAGAUUGAGCAUGGUCAGAAAGAAGAACAUCUUCUGCUGCCACUGUUUAAAGCCCACUCCGGUAAAUUUCUCUGAUUUCUCAUUAGCUGUAACUAGAGGCGUUGCCAUCACAGUAGGCAAAGUUCGUUGAACUAUCCCUCUAGAAACGGAGCCAAAAGCCAUUUGGCUUGUACUGUUCUAAAAAACAGUCCUGGGCAUACCAGUUAUAUGACUUGUACCUGCACCACCAAAAUUGGUGUUAGCCUAAGGGCCCGUAGCAUUGGCUGCUACAAAUUCAGACCCUAAGGGUUGAACAUCUUUCAUAGCAACGGUCGAAUUGACCAUAGGAAUGUCUCCUGAAACAUUCGGGACAUUGAAGGGCACUUGGUUGUUUUCAACCAUCUCAAUAAACUGACAAGAACAACAAAUAGUGAGUAAGAUAAUUGCCUUAAGAUUGUUGGAAAAUAAUCCAAAGAAAACACAAACUGUUUGUUGCAAUCAGAACAUGAAAUUGGAGGUAAGGUACGGAUAUCCAAAUCUCCUUAAGACAAUUAGUUCCUGCCAAUGAUGCUCCGCAGAUUCACAAAUUAUGCCUCCCAAGAUACAACACCUCGAAUCUAUUUGGAUUAGCACUAUGCAAACAUGACUCAGUCUAACCGUUCAAUUGAACCAGCACACUUAGAAAAAUCAGAAGGUAGAAAAGUGUAUCAGAGCAUUUUUGGAAUCAAGUCGGAAAAACCAAAAACUAUAAUGAAGCUCUAUGCUCCCAUCUAUUUAUAAAGAUUUUUAGUUCAUGUACAGAAGAGAUACAUGAAUUAAAUAAACGCAUGUAUCCACGAAAUUCAUGAAUCAAGAGAUACAUGAAUUCAAGAGAUUCACAAAUCUAGAGAUACAUGAAUUCAAGAGAUUCACGAAUCUAGAGAUACGUGAAUUCAAGAGAUUUGUGAACUCAAUAAAUACAUGAAUUAAAAUAUACAUGAAUCUAGGAAAUUCAUGAAUUCAAUAGAUACAUAAAUGGAAAAGUUUAAGAAAUUCAUGAAUCCAAAAGAGAUACGUGAAUAGAAAAGACGUAUCUUAAUUUAUUGCCAUUCGUUGAUCCAUUAACCAUAAUUAUAACCAGAAUUAUAACAAAAACAUAUAUGAAGAUUAAUAGAAGAUUGCAAGAAAAAAAAAUGUAAAUUGUGAGAAAAGAAAAUUGAUAUAAUGAAACUGUAAAUUGUUUAUCUUUUUCCCUUUAUUCUCAAAUUGUGUGCCAUGCCAUAACAUCAGAUUUUCCUUUUAAUAGACCAUGCUAUGCACUUUGUCACGAAACAUAGGCCAACCACACGUUUCCUCUACCCCUAAACAUGACUUACAGCCAUUGAUCAGAUAUUCCACUCUUGAAAUUAAGGACAACUGACUCGAGCCGAAAUGCACGUUCAACAAUAGUACGAAAUGCCCUUCUACAGCUGAUUUUGGGUCCACGAUCCCUAUUCGUACCCAAAUGGUCCAAAAUUACUUAAAGCCGCCAAACAUAAAAAUAUACUCGAUGUUUGCAAAAAAUAAUUCAUUUUCCAGAGCCUCUAUAGGGACAUCCAAUAAAAUUCAUUUUCCAGAAAAAAUUAUAUUUUUCCAAAUAUCGAUCGUGUCAGUAUAUUCUCUUCAAUAAUCGUACCAUACCUUUCAAAAGCUAUGGAUCAAAAUUGUCAACAACAAAUAUUUAUUUGACCGGAUCAUAGAGAAUUUUUGGAUGUCUAGAAAAUCAUUUUUCCAUUAGGGAGAAUUGUCCAAAAAGUCCUAAACCUAUUGCAGUUUUGCCAAUUUAGUCCUAAACCUUUUAAUCUUGCCGAUUGAGUCCUAAACCUUUUGUUAGUUUGCCAAUUGAGUCCAUCCAGCCAAUUUUGGCCGGAAAAUGCUGACGUGGACACCGGCAGUGCCACGUAUGACUGUCGGCGCUGACGUGGACAAUUUUUAAUAACAUUUUAAAAUUUUAAUUUUUUUUUAAUAUUUUCUGUUUUUUCCCUCUUUUUUUUUUUUUUUUUUUUUGGCUUUUCCCUUGCCCUUUUCCGGUGGCCGAUGGCCGAGCGACGGCGAUGCCAGGCGAGGCCAGCCCUGGCCCCGGCAAGGGCCGGCCUCGCCAGUUCAAGCAAGCCCUCGCCCAGGCGAGCAUCGGCCUCGCCGAGGCCAGGGCUGGCCUCGCCCGACCGGGCCUCGCUGGGGCUCACCCUCGCCCAGGCGAGCGUCGGCCUGUAGCCGGUGGCCAGCCGUCGCCUGCCUGGCCAGGGGCGAGGCCGACGCUCACCUGGGCGAGGGCGAGCCUCGGUAAGGGCUCCCCUCGCCCGGCGUUGCCGUCACCGUCGCCCCGCCGGGCCUCGCCUGUGAUGGGCGAGGCCAGCGGGCUGGCUGUAGCUGGUGGCUGGCCGUCACCUGAGGCUGGUGGCCGGCCACUGGAAAAGGACAAGGGAAAAGAAAAAAAAAAACAGAAAAAACAGAAAAUAUUUAAAAAAUCAAAAAAAAUUUAAAAAUUUAAAAAUAUUAUUAAAAAUUGUCUACGUCAGCGUCGACAGUCCUACGUGGCACCGUCGGCGUCCAUGUCAGCAUUUUCCGGCCAAAAUUGACCGGAUGGACUCAAUUGGCAAACUGACAAAAGGUUUAGGACUCAAUCGGCAAGAUUGAAAGGUUUAGGACUAAAUUGGCAAAACUGCAAUAGGUUUAGGACUUUUUGGACAAUUCUGCCUUUCCAUUAUAUUGGCAAUUUUCUUAAUAUCUGGAAAAUGAAAGAAAAAUUAAAUGCUUUCCAAAAAUUAUGAAAAAUUCACAAUUGUACUAUUUCUUGUGCUGGUUUCAAUUCAAUAGAAAACUUCAAAGUAAGCAAAGCUGCUGUUGUGUUGAAAAUUCCUUGCUGUCAUUAGAGAAGGUCGGGGUUGAAUUUUGUUUAUGUUGCCAAUUUCGCAAUUGAAGUAACGCCUUCUAUUUGAAAUCACAUGCAUUUUUCACUUUUACUGUAGCCACCGACUAUUCUAAUUUUUUCUUCCCAUAGGAGUUUACUUUCUUUUUUCCUUUCGAACGUGGCGUUCUGCAGUUGGAAAACGUAAAUGUGGGGGAGAAGAGUUUAGGUGACUUCUAACCCUUUCUCAUCACUGAUCGUCUUCCAUUAUUAUAAACUUCAUUUUUCAUUGGCUUACUGAUUUUUCAAGAGGUAAAUGAUAUGCCAACAUUGACUUGGAAAAGAACUUGAGGAAGGUAGACAAAUAUUUUAUAUAUCUAUCUUAACGUUGAUUCGUUAUGCUCAAUUGGUGUCAUCUAAAAAAUUACGACUCUAUUCUACGAACAAUAUAUCAAUCAAUUUUAUUUUAUUUUAAUUCAGGAGUUUGAAGUAAAAUAGCUUGCUGAUAUCAUAUCAGUUUUUAAGAAAUUCUUUUACAUGGAAUCAUUGCCAUGCGGGAGUGGGGUGGAAAAUUAUCCAAUAAGUCCUAAACUUAUUAUACAAAUUGAAUAUUUCAAUUUUUUCAAUUUAAAUUUAUAUGUUUGCGUGAAAUUCCAAUGUAAUCAUUCUGGUCAAUUUUUGCUGAAAAUUGCUAACUUGAUGGUCCAAUCAUUGCUAGUCAUACAUCGUCACGUAUGCAAUUUUUGAUAAAAGUUAAUUGGAAGGACUACAUUUGAAUUUGCAAAGAUUAAGGAUUAAAUUAGGAAAAUUAGAAAAUUUAUGACUAAAUUGCCAUACAUAUAAUAUGUUUAGGAUUGAUUGAACUAUUUUUCCAUAAAAGAGAAAUACCAAUGACUAUUUAUUCAUCUCCACCUCGCACUGCCAACUUCAUUAAUAAUAUGACAGUUUCAAACAAAAUUAAAAUAUAAUAUCACAUUCAUAAUCACCAGCUAGGUCCUCUUUUCACGUCUCCCACACAUUUCCAAUUUCGUUUCAACUCAAUGAUCAGCUUUUGAUUGAUUUAAAUUCUGAUUUUCAAUAACCAAAUGAAAACCGAACCUAUGCUUAUGUUUUUAAGGGAAUGCAAUUUGCAUGUACAUAGAUUUUAGUAUUUUAUAGCCCAAUUAAGAAAUUAAUGUACACGUUAUUCCUGAGUGAGAACCACGCUAAAGAGUUUGACUUGACUAGAGGGUGAGGUCCAAAAGAAGUUAAGGCAAGGACUAGAAUUAUCUGCAGCUCUUCCUAGUCAAUAAUUACUAAUUAAUUAAAUAUUUCAUGUUAAUCUUUUCUUGCUUGCCAAAAGAUACCGUGUUUAUAUUUGUCCUUAGAGACUAGUUAUCAAUCCUUUUACGCAGCAGGAAAGCAUCACUUAUUUCACCUUUUCCCCUCAGAUUGUCAUGGACAAAGGGCAGGGUCAGAGAAAGAGAGAGAAUGCAGAAAAAGAUCGCAUUGGGAUAGAAUCCGCUCCUUCCUUCAUCUCCCCUAUAUUCACGGGAGGAGGUAGAGAUCAACAUGACAUAUUUUUUAGCUUUAGAGGCUCAGAUACACGAAAAGGAUUUACCGAUCACCUCUAUCACGGACUAGUUAAUGUAGGGAUCGUACCGAUUUUCGUGUUUAGGGAUGAUAAAAGCAUUCCAAUUGGUGAGGAAUUUGGCUCAAAGAUUCUUGAUGCAAUCAAACAAUCUAAGAUUUCAAUCCCCAUCAUCUCAGAGAAUUAUGCUUCGAGCAAAUGGUGCCUCCGUGAGCUCAUUCAAAUCAUGGAUUGCAAGAAGAGCACGUCACACGUAGUGUUGCCCAUUUUCUACAAAGUGACUCCAUCAGAUGUGUGGUAUCUAAAACAAAAUUUUGGGAAGGCCUUCCAUUCGCGCAAGGAGCAUUUUGAUGCAAAGGAAAUUGGGGAAGGCCAGCGAGCACUUACAGAAGUGAGUUACUUAAAUGGAUGGGAAUCUUGAGAAAUUUGCCAAUGGGUACUGCACUUUCCCGAAUUUUUUUCUUUUAUACUUAAGUUUUCUUAUUUCACGCAAAAGUGAUGAAAUGUGGAUGAACUACUUUCACUACAAGCUCACAAAAGAUCGCCAGGAUAUCCAAUGAACACCCAUAAUACCCUAAAGACAACAAAAGCUAGUACUCCCCAAUGUGUCCCCUAAGAACCAAACCAAUAACACCUAAAACCGAAGUAUCCCAUAGUGCCUAAGAAUUUUACAAAUGUCUCCGGUACAAAAAGGACGACCCCUCUAGCCAAUAGUAUCAAUUGCUAAACAACAUGCCUAGAAAGGACUCCAAUGCUCAGUCUUCCGAAGCUUGAUCACCCCCAGAUAAAAUAGACCUCCUUAUGCCAACGGAACUUGGCUCAAUUGAAGAAUCAGACACUUUAAAUUUACCAUGUUUAGGUUUGAUUUCCGCUGCUGUUAACCCUUCAUUAGCAAGCGAUCUACAAGUUAAUCAAUGUAGGCAUAUGGAAUGCCCUGGCUGUGGAUUAGGGUCCCUUCCUCUGAAACUUUUUUUAACCACCCAAAAAGAGAGAGAGAGAGAGAGAGAGAGAGAGAGAGAGAGAGAGAGAGAGAGAGAGAGAGAGAGAGAGAGAGAGAGAGAGAGAGAGAGAGAGAGAGAGAGAGAGGGAGGGAGAGAGAGAAGAAUCGACCUCCUAAAUUUCAAUUAACAGCAACCUUAAGCCUUAUAACAAAUAUUAUACUUCUAAAGACUCUUAAUGAGCCAGGUGCACCAAAUCGACCUCCUAAAUUUCAAUUAACAGCAACCUUAAGCCUUAUAACAAAUAUUAUACUUCUAAAGACUCUUAAUGAGCCAGGUGCACCAUUUUUUUUUCUAUUUCAACAAGAUCUAUCAACUGGCAGAAAAGGAUGGGAAAAAAAAAUGAAAUGACUGCUACACCUUCAUCAUUCAUUGUCAUUUAUAAAACCAGUACAUCUUGCAUGUUGAUUGGCGCCAUUCAUCUUGGAAAAGUUUUACGUGUCUUUUGAUGAGAUUAAGUGUAACCACAAAGUUAUCAGGAUUUUGUUGUAUGACAGGCAUGAAGGAGAACUAGUAGAAAAAGUUAUCACAACUAUUUUGAGCAAGUUGCGACAUGAUUUUCAACUUGAUGUUACUAAGCACCUAGUUGAAAUUGGUGAUCAUUUGAACAAAAUCAGGAAUUGGGUAGAUGCUCCUGCCAAUGUUGCUCGAAUGAUUGGAAUCUAUGGUAUGGGUGGGAUCGGUAAAACGACUCUUGCCAAGGUUAUCUACAACGAGUUGUCAAAUAAAUUUGUGCAUUGUAGCUUUCUUCCAGAUGUUCGAGAAACAGCUCAUUGCAAUGGUAUUCCUUAUCUACAAAAUCAACUAAUUAAGGAAAUACUGCAAAUUGAACAUCAAGUUUGGAAAGUUGAUGAUGGAAUUAGUUUGAUCAAAUCUAGAUUCAAAGGAAGAAAGGUUCUCCUACUUUUGGAUGAUAUAGAUCAUAAAGAUCAAUUAAAUGCUUUGGCUAAAGAACGUGACUGGUUUAGUCAGGGAAGUAUCAUCAUUGUUACAACUAGAAAUAAAGCUAUUCUUGAUCAAUCUGAAUUUGAGGUUGACUUCAAGUAUGAAUUGAAUGAUAUAGCCGAGAUGCAUUCUUUGCAUUUAUUUAAUAAACAUGCAUUCCGUAUGAACCAUUCUUCGAAGGAUUCUGAGGGUAUCUCUCGUGAUAUAAUUUCAACUAUGGGGUGGGGCUUCCCUUGGCUUGGAGGUUAUAGGUUCAUACUUGUAUGGAAAAACAAAUAGAAAAGUAUGGCAAGAUAUGCUUGAAAAAUUAAGAAAAGAACCCGAUAGAGAUGUCCAAAAGAUAUUAAAAAUAAGUUUUGAUGCUUUAGAGCAAGGACAUAAGGAGAUUUUUCUCGAUAUUGCUUGUUUCUUUAUCGGUGAAGAGAGCAAAUUUGCCAUGUACAUGUGGGAAGACUCUGGAUUUUAUGCAAGUCAAGGAAUUGAAGAGCUGAAAUUGAGGUGCUUAAUAAAAAUUGCAAAUGAUGGUAAGUUAAGGAUGCAUGAUCAACUGAGAGAUCUCGGAAGGAAUAUUAUUUGCCAAGAAGGACUGCCUGAGAGACGUAGUAGAUUGUGGGACUGUGAGGAAGCCUCUAGAGCACUAACGGGAGGAAAGGUAACGAAUGACCCUCCUUUUUUCUUUCCCUCUCCCUCAUAUUUUCAUAUAUUUAAUCAGAUCUAUUUAAUCUUUUGUCUAGUAUGGACAGACGUAUCUGCUUUUGAAUAAAAAGGUCCAUUCAUAAUUCACGUCCAUCAUAGAGUAAUGGUGACAACUAAAUGUAUCACAAAUACUCCAGGGAUAAAAAGCUAUAUUAUCUCACGAUGAUGGCCAAGUAGAAUAUCUCUAAAUAUUCAAAUUCAAUGACCUGAGUUAUGCAUGUCAAGAAUAUAAUUUAUAACAAAUUUCAAAUCACUUAACUAAUGAUUCUACACUAAAAUCCUCGUUUACUAAAAAAGUGUAAUUUUCAUAUUGGUUGGUAAUAUGAAAGACUUCAAUAAUAAAUAGACAUGAAGUAUAUGCAUGAGAUAUCAAAUUAAUGAAGGGCUCUUGGUCUAUAAUAAUAAGAGAUACUGGGUGCCAAUUAUAAUAAUUAACAAUCAAACAAAAGGUGUCAAAUUCACACGUAUCAAAAGUGCUUGCUUUCUAUGACGGCCGUAUUUAUUUCGGUGCUCCUUUGUUUUGGGAAACCAAUAUUUGAUAUAAUAUCUCUCCUCUUUGAUUUUGAAGACAACUAUUCCUCCCUCUACUAGUUACAUCUAUAUUAUCUCACUCUUCUUUCCUCUUAAUAGAUGUGAUAGUGAAAUCCCGUCAAGAAUUAAAUUUAGAAAAUCUUAGUGUAGCUGUUAAAGUUGUGUUUGGUUGACCUUGUUCAUCCCAUGGAUUAGGUUAAGUAAAUGAUAGAGUGAGUUUUCUCAUCUCUCUUUUUUUGUUUCUUUCAUUGCUAUUGCCUUGUCCUUUUCGCUUUUCUUAAUUCACCAAUUUUUUUUACUCCAACCCUACCCCAUAUCCUACACCCAACUUUUGCCUUUCCACCCUCGUCACUCACCUGACGUUACACAGCGUCACACCCCCCCCCCCCCCCCCUUUCUCUCUCUCUCCCCUCCCCUUGUCCUCUCUCUACAGAGGUCCUCAAUCGUGAUCGGGCAUACUCUGGACCAAAUUUGAGGCGGGGACGGCAGGGGGACCAAGUUAAUGAACCAAAACACUUGUUAGGAAAGUAUACCCAUGCUAAAAAUGAACGCCAACAAUUGACAUUAAGAUACCUCUAGAGAACUUAUUAGGAAAGCAUCCCGAUCAACUAAACGUUUGGGGUAAAAACAUAAGUACAAUUAUUGAAGUCAAUCAAAGCUGUAUGGGAUUUUUUCAGUAUCGUCUACUAACUAAAUGAUCUGUUUCAAAAGGAAAGUCAAAGAAGAGUUUUUGACUUAUAAGAUGCAAAGCGAAAUGGUGCCGAUAUUAUGCAAACAGACAUAUGCAAAACAUUUAGGUCCGUUUGUCUUAGAUUUUUCAAGUCAAAAUUUUAAAAAAAUUGUUUAAAUUUCAAAAGAUUAUCAAAAAAUUAAAUGGGAUUUUAUGUGUCAACAUUCAUAUACGACAUGGUUAGAAAAAUGAAAAAUUGCAUUGUCCACAGUUUAAAAAAGAAAAAAGAAAAAAGAAAUAGCCAAUCCAGAUAUUCAUUCGAUUGAUUUUAUCAUAGGGAACUGAAAGGAUCCAGGCAAUUUGUCUUCGCAAAGACUAUCGCCAUUUCCAGACAUACAAGAAUGAACAGUUUAAAAGGCUACAUGGCUUAAGGUUCCUUCAAUUGAGGUCGGUGGCUUUAAGUGGAGACUUUAACAAUCUGUUUUCUGAAUUGAGAUGGCUUUGCUGGGAUGACGUUAAAAAGAAGAAAUGGUUGUCCAUAUUUAACAAACAAUCUUUUCCGGCAACCAAUUUGCGUCUGCCGAAAUUAGUGGUGCUAGAGUUGAAAGAUUGCUGGAUCACAGAACAAUGGAGAGGAUGGGGUUCAAUUAUGGUAAGAUGGAGAAAAGACAUCACCUGUGAUUUUUGUUUGUUUUGUUUUGUCAAUCAACUCAUUAUUUUCUUUUGUAUAGGUGGCAAAACGGCUGAAGAUUCUCAAUCUUGAAUAUUGUGUUAAUAUAAGAUGUACUCCUGAUCUCUCAGCUUUCACAGAGUUUUUUUUUUUUUUUUUGGUCAGUUAGCUUUCACAGAGUUAAAAGUUCUCAUAUUGAGACAUUGUUACAACCUGAAGCAAGUCCACCCUUCUAUUGGCAAGGUCAAGAGCCUCGUUUCUUUGGACUUGUGUAACUGUUACCGUCUCAAGCAGUUGCCAAAGGAAGUGGGUCAAUUAAAAGAACUUAAGGAACUUAAUAUACAUUGGACUGGUAUUACAAAGGUCCCUACGGCUAUCAGUUCUUUGAGAAAGCUGGAGAAAUUAACUGUCACACUUUGUUGGCAUGUGGGAGAAAUUCCUAGCUCAAUGGGAGAAAUUCCUAGCUCAAUUGGAAACAUUUCUUCUCUCCAACACCUCGAACUAAAUCUUUUUCCGACAUUGAAAGUAAUCCCCAGCUCAAUUGGGGAUUUACAGAAUUUGCAGUAUCUAAACAUGAAUUAUUCUGGGAUUGAAAAUUUACCCGGUGCUAUUGGAAGGUUGAAAAAACUGCGGAGUCUACUUCUUGCAAACUGUGGUAGUUUGAAAGGGGUUCCAAAUGAAAUCGGUGACUUGUCUUCCCUUGAGAUUAUUAAAAUCACUAACACGCCGAUAUCUAACCUACCAGAAAGCAUCCAGAAUCUUUCUUAUCUCCAAAACCUUAGCCUAAGGGGCCGUUUCAAGCUCCGGUCGCUGCCGGAGCUUCCAUCCAACUUAACAUAUCUGGACGUCUCUUGUCGGAGUCCUAGGUUGACUCAGCUUUCUUGCCUAAUCCACUUGGAAGUACUUGAUCUUUUUAGAUGUGAUCUACUUGAAGACAUCCAAGAACUUUCACAAUUAAAUUGUCUAAAAAUGUUUUCAAUGGAAAAGUGCAAUUCCAUUAAAAGAUUAGACCUUUCACAAUUAAAUUAUCUGAAACAAUCAUCCAUUAAAUAUUGUGAUAAUUUAGUUGAAAUUCAGGGCCUUGAUAAUUUGGAGUUCUUGGAAGAGAUACAUAUAGUACAUUGCAAGUCAGUUGAAAGGCUGAUCCUUGUACAAAUAUGGUGUUUGAAGAAAUUUACAGCUAGUGGUUGCGACAAUCUAGUCGAAAUUCGAGGUCUUGAUGGGACGGAGUUCUUAGAAACAUUGGAUCUAUGUUGUUGUAAGUCCAUUGAAAGAUUACCUGACCUAUCAUGCUUUGGGACCUUGAAAGAAUUGAACAUUAAUGACUGUCGCAAUCUAUGUGAUGUUGAGAGUCUCGAGAGCUUUUUGUCUUGCCGAAGCAUAUACAUAACGGGGUGCAUAUCAUUAGAAAAACUACCAAACCUGUCAAAAUUUGAAAAUUUAGAGAAUUUCACAUUGAAGUAUUCGUUUCAUAUUACAGACAUUCCUGGGAUUAAGGAAUCAAGAUCUCUAACACACAUAGAUAUCAGAGGAUGUGUAUCAAUGCAGACUUUGCCAGAUUUGUCAGGAUGCAAGAAGUUAGAACGUCUAGUGGUACGAGACUGCAAGAAACUUACUCAACUUUGGGGAUUGGAAAAGUUGGAUAUUAUUUAUUUGGAUAUUUCUGGGUGCGACUCAUUGCAAACAAUACCGAUGUUAGCUAAUACACACAUCAUGAGAAAUUAUGAAAGUCAGCCAUAUGUGCAGGACUAUCGAAAUAUUAUAUUGCAGUGAUAAUGAUAUGAUAGAUCUUAUACCCAUAUUACAAUAAUGAGACCAGCCACGUUUCCUUAACAAAGGUAAAUAAGCCAUAAAAUACCAUUUUUCUUCUGAGAUUCAUGACUUAUUUUUCAUCACUAUUUUCUUUUGACAAGAAGGUUUUCCUUGACAGGGUUCUAUACUUUCCUGAACUCCUAGUCUUACAUAGUUGAAGGAGUCAUGACGGUGGUUGAAGAAGCUGACUUGAUGCUUCAGCCAAGAUCAAAAUGUAGACCCAAAAGUGUCUACAUACAAUAGAAGGCAUUUGUCACUAGUAAGAUUCUUCAUCCUAUAGCCAGCGUGAGUGAAUAGUAUUAAAAUAUAUCUCGAGUUUGAACUUGUAGAAUAAAAUUCAGUUUCAAUAAAGUGAAGUACACGGGCUCUUCUUGAUCAUAAAACAAAAUUAAAUGGAGAGGGGCACACAAAUUAUAUGUCCGUGUUAGUGCAGUCGGCCAAGGAAAGGAUAAAAUAGGAAUGUUAAAAAUUUGGUUUUGGUUGACCGAAUAUGACUCCGACUUUGUUUCCUAUUUGAUGCAGCAACCUUCACUAUGGAAAUUUGCACUUUCGCUGGCAAUGGUAUAUAUGAUAUUUUGUUUAGCUUAGGAGUUUUUUUUUUUUUUGGACAAAGAGUCUUGAUAAGCCGUUGUUGAUAGAUACGUGAAGUGCUUCUUGAAAUGCUGUGUUUUUAAGCGAGCGUUUGGUGUGGAUUAUUUUCAUGGGUUUGUACCAGACCGAAGCUAAUCCACACUUCUAUUGGCAAAGUCAAGAGACUUGUUUACUUGGACUUGAGAUGGUGUUGUUGUCUCAAGAAGCUGCUAGAGCAAGUGGGCAAAUUAGAAGAACUAAAAGAACUUAAUGUAGGUUGGACUCGAAUUAAAAAGCUUUCAAUGUCAAUUAGUUCUCUAAGGAAGCUGGAGAAGGUCAAAGCCCAAGUUUGUCCCAAUUUGGGAUAUCCCUAGCUCAAUUGGGAAUCUUUUCUUCUCUCCUGCACCUUAAUCUAGAAGUUUGUCAGUCUUUGAGAAUAAUCCCUAGCUCAAUUGGGGAUUUAUAGAAUUUACAAGAUUUGAACAUGAAUUAUUUUGCAAUUGAAAAGUUAUCCAUUGCUAUUGGGAGGUUGACAAAAUUGUGGAGUCUACUUCUCACAAAUUGCGGUAGUCUGGAAGGGGAUCCAAAUGAAAUUGGUGACUUGUCUUCGCCCGAGAUUCUCCAAAUCACUAAUGCACGAAUGUCUAACCUACUGGAAAGCAUCCGAGAUCUUUCUUUUCUCAAAAUGCUUGACUUAAAAGGCUGUGACAACCUCCGGAUGUUAGCAGAGCUUCCUUUCGACUUAAAAUAUCUUACACUUUAUGGUUAGAGUCCCAAAUUGCCACAGCUUUCUUGCCUAAUCAAUUUGGAAGUACUUGAUCUUUUUAGAUGCAAUCUACUUGAAUACAUUCCAGAGCUUACCUCAAGACCCUCAAAACAUUAUGUUGCCUCCUCUCCCAAGCUAAUAUUGCCUAAGCUUGAUGGAUUUGGGUACUUGAAAAAGUUUUCAAUAGGAGAGUGUGGUUCCGUUAAAAGAUUGGACAUUUCACAAUUAAAUCGGCUGGAACGAUUAUAUGUUGAAUGUUGCCGUAACCUAGUUGAAAUUCAGAGCCUUGAUAAUUUAGAGUUCUUGGAGGAGAUACAUAUAUUACACUGCAAUUCCAUUGAAAGGCUAAUCCUUUCAGAAGUACGGUGUUUCAAGAAAUUAACAGCUAGUUGUUGUGACAAUCUAGUCGAAAUUCGAGGUCUUGAUAGAUCGAAGUUCUUAGAGGCAUUGUAUAUAUGUUGUUGUGGGUCCAUUGAAAGAUUACUUGACCUAUCAUGCUUUACGACCAUAAGAGUUGAGGAUCAAUGGUUGCUGCAAUGUACAUAGUGUCAAGAGCCUCGAGAGAUUCUUGUCUUGCAAAAACAUAUACAUAGAUGAGUGCUAAUUCCUAGGAAGACUACCAAACCUGUCGAAAAUUCAAAAUUUAAACAAAUUCACGUUGAAGUAUUUUCUCUGUGUCACGGAGAUUGCUGGGGUUGAGGAAUCAAGAUCUCUAAGGGACAUGAAUAUCACAGGAUGAAUGAAUGGAGAUGUUGCCAGAUUUUGGCCUAUGAGAAGUUACGAUCUCUAGUGUUACGAGACUGCAGGAAACUCAACUUCGGGGACUUGAAAACUUGGAUUUGAUUUAUUUGGAUAUUUCUGGGUGCGACUCAUUGGAGACGAUACCAAAGCUUCCCGGAACACGUGUCUUUAGAAAUUACGAAAGUAAUGUGGGAAUAUCAUAUUCUGUCGUUCUCUGAAUUUAUAGUCUUACAUAAUUGGAGGAGUGGAACAAUUGGUCAUAGAAGCUGACAUGAUGCUUCAGCCAAGAUCAAGAUGUAAACCAAAAUGUGGAUCUACGUACGAUAGAAGGCAUUGGUCAUCUCGUAAACUGUUCACCCUAGGGCCAGAGCAAGCAAAUAGAGUGAUACUUUUGCUCCCGACUGAGGGUCUAGUUGCUUGAUUUUAGAAACUCCGGAUUUUGUACUUGCUGUUGACUGCACCAUGGCAUUAUCUCUUCAUAUAUCCUUCCUUGGGCAGCUUUUGCAGAUUGCGAACAGAUUCGCGGCUUCUAAGGCAAUGAAUGAAAUUGUCAACCUCGGUAACCUAGUGAUUUAACGGUUUCCCUCUCCUAAAACCAAGGAUUGAAUUUUUCAUCUAAAGGCAAAAUGAUCUUGUGCUACUAAAUAUUGCAAACUGCGCCCAAAAACCAUUUUUCCCUCCGUCUGAGAUUAAUAUUUUCUUUGGAAAAGUCCUUGGCCGUUUUGGACUCCGUUGUGAGUUUUUUCUUGUCAAAUUAGACUAAUGGAAUAUAUUCUGCUUAGAGGAAACACCUUCUAAUUUUCUGUGAUGUAUGAUUGUUGAUCAGCUUUUUAUUACCAGUGGUUGAACUGUUGUUUUAAAAGAUUAUCAAGCAACGUAAACUUGUGCUGCUUUUGUGCCAGGUCUGGUUGGUCUAUGUAAUGAUCAAGGAUUACUUUUGGACUUCGAUUCAAAGAGCCAUAUAGAUGACAUUUUGCACAAUUGGGACAAUUUUUGCCUGCUCUGUGAAACAAGUUGGGUCGAGAGGCUCAAGAAUUGGCUAAUUAGUUUUCAUCCUCUCUAAUCCUAUUGUUGACAUGGAAUUGUUUUAUCAAAUGAUUGAUCUAGGUCUGGCUAACUUGUCUAAGAAGCUUCAAAUUCCAUACCAGAGACCGAUCAAAAUGAAGAGGAGGGAUUUUUUAGAGGAAGCAUCAACAACAACUCAGGGCCAUUUGCCGUGCCAACCUUGAAGAGGCUAGUGUGCCAGCUGGAGUGCGAAGAUGUGAUAUGGUCUAUACCCAAAUGACUGACUUGAGUGUUUUCAAUUGAAUCUGCUUCAUGUAUGCUCAUUAGGUUCUACCUCUCUGUUAAUCAAAUACGUACCUGUUGAUAUCCUUGUAUGUUAUCCUGAUGCAGAGUUGCUUGAUGCAGUUGCAUUCUACCAUAUUACUCCCGAACUUGAUGAAGCUCUGCAGAGGGAGGUAUGGAUAACCAGUAAUGCCAUAACUAUGAAUGAAAAACUUAUGUGCUUAUACUAUAUGAGCUGUGAAAUUUCACCUGAAAACCUAUAUACAAGGGUGCAUGAUGACAAUCUCCUCCCUUUUCUAUCAAUUUAUUGGUGUGACAAUAUCCUCCAAACGUUGUCAGAUAGGUUUCUAAUCGAAAAGCUCAGUCUCAUGUUUGCAGUGUUGAAUUUGUGAAGUCCAAUUCGUCUCCUAGCACACUAUACUGAAUUGCUGAUUUUACUAAUUGGAUAUUGGGGAACAACCGAGUACAUGUUCAUCUUUAUGGUCUGGAGUUUAGGCACAUCACCUUUUCAGCAUAAUUCUAUUAACACCAGUUUCGUUCCAAAACACAAGUAAGGAAAGUGUUGCUAAUUGCUUACACAAGUCUGUCGUGCUCCUCUUCAUCGGCCAGUUAAUCAAGUCUUUGCUAACUGCGGUCCAACUGUGAACUAAUUAGAGACACCUGGAAUCUGUGGCAAGACAUGUCCCCAAAUUUUGGUCUUGGAGCAAACGAUGUUUAUGCAUUAGUACCUCAUCUUUCAUGGGGUAAAUUGUGAUGCUAUGAUAUCGAAUGUCUUCAUGUAUUGAUAAUUAGUUAAUCCGAUACUUCUUGUGUAGAUUUAAUCUGUUUCCAUGAAAUUGGGAGAAAGUUCCCAAAUGCCACGAGAUGGCAAUGCAGAUAGUAAUGAGUUUUUGUCAUGAGACAUUAUGGAAAGGCGUUCCAGAGUUCUUUGCCAUUGGCGUUUAUCAUGUGCUCUGGGUUGUUAAAACUCUUCAUAGGAUUCUUGAUAUCAAGUGGGUGUAGUAGUCCUUUGCAAAGCUUUGAUAUCGUGCUAUUCUUUAGCAAAGGCUGAAUCUCAAAAGUGCUUGUGUAGGUGGUUCUGUGUGUGAAGUUUAGGUAUGAAAUCAAAUUUGUUAACAAGAUCACCGCUAAGAUGUCCUCUUCAAGCUACAAUCUUGUCACUGGAAGAGAAACUAUUUUCGUGAAAACAGCGAACGUCAUGGAAUCAGCAAAAAAUCUGUCUAGUGCAGCCAAGAGUUUCGAUGAAAAGGUUUCCCAAAAGACAGUAUUCUCUCUUUUGAAAGAAUUUCUAACCCAAAAAUGAAAGUUUAAGUGUACAAUUGUCUCUCUGAUAUGAGUACGUCAAAAAAUUCAUGUCUUGGCAAUUUGCAAUGACACCAAUUGUGUAAUCUCAAACUUGAUCAUUUAAGCACGAAUCAUAAAGUAGAAGAGACGCAACCAUAUAUUUUUACAAAAGAACCAAUUAUAAUUUUUGGAUGGAAUUUUUUUUUUUUUUUGAAAAGGUGUCAUUUAAUUGGUUAAUACUCCGACUCUAUUAGGCCAAAUUGUGGUCACAGGUUUAUUGGUUGAGUCUACUCUCAUGCAGAGGAAGCCAAAUGAAUUGCAAGCCCAAGGACUUGAGCGCAUAAUAUGUCCUAUGGACAAAUAGGAGUUUUCACUAUUUUUAUGUGAUAGCUGCAAAGGAUAUUAGUUUUUUUUUUUUUUUAAUUUUUUGGUAAAGGUACGAACUAUAUUGAUUUUGCCAAAAGAAUACAAGGAAGGAUAACCGGCACCAUACAGGACAAACACUCAGGAAGACAGUCGUCAAAGAGAGUGUAAGGGUGCCAUGGGAUCCCAAGGAAAGAAAGAACUACCAAAAGAACAAGACAAGAAAGAAAAAACUAACAAACAAACACUAGAAAGAACCUCCAUUAAUCAAAGAUAAAUGGAUGUAGGUCCCAGCUCCGUAGUAGCCUUCUAUUCUUGUGGUUGUCUGGAACACGUUUAAAGGUCAACGCCUUAUCUUUAAUAGCCUUUUGAAGGUGCAUCUUCAUCGCCGGGAUAAAGAGGGCCUAAUUGUGAAAUAACAUAUUAUUGUGCUCUUUCCAAAUAAUAUAACAAAGAGCGCCAAAGCUGAAGCGAGCCAUAGAUUCGAAGAAGCUAUCAUCUGCAAAUAUCCUGGUUGCCCAUGCAAGAUUAUCCAUCCAAGGCUUGUUUCGCCAAUAUAGGUUGAAUUUGGCCGCCCAAAAGGAAAUGAGAUUACUUGAAACUCGAUAGGCAAAAAAUAAGUGGUUCACAGAAUCUGGUCUACAUAAACAAAAGGGCCAAUUAGCAUUUGCAAUUCUAGCGUAGGAGAUAAGUAAGACUUGAGUAGGCAGCUGGUUGCGAGUAAUGAGCCACAAAAGUGUCUGAUACCGCGGAGGAAGAGAAGGACUCCAAAUAAAGGAGUACCAAGGGACCGAGUUACCCUUAGGGCGAAUCAACUCCCAAGCCGAGGCUGUAGAGAAACGUCCUGUCGGGUGGCCAAGCCAUUGAAUCUGAUCAUCUUCUUGAUUUAUCACCGGGAGGGGAUCAUCCCAAUUGGCCAUGAUAUUUAUAACGAACCAACCCAUAGGGGUGGUGAAGCCAUCCACCACCGAGGCUAGGUGAGAGAUACCGGUCCGAUAAAUUUGCUGGUUCGAAAAGAUCUUGUACAACGGUCCCUUUUGAUGCCAAAGAUCAAACCAAAAUGAAACCGACUACCAAUUACCAAUGAUCCAUUUAAAAUAUUGUUGGAAGUGACCACGGAGGUCCAAUAACUUUCUCCAAGCCCAUGAACAUUGAGUAGGACGCUGGACAACCCAAAAAUUCUUAUGCUUUAAAAAGUUGGAGUGUAUCCACUUGCACCAAAGAGAUUCCUUAUCAAAAAAGAGAAUCCAAAUGUACUUGAGCAUAGAGGCAGUAUUACUUUCUCGAAGGGUACGAAUACCUAAGCCACCUUCCUUCUUUGGUAAACACACAUCACUCCAAGAUACCUUAGCUCCACCCGGCCCCAUUCUCGGGCCUUUCCAAAGGAAUUGACGCAGAAUUUGCUCAAUACGAUUAAGAAUCGAGCAGGGAAGGACGAAAACAUUAGACCAAAAAACUUGGAUGGAAUGAAGAACUGACCUGAUAAGUUGCAUGCGACCCGCAAGCGAGAGGAAUCCGUGUGUCCAAUAUUGAACUCGAGCAAUAAUUGCAUUGACUAGAGAGACACAGUCUGCCUUUUCCAAUCUAGAAGAGAUAACCGAAACACCAAGGUAGCGAAAUGGUAGAGAUCCCUUAUGAUAACCUAGCCUACUUAAAAUCUCAUCAUUGAGAGUAUGCGAGCCCCCAGAUAGAAAGACUUCACUCUUAUUUGAGACGCAAAGGAUAUUAGUUGAGAUGCAAUGACGAGAAAAAGAGAGAGUAGAAAAAUCUGGUUUGAGGGUAGUAUCUAAUUGAGCUGAAAUUUUGUCGGUUUGUUUGUGGCACAUUUUUCUCGAAUAUGAACGGUUUGAUUUUCAAAUGAAACUCCUUAGAUAAGGUUUUUCGUGAGUUGAACAUCUCUUGUGAAAUUUAUGUGUAUUAUCAAGAAUGAUGUUCUUGAAAUCUUUGUUGCUAUGUUCCUCUACUAUUUAUUAGAUAAGAACUUUGUUCACCUAAUUUUGUUAAUAGUGAAGAAUUUGGGUGGACUCCGGUCUUAUGGUUUUUUAUCUCCUCACGAUAAGGCUUUUCACGUAAAAAUGGUCUUGUACUUGCAUGCUUGGUAUUUAUAUUUCCCAUUAGGUUUGCACAAGAAGUGAAAUUAUUUUGUUCUAUUGCAGCAAUUUGAUAUUGUUCAAGUUGUUAUUGUACUCUCAACAAAAGUCAUGCAUUCAAGUUUCAUUCAAAGUAAUUUUUUUGGGCCACUCUCAGAAAUUCCCCUAUCCCGUACUAGAUUACAUUGGUGGAAUUUUAGUAGUUAAUUCUCGCAAGGUUGAUUCACUGGCUGUCUACUCGGACUAGAUUCAAUUUCUCCGGAGCUCAAGACAAGUCCAAGUUUUGAGACAAGCUCGAAUCUACAAGUACUAAGUCGAUGUAUUGACAGCCAAUUUAUUUCCUUUCUUGCUUAACUAGUGCCUAAGUAUUUGUUUGAAAUUGACAAAGUAAUACUUUCUUUUUUCUUAAUUUACCUUUCUACUUUUAUAUUCGUUUUCAUCUGACGAUCUCCAAAAAAAUUGAAAAAAUAGCAUUUCCAACACUACUUUACCGUCUGGCCAGAAAAAAGAAAAUGGAUAAUUAUGUACACCAAAGGAAAAUUAGGAUCCGUAAGGUAAUUUAGUAACUAACUGAAUAUUGACAAACCAUACGACCCAUAGCAAAAUCACCAUCAUUAGACAGGAUUCGGUCCCAUCUUCCCUUCUCAUCUGGUCACUAGCGAUCAUUCGACUAAUUCUCGCCAUUCUUUAGGUGGCUUUGGGUUGUCCCCAAGCAUUUUGCCAGCGAGCCGAACUCGAGUCAAGAAAACAAUACUCGAUCAAGUUUCGAUUUUUGAGUGCCACGAUCCGAGCCGAAUACACACAUUUGUGCACAUUUUCUGUGGCAAAGAAUGAAGGUUUAGGUAUUCUUCAGCAACGGGUACUCUUUGUCAAUUCUAUUUCUGUCUAUUGGUGAGUCUCAUGUAAAUAUAUUAGUCAGUCCACGCAUAAAUAAAUCAUAUGCUCCAUUCCUUUGCAAAAGGCUAAACAUAUAUGUACGUUGAUCACUUGAUUAGAGAAUCAUACAAUAGCCACCACCCUUCUCCUUUUGGACACUAUAUUUACUAUGAAAUGCAAAUUACAAAUGCAUUAUACAAGUUUCUAUCCACAGAGUGAUGGGGAAACAAGCUAAUCGACGCUUGAAGUUGCCCCAAAAAUGCAAAGAAACAGAUGCGGCUUGGUGGAAUUGAAGAUUCACACACAUGGAGAAAUAGGUUCAAUUCCAGUCCCGUGCUUCAAGCUGCCGUCACCAUUCAUUUCAUCUUAUUAAAGCAGCCAUAAUGUUGCCUAACCAUUUCAUUUAGGCCAAUCCCACCUGUCUCUCCCACCUAAGGUCUUCGGAGAAUUUCGAGAGUGCAGCCCUUGGGUCACCAUCAGAGAUAGACAAGUAGUACUGAGCAGUCCCGUCAUCAACCUGCAUACUCCUCCUAAGCGAGUUGAGUAUUCUCUUCUUCCCUCGUUCAGAGGUCGUCCUCUUCAGCAAAGAACUUAUCUCUAUGUCCCGGACACCUUCUGGGUAAAGCACAGCGACUUCCCUCUUUGCAUGGUUAUCGCGCUCUAUGUAGCAUGUGGAAUCGAUAAGAAUGUCAGGGUUGCUUAUGGGGAUUAACAAUCUCUCCCUCGAAUAUAUACCAUGAUCACUCAUCAUGUUGUUCAAGCGCUUUAUGUCCAUGACCUGACAGAACAAAGAAAUUCUUGAAGCAUGUGACAUGCGGUGUAGACAGGCACAAAAAGGAUAUGCUUGACAGAAACAUUGAAGCAGGGAAGAAAAAAAUUUCAGGGAAGCCAUUCUAAAAGUAAGUCUCUGCCAACAGUUAUCAAAACAGUGAACCCAGAGAGACCUAACUACAUGACAUCAUUAUUGACACUUCAGGGAUUAUUAAGACUACAACCAUGGAAAAUUUCCAUAUAAAGACAUUCAUUUCCUAGUUGCACAAACAAUUUAAGUUCUGCUCUCAGAAUUUGAGGUUCACAUUCAACCAUUUCGAUGAAUCAAUACCACCACUGUAGAAUCAUCUACUAUUUCUAUGUCAAUGUUAUUAAGUCAGAAGAACUAUCAUGAGGAUCACAAAGUGCAUUGCCCAUCAUUUCAUACUGAUCACUUGCAAAAUCUGAGCAUCAUUUAGCCUCGUGUGUUCUGGCAACUAAGAGAUUGUGAUUAUCUAUUAAGAUAAUCAAUAUAUAGUUGUCAAUCAAGCAUAUCUUUUUGCUAUUAGUAACCGGAGAUGCUUCUUGCUCGGCAAACUUAAGAAAACUUUACCACAUGAAGAGAUUUCAUAAUGUUUUACAUGAAGAGGACCCUAUGCUCCCUAAGACAUAACAUUUUUGUCCAAGCCCCAACCUUCCUCCAUACCUCCAGAAGAAACCGCAAUAGUGACUUCCAAGUGUAGCCAUUUCCUUUUCCUUCUUUAUAUUUUAGGCUUCACUAAAAGAUGAAGUGACUCCAAAAUUACAAAAUUCGUAUGUCAAUUAGUCUGGCCUUCUCCAAUGGGAAUAAAUCUAUAAGAUUUGCACUAGUAAAUUCCAUUGAGCAUCUAUCCUACCACGUAUUUGAUACAAUAUAGAGCAACAGAAUAAAAUUAUAACUAACCCCACUCAAUGGGAUAAAUCUGUCAUUAACGUUGAAGUCAUUCAACCGCCAGCCUGCACAAAGAAGCUAUGAACAUCUGAUAUGUACACUGUGUAGCAUCUUGUCAACAUUUUUCUUCUCCUAGUAAAUUCCCCAAGCUAACCUUUAUCAAAGAGGCCAGAACCCAAUCGAAUGGAGGUAUAAAAGAGCCAUGCCCGAAAUUGAACAAAACUAUGUACUUAGACAAUCCUGCACCAAUCAACAGAGCUAUCCAACUUUAGCUGUUGUAAUGGAGGAAUGACAGAAUGCUUCUUCAAGGAGAAAAGCCCCUGCAAAGACCUGAAAAUUGUCACUAGCUGUACAGCAUUCCUCAACCAACAAGUCCUCAGCAUUUUAUCGGGAUUCGCCACUUUAGCAAUCAAACUCAGGAUCACAAAUUCGUAUAUUAUUAAAAGCACCUAACCCAUCCCCACCCAUCCUCUCAGCGCCAAUGAAUAACCAAAUAGACAAUCCAUGCUGCAGAAGAAAACCAGAUGGAUUCCAAGCCAUCAGCAAAGCAAACCCACCAGAAAUUCCAUGAAAAUUCACAAUAAGGCUCCCAGCUUCCGGCCACUUCACUCAAACGGCCCCACCCACGUCUAACGCCAGCUACACAUGACCACAUGCAGAACAAACCUACAUGACUUCCGAAACAUCAGAACGAUACUACCAAGAAACCUUCUUCGUAAAGUUUCAAAAGCUGUGGCCUUACACACCACUUUAGCUAACCUUUAAAUGAAAUCGCAAUCCAUCUGUUCUUCAGAAUCAGCUGAAAGUGAAUCUCCAUCGAAAUGCAACGCCAAAUCAUGUCAUUUGCAAACGUUUAAAGUAUUCUGCAUGAGAAAAUCAUUUCGCUGCCAACAUAAUUCACAGUUUUGCUCACAAUCAAUACAGCAAAAAGGAUUGUUUCGCUGUUUGUGUUUCCUUUUUUCUUAAGUUUUUGGUGCCGAGACCCCUACUAGAUGUUGGUUAAAAGUCGAUAUAUUUUUUACCUUACCAAAAAAAAAUAGAGCAAAAAGGACAGAAACUCCAUUACCUGAACAGAGUACUUCACGGCGAGGCUCGCGACGCUAUCGCCGCGCUUAAUCCGGUGCGAGAUCGCGAACUUCCCCACGCCGUUAUCCCUCCAGAAGCUACCCGAGCUCGGGACGCCGACCACCUCCUUCAACCUCCAGGGGGCCGCGAAGGCUCGGGUGACCAUGUCAUGAUCGGAGGCGACGGAGCUCCAGAUGCGGCAGACGCAGCUCGCGCGGGCCAGGUCCGGGACGGGGAGCUUCUCGAAGAUGAGCCGGAGGGUGUCGCGGCAGGCGAGGGCGGAGAAGUGCGAGUUCAUGGGCGAGAUGGUGGAAUCGUCGGCAGCGGAGGCGGCGGCGGAGGGCGGCAGCGGCGGAGAGAGAUCGGGGGUCGGGGGUGGAGGCUCCCGGUCGUCGUCGUCGUCGUCGUGGCCGCAGCAGCCCAUAGAGAGAGAGAUGGGAAUGUUUAUGUAGUCGGUUUUGAUGGUUUUGGAUUUUUGGUUUUGAACGGUGCGUGGUAGGUGCCAGAAAUAUGGUUGAAUUAUGGUUCUACGCUCCGUGUAUUGUCAUUUAUUACAAAUUGCCCCUGACUUUUCGAUUUUUCGCGAUAUCUCCCCUAAAAUUUGAAAUCGGUUGCGAUGUCAGACUGGUGUGACUUCCGUCAUUUUUUGGGUUUGAGCACCGACCAUGUGCUUGUCACGUGACUGAGUUGAUCUUUCAUGGAAGGGAGAAAAUAUCGGCUGCCCUGUAGCAAAUAAGAUAAGAAGGUGAUAAGAAGGCGACACGUGUUUUCGUGGAGUCCACAAUCUAAACUGAUUGAGGAUAAAAUGAGGCGUCAUUUGGCUACUGCAGAAGGGACGGUUGGGAUUUUUCUGCGAGUUCUCUUUCUUUGCGCCUCUCUCUCCGACGAACAGGAUCGCGACCUCCCUCUCUCUCUCUCUCUCUCCCUCCCUCUUUCCGAUCAGCGAACCACCGCGCGGGAUCGGCGAAAGGGCCGCCAGCAACUGACAAACCACCGCACGGGACCGGCAAGAGGACCGCGACCUCCCUCUCUCUCUCUGCCCUCCCUCUUUGCGACCGGCGAACCACCGCGCUGCCCCUCCGGCUCCAGAUCCGGCCCCGACUCGUCCGUCCCUUGCUCUUUCUCUCCCCUCGCGUCUCUGUCUGCCCUCCCUCUCUCCGACGGCGAACCAGCGCGUGACCGGCGAACUAAUAUUUUCUCCUUGCGGUAGAAGCAACGAAAAUAUCUUUGAAGUCUACAGCGAGGUAGUCUUAGCAAUUUCGAGGAAGGAAGGUUUGUUUCGGUGGUCUUGGUCAAGAAGGUGACGCGCAAUCCUCUCCACAAGAUUGCAUUGCGCGUCUCCUAGUACUUGUGCCUCAGGAGCUUAAACGCCAAUCACCAUAAAUACUUGAGACGCUCUCGUCUUUUGUUCUGAGAGAUCUGAUCUUGGCAGCUCUAGUUUGAGGCGUGAAGCUGAUCCUCAGAUUGUAUUGUUCUUUCGGAAUCCAAACACAACUUGAUCUGCUUCAAGACAAUUUCUUCUCAAACACAAAAGCCCAUCACAAUAAUUUCAUCUUUGCAUUGCUCCUCCAGGUAAGCUCGACUUUCAUUCUCUUGUCCAUUACAAUUGAUAGGUCGAAGAAAGAACAUUUGAUUUUUACUCAUUGCAUAACACCUAGCAUCCUUUAAAGCAUACAAAAUUUUGCAAGUGAGGUUCCCUCAACUUUUCCAAAAUCAUCACAUAUAUUGCUAAUUUUUCCUAGCUCUUCUUAUUCAAACUGAUUGCUAUGAAUGGUUGGAUUGGUUAAACCCGGCGGAAUCGCAUGCUAGCCCUUUACCUCGAUAAUGUUUCAAAAUAUUACCUUUGACUAGAGACUGGAAGAUUGACUGAACUCCUUCGGACCAAAAAGUCCAUUCGAUAAAAUUACAAACUCUUCUAGACCCAAUUUUGGGUCCAUCAAUCCUAUACGUAUCCCAAUUGUAUAAAUUACUUAAAGCCAUGAAACAUCCAAAAUACUCGAUUUUUGCAGAAUAAUUCCUCUUUUUCUUGAAAAAAGCUAAAGAUUAAAAUUUUUCCAAAUAUCGACCGUUUCUUUUCAAUAAUUGCAUAGAGCCCUUCAAAGGCUACUAAUCAAAAUUUUCAACAACAAAUAUUUAUCUGACCAAAUCAUAUCAACUAGAGAAUUUUUGGAUGUCUGGAAAAUUAUCCAUUAUAUUUUUCCAAUUCUUGUAAUUUCUGGAAAAUGACAAAGAAUUCAAAUGUUUUCCAAGAAUUAUGAAAAGUUCACAAUUGUACUAUGUUUUGUGCUGGUUUGAGUGGAAAACUUGAAAGCGAGCAAAGCUGCUAUCGUAUUGAAAAUUCCUUGCCGUCACUGGACAAGGCCGUUGUUGAUUCCUCUUCAUGUUGCCGGUUUCACAAUUGAAUUACGACUCUAUUUGAAACCACAUGCAUUUUUCACUUUUUUCUAUAACCACGGAGUAUUCUAAUUUGUCUUCACAUAUGAGUUUACUUUCUUUUUUUUUUCCUUUCGAACUUGGCAUGCUGCAAUUGAAAAAUGCAAGCGUGGGUAGCAACCACGCCUAUCGUGUCCAUAACAGAACAAGGAAUGUGCGUGAUCGCAAACGCAUCCUCUUCAUAGUUUACUAUGUUUUGUGAGAAACUAAUUUUUUAGCACUUUCAAAAACAUGGAGAAAAUAAAGGAUAUGUUUGUAAAGUUGAUCUCUUUAUAUUGAUGGACAUUUGAGACGAAAUUAAAGAGGACAAAUGGUUUUAAAAAAAGACAAAUUAAAAUUGUGCUUUUCUAAAUCUAAUAAAUCAACCAUACAAAGAGUCAAAGAAAAACAAAUUGCACCGAUUAUACCUUGAGCACAAAGCGCACGAAAUGGGACUUCGAUGGAGUGCAAAUUUAAGUGAUACCAUAUAUUGAGAAAAAUAAAAGAUUGCAAGAAAAAACGUAAAUUGCAUUGAAAAUGUAAAUGUUUAUAAUGAAAGUGUAAAUUGUUUAAUGUUUCCCUUAAUUCGCAAAUUACGUACCAUACCAUAACAUCAGAUUUUCCUUCUGAUAAAACAUGCUAUGCACUUUUUCACGAAAACAUAGGCUAAACACACAUUUCCUCGGUCCCUAAACAUAAUUUACAGCCAGAUAUCAGAGAUUGCACUCUUGAAAUUAGCGACUAAACUCACUUGGGCCAAAAAAGCAAUUUCAACAAAAUUACGAAAAUGCCCUUCUAGCCUGAUUUUAAGUCCAUGGGCCCAGUUCGCAUCCAAAUGGUCCAAAAUUAUCACAUCAGUUUUGCUGAAAAAUAAAAAAACUUACGAAAAAUUAUGUUUUGUUUCUCCUCAUUUUAGAAAGAUGAUGUAUUAUACUAAAUAAAUAGCAAAGGAUAUUUCACUUUUUGAAUUUGACUUAUGACUAACUUUAUAAUUUUUAAAGAGGGUAAUAGUUCUUGAAUUUUAUUUUCCCUACAUGACUAACUCUUGACUUUUUAGAUUAUUAACACAUUCAACUUCUUUCCUAAAGAAUCUCUCGUAAUGUGUCAAUAGUGUGUAUGUUUUGAGUGGAUAUUUAGUAUUGCCAAAAUAGAGAUAGACCUAAUAGUAAAGGUCACUCAAUCCAUUUACACCAAUGAGUCUAGUCAUUUCUCAACCAUUUAUACCAAUACCUCAUUUCUCAAGCUUGGAAAUAAGUCAUCAUUUAUCAUAUCUCACAGUUGGAAGCAUGAUUGUUGCAAAACAUAGCUAUUAAAUUUGGAUGACAUCUUUGCAAAAAGUUUCUACCAAUAGAUUCUUAAACUUUAGAAUGUAAAGUAAUUGGAACAUUUUUGUGGGGCCAAGAAUUAUGGAUGAAUAUGUGAAUUUUAUCAAAUCAGUGAGCAUAAAUAUAAUUUCGAAAAGUUAAGCGGCGCCCCCUCAACCCCCUUUAAAUCCACCCAUGUUGUUCGACAUUUUGGAUGUGGCGGGAGAACAACUAAAAAAAAGGAGAAAACUAGGGGGAUGAGAAUAUAUAAUACAGAGAGUUAAAUGAGAGGAUAUUAGGGGAACAAAGAGAGAAGAACCAGGAAAUAGACAUAAAUGACACAUUUAGGAGAAUGGUUCAGGAAGGCUGCCAUUUUUAGUGUAGAGCAAACUAGUUGGGAGAGAGCCAAAUGCCAAAUAUGCUUAGAUAGAGAGAGUUUACCUUUUCGUCUUUUUAUGUUUUAAAUUUCAAAAUGAAGUUUUAUUUAACGAUUUAGCCAUAUAAUUUUCUAAUAAUUAUAUUUCCUUUUCGAUUGAUUACGGACACUUUCAUUCUAAAUGUUAUGAAUAUCGGUAAUCAGCACUUGAUAAAGGCAGAUAGAAGGUAUGCAUGUGCUUUUGAAUAGAUGCUUACGUUAAACUACCGAUCAAAGGUAAGGUUGAAGGAAAUAUGAAAAAAAACUUAGAUGAUCUGGGUUGAUAUUAGUGGUCCUCACUUGAAACUCACAUUAUGCAAAGGGUGGGGAUGCAUUAGGCUUACAUGCCUUAAGAAUGUCUCAAAAAAUUUAAGCACCACCCAUUUAAUUUUAGUUAGUUUUUACACGUGAGCCAUGUUUAUAUCUUGUAACCCUCCAAAUUUCCUCCCGUUAGGAAAGUCCCGCUUGUAAAGACCAAGAGGACCCAUUUUCUUCUUGUCCGUGUGCGGACGCAGCUUUUGAUAUUGGAUUAACUAGUAGACACUCGCCUAGGAAGACUCGUUCAUCAAACAUUUUGUAUUGGAACCGUUCAGAAAGCAUGUAUUCUCCAUCCAGAAAGCAUGUGCUUUCGAUCCAGCCUUUUCGUUUGUUUAUGUACAUCUUUUUGUGCAGUAAGAAGGCAUCCUCUCUUCAUUUUUGCCUAUCAGGCUUCCAUGGAGAAAGGACAAAGUCAGAGUAAGGCAAACAAAAGGAUGCACCGUUUCAAUUUAGGCCGUCCCUUUGCGGUAUUCAAUCAUCUCAAGAAGAAGAAAAACGGUGCAGAGAAAGAGAGCAUUGAGGGAGCAUCCAUUUCUUCCUUUAUCUCUUCGAUACCCACAGGAGGCAGUGAUCAAUACGACAUAUUCUUGAGCUUUCGAGGCUUGGACACCCGCAAGGGAUUCACCGAUCACCUCUACCGCAGUCUAAUCAAUGUAGGGACCGUACCAAUUUCCGUGUUCAAGGACGAUAAUAGCCUCGAAAUUGGCAAGGAUUUUGAUUCAGAGAUUCUUGAUAUCAUCACGCAGUCUAAGAUUUCAAUUCCCAUUAUUUCCGAAAAUUAUGCUUCGAGCAAAUGGUGCCUCCGUGAGCUAGUUCGUAUCAUGGACUGCAAGAAGAGCAUGCCUCACAUGGUGUUGCCCAUUUUUUACAAAGUGAGCCCAUCCGAUGUGCGGUAUCUAAAGGGAAAAUUUGGGGAGGCCUUCCAUAUGCGUAAGAAGCGUUUUGAUGAGAAGGAUAUUCAGGAAGGGAGACAAGCCCUUACAGAAGUGAGUUACUUAAAUGGAUGGGAAUCUGAAAAAUUUUCUAAUGGGUACUUCUCUUCCACCUACACUUUUAUUUUUCGUAAGUUUUUUUAUUCAGCAAAACUGAUGUGAUAUGGAUGAACUGCUUUCACUACAAGCUCACAAAACAUCCCAGUGCUAAUGAAUAACCAUAAUGGCCCAAAGACUACAAACCCUUGUACUCUGCUAUUUUUCCCCUGCAAACUACACCACCAACAACUAAAACCUUAGGAUCCCAUACUCAGCCUUCCAAACCUUGAUCGACCCCAGAUAAAUUGACCUCCUAUUGCCAACAGGUGGCUCGGUUGAUGUGAAUGGGACACUUUACAUUGACCAUGUCAUAGGUUAAACUUCCGCUACUUCCAGUAACCACCAUGGGUAGGUGAUUAUAAAUUAAUUACAAGUUCCCAUUUAGGGCCCUCGGAUACGCUGGCCUCGGAGGGAUGGCCUCCCCUCCUCCUAAGUCCUAAACUUUUUGUAAUCAAAAUAAUCGACCUCCUAUCCUUCAAUUAGCAGCGACCAUAGGCCUUAUAACAAACAGUUUACUUCUAAAGAUUCUCAAUUUGGUCGGUGCAACACCUUAUCUUAUUUCAAUAAGAUCUAUCUAUUGGUAGAAAAAGAAGGAGAAAUUGAAAUGACUACUACACCAUCAUCCUUCAUUGUUAUUCAUAAAACCGAAACAUUUUGCAUGUUAAUUGGUUCCAUCCAUCCUUCACAUAUAUGUGGGUGUCCUUUGAAGAGAUUACGUGAAACUACGAAAUUAUGAUGAGUUAUUGUUGUUUGACAGGCAUGAAGGAGAAUUAGUGGAAGAAGUCAUCAAAACUAUUCUGAGCAAGUUGAGACAUAAUUUUCAGCUUGAUGUUCCUAAGCAUUUAGUUGGAGUUGGCGAUAUAAUUAGGAAUUGGGUUGAUACUCCUGCCAAUCAUGCUCGAAUGAUUGGAAUAUAUGGCAUGGGCGGGAUCGGUAAAACAACUCUUGCCAAGGUCAUCUACAAUGAGCUGUUGAAUGACUUUUUGCAUCGUAGCUUCCUUCCAGAUAUACGAGAGACAGCUCACCACAACGGUAUUCUUUAUUUACAAAAUCUACUAAUUAAGGAAAUACUACCCAAUGAACAUCAAGUUUGCAAAGUUGAUGAUGGAAUUAGUGUGAUCAAAUCUAGAUUCAAAGGAAAAAGGGUUCUCAUUCUUCUAGAUGAUGUUGAUCAUCAAGAUCAACUAAAUGCUUUGGCUAGAGAACGUGAUUGGUUUUCGACAGGAAGUAUCAUCAUUGUUACGACUAGAUAUGAAGCUGUUCUUGAUCAACCUGAAUUCCAAGCAGACUACAAGUAUGAACUGAGUGAAUUAGAUGAGGUGCAUUCUUUGCUUUUAUUUAAAAGGCAUGCAUUUCACAUGGGCCAUUGUUCAAAGGACUUUGAGGGUAUCUCACGUGAUAUCUUAUCCACCAUGGGCGGGCUUCCCCUAGCUAUCAAGGUCAUAGGUUCAUACUUGUAUGGGAAAACAAAUGGAAAAGUAUGGCAAGAUAUACUGAAGAAAUUAAGAAACGAACCGGCUAAAGACGUCCAAAAGAUAUUGAUGAUAAGUUAUGAUGCAUUGGAACCUGAACAUAAGAAUAUUUUUCUCGAUAUUGCUUGCUUCUUUAUCGGCGAAGAUAGCAAAUUCGCCAUUUACACGUGGGAGGAUUUUUAUCCAUAUCAAGGAAUUGAAGAGUUGAAGUUGAGGUGCUUAAUUAAAAUUGGAGAUCAUGGUGAGUUUAGGAUGCAUGAUCAACUAAGAGAUCUUGGAAGGAGCAUCUUUUUCCAAGGACAAUCGCUUGAAAGAUGUCUGAAACAAUGGGUUGACCAAGAAGGCUUAACAGUGAAACCGGAACGUGGGGUAAGAUAUGGCACUCCUUUUUUUCUUUCCCUCUCUCUCAUAAUUUCAUGUUUAAUUUGAUCUAUUCUACUAUUUUACCUAGUGUGAGCAGAUGCUCCUACUUUUUAGGAAAAAGUCUAUUUAUAUGUCCAUUCAUGUCCAUCAUACAUGAAUUGUGGCCGUAAUUGGAUUAUAUGUGUGCCAAUGAUUAAAAAGUUACACUAUAUAAUUCAAAUUCAUUUGCAUAAAGUACAUUAGUCAAAAAUUUAAUAUACAAUCGAUUCUUUAACUAUGAUUCUAUAGUAAAAAUCUCAUUCACUAAAAGCAUGCAAUUUUAUAUCUAGUUGAAAAUAUUGAUAGUUUGAAAGACUAAUAAUUAAUAAAGAUGAAGCAUAUACAUCAUAGAUCAUAUAAAUAAAUAUUGUUUUUAUUCAAAACAAUAAUGGACAAUAUGUGCCAAUUAUAAUAACUAAUAAUUAAGCAAAUCAGUAACAUUAAAGAAAAAUAUCACAUUUACAACGGGUGCUUUCUUUCUAUUAUAGUCGAAUGUAAAGAAAAAUAUCAAUGUUUGGUAUGCUUUUUCUUUUUUUUCCAUUUUGAUUCAAAAGUACCUGUCCCUCUACUAGUUAUAUCUAUCUCUUUUCAUUCUUCUUUCCUCUUAAUAGAUAUGAUGGCAAAGAAUCUCCUUAAUAAAUAUAUUGGGAGAACCUUACUAUCGUUGUAUCACGUGGACCUUGCUCAUCUUAUGGAUUAGGUUAGGUGUUUUUUUUUUGGUCCGUUAGGUUAGGUGUUUGACAAUUAAUGGAUUUCCUUAUUCUCCCUUCUUUGCUUCUUUCAUUUCUGUUUUCUUUUUCUUUCGCUUUUCUUGAUAAACAUUUCUUUCCUCGCCAAGCUCUUUUAUAAUAUUUAUAUUUUUGGGACAAUGCCCUUUUGUGCCAAUAGCCACUAGACUAACUUGACUAUUUAGAGGAAAUGUCGUGCUUCUUAUUAAUAUAUUGAUACCUUUUUCUUUACUAUAUACGAUUUUCAGCAUGAAAGUAAGGUCAGUUUUCACUUAGCUUGGUUUGAUAUGCAGGCACGCUAUUGUUUGAAAAACUACGAUACAUACUUUCAAUGGCCUCGUGGCUGUUCCCCUGCAUACACAGUGAACAAUUUAAAACUUACCGAGCUCAGUUCCUUCAAUUGUGCUGGAAGGCUUUAAGUGGAGACUUUAAUGAACUAUUUUCUGAAUUANNNNNNNNNNNNNNNNNNNNNNNNNNNNNNNNNNNNNNNNNNNNNNNNNNNNNNNNNNNNNNNNNNNNNNNNNNNNNNNNNNNNNNNNNNNNNNNNNNNNGAAAAAAGACAUCCUUUGUGAUCUUGCUUUGUUUUGUCUGUCCAUUAAAUUCCUUUUUUGACAUCUUAUCCUCCUUUAUAUAGGUGGCAAAGCGGCUAAAAGUUCUCAACCUUUCAUAUAGCCAGGUUUUAAGAUGUACUCCUGAUUUCUCGACUUUCACAAAGUUGGAGAUUCUAAUCUUGGAUGAAUGUUGCAAACUGGAGCAAGUCCACCCUUCUAUUGGCCAAGUCAAGAGACUUGUUUCCUUGUACUUGAGGAAUUGUCUCAAUCUCAAAGAGCUACCAGAGGAAGUGGGUGAAUUGCGAGAACUAAAAGAACUUCUUUUAGAUGACACUGGCAUUACAAAAAUUCCUAUGUCAAUUGGUUCUUUGAAGAAGUUGCAAAAGUUGAGUGUCCCACAUUGUUUGUCAUUGGUUGAAAUCCCUCUCUCAAUCAGUAAUCUUUCUUCUCUCGAACACCUUGACCUAAGUAGUUAUUCACCAUUGAGUGAGAUCUCUAGGUCAAAUAGGAAUCUUUCUUCUCUUGAAUGCUUUAACCUCCUUAGCUCAAUCGAGAAUCUUUCUUCUCUUCAACACCUCAACCUCUCUCAAUAUUCGUCAUUGAGAGACAUCCCUAGUUCAAUUGGAAAUCUUUCUUCUCUCCAACACCUCAACCUUUCUCAAUGUUUGUCAUUGAGAGACAUCCCUAGCUCAGUUGGGAAUCUUUCUUCUCCCGAAUGCUUUAACCUCCUUAGUUCAGUUGGGAAUCUUUCUUCUCCCGAAUGCUUUAACCUCCUUAGCUCAAUUGGGAAUCUUUCUUCUCUUCGACACCUCAACCUCUCUCAAUGUUCGUCAUUGAGAGACAUCCCUAGUUCAAUUGGAAAUCUUUCUUCUCUCCAACACCUUAACCUUUCUCAAUGUUCGUCAUUGAGAGACAUCCCUAGCUCAGUUGGGAAUCUUUCUUCUCUCUUACACCUUAACCUCUCUCAUUGUUCCUCAUUGAGAGAAAUCCCUAACUCAAUUGGGAAUCUUUCUUCUCUCCAAUACCUUAAUCUCUCUCAUUGUUCGUCACUAAGAGAAAUCCCUACCUCAAUUGGGGAUUUACACAAAUUGCAACAUCUGAACAUUGAUAAUCCUUUGAUUAAAGAGAUCUCCGAUGCCAUUGGAAGGUUUAAAGAACUGCGGAGGAUAAUUAUUAUAUCCCAUGAUAGUCGGGGAAUUGGAUCUGUCUAUCGCUCUCGUUCGCUUAGUAAAAUCAUUGACAUGUCCUUAUCUACUCUACCCGAUUGCAAGGAUAAAUCUUUUCUUCAGAACCUCCUUUCCCAACACUUUAAGGUGCUUAGAUUGAUGCCAAAGCAUCCUUUUGGUUUAACAUAUCUUCAAUACAAUUUCGCAAUUCCCAAAUUCCUACAACUUUCUUGUCUAAUCGACCUAGAAGAACUUCAUCUUUAUGCAUGCGAUCAACUUGAGAGCAUCCAGGGGCUUCCUUCAAGGCUCUUGAAAUUUUGUGUUGACUCAUGUCCAAACCUGAUAUUACCUGAGAUUGGCAGAUUCAAGUACUUGGAAGAGUUGUCGAUAAGAAGCUGCAGUUUCAUUAAAAGAAUGGACCUGUCACAAUGGAAUCGCUUGAAAGAAUUGGACAUUCAGGGUUGCGAUAAUCUAGUUGAAAUUCAAGGCCAUGGAGAAUUAGAGUUCUUGGAGACGAUAAAUAUAUAUAGCUGCAUGUCAAUUGAAAGGUUGAUCCUUCCGAAAUUACAGUGUUUGAAGCGACUACAUGCUUGCUCUUGCAACAAUCUAGUUGAAAUACGAGGUCUUGAUAAGGCAGAGUUGUUAGAGGCAUUAGAUAUUUCCAAUUGUUGGUCCAUUGAAAGAUUACCUAAAUUAGGAUGCUUUGCGACCUUGAAAGAGUUGAACAUUAAUGGGUGUCACCAUCUACAUGGUGUUGAGAGUCUCGAGAGAUUCUCAUCUUGCCGAAGUAUAUUUAUUAAGGAUUGCAAAAACCUAGAAAAACUACCAAACUUGUCGAAAUUUGAAAGUUUAGAGAGUUUCAUAAUCUUGGGUUUAAUCCGGCUUAGGGAGAUUCCUGGGAUUGGGGAAUCAAGAUCGCUAACAAAAGUAUCAAUCAUAAAAUGUCAAUCCUUGGAGACUUUGCCAGAUUUGUCGGGAUGUGAGAAGUUACGAUAUGUAAGGGUAGUAACAUGUGACAAACUUACUCAACUUUGGGGACUUGAAAAGUUGGAUUUGACUCUUUUGGAAAUUUAUGGGUGCCAGCAUGUACCAGAAUUAUUUAAAACAUGCAACGGGAGAUAUGAAUAUGAAUGCUUUUGUAUUCCCGAGGUAAUUAAAUUGCAGUGAUAAUAAUGUGAUGAACUUUAUACCAAUAUUACAAGAGCAGGCUAGUCAUGUUUCCUUGACAGAGGUAAAUAAGCAGCAAACUACCAUUUUUCUUUGAGUUUCAUGACCUAUUUUUCAUCAUUAUCUUCUUUUGACAAUAAGGUUUUCCUUGACAGGGUUUUGUUCUUCCUAAGUUCCUAGACUUAAUAACUUGAAGGAAUGGUGGAGUUGGUCGUAGAAGCUGACAUGAUGCUUCAGCCAAGAUCAAAAUUUAGAUCCAAUGGUGCUUCCUCGUUCAUUAGAAGGCAUUGGUCAUUUGGUAAGAUUCUUCAUCCUUUAACAACUAGCAUGAGUGAAUAGAGUAAUACUUUUGUCAAGGAUAUAUCCUUUAAGAAUUAUUUGCUUGACACUACGUAUCUCAGCGAUAUGGAUUUGCCUAAAUCUUUUGUUGUAAAUUCCAUGACAACAAUCUUUUUUUAGCUAUCCUUCCAUUGGCAACUUUUGUAGACAGAUUGGCGGCUUGUGAGGCAACAAAUGAAAAUAUCGACAUAUGUAAAAUAAUUACUUAGCGAUUUACAGCUCCCCUCUCAAUAAAACAGGUAUUUCAAUUUUUUAUCUAGAGGGCAACGAUCUUCCGCUACUCAAUAUUGUAAACUGCACCCAGAUCCGCUUUUUCACUCUGUCUUAAACUAGUAUUUCCUUUAACAAAUCCUUGUUUGAACUCAUUUUGUCAGCUCUUCAACAGGUCAAAUUUGACCGAUGGUAGUUAUACUGUUAAGAGCAAACACCUCUCGAUUUUUCGUGAUAAUAGGAAAGCCUGUCAAGGCUCUUCUCAUUCGCUUGAGCAUGAAUUCCCAGUAAGGAAAAGAAACUGAGCUAAAAUAACAAUCAAAUUUCAAGUUUUUCUGGUGGAUGAUGGAAAAGGAAAUGAAAAGUAAUUUUGGUUAGUCUGUUUCGUAAAUGAUUGGAGACAGGCUCUCUAUAACCGAUUGUCAUACUGCCGUUUGAUGAUCAAGCAAGGCAAACUGGUGCUGCUUUUGGGACAAACCUGGCUUUCUGUUUAAUGAUCAAGGCUUACGUUUGGACUUUGAUUCGAAGAGCCGUACUGAUGACCUUUUGCAUAAUUAGGAUGAUUUAUUUGCCCGUUUUAUAAAACAAGUUGGGCAAGGAGCUUAAGAUUUUGUUAAUUCGUUUGCACGCUGAUUGAUCCUGUUGUUGUUGUGGAAUCAUUUUAUCACAUGAUUAAUCUGGGUUUGGCUAACUUGGCUGAGGAAAUUCAAAUUCCGUACCAGAGAACGAUCAAAAUGAGGAAGAGGAAUUUUGCCGAGGAAUCAUCAACAGUAGCUGAAGGCUUUUGUGCCCACCUUGAAGAGGCUUACGGGCCAACUGAAGUGUAUUGGUAAAAAAAUUUAUGCCUGUGAAGAUCAAAGUACUUGAUCUGGUCUCAACAGCAUGUACUUGAAAAGUUGGGAUUGUAUUUUUUUUCAAUUGAAUCUGCUUUUUGUAUGCUCAUUAGGUUCUACCUCUAUUAAUUAAAUACACUUGCUGAUUUUUCUGCAUGUUACCCUGAUGCAGAGUUCUUUGAUGCGCCUGCGUUCUAAUGAUAUCAUUCCCAAACUCAAUCAGGCUUUGCAAAUAGAGGUAGCACUGCCAAUCCUCCCAUAACUGUGAGAGAGUAAGUUGUGUGCUUAUACUUAAUUGAAUGUGCUUUUUUGUAAGCUUGUUAGGCUCUGCCUCUCUGCUAAUCAAAUACGUACUUGCUGAUUUUCUGCAUGUUACCUUGAUGCAGAGUUGUUGGAUGCGGUUGCUUCUAAUAAUAUCAUUCCUGAACUUAAUGGGGCUCUGCAGAGGAAGGUAUGUAGUGCCAGUCAUACCAUAACGAUGAAAGAUUAACUUGUGUGCUUUAAACUGUAUUCAAUGUGCUUUUUUUAUGCUCGUUAGGUUCCACCUCUCUGUUAAUAAAGUACGUACCUGCUAAUUUUUCUGCAGGUUACCCCGAUGCAGAGUUGUUUGGUAAAAGCUUAAAGAAGAAGAAGGAAGAAGAAGAGAAGCUCUCUUGUGCCAAACAGCAUUUUCUGGUUGUGUUCGAUGAAGUUAUUCGAAAGUCCUUGCUCAUGAAAUUUUACGGUCUGAUCUCACUUUCUAGCCAAAACAGCACUUCUCACUAUACGUGUUCAAUUAAUUUUAUAGAAGCCAUUAGUGAUGACCCAGGAAAAAGGAAAUGAAGCGGAACGUCAAGAAGGUGGUAUUUGCGCCAUUUUCCUUAUUUCCUAGUUAGUAAUGCUAUUGGAAGAGAAUGUCUUCAAGGUUCAGGCAUAACAGAAGGAUUGGUGAGGAUUGCAGUUACCUUUGCUCCUAGGACCAUCUCAUGUGGACUCUAAUGCCACCUCCUCUGUGGUAUACCGGUAUGAUGACUAGUUCAUGAAAUAUUUGAUAUAAUGCCAACGUGCUAAUUUCCAAUUCCGCUCUGUUUAUGCAACAGUAUAAGCUAGCACAUGUUCAUUUUUCUCUCAUAUAAGCAGCAUCACAAAGUCUGGACUUCCAAUUCCCAAGGAGAUAAAGGUUUGUCUUUUUUUUUUUGCAGGGGUUUAUAUCAAUAAAUAGUCAAUACGAGACACCAAGGAUCCAAGCAAUAACUGCCGAUGCUCUUUGCAUUAACUGCCGAUGAUCGUGGAGUACGUGAUCACAUCUGGCUCCCCGCCUUCUUCUUACAAAUUCUUCAGCAAUGGAACGGAUCUCCUGGCAUGUGGUUAUAUCUACCUCAUCAAAGUGUUAAAGCUCACAGUAGUUGGUUCUUGUUACGAUAGGGCGAGCGAUCGAACAAAAUAUAGACGGAAGAAAAAAUAAAUCGGACACCGGAUUUACGUAGUUCAGUCGUAAAGACCUACGUCCACGGGGAGAGCAGCAGUGAAUUUCACUAUAAAUCAAGCGAUACAAGGAGAUUACACACUCAAGUCACUCAAACACUCUCUCGAUGUUUCUCAAGCCCCAAUUACACCCAAUAACGCACCCAGUGUUUAGCUCCGAAAUUCCUCAAAAAUAAUCUCUCAAUUUCACGAAGGAAUUACAUGCAAAUCUUACCUUAAAAUUUAAUCGACUACAAAUACUAAACUUCUUGGAUGUAAUUGCACGAAUGAAAAACAACAAGCCCACUUUCAAGCACUCGAUAUUUGGUGCUUCAAGUUUACUUGCAUCAACAACGGCGGAACAAGCACUCACGCGGCGCUUCAAGAUGUGGCUUCGCUCAACGAUGGUAUGUGGCUUCGUGCGGCAGCAACUCACCGAAAAGAAGAAACUCUCUUUCGCGGCUCCCCUCUGCGACUUCUCUUUUUCGUAAAGGGCUUCGGCAGCUCUUUUAUACGUGUGCCCAUGAGGUCAAAACUUUGACCAUGAGCCCACCUUCGUUUCCUUUUCUUUCACGCGUGCAGAGGACUCCUUCACGCCAAGACUCACGAAUUGAUUUCCUUCAAUUCGGAAUCCUCAGGCUUUGCAGCAAAGAACUUUGCUUCUUUAUUUUAAUAUUAUAUUUUCUCUUUUAGUCCAGUAACUCCUUCGCGAGUCCAUCAAAUUUCGCGUUUUAGCAAACGCUUAAACUCGAGUCAUAUUUAACAGUUCUAGUGCAAGUUUGACUAUUUAACAUCAAAACUGAGAAACCGAGAUCGGACCUCUUCAAUUGGCGGAGGUGAUUCAUCAAAAUGCUGCGAGUAAAAACACUGGGCGAAGUUCCUUCCAAACCCAUCCUCUCGGUCAUGUCAAUGGUGAUGGCGCAAUGACUAUUUUACUAAAGACACGUUAGAUAGAAAUUAUUACUAUGAAAACAUAGAAUAACUUCAAAAGCACCGCUGUUCCUAGGAGAAGACAACGUCAAGACCCAUUCUAAGGCACCAAUUCAGCCACAGCUCCAUGAAAUGGCAAAACCCAACAACGUUCCCACGCCGCGGCUACCUAUAACCGUCGCGGGCACAGUAAAAGAACGAGUCUUUUCCAUCUGUUUUCCCGCUUCCCCUCUAGGAGAAGACAGUGUCAAGACCCAUUCUAAGACACCAAUUCAGCCACAGCUCCAUGAAACAGCAAGACCAAACAACGUUCCCACGCCGCGACUACAUAUAACCGUUACGGGCACAGUUAAAAAACGAGUCUUUUCCAUUCAUUUUCAUGUUUCCCCUACUGCCCAUAUAUCGCACCAUCCGAACUGCCAGUACCUCGAAAGCUGCUGUAACAAACAUCGACGCCCGGGAUCGGGCGCGCCAUGUAGUAGUCGAUGGACACGAUCCGGACGCUGAAAAUCAUGGGGUCCUUCUCCGGCGCCGACGCCGCUGUACUGGGCUGCGAACCUUCUUCCUCCUUCGGGAGUGGCGGCUCCUCCAUCUGUGGAAACCUUCCCACGACCCUCGCUGGGGAAAAGUGCCGGAACCCAGGGCACGGUUAGCCCGAAAGUCGAUUGCCGGCGAGAGCUCGGAGGCGCUGGCUGGUGUAUAACCGACCGCGCAAAAGUCGAGUGUCUUCUCCAAGCUUUUCUCCAAUUUUUUCCCUCUCGCUUGUUCUCGUGCAGUGCAGUAACGGAACCCCAGAAUAGGAAAAUGGACCGAGAGAAGUCUUUGGGACGAUGAAUUAUUUUAAGUUACCUCGGAACGGUUAUUUUACUACUGUCACAUAUCAUGAUAAAUUCCGACCAAAAAAAAAAUUUAAUGAUGGAUUCGGUCAAAAAAAUAUUUGAUGAUAGAUUAAAAAUUGGCUUUAAUCUAUCUUAUUAAUUGGUUUUAUAUACUAAGUAAAUGCUAACAACAAUGUUCAAUUAUAGAUAUUAGCUAUUAAUAACUCAGCAAUCAAAUUACAAUUUCAUAACUUUCUAAUAGUUUAAAAAAAUAAGCGUAUUGAAAAUAUUAAAACUUUCAAAAAGUACAAUCAAAUUAGAAAAUUUAUCAUAAAUAUACAAUUGAGUUUUAAAGUUUUAAAAAAAUACAAUCAAGUUUUAAAACAGAUUAAUGACUUUAAUAUGAAUUAAAAUUUGUGUACCAAUUGAAUCAAAACUAGUUCAUAACUUAAUUAAAGAAAAAUUUGUGUAUCACAUGAAUUAGGAUCUGUAAGUUCAUAAAUGAAUUAAUGACUUUAACAUGUUGACAACUUGUACGACUAAAUAUUUAUAAAUUAUUAAAAUGAACAAUAAUUUUGGAACAAUCAAACAAACCGCAAUAUUUUUCGUGAAAGUUUGAGUAUAAACAAGUCACAAGCCAAAUACAUCGCCGAUCUUUUUUUACAAACUGUUGCUAAACAAUAUUUAUGAACUUACUGAUACGGAACACCAGAACAAUCCUGGUCAGUGGUGAUGCUCCCGAAUUACAGACCUUCAAGAGGUUUGUCCAACAACAAUAGUCAUCAAAUUCAAAAGAUCUAUCCACCCAUAGCUACAUCUACAAGACCAGCUGAAAGUUUAUCAACACCUCGACCAUUCGCUAAAACAUUAGUCAAUCCACACAAAUUACUCCGUAAAUAUAUUAGUCAGUCCACGCAUAAAUAAAUAAUAUGCUCCAUUCCUUUGCAAAAGGCUAAAAAUAUAUGUACGUUGAUCACUUGAUCAGAGAAUCAUACAAUAGCCACCACCCUUUUCCUUUUGGACACUAUAUUUACCAUGAAUUGCAAAUUACAAAUGCAUUAUACAAGGUUCUCUCCACAGAGCUCGUUUGAUUCGGCUUUGGGGAAAUGCCAUUGAGAGAAUGCAAAUACCUUUGAGGUAAAUGGGCUUUUGGAAAUAUUAGACCAUUUGGUAAAUUAUAACAUUGAAAUGCAACUUAGCAUAAACACCGUUUGGCAAAAUUCACAUUUAUAAUUAGCUUUUGUUAUUUAUUUUUUUUUUAAGUCUGAAAUCAAAUUCCGACGGCCGGCCACUGCCGACCAACCGUUGGCCACCGUCGGACUGCCAGAUCUGGCCUCGCUUGGUCGCCUGGCUCGCGCGAGACUAGGCAACGCCGGCUGAGGUCCGCACGACCUCAAGCAGUGUCGCCUGGUCGCGCACAACCUCAAGCCACCUCGCCUGAGGUUGUGCGACCUUAGGCGAGGCUUCCCAGCAGCCAAAUCUGGCCGCUCGCAACUGAGUGCCGCCCACCGCAAAGAAGAAGACGAACGGCAGAGGACACGAUGAACAGUGACCCUGUGAACAGUAAAAUCGCAUCUCCGGAAUGCCCAAUGCUCAAAGCUGGUCCUCCCCGGCAUUUGGCUUUCGGCAUUUAAAAUGCCCGCAUUUCACAAAUGAGCAUUCAAAAGCCCUUGCCAAACACCCAAAAUUUCCUCCAAGGGGGAAUGCCCAACCAAACACCCCCAUAGUGAUGGGAAAACAAGCCAAUCAACGCUUGGAGUUGCCCCAAGAAUGCUAGAUGCGGCUUGGUGAAAUUGAAGAUUCACACACAUGGAGAUAUAGGUUCAAUUCCAGUCCCGUGCUUCAAGCUGCCAUCACCAUUCAUAUCACCUCAUUAAAGCAGCCAUAAUGUUGCCUAACCAUUUCAUUUAGGCCAAUCCCACUUGUCUCUCCCACCUAAGGUCUUCGGAGAAUUUCGAGAGUGCAGCCCUUGGGUCACCAUCAGAGAUAGACAAGUAGUACUGAGCAGUCCCAUCAUCAACCUGCAUGCUCCUCCUAAGGGAGUCGAGUAUUCUCUUCUUCCCUCGUUCAGAGGUUGUCCUCUUUAGCAAAGAACUUAUCUCUAUGUCCUGGACGCCUUCUGGGUAAAGCACGGCGACUUCCCUCUUUGCAUGGUUAUCUCGCUCUAUGUAGCAUGUGGAAUCGAUAAGAAUGUCAGGGUUGCUUAUGGGGAUUAACAAUC